UGAGUUUCCCUUGCUUAAGUAACUUAACACUUCAGGGGCUCGAUAACCUGAUUAGUUUCAGUUCAGGAAGUGUCAAGAGGCAGCUAGGCGAGACAGCCAAAGAAAAUGAUGAAUUGCCACAACCGCUAUUCAAUGAGAUGGUUUGUUCUAUUCUUUAAUGUGAUCAUUCGUAUUCUCACAUUAUCAUGUUUUAUAAUGAAGAAUGUAAUAAAUUUGUCCAACUUAUCCUCGUUUCUCACAUUAUCCUUGUGCAGGUCACAUUUCCCAAUAUGAGAGAUUUAAAAAUUGAAGGCGUUCCAUGCAAAGUGCUAUGGAACAAUCAUGUUCCCACCGAUUCCAAUAUUUGUUCCCACCGAUUCCUUUCAAAAAAUGUCAAGGUUAAAAAUUGUCCAUCAUUGAAAUCGUUGUUUGAUUUUAGGUUCCUAGAUUCAAAUACGGAACAAAAGGCGAUAUUGCUCCCUGAAUUGGUAAGCAUCGACGUGGAAAGCUGUCCCUCGGAAUCAUUGUUUAAUUGUGGGUCCCUUAAUUCAAAUGUGGAACACAAAAUUAUAUUUCUCCCAAAAUUGGUGAAAGUGAGGGUGAGUGGAGCAAAAAAGCUAAGACACGUUGUCAUGAGCAACUCCCAAAUAGUUUUGGGUUUUCCUAGUCUUGUAACUGUCAUGGUUGAGAAUUGCUCUGACUUGGGAUAUCUCUUCCCUACUUAUACAACCACAACUUUGGAGAAACUUGAGUGGCUAACAAUUAGUAAAUGUGAACAUAUGAAGGAAGUGAUUCUCGAGAAAGAAGCUAGUCUAUCAGAGGCAAAAGUGAUGAGUUUCCCUUGCUUAAGUUAUUUAACACUUCAGGGGCUCGAUAACCUGAUUAGUUUUGGUUCAGGAAGUUGUUCAUAUUAUUUUUCCUCCUUAAAAGAUCUAAGAAUUGUGGGGUGCUAUAACUUUGGAACGUUCAUCCCGAGUCCCACAAGUGUCAAGAGGCAGCGAGGCAAGAUGGCCGAAGAAAAUGAUGAAUCGCCACAACCGCUAUUCAAUGAGAUGGUUUGUUCUACUCUUUAUUGUGAUCAUUCGUAUUAUGGCUUUAUCAUUUAUAAUAAGAAUGUAAUAAAUUUGUUCUACUUAUCCUCCUUUUUCACGUUAUCCUCAUGUAGGUUACAUUUCCUAUUAUAACAAGUCUCAAAAUUGAGGGCCUUUGGUGCAAAGAGUUAUGGAACAAUCAAAUUCCCACAGAUUCCUUUCAGAAGUUGGAAUCUCUUGAAUUGAAUAACUGUGACUAUCUCCAACAUAUUGCCACUUCGUAUAUGUGGAAGAAGCUACAACGCUGUCUCGAGAAACUAGAAGUGAUUUCAUGCCGUUUGAUCGAGAUCAUAUACGAAGGUAUUGGGAUGGAUGUAGAGAGUGGUAGAUUGAGGAGGCUGGUUUUGCGUGAUCUUGAAAACUUGAGGGGCAUUUGGCAGUUCGACAGUCUCCCAAACAUCCCAUUCCCAAAUUUGAGAGACAUAGAGGUUGUGAGGUGCCCUCGUUUGGAAAUGCUUUUCCCUACCUUCACAGCGAAAUUUCUCGGGCAAAUCGAAAAGCUGGUGGUGGAGUCAUGUGAAGAUAUGAAACAAAUUGCUAGCUAUGAAAAAUGGGAAGAAGGGACCUGCACCACAAUCACCUUCUCUAAGUUAACUACUCUUAGAGUCUUCAAGUUGCCGAAAUUCAGGAGCUUCUUACCUGAGAAAUACUCUCUGAAAUUGCCGUGCUCCAAGGACUUCCCAUCCUUGCAAGUCUUGAGUAUAGAAAGUUGUGGAGCAAAGCCGGACCAAGUCCUUGGUAAUUGGGGAUUCCACGAAAUGGAACCAAAUUCACAUGCAUUUAUAGAACUCCAGGUAUUCCUUUAAUAUUUCAUUUCUUUGGUUUGGCUCUCUGUUCCUUUGAAUAGAAAAUCAAUUUAUAUUAGCUAAAACACAAUUCUUAGUGGGACCCACACAUACUUUGGUCCUCUCUCUCUCUCUGUGUCUCUCUCUCUCUCUGGGUGCGUUUGGCAACUUGCCAAAUAGUAACAAUUUCUAUUCUCGUGUUCCUGGAAGUAGAUUUGGAACGGAAAUUGAUUUAGUAAAAUUUUUAUUACCGAAAACAAAUUUCUAUUUUUUGUUCCCAAAAAUAUAUUUUUAACAAAAUUAAGAAAUAAAAAAAAGAUGUUUCUUUGUUCCAGAGAACAAUUUUAGAAUCAAGCCAACUCAUUUUUUUCUCUUUACUCUUCUUUCUUCUUGUUCUUAUUACCUCUCUUCUCUUCUUCAGUUGCACCAUCCAUUGUCCCUGAACACCAGCGAUCUCACCAGGCCAAGGCAAGGUCCGACGAGCUCGAGAUGUUUGAAGCGUGCAACCCGAGUCCGAGAAGUGUCAAGAGGCAACUAGGCAAGAUGGCCGAAGAAAAUGAUGAAUCGCCACAACCGCUGUUCAUUGAGAUGGUUCGUUUUAUUCUUUACUUCUAUUCUUUACUGUGAUCAUUCGUAUUCUUGCAUUAUCAUGUUUUAUAAUGAAGAAUGUAAUGAAUUUGUCCUACUUAUCCUCUGCUCUCACCUUAUCCUUGUGCAAGUCACAUUUCCCAAUAUAAGAUAUCUAAAAAUUGAGGACGUUCAAUGCAAAGAGCUAUGGAAUAAUCAUGCUCCUGCCGAUUACAUCGUUUGUUCCCACCAAUUCCUUUUAUUUGAGGUUAAAAAUUGUCCAUCUUUGAAAUCGUUGUUUGAUUUUGGGUCUCUAGAUUCAAAUACCGAACAAAAGGCGGUAUUGCUCCCUGAAUUGGUAAGCAUCGACGUGGAAAGCCGUCCCUCCUUGGAAUCGUUGUUUAAUUAUGGGUCCCUUGAUUCAAAUACGGAACACAAAGUUAUAUUGCUUCCCAGAUUGGAGAGAGUGAGGGCGAGUGGAGCAAAAAAGCUGAGACACGUGGUCAUGAACCGCUCCUAAAUAGUUUUGGGUUUUCAUAGUCUUGAAAUUUUCAGUGUUGAGGAUUGCUCUAACUUGAGAUAUCUCUUCCCUAAUUAUACGACCACAACUUUGGAGAAACUUCAAAGGCUAACAAUUAGUAAAUGCGAACAGAUGAAGGAAGUGAAUCUCGAGAAAGAAGCUGGUCCAUCAGAGGCAAAAGUGAUGAGUUUCCCUUGCUUAAGUUACUUAGCACUUCAGGGGCUUGAUAACCUGAUUAGUUUCAGUUCAGGAAGUGUAAAGAGGUAGUCAAGCGAGACAGCCGAAGAAAAUGAUGAAUCGCCACAACCGCUGUUCAAUGAGAUGGUUCGUUCUACUCUUUACUGUGAUCAUUCGUAUUCUUAUAUUAUCAUAUUUUAUAAUAAAGAAUGUAAUAAAUUUCUCCAACUUAUCCUCCUUUGUCAUAAUAUCCUUGUGCAGGUCACAUUUCCCAAUAUGAGAAAUUUAGAAAUUGAAGGCGUUCCAUGCAAAGUGUUAUGGAACAAUCAUGUUCCCACCGAUUCCAUUGUUUGUUCCUACUGAUUCCAUUCAAAAACUGUCGAGGUUAAAAAUUGUCCAUCCUUGAAAUCGUUGUUUGAUUUUGGGUCCCUAGAUUCACAUAUGAAACAAAAGGCAGUAUUGCUCCCUGAAUUGGUAAGCAUCGACGGUGGAAAGCUGUCCCUCGGAAUCGUUGUUUAAUUUUGUGUCCUUUGAUUCAAAUGGGGAACAAAAAAUUAUAUUGCUCCCAAAAUUGGAGAAAGUGAGGGUGAGUGGAGCAAAAAAGCUAAGACACGUUGUCAUGAGCCACUCCCAAAUAGUUUUGGGUUUUGCUAGUCUUGACACUGUCAGGGUGGAGAAUUGCUCUAACUUGGGAUAUCCCUUCCCUAGUUAUAUGGCCACAACUUUGGAGAAACUUUAGUGGCUAACGAUUAGAAAAUGCGAACAGCUGAAGGAAGUGAUUCUCAAGAAAGAAGCUAGUCCAUUAGAGGCAAAAGUGAUGGGUUUCCCUUUCUUAAGUAACUUAACACUUCAGGGUCUCGAUAACCUGAUUAGUUUCUGUUCAAGAAGUGUCAAGAGACAGCUAGGGGAGACAGCCGAAGAAAAUGAUGAAUCGCAAUAACCGCUGUUCAAUGAGAUGGUUUGUUCUAUUUUUUACUGUGAUCAUUCGUAUUCUCACAUUAUCAUGUUUUAUAAUGACGAAAGUAAUAAAUUUGUCCAACUUGACCUCCUUUCUCACAUUAUCCUUGUGCAGGCCACAUUUCCCAAUAUGAGAGACUUAGAAAUUGAAGGCGUUCCUUGCAAAGUGCUAUGGAACAAUCAUGUUCCCACCGAUACCUUUCGAAAAAUGUUGAGGAUAAAAAUUGUCCAUCCUUGAUAUUGUUUUUCGAUUUUGGGUUGUGGCAUCCUAGAAUUUCAUGACAACCUCUAGAUGUGCUAUGAACCAUGGAUAGGUGAUGGAAGUACCAUCAAGUUAUGUUGUAGCCAUUUGAUCCAUAAUUUGCAAUAAGAUUAAGGCCAAGCUUUUCAAUGGAUAAUUAUUUGAUAGGAAAGAAAUUCUAUUCUUGGCCAUGUGUUUUAUAAGUUGAAAUUUAUUUAUUUAUGAUGCAAAGUUUUAUGGCCAAUUGAAUAAGUGUAAUUAUGUAUUUAUAUAAGUGGGGAUUUAGAAUAGAUUAUUAAAAGAGGAAGUGGGCCAAAAUUCUUAGGCCAAGACCAGCCCACAAGAGCCCCACCGUUCGGCCAUUAGGGCCUGGCCCGCGAAGCCCAAAAGGGAAGGGGCUGCUGUCGUCCGAAGGAGGGAGAGGCCCGGCCCAAGGGAGGCCCAUCAACCUGCAUGUAAAUCCCCAAGUGGCAAGAGAAGCUUGCCAAUUGUUAGUCCAUUGUAGCCAAGUGGCAAUUACCUUGCAAAAUCAAAUGAUUGCUAAUGAUGAGGGGGAAGGAAAAGAGGAGAGGCGGAUUGGGAGAGAGGGUUACCGUCCGAGAGAGAGAGAGAGAGAGAGAGAGAGAGAGAGAGAGAGAGCUGUUGUGCGAGAGAAGAAGAGAGGAAGAGAGAAAGGAAGAGGGAGGCCGUUCGCUGCCGUGCGUGCCAUCGAGUCCCGCCGUCAAGCCACCUCGCCCCACCAUUUGCUUGCUAUGUUUUGCUUGGAUUAGAGGCAAGUAGAGUCCAUUGAUCUACCCUUUGCUUGCUAUGUUUUGUGUGUGAUGAAUGAUGAAUUUCGGAUGUGGAUGAAGUGUGAAAUUUCGAAGUUAUUGGAGUUGUGUUCUAGCCUGGUAUUCUGUUUCUAGAAAAAUAGUCCGACCUUUGGUGAUUUCGUGAGUUUCAUGCAAUGUUCUAGUUGGAAUCUGACUUUGAAUUCUUGAUGAAAGUUGUGGAGGACUUCUUGGAGAAUAACAUUACAAAAUUUGAAAGGAAACAGACAAGUAUAGGUUGAUGAAACCAUUUUUCUUUGAUGAAGCUAGAUCAGGAAACUGUUAUGAUGCUCUAUUGGGAUUCUGUGAAUUUCGUACAAGUAUCCAGUCCGAAUUUGAUAUCAUGUUCUUGAUGAGAGUUGUAGACGACAUAUUGAGGAGCAACAUCCUAAAAUUUGAGGAUAAACAAACAAGUAAUGAUUGGGGAAAAUGAUUUUCUUUGAAAAGGAUGAAUCUGGACAGUGAACCGAGAGAUAGAAAGAGUUACAAAAAUUAUAACUUUUAAUAAAGAAGGAAUUAAACUUUAAUUUUUUCAUGAGACUUUUACCUUUAGAUCUCAGCUAUGACAUAUUAAAAUUUCAGAAUUUUUGGAGUUCAUCUAAGGGCUUAAUCGAAAUUAUUUCCGAAACUGUGCAAAAGUGGUGCUGGAAUUUCUUCUGCUGUGAUGUGUGGAUCUAUGUGAUUGAUGUGGAACUUUCUUGACACGGUGUUCUUCAUGAAAUAUCUUCCUCUGGAUCUUGUUUACAUCAUGUUAAAUUUUUAGAAUUUAUUGAGAUUUUUUACUAAUUUUCCAAGAAUUCUUACUAAAGAGGUGCAUUCUGUUUUAUCCGAAAAUUGGUUCGAGUUUCAAAAACCAAUGAAUUUCUUUAUGAAAUGUGAUAUCAUGGGUGGUUAUGUGUACUGCAUAUAUGGUGAUGUUUGGCAUAUCAUAUGAUAUCAAAAAGCUGGUUUAGACCUUUGAUAUUGUGGCAUCAAAUGCCAUGAUGAAAAUGAGACAUAUAUGUGAUUAUAUAUUGUCAUAAUAAUGAUAUUGUCGGAGGUGUGAGCCGACGAUGCCUCGGGAGUUUCGAGAUGCCUGGAGGUUUGUGCCGGAGGUCCUCGGGAGUUUCGGGAUGCCCGGAGGUUUGUGCCGAAAGCCCUGGAGGUUUGCACCGGGGGGAUUCCUCGUGAUGUUAGUUGGGAUGCGAGAUACCCGGAGGUUUGUGCCGGAGGCUCCUUGCGACGCCAGGUUGGGUGCAAGCGAUAAAUUGAGGGAUGCAAACAUUGGUCCCUGGAAGAAAAAUGAAGAGAUCCUUGUGAAAGAUAAAUAUUAAAAUUGAAUCAUGUGCAUGGGUAUAUGCAUAUGGCAUGAUGCAUGAUCUGCUUAUGAAAGUGAAUUGAUGCUAUUUGACAUUGAGAAUGCGAUCAUGAAAGCUUGAAUGGAUCUCAUGAGGAUGUAUACAUGAUGGCAUGGAUGAUAUGAAUCAUGCGUAUGAAUGUGCAUAUAGCAUGUGAUGAACCUCAUGGAAAUACAAGUAUGAUUGCGUGGUGGUAUAUGCAUGAUGGCAUGGUGAGAUAUGCAUGACUGCAUGGUGAUAUAUGCACGACCGCAUGGUGAUGUAUGCUCGAUAGCAUGAAUGAUAUGCGCUUUACUUGUGAUGUCUUGAUUGUCUUGCUUGUUGCAUUGUGUAGUUUUAUGGAUCUUUACUGCUAAGUGGUUGUACUCACCCCUUUGGGGACUAACAUUUCAGAUUGAGUGAUGCCUCUAGCACCUGUCACGUGUGGUACGUUUUAUGGAUUACCGUUUGAUGUAGAGGUCGAGUGCUCGGAGCACCCCUGCGUCGAUGUUCAUGGUUUGGUGUUUAUCAGCGUCCGUGUUUUAGUCAUGUACAAUGCGGGUUUACCUGAUGGCCUCGUAGUACAAGAGUUUCUGUCUGUCCAUGUUCGCCGAGAUGGUAGGAUGAUAGGGAUGCUGCUGCCGCCACCGGCCGAUGCACCGGGUUGGGUGUGAUAGGAGCAUGUGACUGGUGGAGGUUCACACUUUUUGGGAUGGCCCACACUAGCUGAUGGAUAGAUAUACACGUUUGAUGUAUAGUCGGGUUCUUUUUGGGUUUAGCCGAGCUUACUUAAAGUCUUGGCCCUUUUGUUAUGCCGACUUGUAAAAUCCAUCUUAGUAUGUAAAUAAAAGUGAUUUUGCCGCAAAAUGCAUAUAUAUAUGAAGGGUUGUAGUGGUGUGUAUUGCAUUGUAUCAUUUAGUUUGUGUACGAGUUUGGGAGGUGAUAAGUAUGCUUCCGUUAUAUGAACUGCGCUGGGACCGAUCUAAAAGAUGUAAACCCCCAGGAUUGAUAGACCUAAAGGUCAACCAAGAGAAUGGUAAAAGAAAUCUAUGGCAACCCUAGCGGAUCGGGGGCCGUGUCAAGGGGCGCUACAUGGGUCCCUAGAUUUAAAUACGGAACAAAACGCUGUAUUGCUCCUUGAAUUGGUAAGCAUCGAUGUGGAAAGCUAUCCCUCCUUGGAAUCAUUAUUUAAUUGUAGGUCCCUUGAUUUAAAUGUGGAACGCAAAAUUAUAUUACUCCCCAAAUUGGAGACAGUGAGGGUGAGGGGAGCAAAAAAGCUGAGACACAUGGUCAUGAGCCACUCCCAAAUAGUUUUGGAUUUUCCUAGUCUUGAAACUAUCUUGGUUGAGAAUUGUUUUGACUUGGGAUAUCUCCUCCCUAAUUUUACGGCCACAACUUUGGAGAAACUUGAGUUUCUAACAAUUAGUAAAUACAAACAGAUGAAGGAAGUGAUUCUCGAGAAUGAAGCUGGUCCAUCAGAGGCAAAAGUGAUGAAUUUCCCUUACUUAAGUAACUUAACACUUUAGGGCUCGAUAACCUGAUUAGUUUCAGUUCAGGAAGUGUCAAGAGGCAGCUAGGUGAGACAGCCAAGGAAAAUGAUAAAUCGCCACAACCGCUGUUCAGUGAGAUGGUUUGUUCUAUUCUUUAUUGUGAUCAUUCGUAUUCUCACAUUAUCAUGUUUUAUAAUGAAGAAUGUAAUAAAUUUGUCCAACUUAUCCUCCUUUCUCAUAUUAUCCUUGUGCAUGUCACAUUUCCCAAUAUGGGAGAUUUAGAAAUUGAAGGCAUUCCUUGCAAAGUGCUAUGGAACAAUCAUGUUCCCACCGAUUCUAUUGGUUGUUCCCACUGAUUCCUUUCAAAAUAUGUCUAGGUUAAAAAUUGUCCAUCCUUGAAAUUGUUGUUUGAUUUUGGGUCCCUCGAUUUAAAUACAGAACAAAAUGGAAUGUUGCUCCCUGAAUUGGUAAGCAUCGAUCUGGAAAGCUAUCCCUCCUUGGAAUCAUUACUUAAUUGUGGGUCCCUUGAUUCAAAUGUGGAACACAAAAUUAUAUUGCUCCCCAAAUUGGAGACAAUGAGGGUGAGUGGAGCAAAAAAGCUGAGACACGUUGUCAUGAGCCACUCCCAAAUAGUUUUGGGUUUUCCUAGUCUUGAAACUGUCAGGGUCGAGAAUUGCUCUGACUUGGGAUAUCUCUUCCUUAAUUAUAUGGCCACAACUUUGGAGAAACUUGAGUGGCUAACAAUUAGUAAAUGCGAACAGAUGAAGGAAGUGAUUCUCGAGAAAGAAGUUGGUCCAUCAGAGGCAAAAGUGAUGAGUUUCCCUUGCUUAAGUAACUUAACACGUCAGGGGCUCGAUAACCUGAUUAGUUUCAAUUCAAGAAGUGUCAAGAGGUAGCUAGGCGAGACAGCCGAAGAAACUGAUGAAUCGCCACAACUUUUGUUCAAUGAGAUGGUUUGUUCAAUUCUUUACUACGAUCAUUCGUUGUGAUCAUUCGUAUUCUCCCUCUUUCCGCACAUUAUCCUUGUGCAAGUCACAUUUCCCAAUAUGAGAGAUUUAGAAAUUGAAGGCGUUCCUUGCAAAGUGCUAUGGAACAAUCAUGUUCCCACCGAUUCAAUUGUUUGUUCCCACCGAUUCCUUUAAAAAAAUGUCAAGGUUAAAAAUUGUCCAUCCUUGAAAUCAUUGUUUGAUUUGAGGUCCCUAGAUUCAAAUACGGAACAAAAUGCGGUAUUGCUCCCUCAAUUGAUAAGCAUCGACGUGGAAAGCUGUCCCUCCUUGGAAUCAUUGUUUAAUUGUGGGUCCCUUCAUUCAAAUGCGGAACACAAAAUUAUAUUUCUCCCCAAAUUGGUCAAAGAGAGGGUGAGUGGAGCAAAAAAGCGAAGACAUGUUGUCAUGAACAACUCCCAAAUAGUUUUGGGUUUUCCUAGUCUUGUAACUGUUAGGGUUGAGAAUUGCUCUGACUUGGGAUAUCUCUUCCCUAAUUAUACAACCACAACUUUGGAGAAACUUGAGUGGCUAACAAUUAGUAAAUGCGAACAGAUGAAGGAAGUGAUUCUCGAGAAAGAAGCUAGUCCAUCAGAGGCAAAAGUGAUGAGUUCCCCUUGCUUAAGUUAUUUAACACUUCAGGGGCUCGAUAACCUGAUUAGUUUUGGUUCAGGAAGUUGUUCAUAUUAUUUUUCCUCCUUAAAAGAUCUAAGAAUUGUGGGGUGCUAUAACUUUGGAGCGUUCAUCCCGAGUCCCACAAGUGUCAAGAGGCAGCGAGGCGAGAUGGCCGAAGAAAAUGAUGAAUCGCCACAACCGCUAUUCAAUGAGAUGGUUUGUUCUACUAUUUAUUGUGAUCAUUCGUAUUAUGGCUUUAUCAUUUAUAAUGAAGAAUGUAAUAAAUUUGUUCUACUUAUCCUCCUUUUUCACGUUAUCCUCAUGUAGGUUACAUUUCCUAUUAUAACAAGUCUCAAAAUUGAGGGCCUUUGGUGCAAAGAGUUAUGGAACAAUCAAAUUCCCACAGAUUCCUUUCAGAAGUUGGAAUCUCUUGAAUUGAAUAACUGUGACUAUCUCCAACAUAUUGCCACUUCGUAUAUGUGGAAGAAGCUGCAACGCUGUCUCGAGAAACUAGAAGUGAUUUCAUGCCGUUUGAUCGAGAUCAUAUAUGAAGGUAUUGGGAUGGAUGUAGAGAGUGGUAGAUUGAGGAGGCUGGUUUUGCGUGAUCUUGAAAACUUGAGGGGCAUUUGGCAGUUCGACAGUCUCCCAAACAUCCCAUUCCUAAAUUUGAGAGACGUAGAGGCUGUGAGGUGCCCUCAUUUGGAAAUGCUUUUCCCUACCUUCACGGCGAAAUUUCUCGGGCAAAUCGAAAAGCUGGUGGUGGAGUCAUGUGAAGAUAUGAAACAAAUUGCUAGCUAUGAAAAAUGGGAAGAAGGGACCUGCACCACAAUCACCUUCUCUAAGUUAACUACUCUUAGAGUCUUCAAGUUGCCGAAAUUCAGGAGCGUCUUACCUGAGAAAUACUCUCUGAAAUUGCCGUGCUCGAAGGACUUCCCAUCCUUGCAAGUCUUGAGUAUAGAAAGUUGUGGAGCAAAGUCGGACCAAGUCCUUGGUAGUUGGGGAUUCCACGAAAUGGAACCAAAUUCACAUGCAUUUAUAGAACUCCAGGUAUUCCUUUAAUAUUUCAUUUCUUUGGUUUGGCUCUCUGUUCCUUUGAAUAGAAAAUCAAUUUAUAUUAGCUAAAACACAAUUCUUAGUGGGACCCACACAUACUUUGGUCUUCUCUGUCUCUCUCUCUCUCUCUGUCUCUCUCUCUCUCUCUAGGUGCGUUUGGCAACUUGCCAAAUAGUAACAAUUUCUAUUCUCGUGUUCCUGGAAGUAGAUUUGGAACAUAAAUUGAUUUAGUAAGAUUUUUAUUACCGAAAACAAAUUUCUAUUUUUUUGUUCCCAAAAGUAGAUUUGGAACAAAAUUAAGAAAUAAAAAAAAGUUGAUUCUUUGUUCCCGGGAACAAUUUUAGAAUCAAGCCAACUCAUUUUUUUUUCUCUUUUCUCUUCUUUCUUCUUGUUCUUAUUACCUCUCUUCUCUUCUUCAGUUGCACCGUCCAUUGCCGCCGGUCAAGCGAUCUCGCUAGGCCAAGGCAAGGUCCAACGAGCUCGCCGGAGGCUCGCUAGGCCAUCGGCAAGGCUUGUUUUCACUAGAUCUAGCGUGGCCGAGCCUCGUCAGUGGCCAGGCGAGCCUCGCUCGGGCCUCCCCUGGCCAUCAAUGAGCCUUGCCUAACCAAUUGACCUCGCCCCACCAGUAGCUGGGCAAGGCCGCUUGCCCAGCCAAGGCUCGGGCGAUGAGGUGCUGCCUCGGCGAGGGCUAGUGACACUAUGGCAAGGUCGUCGACCCUCAUCUGGCUAGUUGCCGAUCAUCCCAAGGUCGGUGACCGGCAACCCUUGAAGAAAAAUAGGAGAAAAGAAAAAAAAAGAAAAGAAGAAAAAAGAAAAAGGUAAUAAAAUUAUUAAAAAAUUAAAAGAAAAUGAUUUUAAGUAUAAAUUUUGAGGACGAUGCCAAACACAAUUCUAUUCCGAGAAUUGAAAUUUUGGAUAGUUACCAAACGGCUUAAAAUGCUUAGAAAUUGUUCCCGGGAACAAAAUAAAAAAAAUGAUAAUUUUUGAUGAGAAAUUGUUUCUAGGAAUAGAACCGUUACCAAAUACGCCCUCUGUGUCUAGCUCUCUUACUUGCACUCUUCAACUAACCAUGUAUCAAUUCCCUUUUAUGCUCAGGAACCAUACUUUCUGGAGUCCCCUUGAUCUUCAUUCCUUGUCCAUUCUCCCUUUUCGUCGCCCUCCAUCCACGAACAAUCGCCGCCGAGAGUCCAUCGCUAGCCACCACACGAUAUGGUGCGUUGAGAAGGGACAAAGGAUAGAGAGCAUUGAUUAAAGUCUCUCAGUGAUUUUGAUUGAAUCCUUUCCUCUCACUUUGCUGCUAGUUGUUGCCGCUUUCAGAUCACCACCCGUUCCGCUGCCGUGAAGAAGUUUUGUAAUGCCGGAGUGCUCGAACUUCGAUCAUGGCUGCUUGCUUCGACGAUUCCAUUUCUUGAUGUUGCUUAUGUUAUCUCCUUGCUCAUGUCCAAUGUCAAUCGCUAUAGCUAAUUGUUCUUCAUUCAACUAAACCAUGUAUGCUUUGUUUUCCAUUGCUAUUGUUACUGUCUGUGUGCAAAUUGACUGUGUGAUUGAGGCUAUAUUAAUGAUUUGAACUAGUGCUCUUCUGCCGAAAUGUGUACCAUCUAUUUGAUGAAAUUGUUGAACUAAAUUUGUGUGUAUUUUGAUUCAUUUCUUGACUCGAUUCUUGAUUUAUGACGGUCAUACAAGUAUAUUUGAGGUUUGUUGCUUCAUAAGAAAAACCAUAGGUAUUCAAUUUUGAACUUGUUUUGAAUAUGCUGGAACCUUGUCAAUGCAUGCCGAUUCACGAUUGUUGUGUUGCGGCCCUAAACUAAUGUGAUUCUGCUCAAGUAAACAUGUGUGGUGAUAUAAGAUUGUGUUAUGAUGACUUUCAUGUUCGCUUGGGAAAGAAAUUAUGGCAUGAAUGAAUGAAAUUCUACUAGAAAUCGAUUUGUAGAUGCUGACUCUGUCUUGAUAGCCCUGAUUUGGUGGGCUGUUGAUUCCAUUUUGUGAGAAUUAUAGUAAUAUAAUAUAUGGCUUCAAUUUCAUGUCUAUUAGUCAUCAAACGAUCACGAUUUGCGGUCACGUAUGCUCUAUUACGAUUCUAAAUGUGUGCUGGAAUUUUUGAAAUGAGCAUGAAUCACAUGGAUUUUGUCUUUGGUUUGGUUGCUUUUUUGAUUGCCUGUGGAUAAAUGAUAUGGCAUGUGCAUGAUUAAAUUGAUGAGAUGUGUGCUUGAUAUUGCCAUGAGACUCUUGGCCUUAUAAUUGAUUUAGCGGACUUUGGUGUUAAUUGAAGUUUAAUUGCAUGAUUCUUGCGAUUCCUCUACUAGCACACAUUUUCUAAAGGUGAUCUAGUAGACUAAGCCAGAUCCAAGGAAAUCUCUCAACAAAUCUGGGCAUUGAAGCCCCUCGAAUUAUCGCAUGUACGACAAUUGCCAACAAAGUAUAUGUCUUCUUGCCCUCUCCUUUGGCGCUCACAAUUCAAGGCAUAUUUAUAAGAGCUAUUGCUUAAAUCUAAUUGAUCCUUUAACUACGUGUGUUUGUGCCAACAUAUUGUACACAACACCAAUUGCGACCCACUCGUUCAUGAUGUCAUUUCCUUCCUUAGAGUGUUUACUAGCCACUGCUGUUCAAAAUGAUGUUUCAAAGAUAUGACUUUUAUUUUCCUCCCUCCCUCAUAAAACUCGCAAAAGCAACCCCCACCAGCACUACCAGUACCUGCCCUUGAAAUCCAUCUGUCACGACCUACCCCUCGGGGGAGGGAAUAGGUUUAAGGGUAUUGCCUAAAAGGCGGGCCUAAGGCCCACGAUUAGGCGCGGGCUCUCCCAAGCCCAUAGCUCGCGUGACAUUAGGGUAUUUUUAAAGAUUUUUGCAAUAAGGAGUCGCCACUAGCCUAUUGGGGUUGGCUAGAAACCAAGCAAGCAUAGGAGUAUGCCUUGCUUCCUAUGCAACCAGAGAAUUUAGGGUCGGGGACUUGAUUACACUAAUUGACCAAUUAGUGCCUUUUCGGUACCUAAUCUUGUUCAUUUUAAAAGGAAGGAUUUUUGUCAGGCAAUUUGGAUUGAUUUUAUGCCUAUCCGCUAACAUGUGAGGUGAUCAUGCGGGUGUGCAAUCAUUAAAAUGAUAAUUAUAGCUAUCAAGAUCCUAAUUGGCAUAAAAUUAAACACGUAUAAUUAAAUAUAAAUAAAUAUACAAACAAAAUAUGCGAUAUAAUCAAUAUAUGAGUAGAUCAAGGCCUAAUUACACUAAAAAGGCAAUACAUAACAAUUCAUGACCAAACCCUACAUUUUUUGGAUUUUCGAAUUUUUUUAAAUUUUUUUAAAAAAUAAUAAUAAUUUUUUUAGGGGGGCCGGACCGGGUCAAGUUCAGUUUGACCCGAUCCGGGUUUGGCCCGGUUGGGACAGGUUGGGCUAAAGGAGUCGGGCCGACCUUUAAGCCCACUAAAAAAACCCACACGAAUUGUUGAAAAGAAAUGGGGACAACUCUUCGCCCAAAGCCCAUCUUCGAUUUUUUACUUCAGCCCAUAUGAGGGUCCAUUUUUCAAUUUCUAUUUUCAGCCCAACCUAUUCAGCCCAUGAAACAAAAACCAGCCCGAAGCGAAGCCCAUUUCUCAUUUUCUAUUUUCAGCCUUUUUGUGUUUGCUCUCUAAGCUCCUGUAGCUUCUCCGCCGGACCAACGCCGACUAUGCUGUGAGUACUGACCGCCCUAAAGAAGUCGUCGUGCCACCGCCUAGCGUCAAUGGUUCUAUCCGACCGACGCCGAGCACCGCCGGCCGCCGAUUGGCCGGUGUUCCUAGAGUCAUCGGGUAAAUUCCGGCAAGAUGCGUGCGCCUCAUCUCCCCCAAACAGUGUGAAGGAACCUACCGAAAAGCUAGGAAAAUGACGCGAACGGUGCGUGACAAUAGUAUAAUCCCAAGCAACGCAGAGAAACCAAAAGCCAAGCUCCGGUCGAGAGUUAGGUUCGGCGGUUUCAAAGAGGCAUUUCGUCGAACAGCUACUGGGCACUACCAAAUUCAAAGGUUUCUGGCUCAACUGAGCCUCGAACACGCUUUAGGAAUCUUCGAACAUGAUGUAUGAGGAACAUGGGAGCAAAAUGCAAAAGCGGCGAGGGCCGGAGCUUGCGUGAGCUGGUCGGCUGCGAGCUUCGGCCCAACGUUUUCUUGAAAUGGGACAACGGGUUUCAGGGGACCUACCUCGUCUGGGGAAGAGAUGCGGUGAACGAUGGCGUGUGUACGGGCCUUCGGCAACAGCUCGCUACUCCCUCGAGCUUCCUUCCUCCCUCUGGUUCGCUCUCUCCCCUUUCGAACUCUCUUUGUGCUGCUAGGUUUCGAGGACUACGGCGGCAAUCGGCAGCUCACCAGCGGCAACUGGACGUUCUUGGGGCUCCUCGACUCCUUCUCCAGCCUGUUCUCAUUCCUUUCCUCUCUCCUAUCUCUCUGUGUUUCUCUCUCGCUCUAGUUCCCUCUCUCGUGGUGGUGUUCUGCACCCCUAUUUGAAUUCCUUCUUCUUUGUGGUUUUCUCCUCCUCGGUUGUACUCAUGAUCUCCCUGCGAUGCCAGCUGCGACGUACCGGCCUGAUCCGCGACCACUAACUCUAGCCAAUCGUGCCCUAAUUCGGCUGUUCCCCCUGCUCCCCUAUGCUGUUGUUACUUUUCUUCCCUUUUUGCAGGCACGCGCGAAGGACGACAGCAGGGAGACGACUAGCUUGUGCGUGGGCUGGGCUGAAGGGGAAAAAGGGCUGGGCUAGGCCCAGUGCGAGGGAAAGAGAAAAGGAAAGAGAGGAAGGGGCCAGCCCAAAGCUUGUCCGAACCCGGCCAGACUGCCCCUCUUUUUUUUUUUUUAAUUUCAAAAUUUUUAAUUUUAAAUUUUUUGUAAUUUUUUUUGAUAAAUUUUAAAACUAGUGAUGCAAAUUCUCCUAAUGUCUAUAUGUGAUUCAAUUUUAAUGAAAAUUUUUUGUUAAGGGGUUAGAAAUUAAUCCCUAAUUUUCCAAUGCAAUUAAUAAAUACUUAAACAAAUUGUCAAAAUUUAGGUGUCAACAGCUACCCCUCUUUGAAUGGGAGCUCGAAGAUAUUCCUUUCAAAGACGAGAGACACCUAAAUUUUGUCCAUGGACAAUGACAAUUAGGGGCCGUCGAUGAGAAAAGGGGAUGAAGGAACGACCUUACUUUGUAAGAAAAUAGCCUUCGACCGAGAUGAGAAAGUCUUAUUAUGUGGUAAUUAGUUCCGACUGGAAGGGAGGUCUAACCGUGUAAAAACGGGUUUGGACUGGAUAUGAUAGUCUCACUGUGUACAAACGGGUUUUGACUAGAAAAAAGGUCUCACCGUGUACAAACAGGUUUUGACUGGGAGAAAUUUCUCACCAUGUAUAAAUGGGUUUUGACCGGAUGUAAUAGUCUCACCGUGUAUAAACAGGUUGACUAGGAGAAAUGUCUCACCGUGUACAAACGGGUUUCGACCAAGUAUGAUAGUCUCACCGUGUAUAAAUGGGUUUCGACUGGGAGAAAGAUCACGCCAUGUACAAAUAGGUUUCGAUCGGAUGUGAUAGUCUCACCGUGUAAAAAUGGGUUUCAACUAGGUAUGAUAAUCUCACCGUGUACAAACGGGUUUCAACUAGGAGAAAGGUCUUAUCAUGUACAAGCGGGUUUCGACCGGGUAUGAUAGUCUCACCGUGUAAAAACGGGUUUCGACUAGGUAUGAUAGUCUCACCGUGUAUAAACGGGUUUCGACUGGGAGAAAGGUCUCAUCGUGUACAAAUGGGUUUCGACCCGAUGUGAUAGUCUCAUCGUAUAAAAACAGGUUUUGAUUGGGUAUGAUAAUCUCACCGUGUACAAACAGGUUUCGACUAGGAGAAAGGUCCCACCGUGUACAAACGGGUUUCGACUGGAUGUGGUAGUCUCAUCGUGUAAAAAUGGGUUUUGACUAGCAUGAUAGUCUCAUCAUGUACAAACAGGUUUCGACUGGGAGAAAUGUCUCACCGUGUACAAAUGGGUUUCGACUGGAUGCAGACAAGCAUGGUUUACAGAUGAAUCCAUAAGCCGUGUGGUUUAGGAAAAGCCACCAACCUCGUGGUUUAAGGAUAAACCCACCAACUUAGGAAAUGGCAUGGUUUAAGGCUGAUCAUGAACCUUUGGAAAUGGCAUGGUUUAAGGCUAACCAUGAACCUUUGGUUUUUAAGGAAGCACCCGUUAACCCCUUGAAAACUGCGUGGCUUCACUGAGGAAUCCUGUCAAACUCAACUUGAGCAAAUGUCAUUAGAGACGUCAUCAAGAGAUGUAUUGGCAAUAUUGCAGCAUUAAUUGAACAAGCUAAUCGAGCUAAGUUUGACUGCCUUAGAAAAAAACAUUUAAUGUCAAUCAGCAUCAUGUGGCGCAAGACUGUCAUCUUGCUCGGGAAUAUAUCAUUAAUCAUCAAAUUCUCUAGGAAUUAAGUUCUUAUUAGAACGGCCACGACUCGUGAAAAAGGCUCAUUAAGCAUGCCAAACUAGAGCUUCUUAGUCAGAAAGGGUUUCUCACAUACUAUUGAUAAAAUGGCUGCUUGAUCACAUCCAUUCAUGUGGGAAGUAACUGAUUGCUGAGGGUGUCUCAAAUAACCCAUGUCAAAGGUUUUCAGAAAUAUUCGCGAUGAGCACAAUUUGAUCGAUCAAAAUGGUCUUUUGAAAGGAUCGCAAUAUAGGCUCAGUUAUGGGCUUACACAAAUGGAUUAUUGCUUUGAGGCUAAUAAAGGAACAUUUGUCGCUAUCUUCAUUGAGUUUACAAGUCGAGAACUCCAGAGAUAAGACAAGAUAGAAUUGUUUCCACUCCUUCAAGCGGUAGCUUCUUUGUGGCAUUCUCAUUUUCAUUCGAACCAUCCCAAUCAGAAGAGACUUCGGAAGAGGGUUGUAAUGUUGGCUUGGGAGAGGCUCGAAAAGCUUAAAAUUUUCAAGAGGUUUUUUAAGUGUUGGUGAUCAUCAUAGCAUCGUGACUAGGUCACUCAAUCUUUUGAAAUCAUUUGGCAUUUGGAACACAGCAUAUCUCAAAAGUUCCUUCACUAAUCAUUUCUACAUGGAAGCUUUGCUCAUUUCUCUAAUUGCCUUUACCCUUGCAAUGAUUUUUUACGUAAGCACUUGGACUUUGAUAAUUUUUCUUUCGCAUAAGAUGUAGCCUUUUGGCUCUUUUUCUUGACGGGCAUUGGUCUUACUUUUACCAGGUACACUAUUUUUUCACGCCCCCUAAUUUGUCAAACUUUUCGCUCUUUGAACUUUUGGAGCUCUUAUGACUUUCGAGAUGCUUUUCAUGUUUUCUCAUAAAUGCCAAUUGUAUAUGGUCAAUCCUUAUACCUUGCCCCAGUAAAGGGAGAUGAUCAUUGCUCGAGAUUCAGAAAUGAAUAAUCAGGCCAAGUUGGUUAAAGCAAUGGGUAUCGGUGUUUGGGCAAAGAAGGAAAUGCUCUUCUUCACUUUAAGAUGAGUCAAGCUUUAAUGAGAAUUCCUUUGAAGCUAUCACCAGAAGAUUGAUACAAAUGAAAGUAAUAGGAUCUUUAUCAAUCUUUCGCUCUACAACACGAUUGUAACCUCCCAUGCUGCCCCAAUGUAGGGUUGUUCUCGACAUGCGUACUUCGAAGGAUCGUCUUUAUCUGGCCCAAAGGGCUAACAAGAGAUUAGUACGGUGCUUGGGGUUGAUGAAAGAAAUGCCUUUAUCAUUUUGAUCUUUACGCUCAAUGAAAAUGAAUCCUUCGUCUUAAGAGAAGGUCGUUUUCCACUCAACUCUCAAAAGUGUUUGAAGGAUGUGUUUGGAAAUGUCUUACCUUUCUUCAUCCUAAGCACUUCUUGUUUGGCAUGAUUAACAUUCCCUUUCAGUUUUGUCAAAAUCACUCAUAUGAAAUUCCCCUUACAGAGACACAGUUAACAACAACUGAAUCGACAACAUGCAAGACCCCAGGCGCUUUGCUUUUCAUUCAUUCAUCUUUUUCAUCAUUUUUGAUUUUUUUUAUUAUAACAGGAAAAGGAAUACUCGACCGCCUCUGCAGAGGUUGGGUAGCCAUUUUAAUCGACUUUUCAGGGGCAAUGAUCAACGUCUUCCAUCCUGUUGUAAUUUCAUUGAGUUGGUUGGAUACCUGAAAUACAAAUAAGUAUGCAUGUAUGCGAUGUAUGAAUGAUAUGCAUGAUGCUAUGUGACUUGGAUUAUGCACGAAAUGGCUCUUUGACCUUGAUUUCAUUCAUGGGAAAUAUUUCUUGACAACAUCAGCAUUUACAGGCUUAGACAGCUCACGGCCAUCCAUUUCAACUAAAACCAUAGCACCACUUGGGAGGAUAUUCUUAACGACAUAAGGUCCUUCAUAGUUUGGGGUGAACUGGCCAUGAGGAUCAAGGAUGAUUGGCAGCACUUUCCUUAGCACCAAGUCAUUGACCUCAAAGUGCUUAGGAUGAACCUUCCGAUUGAAGGUCUUCGCGAUCCAUUUAUGAUAGCAUUAACCAUGACAUAUAGCUUUCAGCCUCUUCCCAUCAAUCAUGUUUAGCUGCUCAUGCCUCUGCUGUAUCCAUUCGGCCUCAUCGAGCUUCGACUAAGAAAGGACCCUUAACGAGGGAAUCUCAACCUCUAUAGGCAAGAUAGCCUCCAUUCCAUAUACUAAUGAAAAAUGAGUUGCUCCUGUGGAGGUGUGAAUAGAUGUUCGGUAUACCAUCAGUGCAUAGGGAAGCCUUUCGUGCCAAUCACGAUAAUUUUCAGCUGUCUUUGCCAGGAUCUUAUUUAUGUUUUUGUUUGCUGCUUCAACUGCCCCAUUCAUUUGAGGAUGGUAUGGUGAUGAGUUCAAAUGUUGGACUCGAAACUCAUCAAGCAGGUCAUCAACAACUUUGUUGUUUAAGUUGGAUCCAUUGUUAGUGAUGAUCGCCUUUGGCACACCAUAACGGGCAAUAAUAUCGUGACGAAUGAACUUGGCCACAUUCUUGGCAGUGAAAUUGGCAUAAGAGUUGGCUUCAAACCACUUCGUAAAGUAGUCGAUUGCCACCAAGAUGAAUCGAUGUCCAUUUGACGCCUUGGGAUUGAUGGGUUCGAUCACGUCGAUUCCCCACAUAGAGAAGGGCCAAGAUUGAGACAUUUGGUGAAGCUCAUUUGGUGGAGCGUUUAUCUUAUCCCCAUAAAUUUGGCAUUGGUGACAACAUCGUACGUGUUGAAUGUAGUCAAAUUCCAUGGUCAGCCAGUAGUAGCCGAGUCACAUGAUCUUUCUCGCCAAGAGGUGACCAUUCAUGUGGGGGCCACACUCCCCUUCGUGUAUUUCCUUCAUCAAAUGAUUGGCUUCCUUAGCAUCGAUGCAUCUUAGUAACGUCGAGUCAAAGGAUCUUUUGUAAAGCGCACCUCCAUUGACGAAAAAUUUCGAUGCCAACUUUGUCAGGUAUUUUUUGUUCGACGCGUCGCUCUCUUGGGGAAACUCACCAUUCGGAAGAUAAUCUAAGAUGUCACGAUACCAUCGCUCUCCAUUAUCAUACAAUAAGCUAGGCGUCUAAGAAUUUCAAUUCUCAACGAUUCAAUGUCCAUGCCUCCAGCUACUUGCAACAUUGAAGACAAAGUAGCCAGGGCAUCAGAGAACUGAUUUUGGGACCUUGGUAAGUAUUCGAAUGAUAUUUCUUGGAAUUCCUCCGUCAACUCCCCCAGGAACUCAUGAUACUGAAUUAAUUUAGAAUCCCGCGUUCGCCAUUCGCCUUCAGUCUGUAAGAUGAUAAGGGUUGAAUCACCAUAAACCUGCAGCUUAUGGAUCUUCAUAUCGAUGGUAGCCUGGAGGCCAAGAAUGCAUGCUUCGUACUCAGCGACAUUAUUCGUACAAGGGAACGUCAAUUUAACAGCAACAGGGUAGUGUUGUUCGUCUGGGGAGAUAAGGACUGCCCCAGUACCAAACCGGCUAAGUUAACUGCACCAUUGAAGUACAUCACCCAUUUGUCACUUGAUACAAGUAAAGUUUGCUCCACCACAUCACUAUCCUCAUCGAAUACUCCAGACCCUUUGGAACUUUCUGCUAACAUGUCUGCUAUGACGCGACCUUUAACGGACUUCUGUCCUAGGCUUUGAAUGUCGAAAUCUGAAAUUAAGAUUUUGCCACUUAGCCAACUUGCCCACCAAUGCCGGCUUCUCUAAGAGAUACCUAAUGGGAUCAUUUUCGGUCACUAGUAAGAUUCGGUGAUGAAGCAUGUAUUCCCGCAGCCUGUGCACGACCCAAAUCAAAGCCAUGCAAGUUCUCUCAACUUCUGUGUAGUUCAUCUCAGAAAUUGUGAACUUCUUGCUCAAGUAGUAUAUCGUGCAUGCUCUCCUGUCAUUUGGUCUUUUCUGUGCCAACAUGGCUCCCAAUGAUUCGUCAUGUAUGGUUAAGUACAAAAUCAAGAGAAUUUUAGGAAGAGGGGGCACUAGGACCGGUGCAUGAGUGAGAUAGUGUUUUAUCUUCUCGAAGUCGCCCUAGCACUCAGCAUCCCACUCGAUCUUUGCAUUCUUUUUUAGGAGCUUGAAGAAUGGCUUCGCUAUUUCAAACAAUUGACAGAUGAAUCUCGCUACAUAAUUGAGUCAUCCAAUCAGGCUGCGAACUUCCCUAACGGUAGUUGGGUUGCAAAUCACAGGUAGCAUUAAUCUUUGAUGGAUCAAUCUCUAUGCCCUUACUACUAACCAUGAACCCUAACAGCUUCCUAGACCUCACUCCAAAAACACAUUUUAUGGGAUUGAGGCGUAGCUUGAAUUUCUGAAGACGUUCAAACAGUUUCCACAAGACCUCAACAUGGUCCUCACCUCGUCUUGAUUUUGCGAUCAUAUUAUCCACAUAUACUUCAAUCUCCUUAUGCAUCAUGUCAUGAAACAACGUGACCAUGGCCCUUUGAUACAUUGCCCUAGCAUUCUUUAGAUUGAAAGGCAUCACUUUGUAACAGAAAGCUCCCCAACGAGUUAUGAAUGACGUUUUGCUCCUAUCUUCCUCCUUCAUACGGAUUUAGUUAUAUUCGGAAAAACCGUCCAUGAAGGAGAAUAACUCAAAUCCCGCCGUACUAUCAACUAGGACAUCAAUAUGCGGGAGUGAGAAGUCGUCCUUCGGGCUAGCUUGGUUCAAGUCACGAUAAUCUACGCACACCUUGACCCGCCCAUCCUUUUUCAUGACGGGUACAAUGUUUGCUAUCCAAUAGGAGUAAUGUGACACUUCAAUGAAAUCCACUUUUAACGACUUCAUGAUUUCCUCCUUGAUUUUCUUGGAUAACUCUGGCUUCGUUCUUCUGAGCCUCUGCUUUUUAGGUGGCAUAUUAGGAUCGAUUGGAAGGGCAUGCUCUACGAUAUCAAGAUCUAACCCCAGCAUGUCAGCAUAAGUCCAGGCAAAUAUCUCCUGAUAUUCUUUCAGGAGAUUAAUCAUUCGUUCCGCUUCUAACUUUGAGAGACACGCCCCGAUCUUUUUCCUUGACAUUCUGCGCAUCGCCCAAAUUUAUGAUGACCGUUUGUUCUUCUGUCAGCGGUUUUGAUCCUCAUGUCGAUUCCAAUCACGCUCGAUCCCUUUUUGAUCAUCAUUGACAUUAGAUUCUAAAAGAUCUCCCUCACGUGAAUCCGAGUCACAUGAAUCUUUGUCAUGAUUAUGCAUAAUGUAAUGCUUGAGAUGCAAUGAAAUGAGUUAGAGUGCAUUAAUAACAAACAAAACACGUGUCGUUUGCAAAUGAUUUUCAAAUAAUUUUCGGAAAACCGUUUCAAGAGCUCAUCCUCGUAUCCUCAGAUUUCCGUGCUCUUGCGAAAUUAUGAAACUAGGGAGCAUGUAGAAGCCCAACCCUUAGUGACCAUCAUAGAACCAGUUUUGUGUGCUUCCACAUGUCCUUAAUAAAACAUGCAUCUAUUUCAUUAAAAGGGAAAUGAUAAGGCUGUAUUAUAACACACAUCACCCUAGACCAACGGCUCAAGGUCAAGGGCUUAACAGAGUUUACAUCAUAAGUGACUCAAAAAAACAAAUUGAAAUAACAACAAGUUCCCACGCAGAGGAAGAAAACAUAAAGUAAAAAGCUACGCUGAGCUAGAACCGUCCUACUCUGAAGGGUUGGUGAUGCUCCCAAAAGAUUCAGCCUCCUUGUGAGCUAGGAUGGUGCAUACAAUAUUCUCUUCAAACAUCUUGGCUAUACCGUCAAUAGCUCCAUCUUCUUCCAUCAACAUCUUCGGGGGUCCCUAGAAUGUUUCUUUCAGUGGAGGAGGAAGAACACUUUGGCAACUUCUAUCUUUUAUAAUUCGGCCUUCGUGGUCACCUCGGCCUCCACGUUCACCUCGACCUCCUCAAGUGCCUUGACCUCCACAUUCAUUGCGGCCUCCUCUAUUGCCACGGCCUCCACGCUCUUCGACAAACCCUAAACCUUUUCUCUUUAGAACUCGUCAAGCCUCGAUAGGCUUUCGAAUCCCUUGUCCAUACAACCCAAGACCACCUCCAAGGUUGUACCCAUUCACUAGCAUAAUCUUCCUUACUGCCAGGGUUGUCUUGGAUAAUUCAGGAAUGCCCACGCAAGAGCCCAUAGGAACGUGGAUCAUAGACACCAGCUUGAGAGUUUGAAAGCUUGAUUCUUCUUUGCACUCAGGCUCCAUGUAUGGGAUGGUUGUUUCAUGGUACAUCUUGAAAUCUGUUUCCCCGUGCAUAGUGAUGAGUAUAUUGCCGACCACAAAUCGUACCUUUUGGUGGAGGCUAGAAGGAACAGCACCUGCCAUGUGGAUCCAUGGUCUCCCCAACAGAAAGUUGAAGGCAAUUGGUAUAUGUAAGACUUGAAAUGAUACUAAGAAAAGCAUAGGACCAAUAAGUAGUUCCAACUUGAUUUUUCCUAGCACCUCUUUCCUCAUCCCAUCAAAUGCGCACACAGUUAGGGGUGAGCGCAAUUCUCAGGUAGAACUAGGAACCGGAGAGCCGCACUGGAGGGUCCGGUUCAGUUCCCGGUUCUAAAGGGACCAGUUCCGGUUCCCGGUUCCUUUUUUCUGGGAACCGGCAUUUCCGGUUUCGGGUUACGAAACCGGUUAUGAAACUGGUUAGACUUAGGGCUCCAAAGUCCAAAAGCCCUAAAAUCUCUCGACGCUUUCACAAUCUUACUCGCAAUUUCUUUCACAAUUUCACACUUUCACUGACACCGCUCGCCCUCGCCGGACGCCACUGGACACCAGUCGCCCUAACCCUCAGGUCCCUUGCCACUCGACGCCAGUCAGAGUCUCUCCCGUUCUCUGCCUCUACCCAUCGGUGACACCGCUCGCCCUUGCCGGACGCCACUGGACGCCCGUCACCGACACCGCUCGCCCUAAAAUUUCAUUUUGUUUUAAUGCAGCUCUACGCAGUAAAAUUUCAUCUUUUUGUCACCUGUGUGCUAUUCCUUAGUCGAGACAGAUUUUGUCGAGCAUGCAUGCGAGCUAACAUUCAAUGGUGCUUCUUCUUGCUCUUUCAUGUGUGCAUAUUGGUGACAGUCGUGUUGUUAGACUUUCUAUCAUUUUGAUGUUGUGUAUAUACUACUUGGCAAACAUGGUUGAAGGAAUUGGUACUAUUGGAUUUGUGUUAAAGUUUAAUGAUUACUUGCUAAGUUAUGUCUAUGUUUGUAUAUUGUAGGGGAGACAUCAUCAGUAAAUAUGCAAACUCUUCCAUUUAGGUGUUUUGGAUCUAUUGAAACAAAUAAAUAAUGCCACCUAGCACUAUCUACUGUUAUAUUAUCCUUCAAAAAAUUCUCAUUUCAGAUUCACAUAUUUAAUGUCCAUUUACAAUUGUCAAUUGAGUUUUCUCUAGUUUGUUGGCCUAGUGACUGGAGCUAGUUUUAUAUAGUCUUAUCUCUUGUUCGACUUCUGGAGGUUGCUGUUUAGUUUGUCCUUGCUACAUGUGUUUUCUUAAGUUUGUGCUCCAUCAAAACCUCUAUAGCUUUCUUCUGGAUGAUUGUUGCUCCUGGUCGAUUGUUGCUCGAAUCUAAUCCUCUAUAUAUCCAAAGAAAAACAAGUCAUAUGUAGGCAUGUGGUAGUAGUACAAAUGAAAUUAUAUGUGGAAUUUAUGUAGGUUACAAGUCAAAAAGUGUAGACCGUGAUGUUUAUCUGCAUUACUUUUUGGAGUUUAUGCUUCACGGUUCUAUUUCAACUCAAUAGUUUUUCAAGUUAUAGAUAAGUACUUAUAUAUAAUGUCUUGUGAUGCUAUAGAAAUGGAGCUUCAGGGGGAGAAAAUGUUACAAAGCUAUUGAAAGUUGCUUGGAUGACUAUACCGCUUGGACUAGCCAUGACUGCUGCAGCCUGUUCUAUUAUCUUCUGGUGGCAGGAACUAAGUUUUUCUGACCCAUAUGCACACACUAUUCUUAUAAAUGGUAAUUUGCUGUCCUUAUCAGACUUUUGGCUCCACAUGAUUUGUUCCAAUCAGAUCAUAUCAACGAGAUGCUUUUUCAAAAGUAUUUUGAAAGUGCUAGUAUGAACACCUAGAGGGGGGUGAAUAGGUGUAAAAACAUAUUCUGUAAAAUGCAGUGAAAACCUUUACUUUUAAUCUGAGUCUGAAUAACAACAGACUUUUGAAAAUGAGUCUGAAGAGCAGUAGACUUUGAGCGAGAUCAGACUUUAACAGUUAAAUAGAACUACGAACAAAAUAAAGAGAUUUAAGGAAGAGAAUAAGAACACAAGGUUUAUAGUGGUUCAGCUUAAUCCAAGCUUACGUCCACUCUCCCACGCUAACAGCCUCCUUGGCUGGAUUCCACUAUGCAAUCAACAAGAGAUUAUAACUUUGAGUGCAAACACUUAGUAGAUCACACUAUCUCACUAAGUCACUCUUUUGGUAUUUCUCUCAUGAUCACAAAUGUUUAAGCUCACAAGAGACAAGUGUAUGAUCGAAGGUCAUUUAAACUUUGGAAUCAUAAAUUCUACGCUCUGUCUCUUACUUGCUUAUCGGUCCUUCAUCUCCUUAAAUAUUCCUCCACUUCCAAACUAGUCGUUGGAUAGUAUCUCAGAGAAUCGUUUUCUAACAUACCCAUUGGACAGAUCUGUAUCUAGAAGAUUUGGUAAUCGUUGAGUGACAAAUGUAGAAUCCCAAAUUGAUUCCAAUCGCUCAUACAAACAGAAUCUUGGUUUUCAUAAGUAGAGCUUCUUCGUAUAGAAAGUUCUUAUCUUCAAUAUCCAAUCAUCAAUCAAUUAGAUUGAGUCAAUCAAAUCAAUCUUGAUGUAGAAUCCAAACUAGAUCACUAGCCGUUGUAUGAUUGGGGCUUGAGUUACGUUCUGUCAAAUCUGGAUGUAAAGUCUGAAAGUAAUAGAUUUUACAAUCUGAGUCUGAGUGCAAUAGACUUUACAAUCUGAGUCUGAACGUAUUCUGCUUUUGAACUGAUUUAGCUUUAAGGUCUGCAUAUAUUCCGAAUAAGUUCAGCUUCAUCAUAGAUUCUGUCUUCUGAUUCUCCAUUCAUGUUCAGUUUGGAAUUUGUCAGAGUAGGCAAACUUCUGAUGUAGAACAUACUUUGACGCUAAAGUCUGGCAAUCUUUAGACUUUGACAUAGAAUUCUGGAAAUCUUCAGAAUAUACUUUGGACAUAUGUUACGUUCAAUCUUCUGGCCGUCUUCAGAUUUUGAUAAUAUCCUUUACAUGUUCUAUCAUCCGCAUAGUAUAUUAUUGUUGACACCUAAUUUUUGCCCAAAUUAUUGCAUAUAGAUUAUCUAGGUACUUAAAAUGGAAGAUGUUUUCCUAAAAAAGAAAAAUUAAAAUUAAAAAAAAAAGAUAAAAGAUAAAAAAAGGUUAAAAAAAGAUUAAAAAGAAAAAAAAGAAAAAAAGUUGGGGCCAAUGAUCUAAAUGUGACUAGCCAAGCCCAGGAGGUCAGAUUGAAAUUCAAAUGGCAAGUUAAGGCCAAAAUGCAAUUUCCAAAAGUUGAGGGACCAAUUCGCAAAUUUUGCAAAAUUUGCGCCCGAGCCCUUAAAUCAUCAUCUUGGUCACCAAUUAAGUUGAAAUUGAAUUUGGGCCAAGUCGAAUCAAUCAAAUCGAGCCAAAAAGACCACAUUUGUAUUGAAUUGGGUAUUUUCGGAUAAGAAAAUAGCCAAUUUUGAGGGACUUUUUUGCAAAAUUGGGUGGACACAAUUGCAAAAUCUGGUCGAUAUCUUAAACUACUAUACAUGAACUUGAUAAUUGAUAAAAAAAGGGCAGCCAAAGUGAUGGAUUAAAGCACCCAAACCAGCUGCCAAAUCUCAGUCCACGAUUAAGUCUUAAUUCGAAGCUGCUAAGUAGCCAUAUUGGUGGCCCCACCAUAUCCCACUCAGCCGCCCAUUUAGGUUGAUCUUUGCACGUGAUGGAAGACCGUAUAUAGUAAUACAAGUGGACGAAAAUUUGCCAGGGAUAGGCUGCUGAAAGAGCGGGAAAGUCGCAGCAAAGUCUGCACACUCAACAGCUGCAGAAGUUAAAAAAUUGGCUAAGUCAGAAGAGUAGGUGAACCAGCUCAGUUGGCAGGCUUGGUAGGUGGACAAAAGACCGACCAAAAAUCCCUCAAUUCAGGGGAUAAGAUCACUGAAGCAAGGUAUUUCAAGGGAUGAGAGAAAAGAGAGGAUAGAGAGAGGAGAGAGCUUGGAAUCGUUACCCAAAGACACCUUCAGAAGCAAUUCCAGAAAAGCAAAACCUAGAAAAUCCAGACCGACCUUGAGAGAGAAAAGUGAGAUUUUCACAACCCGUCGGCCUAAAUCAGCCAAAACCUUCAACUAGAGAGUGAAACUUCAUUCAAAGAUCUUUCCAUCCAUAGGUCGCACGUUCCAAAUGGAGAUCGGGAAGGCCUCCUAAAGCCCCCCGAAAGUACACCCUCCUGGCGGGCCAAGAAACACUGGAAAUUUUUCUAAGUGUUGAGCCCGAUUGGUCAUGAGUGAGGGAAAGCCAGUGUUUUUUGAGAAAUUUGAGAGAUAAAUGAGGAAAAUAUUGACUUUUACCCCAAACUAGAAUAAAUAUAGUUUGUUUUGGUGUCAAUUUUUCCAACAAAAGACAUCUUGAAGUCUAAUUUUAGAGGUCAACGAAAACCUUCGUUGUCAGUUCUUCUUUUCUGCAGAUCUCAUUUCCAGUUGAAGAAGCCAACUUCCACGUGCUUCCAGAGGACAAUUUCUCGGUUUCCUUGGCCAAGAACUACUUGCAAAAGAUACUAUGAAGCAAGGUAAGUAUCCUAGAUGUAUUUUUGUUCGAGUUUGAACAUGUUUUAAUAGUGAAAAAUUAAGAGGAAAACUAGUCCAAGAAACUGAUUUUGAGACUGGAAUUUUUCCAAGUAUUGAAAUCUCUUCAAGAGUUUUGCAUGUGUGCUUUUUGAAGAGGUUAUUUUGAUGUGUUCGGUUGGUCAUUUUCUAUGAUGUUUGUUGCAUUUGAAAGCUCAUGUUACCUACUUUCAUUCGGAUCAAGUAAUGUUUCUCUUAAAUCUCGUAUGUGAUGGGUGUCGGGGCUUGAAUAUGGGCACUCAUCCUGUUUGCUUGACCUGGGUUCAAACCCAGAUUUGCAAAAUCAGAUCAAACCCGCAUAUUUGAUGACGAUUCUAGCUUGGUUUUCGUGUGUUUUAAGCUGUGAUUUCUAUCUAAUCUUACUCCUUGUAUGUGGUAGUUUAACCUUGAUGUUUUAGUUCCACAUAAUAUUGGUCAUACGUUGAGAUUGAAGGCCGCAAAUAUGGCUCAAGGAGGCUAUUGGGGCUAGUUUAAUGCACACCAAGCGUUCGACAAAAUGUCCAAACUAAGCUUCGAUCUUGAAACGGUCGAUUUGAGCUUGAUUAUUGUGAUAUUCAUGUGCUGUGUUACUUCAUGUUAGCAUAGAUCAGUUUAAGGAAUUAUUAUUAAUUUUUUUAAAAUAAUUAAAAAAAGAGAAAAAUAUGAAAAUUUCAAAAAUAUCAAAAAAUGUUAGAUAGCAUCAAAUUAGGACAUAAAUGACAUAUAUGAAAUUUUCCUAAUUUUAAAAGGUCAUUUUCUUAAUUUAAUGCUAUUUUGGUAUUUUAUAACCAUUUUUGUAAAUAAUCCAUUUUGCGUAGAUUAAAACUAUUUAAAGUAAUUUCAUGCAUAUUUGAAUUCUCAUUUUGCUCACGGGGGUCCUAUCCCGGGGUGUGAUAACAUUAUUUGCUCGACUUGUAUCGGGUUUACCUUUUCCACGUUUAUUUUCAAGUCAUUUCAAUUUCUUGGAUGUUUACUUACGCGCCGCUUUUCAUGUAUUUGAGUGUAAAUUUCUCUUCUAAAUUAUGUUAAGAUUAGUCUCGACAUUAAAAAAAAAAAACUACAAAAACAUUUGCAUGGACACUUAGUGGUUUCAUAAAGAUUAUAAUUGGUAAUUAAGAAUGUGUGGCCAUUUAGAUAAAUAACUUUCCAAGUUAGUGGUACCGCAAGGGCGCUAAUAGAAACAUUGGCGUAAACAAGUCCCCGUUUCUAGAAAUCUCUGGUUGCGUAGGAAUCGAGACACCACUCCCGUGUCUCGAUUGGUUUUUAGCCGACCCCAAUAGGCUAGUGGCGACUCCUAGAAAUAUUUAGGUUGUUAAGAAUUGAAAUAUGAAAUCCAACGUCGCGCGAGGUAUGGGCCUGGGAGAGCCCACGCCUAAUUUAGGGCCAUUGGUCCGCUUCUUUAGGCAAAUACCCCUAAACCUUUCUUCCUUUUCCCUCGGAAAAAAAAAAAAAAGGUCGUGACAGUUACUUAACCAUCAAACAUAUUAGUAGCAUUUGAUUUAUUUUGUCAUCUUCAAAACAUCAUAAGAGAUUUCCCUAACAAUCUCUCCAUUUUUUAUGAUGACAAAACAAUCUCUGAAUAUGCAGAUUUGUAAACAUACUUUUAAAGAUAUUAAAUUAAAUCAAAGGAUAUCAAAAAAUAGCAAAUAGAUUGAGCAUAACAAUAUAUAGAAAAAUAAUCGCAGCUCAAUAUUAUACAAUAAAUAAUAUUAACCAAUCAACACAUAUGCAUAUUCAUAUCUUCUCCCCCUUUUUGUCAUAAUCAAAAGCGAUAACAGUAAAAAUAGUUUCACGUAGAGAAUAUAAAAUGAUAACAAAUAUCUUGCAUGAAACACAAUUUCCAAAAAAUCAGCUUUUAUAAAGUAAAUCGAAUAUUAAAAAUAUACAAUAUAGCUUACUUCGGUCAUAUAUAUAUAUAUAUAUAUAUAUAUAUAUAUAUAUAUAUCAGCAAAUAUCCAAUAAAAAUCACGGAUGCAUCAUAAAAUGCACGUGCCCUUUUUGUCAUAAUAAAAUGAUAAUAUCAAUAAGAGAUUUGUUAAUGACAAAAGAUAAUAAGAGAUGCACUAACCGGAUUUUGUAGAACUUAAAUUCUGACGCAUUUACCUUUUCCUUCUUUCCAUAACAAGAUCACGAUCAAUCCAAAAAGAUUUUUCCAUAAUUGAUUAAAGCUCUCCCUCAAUUUGUUGCCUUUUUGAGGUGAUCACGAUUCUUUUCCUCUUCUUUUAAAUUCACGUUCUCCCCUUGUGAUCAUGACAAUAUUUGCAAAUAGAAACAAUUGUGGCAUGUGCACGUUGAACAUAAUAUUUUUCUAGUAUUUCCUUUGUAGCGACAACAUCCGCAACGAUCACUUGCAUUUUGAAAUUCGAGACAGAAAUUUAUUUUCUUCAAUCAAGCUCUUCUCGAAUUCAACCUGCAUAAACUUAACAAGCUUUUUGCACAAAUAAGCUGUAAUAAUAUCCACAUAAUAUAUAAUUCACUUUCUUCAAAUAAAUAAAUCAAGUAGCAUAUAUAAAAUUAUCAAUUAUUAAAAUUAGAACUACUUAACCUUUUGUACGACGCAUAAAGGAUUUCCUCAAUAAUUUGUAAAAAUUUUGCGCAUGGAAGGGAAUUUUUGAACCUCCUGAAGAUAGUAUAGAAUCUUCAUAAUUUUCAAAUCUAGCUUUCCAAAAUUCAUAUGGAAGAUUCUUUUUCCACCUGCAAAUUAUUGUAUAAUAGAUAAUAAUCUUUGUAAAAAUGUCAUGAAAUAUCUUCAUUUGAUUUGCAUAUCAGACUUGCUAGAUAUAAGAUAUCUUCUAAGAAUAUAGCAAGAAUAUCCAUGCAUAUGCGAUAAUAUCUUUCAAGAUCAAAGGAUUUCCUUGAGCAUAAAUCUCUGAUAUAUAUUAUUGAUAUAUUUUGCAAAAAGAAAAUAGAUAUUUCUAUCACAUGCCAAUUGCAAUGCCUUAUAUCACAGUAUAAUAAACAAUCAUCCAAAAUCAUGAUAAAUGCAUGUAGAAAUUUGUAAAGCGGAAUGAUAAAAAAAUAUUCUCUUACCCAUGGUAUAUGUUUGAAAUAUACCAUUAAAAAAAAAUUACCAAUCUUCGUAGGAGAUAUUUUUCUGAUUGCACCAAAAUCUGCGUAGAUUUGCAAUCAUUCUUCCUUUAUAAAAUUUUCUGCAAUCAACUCAUUUCCUUUUUGGUAUCCAUCAAUUUAGAUCCUUCCAUGACAUUAGAGUAAAAUAUAAAAUCUCCAUAAUCAAAUAUUCUUUCUUAAUUCAUCAUAAUAAAGUAUUCAAAGAAAGAAUAUUAUGUACAAUAAUAUUUUGAAAAAUAAAUUCUCACUUAGUUAUAGUACGAUAAAAAACAAAGAGAAUAAAAUCCUUGAGUAUCUAAGAAUAUAUUACAUAAUAAAUUAAUAUUACGUAAAACAGAUUUCUAUUAUGCAAAAUAUAAUAAAAUCUGAGAGUAUAAAAUCAAACCAAAUAAAGUCAAUUGUCUCUAAGCAUGAUAUCAAAAAUGAUCACACGUAUCAAAUCAAAUCUCGAAUCACAAAAACAAAUCAUGCGAUUCUUUCUUCAAUAAAACAAAUCAAGGAUUAUGAUCAUUAUAAAAUCUCAAUCAACCAAGGAUAUAUCGAAUAUCAAGCAUAAUGAGAAAUUUUAAAUUGUAUACUCAAACCAAAUUGAGAAUAAAAAUAUAUACAUUUCUUACCAAACUCUCUUUCUUUGUUCUUCUUUAUAUCCUACAAAAACAACUCACAUUUUCUUUGGUACCCAUUUUUUCUUGGGUCCAUGAGAGUUAGUAGAAUAUGCUGUUUUUACCCAAUUUUUCUUAAUAGGUCUCUAGACUUUAGGACAUUCUUUUUCAAAGUGUUAUGAGUCUCCACAAUUUAAACACUUGAGGGCAUUUCGACCAAUAAGUUUUACAAACACUUUUUGAAAAUGAUUUUUGUAAAAUGCCUUUGAAGGUUUUUGUCUAAGUCUCUCUUUUACUUUAGGAAAAUCAAUUAAAGAAUUAUUUUCCUUAUUGAAACCAAGUCCCGACUUAUUAUAGUAAGGAAUUUGUAUGGAAAGAAUAUGCUCUAAAGUUUUUGAACCAUUUGAAAAUCUUGUCGAAAUAUUUGAAAAUUCAUUUUUUAAAGAAUCAUUUUCUUUGAUAAGUAAAUCUCGACUUUCUUUUAUUUGUAGAAAAUCUUUUUGCAAAAUUUUUAAUUUUUUUUUUUGAGAAAGAUCUUGUUGCCUAAGCCGAGAAUUCUCUUUUUUAAGUUCAGAUCCUUUUAAGAGAAGAUUUGAGAUUUAAGCAGAGCUCAUUUAUAUACUUAAAAACUUUGAUGGGAAUUUUUGAAUGGCUUAUCUCGAUUUCCUCAUCGGAUUCUGAGUCUGUGUCGGAGUCAGACUCUGAUUCCGAGUCUGUGUCUGAGUCAGACUCUGAUUCCGAAUUCGAGCUUGAGUCUAAAUUUGCCAUCAAGCAUAUAUUUCCUUGCUCAUUAUCUUCUUUCAUGGUUCUUUUAUGCACAUUCUGCUUGUGUUGUUUUCUUCCACUGAAUUUCCUUCCUUUUCUACUCAAUUUUUUUGAAUUUCUUGAUCAUAAAAGCAAGUUCUUCGUCGUCCAUGUCAUUUUCUGAGUCUGUAUCAUCAGAAUCAGCGUUAGAUAUUAAAGCGAUGGACUUCUUACCUUCGGGAUCUUUGUCGUUGAGUCGUCCAACUUCAUAGGAUUGAAGAGUGCCUAUCAAUUCAUCAACGGAGAGUGGCAUAAUCCUCUGAGUCUCUUGGAUUGAGGUCUUGACAUGAUUCCAAUCUUUUGAGAGACCUUGCAAAAGUUUGUUGACCUUUAUUGGGGAAGAAAUUAUAUGACAUUGAUAUGCUAAACUAUUUACAAUUUCUGUAAAGCGGCUGAACAUAUCUCCAAUCAGCUCUCCUUGCUUCAUCUUGAAGGAUUCAUAUUUGCUGAGCAGGAAGUUUACUUUUGUCUCCUUUACACGAUUGGUCCCUUCAUAUGUAACAUGAAGUCUAUCCCAAACUUCUUUUGCUAUUUCACACGAAGAGAUUCUAUUAUAUUCAGCAGGAGACAAUGCGCGAUAUAAAGAAUAAAUGGCUUUUACAUCAAGCGCUUCUCUUUUGGACAUCUCCAUCCGAGACAUAGGAGUGGGGGGGUUUGCUUUCUUUGUCUUUGCUAUUCUUAUUUGAUGUAGAUGCAGCAUUGGAAUUGAUUCCUCUUUCCACAACAUCUCAUUACAAGGGAUCUCUGGAUAUUAGGAAUGCCUUCAUUUUGUUCUUCCACAUGUUGUAUUCUUUUCCAUCAAAAUAUAGUGGCCUUGUGUUGCUUUGUCCUUCCAUAAGUCAUGGUGCCAAGAUACUAGCCAUAAAAGAUCUUUAGCUCAAACGUAAAAACACUUUUAUAAACGAGCACUUGGCUCUAAUACCAAUUGAAAGUGCUAGUAUGAACACCUAGAAGGGAGGUGAAUAGGUGUAAAAAUAGAUUCUGUAAAAUGCAGUGAAAAUCUUUACUUUUAACUUGAGUCUGAAUAACAACAAACUUUUGAAACUGAGUCUGAAGAGUAGCAGACUUUGAGCGAGAUCAGACUUUAGCGGUUAAAUAGAGCUACGAACAAAAUAAAGAGAUUCAAGGAAGAGAAUAAGAACACAAGGUUUAUAGUGGUUCGGCUUAAUCCAAGCCUACAUCCACUCUCCCACGCUAACAGCCUUCUUGGCUGGAUUCCACUAUGCAAUCAACAAGAGAUUACAACUUUGAGUGCAAACACUUAGUAGAUCACACUAUCUCACUAAGUCACUUUUUUGAUAUUUCUCUCACGAUCACAAACGUUUAAGCUCACAAGAGACAAGUGUAUGAUCGAAGGUCACUCAAAAUUUGGAAUUAUAAAUUCUACGUUUCGUCUCUUAUUUGCUCAUCGGUCCUUCAUCUCCUUAAAUACUCCUCCACUUUCAAACUAGCCGUUGGACAAUAUCUCAGAGAAUCGUCUUCCAAUAUACCCAUUGGACAGAUCUGUAUCUAGAAGAUUUGGUAACCGUUGAGUGACAAAAGUAGAAUCUCAAAUUGAUUCCGAUCGCCCAUACAAACAGAAUAUUGGUUUCCAUAAGUAGAGCUUCUUCGUAUAGAAAGUUCUUAUCUUCAAUAUCCAAUCGUCAAUCAAUUAUAUUGAAUCAAUCAAAUCAAUCUUGAUGUAGAAUCCAAACCAGAUCACUAGUCGUUGUAUGAUUAGGGCUUGAGUUACGUUAUGUCGAAUCUGGAUGUAAAAUCUGAGAGCAAUAGACUUUACAAUCUGAGUCUGAGUGCAAUAGACUUUACAAUCUGAGUCUGUACGUAUUCUGCUUUUGAAAAGAUUUAGCUUUAAGGUCUGGAUAUAUUCUGAAUAAGUUCAGCUUCAGCAUAAAGUCUGUCUUCUGGUUCUCCAUUCACGUUAAGUUUGGAAUUUGUCAGAGUAGGCAGACUUCUGAUGUAGAACAGACUUUGACGCUAAAGUUUGGCAAUCUUCAGACUUUGACAUAGAAGUCUGGAAAUCUUCAUAAUAUAUUUUGGACAUGUGUUACGUUCAGUCUUCUGGUCGUUUUCAGACUUUGACAAUAUCCUUUACAUGUUCUAUCAUCCGCAUAGUCUAUUACUUAACCAUCAAAUAUAUUAGUAGCCUUUGAUUUAUUUUGUCAUCUUCAAAACAUCAUAAGGGAUUUCCCUAAUAUAUUUGUUCUAAUCUUCAGUUUUCUUUUCGUCUUAUGUACAAUUCCCACACUUUAAACAUCAUAAUGUGUUUCUAUACUUUUCAGAGGAUUGAAUUAGCUCCAGGAUAGAGAAUUGGGCCGGCAUUUUCUGCAGUUGAUUUACUACGUUGAAUUCACUCGUUUUCACCACGGUUAGGAAUUGCUCCGCGUCCUCCUCCAUUACGGCUUUCUUUUCGGUUCCUCUAGCAGACGCAUAGCAACGACCUAAUCAAGUGACGGCAUCUACUUCCUUUGUCCCGUAAUCCCAGGGUACCGCUUUGGUGUUGAAUUCCAAUGAAGGUUCUAGCAUUAUCACCUCAUCUUUUCCUUGAGGUGGCAGUUCGAUCACGACCAGUGUUAGGCUUUCAUCCAGGAUUUCGAUCCCUGAUAAUUCUUUGACCAUAAGGUCAAUCAUCAUUGGCUUAGUGGUUUCUAUCUUGACAUCACUAGUGCGAUCCUCAUCAGGUAAUUCUAUCACCACCGGGGUAAUCAUAGUGACCAUCCCCUCCUCACGUGGCAUCGGGUCAUCCAUGGCCCCCCCAUCCGUUAGGGACGAUAUCCUUAGCAUCAUUAAAGAAACUCGAGGUAGGCGAAUAUUUCACAUAGUAGUCAUACUUUCCGCUUGGUUGACCUAACGUAUCGAACACUUCACCUUUAUCACACAUCUUCUCUAGGAGUUCACGGCUCCAAAAGGUUCUUUUAGCAUCCAUUCUCGAGACAUUUUCUAUGACAACUUUUUUAUCCUCCUUUGGGAUAAGAGGCUAAGUUUUCUCCAUUUCACGGUCUCAAGUAGUAUUGUGAGAUGAUGAGCUAAUCAUGGAUGGUGCCAUCACGGGUAGUGGCCCUUUUUCUCCAUUGACUUUCGGAUUACCUCAAUGCCUAUCAUUUUGCAGAUACGUUCUAAUUUUUCCUCUAUGGUUAUGUCCACCCCUCUUUCAUAGUGCCUAGCUCGCUCGAGGGCCUCAUACAGUUUAGGGACAUCCACCACAAGGGGUCACUCAUUCGCUUGCAUUUUCCCAAGAAUCAUAUUCACUCCUUCAACAUGAUCGGGCAAAGGGUUUUACUGCACAUUGGGCAUAGCUUCUUUGAAGGUCAACUUUCCUUUAUCCAAUAGAUUAUGAACUCUCCAUUUCAGUGCGAGGUAAUCAUCGACGUCAUGCCUCAUUUCCCCCAUGUGGUAUUCACAUGCCUUGGUCACAUCGAACCCCGGGAAUCUUGGGGGAUUGUCUCUAGGUAUCUCCUUGGCUACCAAUCUCUUUUCGAGGAGGAUAGGUAUUAAUUUCGAUAGAGGUCAGGGUAGAAGUAUGAAUUCCCUUCGGGGAAACUUCUUGCCUCCGUCAAAUCCUCGUGACACAUUUCCUUAUAUGGCUUUAGGCUUUUGUGAAGGCAUCGACACUGAUUUAGGUGCAGAUGGCUCUUGGAUAAACACAACUUCAACUACCGUCUCCUUGUCCUUCCUUGUUGGGAACUUUUUGCUACUUCCCGUAGAUAUUCUUCUAUCAACUAUCGUCCAUUCAACCCCUUCACCAACCUCCACCAUCUGUACACUAAUCCCUGGAAAUAGUCAGAUGGCAAAGUUUUCAAGAAAAGCUGCCUCAUUUCUUUCUCCCUUAGUGGAGGCUUCACUUGUGAUGCCAUCGUUCUCCAUCUCUGGGUGAACACUUUAAAUGGUUCAUUUCUUCUCUUUUCUAUUCGAACCAGCUCUUCUCUUAUAGGGACAAUCUCAGGGUUUAAUUUAUAUUGCUGUAAAAAUUCAUCAGUGAGGUCCUCCCAUCCAGUGAGCUCUUCAAUAUCUAGUGCAAUAAACCACGACAAGGCAAGGCUAUCUAAGCUAUCUUGAGAUAUAUGUAUGAAGAGUGGGACAUUGUCGAAGUAGCGAGCCAUCUUCGUCAAGUAGUAUUUGAGGUGAGUUUUAGGGCAGUCGGUGCCAUCAUAUUUUCUCGUGAAUUCUGGCUCCUUGAAAGUCUCGGGUACUUUCACUUUAGCAUAUGGGGUUAGCUUGUCCACUCCUUUCAUCUCAUAUCCUUGAAGGACACAAAGUCGCUCCUCCAUUUUAGACAAAUGUCUUGCACUUUCUUCAUCAAAGCGGAUAGCAGAUCCCUCCUUUGGAGGAGGAUCCAGAUCAAUGAUUACGGGCAUAAUAGAAAGGGCUUCCUCAGAAGCACAUUUUUCAGCAGGAUCGGUAACAUGUGGCUCUCCAGCUGAGGGUGGAGUGUGUCCCGACAAAACGGGAGUAAAGGUUCCAGCUAUGGCCGUGACCAGAGGUUCACUAAUUUUUCAAUUUAUCCCGGCCAUCAAGGCAAUAAAUUGAGCUAGCUGGUUCUCCAUGUUGACCACGCAUAUGCUGACAUCCUCAUUCUCCAUCCUAGCCUUUGCAUGAUUACGAAUUGGAGAUCUCCUCUUAGCCAUGUUCACAGUCAGACGAAAGUAGACAACCUGUCAAUAUUUGAACAAGGAUAGAUUAGCAUAUAUAAGCAUUGAGUAAUGAUUAGGCGGUCGACCCAUGACAGAGAUCUAGUCGCCCCAACUAUUCCUUUAAUUGAAAGCAAGGUUGCUACAUAAUGCAGGAAAAGAUACGAGGGAGAACCCCUAAACAACGAAGUUAUUCUGAAAAUGGAAAGACAUGACUCUCAACUCCCAACAUUGCGACAUGAGACAAACUCUUUUACAUUGUAACAUGUGUGUGCAUGGUGCCACUACAUAUCGCACUUGACUCAAUCUAACUAAUGAGGACAGCUAAUGAGGAAUGAUAGGUCUUCUCUUGCCCUUCCAACUCAUUUUCAGGCUAUAUCAGCUUCCAAGGGUGGCACAUAUCCCACAUCGACUUGACUAGCACGACGGAGUUUUCGUGAUCUUGGCAUCCAUUGAGGAAGUCUAUCCUGAGCGGGUCUUCUUGAAUGGCCGGUGAAAGCUGUUGAACUUCUUGGAACUGUCGGGUGACCCGAGUCGGAUAAUAUUUAGUGACUCCAGUAAUUCCCAGCAAAGGAAUAGGUCCAGUAAGCCCACACAUGAACUGCGCUUCUUGAACUCGAAGCCAUUUGGCAUAUAAUUGGAAAUCUUCAGGUCCUUUGGUUAUGAAAACUAACCACUCAAAAUAAUGAUAAUUGGGGGCAAACGUUUUCCUAUCUCUAAACUUCAGGAUGGGGUGGUUAAAGUCAGAAAUGUCGUUCACGGUCAUCAAGCUACCAAACCCCUUAACGUGAGAGAAGAACCAAAUUUGUAAGAGUUCAAGAGGAGCAUGAAAAACUUUGUUUUUGUUUUCUUUAAAGUGGGUAAAGGAAAGAAAGGUUUUAGUCAUAAUGGCAUUAACAAAAUUCAUGCAUACCUCACGAACUACCCAUGCCACGGAGGGGUUAAUAGCAUUCCUAUAAUGUGGGAAUAUCACGAACCCGAAGAAAGCUAAUAGAGAGAUCAUAUUCUUUUGGAAAGAUGGGCAUUUUGAAAAAGCUCAUUUAGGAAUGAAAAUGGGCAGGCUUUGCGAUUGGCUUUCAAAAUCUUUCUCACGUCCUCUCCCUUAACUCUAAAGAACUUAGAUAAGGUCAAUGUGUGCUCAGUCCCUACAGGCGCGCUAACUAACUCUGACGCUAAGGGCUUCCCGAUGGCAAUGCCAUAUUCCUCCAAGGUGGGAGUGAGCUCGUGGUCAUUGAAUAUGAACGUACAAGUCUCGGGACAUCAAACACGCGCCAAUGCUCGUACAACACCAUAAUGAGUUUCUAUUUAUAAGAGGGGAAGUAGUCAUCCGACAUAGGAUCGCAUCCAAUCAUGGCCAAUUGGGUCUAGUCUAUCCCACAAUGUGCGGAGCUCGACUUUCAGGGUGGCAAUGAAGCGAAGCUCGGGUACCCCCAUCGUAUACUACUCUUAAUUACGAUCAACCUAAUUUGCCAUGGACCGACCAAAAAAGAAAGCGAAUAAGUAAAUUGCGAAGAAAAGAAUUCGAAAAUCUUACCUUACUCAUUGAUUAGCAAAGCCAAUGACAUAGACAUAUGCAUGGAAGGUGGUUUGAUUUCUACUCUAAAGGGCUCAAAAUGGAGCCAUAGGAUCACCAGACCGAACCAACAAGGUUGCGGCUAGGUUCGGUUACCCAUGACUUCGGCUUCAUAAAAAAGCCGACCCUUGUCGCGCGGUUACAGACCAGGGUGGAGACCUUUGACAUCAGGAAGGAAAUUUCGGGGUUGACAUGGGCGACUUGUACUACAUGUUGUAGUUGGAGUGGUAUCCACCUUAACACCAUCCUAGGUGAUCCUAUGCGGCCCAGGUUCGGCGGCAGGUAGUGUGUGCUACAAUGUAGUGCAAUGCAGGGGAUGCGUGUAUGACAAUUUAUAAGCAAUCAGCUCUUAACGCGUAAAUAAACCAUUCAUUCCUACACCCCCUACAAAACAAGGGUUAACAAUCACUUCCCUUUAUACCUCCCAUUCAACAUGAACAUUAAACAACCAACCUGUUAUGGAUGUACUUCGGAUCCUCACUAUUGGAGAAAUCUUUCUGGAGUAUUUUGAAGUUGACAAAACGUUUCCAUCAGUCUAGUAUGAAGAUUUGCAGACUCUACUAUUUAAAGUCUAAAGACCUCUGGACUGCCAGACUCAAGACUCAAAGUCUAUUCUCAUUGACAGUUUCUAAUCCGUCGAAGAAGGGCUAUCCAAACUGGAUGUUUCGUUAAGGAUUUGACCUUAUCGACUGGAGAAGAUCUCUUGGCUGGAUAUGACAUAACAGAAUCCUUUAUUUGAUCGUGAUUGAUUAAGAGAUUGAGGAUCCGAUGAUUGGUGAAGUGUACUUGGAAGGUUCUACUUAUGGAAACCAAGAUCCUAAUUGUAUGGGCGAGCAGGAUUGAUGGACUAUCGACAUGUUCCUUAAAUAGCUCGAAUGAUCUUCCUAAUUGAUUCUGUCCAAUGGGAAGAUUGGAAGAAUUCCUUUGGUAAGUGCCAACGGGUAUGAUGGCAUAAAAGAGUAUAUAAGGAAGAUGUUCCAGUUGUUCAAGUGUGUGCGUGAUAGAAGAAUUCCAAAGUCUGAAGCUCUUUGUUCUUUGUCAAUUCAUUUACUGAGCGAAAUCUUGUACGCAAAAGAGAGUCUAUAUUUUGAGAAACCUUGAGAAAGUGUGGUAGACUAUCUACACUGUGGAAUCAAGGAAGAGUCUUGUUGUAACAACUCUUUUGUUCAUAGUGAAAUCUAGCCGGUGGGCUGUCAGUGUGGAAGAGUUGACGUAGGCUUGGAAUAAGCCGAACCACUAUAAUUUCUGUGUUCAUUUUCUCUUCCCUACUCUCUACUUUACUUUGAUCAUAAUUUGUUUUGUUAACGAAAGGAGAACUUCCUUUCUAUUGUCUACUUUGUAUUGCUCUCUUAUUUCGAGAAAUUAUUUUUACACCUAUUCACCCCCCCUCUAGGUAAUUUUACUAGCUAUCUCAAUUGGUAUCAGAGGUUGUGUACUCACUUUGUUUGAAGUGUUUUACUUCAGAGUUAAAGAUCCAUGGCUAGUAUGUUAGCUUCAGGGCUAGUAGAAGGGUAAAGCAAUACUAGACCACCUUACUUUGAUGGAAAUGAAUACAACAUAUGGAAAAACAAGAUGAAGGCGUUCCUAAGAUCAAAGGAUCCUCUGGAAUGGGACGUUGUAGACAAAGGAAUCAUUCCUAAAGCUGUACCUGUCUCAGAGAGAGGAAAAUAAGCUGUUGAGUCUAAUGAAAUGACUCAGGAAGAGAUAACCAAGAGACAAGCUCUUGAUGCAAAAGGAAUUUGUUCUUUAUAUUGUGCUUUAUCACCUACUGAAUAUAACAGAAUAUCUUCUUGUGUUACAGCGAAAGAAGUUUGAGAUAGAUUACAUAUUACCUAUGAAGGAACCAAUCGAGUGAAAGAAACCAGAAUCAACAUUCUCCCAGGUCAAUACGAAGCCUUCAAAAUGAAAUCAGGAGAAUCUAUAACUGACAUGUUUAGUCGUUUUACAAAAAUCGUGAAUGGUCUUGAAAAUCAAGGUCAACCAAUUUCUGAUCCCAUGAAAGUAAACAAGCUACUGCGUUGACUCUCCAAGGAUUGGAAUCACAUAAAGACCUCAAUAAGGGAGACACAAAGAAUUAUGCCACUAUAUGUUGAUGAGUUGGUUGGGACUCUUCAGUUUUAUGAAGUGGAACGAAUCAAUGAAGACGAAGAUCCUAAAGGUAAGAAAUCCAUUGCAUUAAAAUCCAAUGUUGAUUCUGAUGUUACAGAUUCUGAAGACAAUAUGGAUGAUGAGGAGCUUGCUCUCAUGAUAAGAAGAUUCAGAAAGUUGAACAAAAAAGGAAGAAGAUUCAAUCCAAAGAAACAGAGUUUUCAAAAGCAACAAACUAAGUCUGUUGAGGAUGAUGAAUCAAAUAGAGAUGUAGUCUGCUUUGAAUGUAAGAAAAAGGAACACAUCAGACCAAACUGUCUUCUUAUGAGGAAGAAGAAAGGAAAAGCCGAAAAGUAUCGAAAGGCUCUUAAAGCAGAAACCUGGAGUGAUACAGAAUGUGAAAAAAGUGAUGAUGAUUAUGCCAAUAUAUGUCUGAUGGCACAAUCAGAUUCAGAUUCAAGCUUCGAGACAGACUCAGAUUCAGACAGUGAAUUUGAGGUGAGUAACUUCAAAAUCCCUAUUAAAGUUUCUAAAUACAUUGAUGAGUUGUGUUUUAGUCUUAAGACUUCUCUUAAAAGGAUUUUCAAACUUAAGAAGGAAAACUCUGCAUUGAAACAACAGGAAAAUGUUUUGAAAGAAAAAGUAAAAUGUUUAGACAUGAAUGUUUCUACUCUUAAAGAAAGUGAAGAUAAUCUUUUGAAAGAAAAUGUAUUUUAAAAAAAUGACAUAUCAAAUAUUUCCAAAAGAUUUUCAAUAGGAUCUGAGAAACUUGAGAAAAUUCUUUCAGCUCAAAGACCUUAUUUCAAUAAAUCUGGUUUGGGAAUUACUGUGGAAACCAUUCCUUUAAUUGAUUUUCCUAAAUUGAAGGAAAGAAUUAAGCAAAGACCCACAAGAGAUGCUUACAAAAAUCAUUUUAAAAAUGUCUUUGUAAAAUCAGUAGGUCACAAUGCUCUCAGAUGUUCAAAGUGCAAUAGUGUAAAUCAUUUUGAGAAAGAAUGUCCUAUGGUUUGGAAACCCGUUAAGAAAGUAUGGGCAAAAACCGCAUAUAAUACUAAUACCAAUGGACCCAAGAAAAUAUGGGUACCAAAGAAAGUUUGAGUCUCUUUUUUAAUGCAAGUCACUAUCAAGAAAAAGGUAAAAUAGUAUCUGGAUAGUGGAUGCUCAAGACAUAUGAUAGGAGAUUCAAAUUGCUUCAUAAAAAUCGUUCAAGUAAAUGGUGAAAAAGUCUCAUUUGGAGGAAACAGCAAAGGAAGAAUUGUGGGAUUCGGAACUGUAAAGAUUGGAAACCUCACAAUCAGCAAUGUUUCCUUAGUGAAAGGACUCAACUACAAUCUGCUCAGUAUCAGUCAGCUGUGCGAUACCGGUUUCAAAAUCAACUUUCAAGAGGGAAUAUGUUCAGGGACCAGUAAAGAUUCUACUCAGUCAUUCAUGGGUAGAAGACAUGGAAAUAUCUACCUCUUGGAUGUGAAACCAGAUGAAUCACAAUGUCUAAUCUCAAUUCAAGGCGAAGCGAACUUAUGGCACAGAAAACUUGGGCACAUCAAUAUGAAGCAAAUAGCCAAAAUUUCAGCAAAGAAACUAGUUCGUGGUCUACCAAAUCUGUCAUACCAAAAGUCUGAUCUAUGUACACCAUGCGUAUUGGGAAAGCAUGUAAGAAAUUCCUUUAAACCAAUAAAUCAAGUUUCCACUAAUUGUGUACUGCAGCUUCUGCAUAUGGAUCUCUUUGGACCAACCAGAACUCAGAGCAUUGGAGGUAAGAAAUAUUGCCUAGUAAUUGUGGAUGACUACUCACGAUUUACUUAAGUAUAUUUCCUGGCAAAUAAGUCUGAAACAUUCUCUUACUUUGAAAAGUUUGCUAAAAAGGUCCAAAAUGAAAAAUGAUAUGUUAUUUCAAGUAUAAGAACAGACCAUGGAGGUGAAUUUGAAAAUCAAGAUUUUACAAAAUUUUGUGAUGAAUCUGGUUUUCAGCAUGUGUUCUCCUCUCCAUAUACUCCAGAGCAAAACGGAGUUGUGGAAAGAAAGAAUAGGCCGCUUCAAGAAAUGACAAGAACUCUCUUAAUUGAAAGUAACAUCUCUUCACGAUUUUGGGCUGAAGCAGUUUCUACAGCAUGUUAUAUUAUUAAUAGAGUUUUUCUAAGGCCUAUUCUGGAAAAAAAAAACCCCCUAUGAGUUAUUCAAAGAAAAGAAGCCUAUUGUUUCAUAUUUUCAUGUGUUUAGAUGUAAAUUCUUUAUAUUGAAAAAUGCAAAUGAUCGAGUUGGCAAGUUUGAAGAAAAGUCAGACGAAGGCAUCUUCCUUGGAUAUUCUACUUGAAGCAAAGCCUACAGAGUCUACAACAAGAAGACUCAAUCUGUGGAGGAAUCAAUGAAUGUCAAAUUCCAAGAUUCUAUGCAAAAUGAAUCUAUUCAGACUCAUCUUGAAGAAUCUGAACCUGCUCCAGACUCUACAAAGUCUAAAUCUCAAGAAGCAGCUCAGACUUUGAAAGACCAACAACAAAUGAUUGUUGAAGAUUUAAAUGAAGAAAGAGAUCGUCAACUUGACAAAUCAACCAGUAACUGGAAGCAUAAGUCCAGUAAUCCCAAAGAUCUCAUUAUUGGCGACAUUAAUGAAGGAAUUCGCACAAGAUCCAAAAGGCACGAAGAGUCUAGUGCUGUGGCUCUUAUUUCUGAGAUAGAACCCAAAAGCAUAGAAGAAGCUUUAUCUGAUGAAAGCUGGAUUGAAGCCAUGCAAGAAGAACUCAGGCAAUUCAGUAUUAAUGAUGUAUGGGAGUUGACUUCUAAACCGAAAGGUAAAUCUAUUAUUGGAGCUAAAUGGGUUUUCAGGAACAAUAUGGAUGAAAAAGGAAAGGUCGUAAGAAACAAAGCAAGACUCGUGGCCAAGGGAUAUACGCAAGAAGAAGGGAUAGACUAUGAUGAGACUUACGCACCAGUAACAAGGUUAGAAGCAAUUAGAUUAUUACUUGCUUUUGCUUGUUAUAAGAAUUUCAGGUUAUUCCAAAUGGACGUCAAAAGCGCUUUCCUGAAUGGAUUUAUCCAUGAGGAAGUCUAUGUGGAACAACCACCUAGGUUUGAAAACCCAAGGAAACCAGACUCAGUAUUCAGACUGAAAAAUGCCUUAUAUGGUUUAAAGCAAGCACCUCGAGCUUGGUACGACAGGCUGAGUAAGUUUUUAAUUCAAAACGGAUUUGUCAAAGGUAAAGUAGACACUACUCUGUUUAUCAAAAGAGAAAGCAGAAGUUUUCUGCUUGUUCAAAUAUAUGUUGAUGGUAUUAUCUUUGGAUCCUCUAAUGAAAGUCUAUGCAAGACAUUUUCUAAGUCUAUACAGGAUGAAUUUGAAAUAAGCAUGAUGGGUGAACUAACCUUUUUCUUGGACUUCAAGUGAAACAAUUGAAGGAGGGAACUUUCAUUCAUCAAGAAAAAUAUGAUAAUGAUCUUGUCAAAAAGUUUGGACUGAAAAAUUGCAAAAAAACUAAUAUACCAAUGUCAAGUGCUUUGAAGAUAGACAAAGAUGAAGGAGCAAAGAAAGUUGACUAGAAGCUAUACAGGAGUAUUAUUGGUUUACUUCUUUAUCUUACUGCUUCUAGACCUGACAUUUUGUUUAGUGCUGCAAAACGUAUUAUCAAAUACAUGGCAUCAACUUCAAGCCUUGGUCUUUGGUAUCCUAAAGGAGACUUUACUCUUCUUAGAUACUCAGACGCAGAUCUAGCUGGUUGCAGAGUUGAUAGAAAGAGCACCUCGGGUACCUGUCAACUACUUGGAAGCAGGACAGUGUCUUGGUUUUCAAGAAAGCAAAAUACAGUAGCUCUUUCUACAGCAGAAGCAGAGUAUGUAGCUCUUGGAAGUUGUUGUUCACAAAUUCUGUGGAUAAAACAACAGCUAAGAGACUUUGGAAUUGAAGAAUCAUGCACGGAGAUUAAAUGUGAUAACACCAGCGCAAUCAAUCUCACCAAAAAUCCAAUUCUUCACUCAAGAGCAAAGCAUAUAGAGAUUCGACAUCACUUCAUUAGAAAUCAUGUUCAAAGUGGAGAAGUUUCAAUUCAGUUUGUUGACUCAAAGAACCAACUGGCGGAUAUAUUUACAAAGCCUUUGGAGAAAAAUCAAUUUGAAAUCAUCCGUUCUAGACUCAACAUCUUGAGGUUUGAAGAAGUUAAAGUCUAGAGACUCUCAGACUCAGACAAUCAAGAUUUUUGACUGUAAGUCAUUUUAUUCUCUCUCAUAUUAAAUCUCGAAAAGGUACGAUCACCUAUCUAUAAUUGAUUUUUGCUACUUUCAAUUUCCAUUAUUAGUGCAAUCUUUCUUUUUCGAAAAAGGAGUUAAUUUUUAAAAUGACAGUUAUCUAAUUUUUUAAAAAAGGCAGUUACUUUUAAAGGGCAUCUUUUUACUUUCCAUUACGACGUUUUGUAUGCCUCUCUUCGACUGACCUAUAUACUGUCUGUUCCUCUUCGUUUAACUCCAAAAACCCUAAAAAGCAUCGAUCUUCCACUUAUGUCUUCUUUUCUUAUUUAAUCUUCAAAAAGUUGUCAUCUUUCUCGGGAAAGUCAAGAUUGGAAUCUUUCAAAGACUGUGAAAGAUGUCGUCUCAAAGGAAGUCUUCGAGGAUCGCGAACAAGGGACCGCAACAAAUGCGUGAGGGGCUUACGCACUUUGAUCUCAUCGAGGAAGAAGAGUCUCUUAGUCAGCAGCAGAGCCCACAACAUUCUCAGUAGCGUCAAUCUUCUCCAUCUAGACAACAGGAUGUUGCUCGUCGAGAAGAGGAAGAAAUAAUCGAAGAUGUUGUCACGGUAAGAACUUUUAAGCCCUCUUUUACCUACAAGCUUUAUCGCGCUUUGAAAAUGGGUGGAACUCCUUUGAACUACAUUGACGAAUUUCUGAAAGAAAAAUGGUACAAAAAUGAAACCUUCUUUUUACGCACAAUGGAACGGUUGGGAAUUGCCCCUGCUGGGUUGGCGGAAGAGGCAAUGGCAAACAUCCCAGUCGAUCCACGUGUUAGAAGGCUGAAUCAGACAUAUGGGAAUGAUGAUGACAAGUUGUACAAACAGUUUCAACCGAGAAUGGGUGUUGCGGCAAAAAUUCGGAGCAAAAGGACAGACUUGUUUCGAUCGGAGGAACAAAAGCAUCUAUACUCUAAGUUGUUGAAGCGUGGGGUGAUAAACCCUAGAAGUGUGGAUUUUGAUUUCCUUGACACUGGGAACAUUAAUUUUGAGGGAAAAAUUCAGUCUUCUUCAACUUGAAUAGUUCUAUUCUGACUCUACAGAAGCCUAUGCUGAACUCACUGCAUAUUUCUAUUCGAAUCUCAGUUUCUUGGAUGUGAAUAGAUUCUCUUUUAGUGUCCGUGAUCAGGACUAUGUGGUGGAUGUAGAUAUGUUGGCUGACGUGAUUGGGGUUGAGAGAGGGAGAUAUCAACCUAUCAAUGUCUCUAUUGCUCGUACUACGUUGGAACUUGUUAAGGAUAGAAGGACAGAGGGAAAGGUUUCCUACUCGAGGAUGAGUGCGUUCAACAUUCUGCUUCACAAGAUUGUGAUUAAUUGCCUCAGACCAAAAUCUACUUCAAAGACUGAUGUUUCAAACUCAGAGGCAAAGCUAAUGUAUGCCAUCAAUGCUGUGAAAAAGUUCUCUCUUCCUCACACCAUUAUGUUCCACAUGUAUAGAGCAGUGGUGAAGGACAAGGGUCAACUUCCUUAUCCAGCUCUUGUGACAAAGUUAUUCAAACAUUUGAAUGUUUAGCCUCCCUAAAUUCUCUGUGUUCGAUCUUGUGAUCAAAUGGUGGUGGGACUAAAAAUGGUGUCUAAAAUGCGUCUGAAGGAACUCAACAAGGCGUUGGAGAAAUUCAAGGAGAAAACCCCUGUCAAAUCUCAUCAAGUCUCUUCGGCAGCAAAAAGAAAAGGGAAGGAGCCCAUGAUUGCUCCAUCCAAGAAAAGAAGAGCUCUCAUCGUUGAGGAUGAAGAUGAUGAGGAAGACAUCACCAUUUCUGCAAUAGCAUUGAAGAGCCUGAGUCGUUCUGUUCCAGAAUCAACGGAACGACAAGAGAAAGACACAAAACAGAGGACUGGAGAAAGAGAAUAUUUGGAAGUAGAAGAGAAAGAAGCAGAGGAGAAAGAAACAGAGGAGAGAGAAGCUGAAGAAGGAGAUGCAGAGGAUGAAAGAAUUGAAGAAGAAGAAGAAGAGGGAAGAGGAAAUCAAGAGGAAGGAGAGCAUGAGGAACACUCUUCUCCACCUGAAGGCAUGGAAACAGGGGGAAAUCGUGAGAAAAGAGGAAUGUCCUCAUAUCCUGCUACCAGUGAAGGAAUCAGUCGCUCUCCAGCAGAUCCAGAGGACAUCUAUGCCUCUCAAUUUCCUGAGGAGGGACAUGAUGUUUCAUCGCCUAAUCUGCGUGAUUGUGCUGAUUUGCCAUCGUCUGCCUUUACUCCAUCUGAUCAUGCAGAAGCUAGUACGCAGACUGAUAAUUCAGCAGAUUUUCGCAGAAUUCUUGAUGUUCUCUUAGAACUGCGGGGUCAGAUAUAUGCUCUGGGAUGCGAAGUUCAUAAUUUGCAGACUGUAGGUCAAGCUUCUUCAGUUUCUUUGAAUGAUCAAAUCCAAGCCCUUGCUCUUCAGAUUCAAGCAAAUGCUAAGGGUGAAGAGGUGGCUCAACUGAAUGAAGAGUUGAAAAAGCUGGAAGGCAUUGUCUAGUCAAUGGGAGAUUUCCAGCUUGUUCGUGUUCCCAAGCAUUCUUAAUUCCAUUCUCUUUCCAUCUCAACCUUUUUUAUGAUGACAAAAAGGGGGAGAGAUGUGAUUUGAACUUUGAACCUGAACCUUGAACUUUUUGAACUUGAACUUUUGUUUUGUUUUUGGUUUGUUUUGAUGACUUGACUUUUGUGUCUGGAUGUGGACUGAAUUUGGGAUUUGGGUUUGAUUGCUUAUAUUAAGUACUAUUGAUAUCUUAUGAAUGGUUUUACUCAUAUGCAAGACUAACCUAUUUUCUGUGGUUGCAGAUUCUAGUGUUAUCAUUAAGCCAUUUAUCUUUAUGAGAUAUCCAUAUUUCCUUGAGUAAUGUUUUGUAGGUCAAAGUUAUCCAAAUCUGUAGGAAAGUUUUGUCACCAUCAAAAAGGGGGAGAUUGUUGGAGAAAUCUUCCUAGAGUAUUUUGAAGCUGAUAAAACGUUUCCAUCAGUCUAGUCUGAAGAUUUGUAGAUUCUACUAUUUAAAGUCUGAAGACCUCCGGACUGCCAGACUCAAGACUCAAAGUCUAUUCUCAUUGACAGUUUCUAAUCCGUCGAAGAAGGGCUAUCCAGAACUGGAUGUUUCGUUAAGGAUUUAACCUUAUCGACUAGAGAAGAUCUCUUGGCUGGAUAUGACAUAACAGAAUCCUUUAUUUGAUCAUGAUUGAUUAAGAGAUUAAGGAUCCGAUGAUUGGCGAAGUAUACUUGGAAGGUUCUACUUAUAGAAACCAAGAUCCUGAUUGUAUGAGUGAGUAGGAUUGAUGGGCUAUCGACAAGUUCCUUAAAUAGCUCGAAUGAUCUUCCUAAUUGAUUCUGUCCAAAGGGAAGAUUGGAAGAAUUUCUUUGAUAAGUGCCAACGGGUAUGAUGGCAUAAAUGAGUAUAUAAGGAAGAUAUUCCAGUUGUUCAAGUGUGUGCGCGAUAGAAGAAUUCCAAAGUCUGAAGCUCUUUGUUCUUUGUCAAUUCAUUUACUAAGCGAAAUCUUGUAUGCAAAAAAGAGUCUAUAUUUUGAGAAACCUUGAGGAAGUGUGGUAGAGUAUCUAUACUAUGGAAUCAAGGGAGAGCCUUGCUUUAACAACUCUUUUGUUCAUAGUGAAAUCCAGCCGAUGGGCUGUCAAUGCGGAAGAGUGGACGUAGGCUUGGAAUAAGCCGAACCACUAUAAUUUCUGUGUUCAUUUUCUCUUCCCUACUCUUUGCUUUACUUUGAUCAUAAUUUGUUUUGUUAACGAAAGGAGAACUUCCUUUCUAUUGUCUGCUUUGUAUUGCUCUCUUAUCUCGAGAAAUUAUUUUUCACCUAUUCACCCCCCUCUAGGUGCUUUUACUAGCUAUCUCACUCACUACCAAACAUUAAUAUUUUUGAACAAGAUUAAUUUCAGCCUAAGUCCUCUAAGGUCUAAAACCAAUUCCCCAGCGGAGUUGCCGAGCUGUCGCGACCUACCCCUCGAGAGAGGGAAUAGGUUUAGGGGUAUUGCCAAAAAGGCGGGCCUAAAGCCCAUGAUUAGGCACGGUCUCUCCCAAGCCCAUACCUCAAAGGGUUUUUUUUUUUUAAAAGAUUUUUACAAUAAGGAGUCACCAUUAGCUUAUUGGGGUCGAUUAGAAAUCAAGCAAUGCAUGGGAGUAUGCCUCGCUUCCUACGCAGCUAGAAAAUAUAGGGUAAGGGACUUGAUUACACUAAUUGACUAAUUAGUGCCAUUUUGGUACCUAAUCUUGUUCAUUUUAAAAGAAAUGAUUUUUGUUAAGCAGUUUAAAUUGAUUUUAUGCCUAUCCACUAACAUGUAAGGUGAGCAUGCGGGUGCGCAAUCAUUAAAAUGAUAAUUAUAGCUAUCAAGAUCCUAAUUGCCAUAAAAUUAAACAUGUAUAAUUAACUAUAACAGAAUAUACAAACAAAACAUGCGAUAUAAUCAAUGUACGAGCAAAUCAAGGCCUAAUUACACUAAAAAGGCAAUACCUAGCAAUUCCUAACCAAACCCUAUAUUUUUUGAAUUUUUGAAUUUUUUUAAAUAAUAAUAAAAAUUUUAAUUUUUUUUUGGGCCAGAUCGGGUCAAGUCAAGCUUGACCCGAUCUGGGUUUGGCUGAGUCGGCACAGGUUGGGUUGAAGGAGUCGGGCCGACCUUUAAGCCCACUAAAAAAACCCACAUGAAUUGUUGAAAAGAAAUGGGGACAACUCUUGGCCCAAAACCCAUCUUCAAUUUUUUACUUCAGCCCAUCUGAGGGUCCAUUUUCCAAUUUCUAUUUUCAGCCCAAUCUAUUCAGCCCACGAAACAAAAACCAGCCCGAAGCAAAGCCCAUUUCUCAUUUUCUAUUUUCAGCCUUUUUGUGUGUUUUUUUUUUAGGUCGUCUCCUUCAGGUCUUCUUCUCUCGCAGCCAAAGCACGCCAAAGCUCCUACAGCUCCUCCGCCAAACCGACGUCGACUAUGCCGUGAGUACUGACCGCCCUAAAGAAGUCACUGUGCCAUCGCCUGGCGUCGGUGGUUCUGUCCUACCGACGCCAAGCACCGCCGGCCGCCAGUUGGCCGGCAUUCCUAGAGUCGCCGGGUAAAUUCCAACGAGAUGCGCGCACCUCAUCUCCCCCAAGCAGCUAGGAAAAUGACGGGAAUGGUGCGUGACAACAGUAUAAUCCCAAGCAACGCAGAGAAACCAAAAGCCAAGCUCCGGUCGAGAGUUGGGUUCGGCAGUUUCAAAGAGGCAUUUCGUCGAACAGCUACUGGGCACUACCAAAUUCAAAGGUUUCCCGGCUCAACCAAGCCUCGAACACGCUUUAGGAGUCUUCGAACAUAACAUAUGAGGAACAUGGGAGAAAAAUGCAAAAGCGACGAGGGCCGGAGCUUGCACGAGCUAGUCGGCUACGAGCUAUGGCCCGACGUUUUCCAGAAAUGGGACAGCGGGUUUCAGGGGACCUACCUUGUCCGAGGAAGAGCUGCGGUGGAGGAUGGCACGCGUGCAGGCCUCCGGCAAUGGCUUACUGCUCCCUCGAGCUUCCUUCCUCCAUCUGGUUCACUCUUUCCCCCUUCGAACUCUCUUUGUGCUGCUGGGUUCUGAGGACUACGGCAGUGGUCGGCAGCUCACCGACGGUAGCCGGAUGUUCCGGGGGCUCUUUGACUCCUUCUCCGACCUAUUCUCCUUCUUUUCCUCUCUCCUCUCUCUCUCUCUGUUUGUCUCUCUCUCUAGUUCCCUCUCUCGUGGUGGUGUUCUGUUCCCCCCUUUGAAUUCCUUCUUCUUUGUGCUUUUCUCCUCCUCGGCUGUACCUGUGAUCUCCCUGCAAUGCCAGCUGCGACCUACCGGCCUGAUCCGCGACCACCAACUCCAGCCGAUCGUCCCCUGAUUCGGUUGUUCCCCCUACUCCCCUAUGUUGUUGUUGCUUUUCUUCCUUUUUUGCAAGUGCGCACGAAUGACGGCAGGAGGGAGACAACCAGCUUGUGCGCAGGUUGGGCUGAAAGGGAAAAAGGGCUAGGUCGGGCCCAGCACAAGGGAAAGAGAAAAGGAAAGAGAGGAAGGGGCCAGCCCAAGGCUUGUUCGAACCCGGCCCAAUUGCCCCUCUUUUUUCUUUUUUCUUUUUUCUUCUUUUAAUUUCGAAUUUUUUUAUUUAAAUUUCUUGUAAUUUUUUUUGAUAAAUUUUAAAACUAGUGACGCAAAUGCUCCUAAUGUCUAUAUGUGAUGCAAUUUUAAUGAAAAUUUUUUGUUAAGGGGUUAAAAAUUAAUCCCUAAUUUUCCAAUGCAAUUAAUAAACACUUAAACAAAUCGCCAAAAUUUAGGUGUCAACACCAUCAUGACCUGCCCAUAUGUUCCCCCAAGAGUAGGUGCAUAUUUCAAAUUGUCUCCCCUUUAAACCAUUAUGUGAUGGAGCUGCAGAGCUCUAUCUAUCUCUUUACAGCAGGUCUCCCAGUUGAUUGUAGGUCUCGUGAUUAGAAAAAGUUGAAUCUUUUCCCUCUUAGUUUAUGCUAUAAAUCUCAAAUGGAAAACACUUAGCCAAGAAGAACUUAAAAAUGGUCAUUAAGUUUAUAGAAAAUUUCCCAACUUGCAUGUGCCAAAUUUUCGGGUCAUCUUCAUCCCUGACUUGUACAUUUUUGUCGCCAUCGGGGCUUGUCAAGGGACAAAGUACCCAUGAAAUCCUAUCACGCCUUAAGAGAGCAUUUUUAUGCCAAUGCCUGAUGUUUUUUAGCUUGAACUCGUGCCACUUUGCCACCUUUUUCCAUCUCUGUUCGAAAUUCUUCAAUAUGUCAUACGCAGCUUGUCCCUCAACUUUGCAAUGUAGAUCAUGCCAUGGUUGCCUUGGGACAUUGAUAGUGGACUAUAGUCGUCACCCAAAAAAGAUGUGACAUCCUAAAAUUCGACCCCAUUUCGAUAACGUGAAAUGGGCAUUUUGUCGACGUGCUUAAGGUCCUUUUUCUCUGAGCUAAUCACUCACGAGUUAACUAACCUAUUGGGUGAAGCCGUUAAGGGAUGUAUCUGCGGUAAAAUCCCUAAAAGCUACUUAAUUGGUUGGAUUGGACUAAAAUCGCGUUUGAUUGAUUCUAACCACAAAAUUGAAUUCGAUUUCGGGAAUUGAAUAUUCGAGCGUGUCAUAAUUCAUUUUUAGGACCUCGUCUCAUCAUCCGUCAAAUUAUUGACGAGUCCGAAAUUUCGGGAAAGAAAUUAUCGAAGGAAAAAUCGAAGACCGGAAGAAAUUAAGUAAGUGAAAGAGAAAGGGAAAAUAAUAAUAGUGAUAAGAAUAAUAUAAUUAUCUUAUUAUUUUAUUAUUUUCUAUUUAUUUUCUCUCUCUCCCUUUUCUCUUUCCUCUCUCCCCACGUGAUCCUUCCUCCUUUCUCUUUCUCUCCUUCUCUCUCUUUUCUUUUCCCCCUCGUGCGGAUUUCCCUCCACUGAAUGCCCCUUAUCAAUUCCAACUUUGCUUUCCCUCUUCCCUUUUUUACUUUUUGACUAGUCAAUCACCCUUAUCUCUUCUCUCUCUUAUCUCCACUUCUUCUCUCUCACUCGACACUCUCUCUCCUCUCGUUCGUGCGACACUCCAGCGAAACAGAAGCAGAGACAGCAGCGCUGAGAGAAGAAAAUCGGAUCAGCUCGCCGCACGCCAAGCUGUUGCCACCGUUCCCCGCCUACGCGCCGCCUUGCCGCUCACCGUUCCACCUCUUCCUCACCCACCUUAGUCGUCGUCGCCAUCCUCCUUCUCUUCCUUUCUGUUUCAUGCGAAGCCCGACGGAAGUAGAAACAGAAGCGGUGGCUCUCGUCGCCUGAAGCCGGAGCAGCAACCGCUCGCCAUUCCGCCGUUCACGCGUGCGCCACCCACCGAGCUGCCAUCCGUCCCUCCCCUCACACCAGUCCAGCGCCAUCCAGCUCCAGUUGCCUCUGCCCAGCCCCUGUUCGGCCACCAUAGGCGGUUGCCCGACCACCUCCGGCCACCGUUCGGACCCUCCGGAGCUUCCCUCAUUCUCCAUCGGCCUCGCCUCGCCCUCUCAGCCACCGGACCAACCCCAAGCAGCCAAGAUCAGCCACCCACUGAGUGGGUUUCCAGCCGGUCCGUAGGUCAUUUUGGGCUGUUUCUGAGCCCCAAACCCAGGACUUGCUUUGGGGUUUAUUGUUCCUCAUGUCGUCCCCGUCGGAUUGAUACGCUUUGUGCUAAAUUCUGGUGAGUAAUCUCACUAAUCCCUGCUUAGUUUGCUAAUUAUGCUUAGGGGUUGAUUAGAUUUAAUUUAGUGCAAUUAGGUGGUUAGAUUAGAGUAUAUUAGUGAUUAUUAGACAAUUGUGAUGCGUAUUAGACAUUUUGAUUGUGCAUUUAGCAAGUAGAUUUAGUCUACUAAUUAUUGAAUGCAUCUCGGGAUUUUCCUGACCCUUAUCGGGCUUCAAUUAGGCAAUACAAGCCUAAAUUGGAUUUUUAGUAAUUAAUUAUUAAUUUUCAAAAUUAUUUAUUUAUUUAUUUAUUUUUCCGAAAAUUCAACCAGGAUGGCCGGUGACCGGAAUUUCAUGCUGAUCAUUGUGGUGCAGUCCGUUUAUUUAAUUGAGUUUCGAAUCGUGCCAAAUUAAUUUAAUUAUGAAAUUUUAGGAUAUGUUCCUAUUGGGUUGAUUUUGAUUAUCUGGUUGAGGAAUUUAAUUACAAAGUGCAAUAUCGUUAGUCGUGGUUAAGUGGUCGAGUGGGACCGUAAACCCAUUGAAUAUUGAAAGUGGUCGAGUGGGACUGUAAAACUAUUGAAUAUUGAAAGUGGUCGAGUGGGACCGUAAAGCCAUUGAAUAUUGAAAGUGGUCGAGUGGGACCGUAAAGCCACUAAAUAUUGAAAGUUGCCAAGUGGGACUGUGUCUUCCAUCUAUACUUAAGUUGUGUCCUGAGGAUCGUGAUUCGUAAUUGGGAAUUGAGAUGGAAUAAUUGAGACGACCUAAAAAUGGUCCAACUGACAUGUAAUCGACUAAUUUGACUGAUUGUUCAUUGAGAUAUAUGAAGCAUCUAUAUAUAACCUUGAAUUGCAGGUUGGGACCGAUGCCAAGAUACGUCUUCUGACCUAUGCGUGUUUAGGCAGCCUAUAUUUUAAUGGUUUACUAAUCGGGCCUUGGUGGGGUAGAACUUGCUGAGACGUAGUCUCAUCCCAGUUGUGGGACAACAUUUCAGGCCGUAGGUGAGCCCGAGGAGGAGGAAUCGGAGAAGGAGAACACUGAAGUGAAACCUGAGGAGGAGAAAGAUUUUUGAAGAAGAAGAUGAUCCAGAAAGGGAUCCUUAGUACGACCAGAUGAGGACUGAGGUCUCAUCCUGUUUUGGGAAUCAUGUUUUGAUGUGAGUAGAGUGAAAUUAGAAAGUCAUGAAUAGUUUGUGAAAUACUUUGAGUUAUGUUCUGUAUAAAAGUAUGGUUGUGAAUUUCAAUAUGAAAAAUAUGGCAUUGCUUUUCUAUCCCAUCGAUUUAAUGUUUGGGGAUUUAUAACUGCUUCUGCAUGUGCUUAAUAAAUGAAAGGGUUAGCGAUACAUAGUCCUGGGAUAUCGCAUUAUAAAAUCGACCAAGUGAGAAGGAUGUGUGCGUGCCCAAGGAUCGGGGCGUGACAAAAGAAGAAGAAAAAAGCCAUAAUCAAAUGAUCAGAAAAUAACGUUUACAUGUGUUUACAGUGCUGAAGACAAACAUUAGCUCAAUUACUGCAAAAGUUGGGUUGUGAAUGUCAUUGUUAAAGACGGUGUCAUGAUCGCUAUAGAGUCAAUGCUCGCGAGUGUCGUAUCCGCCAUCACAUAGGUCCAACCCGCCAAUGAAAACUGUUAUUUUGCGGUUGUUUCCCAAGGCUUGAGUGUCAAGAACCACGCACUUUUGGUGGUUCGUGUACAGGGUCCCCACCACCUGGACUACAAAAGAUCCACACACCAACAAAUUAAACCAAACAUUUUCUUAGAUUUAUGCUCGAUUUCAAUCGAAUGUGCAACCUCUGCAACACUAUCAAAUUCCCUAUUAGGUCAGAAAACACAUGCUAUGAUCUAGGACAGCAUGAGACAAAUCAAUAAACUUCCACGGAUUGUCUGAUGAAAAGAGAACCUUUCCCAUGAAAUUAUACCCAAUUCGAAUAAUCAGGUGAAUAAUCAGGUAAUACACAGCGAAAGCAAUGCUUUUGAUGCAAUCAGACAAUGAGAUUUUGAUUAAGAAUCGACCUAAACAUUUAAGGAUACAUACCUGUUGCUUGAAAAUGCUGAGUUUGGUGCUUGCAUAACGAGGGGCAAGCACACAGUGGACGCCAGAGUGUCGAAAAAACUUCUUCGCCUCUUCAUCAUGAGUUUGCAUCAUGCCAUCCUUCACAACAACAUGACACAUGCAGAGUCUCAAUGAUGAGAGAUCUCAAUAAAGAACUAUCUUUUCCUAAGUUAAGACAUUUUCUAUCACAAAGAACAUGGAUUUGAGAUUUGGCCAAAUGGUGGGUUGCACCAUAAAUAAGGAUGCUUAUUCAAGAAAGAGCCAUUAUAUAACAUAUUCUCCAUUCACAUUUUGUAAAGGCUAACUGAAAGGAAGAACCAUUAGAUGUCAAGAUUUUGAUUAGUCCAUCCUUUGUGUUGAAAAACAAAAAACUUAUUAUUCUGUAAAUGUUCACUAAGCCAACAGUAAAAGUAAGAAAAUUCUUUACUAACUAUGCACCAUUCAUAAAAGGGUGAUCCUUAGAUUCGAUGCCAGUAGAAUAAAAAACGUGUUCGCAUGUGGCUCUCAUCACCAUUGAUGCAUUGGUUGUAACUUUGAACCACUCUACUGCACUGGCCCAACAAAUCAAUAGUGAUAGAAGUCGCAGGCAAAAAAAAAUUUCUCGACCCGGUAGUUUUCUUGAUCAUCCCGAAAACCACGGAGACAUUUCCAUGUUUCAACAAUGCAUAAUUACAUGUAAGCAUGGUUUAGUAUUACUGUCUUCAAGAGGAACUUGUUGUGUGAAGUUUUGUCAUCCCAAACAAGCAUGACCACUCGGACACUUUCCUCAGACUUGUACUUCAGGAGCACCCCUAAAGAGAGCUCUCCUCCAUUCGGCAAUUCCCUUGUGGGCUCUCUCACAAGCCUCACAGGAUGAUAAAUGGACCAACCAAUGAUGUAGAUCAAGUGGCAGGCCUCCAAAAUUGCAUGGCAUAUGUCCUCCCAGCACCUGCCUUGCUCAUAAAUAUUCCCAUCAUCAAGCAAAAUCUAAGGCAGCUUGCCCUCUGGGACAUGAGCAUCUUGGUAUAGUGUCACAUCCCCCACCUUUCCUAAGUGGAAAAUAUGUGUUUGGGACAUCAACGUAGUUUGGCCCAACCCCAACACCACCCUUGUAGAAGGGCUUGUCGUUGACCGGCCUGAAUUGGAUUGAGAUGUGAAGUUCCGGAUAGGGCUUGAGGGGGCUCCCGAAGUUGCUAAUUAUCGGGAACCAGUCAUUAAUUAUGUCGCCGGAUACGAUCUUGGCCACCGGUAUCUCCACGACCCCGAUGAGCUCGGCCCCAAACACGUCAUUGUCCUUCACAUGGAACUCCACCUUCACGACCGGGUGCGCCACAGGAACACAGAACUGCUCAUCCCACAGGGGGUUCUCGCAAUUCGGGAUCACCCGAGUCCGGGCAAUUGUGGCUCCCGCCAGGCAAACGGACACAUAGGGGUCACUCGUGAUCAUUGAGUUCUUCCCUGAGGAGCGGGCGGGCAUGGGCUGCUGCCCCCGUAAAGCGGGCACGCAGGGUGGCCCGAGCAUGGAGCAGCACUGCCUUAUUCUCUCCGAGGCCAGGUCCAUGUUUGGGAGGGAUUUGGCCUCCACUAUGCACGUGUCCAGUUCGCCGUGCAAGAAGAUUGGCCCUGUCGUGACGUUAAGCCCAUUGAGUUUUCCCGGUUCUGUGUUUGCGUUCCCUGGUAUUUCAUCCUCGUUGCCCACGCUUCUUUUCGCCGGGUGCCAAUCUUCCAUCUUCUCAAGCACUUCUUGAUCACCUCAAUUUAACCGAAUUUGUGCAGACGUUAGCACCUAAUAAAAGUUGAUGCAGUCUGCUAAAACGAAAGUCAGUUGUUCUAAAGGAAGUAUCGAUUUGUUCACGUAAUUUGUGAAACCCUCGAUGAAUUCGGUCUCUGCAGAAUUAGGAUCCGCAGGUGCUCCUUGCUGAAAAUUAUACGGAAUUAGGGUAAAAACAGUAUGCCCAGAAAUCUGAAGCCUUGGGAAAAUAGCUUGACGAGAAGGAAAAAGAGUGAAAAGGAGAGUUACCUGGUGUCGGAAAAAGCAAGGAGGACCCAGAAUUGGGGAGACGAAAAGACGCCAGACAAUGGAAAAAAGAGCUUUGCGAGGUUUUUGCUCGUUGGAGAGAAAGAAGACAGAGAGAAAAGGUCAAAAGACAACACCACAGAGAGAAAAUACAGGAAAAAUCGAAAGCGAAGAUGGUGGGAAGCCUCAGAUGGUGGGAAGCCUCAGAUGAUGAUGUGUAAGCCUCAGAUGAACUUGGACUUGCAUGGAUGCACACACACCCACACACACACAGGAAUCCAUCUCAUACCUCAAAACUAUUUAUAGAGAGAACCGACAGCAUAUAUGAAAAAUGACAUGAUCUAAAAAGAGGACUUAGUUCUCAACCUACUAUCCUGACCAUGUGUAAUAUCGUGACUCCUGCAGGAACCACAUCAAAUCCUCUCGAGAGAAGUCAUGUAAAUCACCAUCUUGGCAAGCCUUGCCACCCAAGGACCCCAUUUGAGCUCUCUAAUAUCUCCUCCGCAGAAGACAGCGGUGUUGAGGUAUGUCAGAGGCAGCAAGACGAGAAAAGCUCACACCUAACAUCUACAACGUAACAAGUUAAGAUAUUCCCAAACAAAGCAGUGAGAUGGUCAUGGUCACGGCAAAAUUGACGAGAAGAAAAACAAAUGCAAUACUGGACAACACUAAAAUAAUUUCUCUCUUUUCUAUCAUAUUUCCGGGCAGAGCAAGGGGUAAAGAAUGCCUGUGAGCCUACCUUGCCCAUAAACUUGGAAAAGCUAACCCCAUGGAAAGCAAAAUAACACAUCAGAUAGCAAAAUUCUCAUGUUAAAGACUGCAAUGCAGAAGUAUGCUUCCGCCCGAGAGGAAAAGAAAAUACACAAAUAUAAUGAGAUUUGGAUGAGUAUGCACAAAAAAUCAUGCGACAGGACAAGUUCAUCUGUAUUUUAAUCACAGAAAAAAAUGGCUAAUUUCAAGGUCCAGCCCGCAACCAACAUUAAAGCCAAUGUCAUGACAGAUGCAGUGCAAGCAUGUAUCUCCAUCUAAAAACGAGAAAAUGUGCAUUACUUUGGAAUAGCAGCAGGAUUAACUUUGCGGCCCUUGUUCACAAAGGCAACCGCCCACCCUAAGCUACUUAAGUUUACACACGACAUAGAUCCACCACCCCCUAUCCAAGUUCAGUGAAGAAAUCUCGCUAAGCAUCCCACUUAACACCUCUCUCAAGAGUAAAAUAGCAACAAUCAGAUGCAAUUCUUCAUAAUCUUAUGGCAGAUGCAUAGCAAAGUACUCAUUUGCCUCAAUGCAUCACCCAAAUUUGGCAUAGUUGAAAUCUCAUACAAUGAUAUCAUUUUACACAUGGCUAACAAGUAAUGACUACCACACUCUUUAUAUAUUACUCCACUCAAGGAUCUAUUUCAAUAGACUAUAAAAACUUACUUGCUCAACUCCCUUGUCCUUCUGGUCUGUAGCUCCUUUGGUCUUGCUGCGUGCUCCACUGGUCUCCCUACACGCUCUUUUGCCCUGGUGGUGUGAACCUUUAUCCUUCGCCAUAUCCCAUAUAAUUCUGUCCAUAACUGGGAUUCAUUCCUUGGCCAUGUGCACUACCAGUACCCUGCCCUUGAAAUCCAUCAGAACCCUGCCCAUAUGUUCCACUAGGAGCAGGUGCAUAGUUCCGAUUGUCGCUCCUAUAAUCAUUCUGCACUGGAGGUGUAGAGCUCCAUCUAUCUCCUUGUGGCAGGUCUCUCUGCUGCUAAUAGUAACUGUUGUUAUGACCCUGUUGAUUGUAGUUUCCCUGGUAUGAAGGUACUGGAUCCCUCCUCUGCCCUUGAUAUGGAUCCCUUCUACCAGGGGCACAAUUCAUAUUGCCCAUUGGCAUGGGAUUUCUUCUUUCACCUUGCCUUGGGGGACCAUAAGUUUGCUGAGGAGGAUAAUUUUGUGGAGCAUCCCGAUGCAUAGGUCCUUGAUAACCAUAUUGGGGGCUCCCUUGUCUGUUCGGCAUUUGACCUCCUUGCUGGUCAUAUCUAGGUUGGUCAUAAUUUCUAUUGCGGUCACGCCCUCUACCUCCCGGCCUCCCAUACUGAACUGGUGGUGGUCUAUGCGUUAUUACUCCAUUUUCAUAUUUGUCACCUAAUAAUUAGAAAGUUCAACAAAAUAACAAGCGUUCCAGGGUUAUCAUAAACAUGUCUGUUGACACCUAAAUUUUUUGGGUUGAUUUAAAAAAAAAAUGGCAUAUAGUUUAGAAACAUUUUAUUUUUAUUUUUAUUUUGUUUUAUUUUAUUUAGGCCGCCAGUGAACGGAAGAUUUUUCACAUAUUCCAUUUAGAUUUUUCAUAUUUUUAGGUAAUAUACACUAAGAGGUGUAUUUUGUGCAAAGAGGGAAUUUUUCUGGAUAGAAUAUGCGAGAAAUACAAAAGGGGAUAUUGCGCAGGGUGUGUAUAUUUCAACGACAUAUUUAGGGGUAUCGUGCGCAAGUAAAAAGGAAAAAAUAUAUGUCGCGAGGAUACAUUUUUUAGACCUAUAAAAUAAAUUUCGCGCAAAGUAAAAAAGGGUUCCUUUUUCUCGGGCAGUAAAAAAGAACACAAAAAGCAAAAAGGUGAAAGGUGAGUGACGUGAGAGAGAGAAAAGUAAAAAAAAAGGAAGACCCAUUGUCUUCCUCGAGAGGGGGAAACCCUUGACGGCGACGGCACACCUGCGUCGGCAACCGAGCCACCGGCGACCCCUCCCUUCAAUCGCACCAGCGACCAAGCCGCCCGCCGCCGUGAGCAGCACCGCCGCCCCGCUGAUCGGCUACCAAAGCUGCAGCCCGCAAUAGUCGCAACCCGAUCCCUCGUGCAGCCGCGCCGCCCUAUCGCCGAUCUGCAGCCGGAGUCCCAGCGCCCCUGCUCGCCUUCGCCCCGACGCUCGCCGCCGUCGCUCGCCCUUUGCAGCUUCGACGCCCGCAGCUCGUGCCACCCCGACGCUGCCUCUGCUCGUCGCCUGCAGAUCCGAGAUCCCCACAGCAGCCGAUCCAGAUCCGAUGUUGCCCUUGCCUCCCCGUUCGCUGCCCUAGAGCCCCGACGGUCGUCGUUCCGUGUUAAAAAACUUUGGAUGUGUGCACUGCGGAAGCAUGGCUUUGGUAUUGAUGUGUGCAAGUGUAUGUUAUAUUUUGUAGAGAAUGGACAAGGGACAAGAUAUGAUAAUUGAAAGAUAAAGGACAUGAGAUAUGGGGGAAAAUAGUUUCAGUAGUUGAACAAAAUAGUUUGAUGGAGAUUGGUGGAGAUCUAAGACCUCUCACGGUGGAGGGUUUUCCCACAUAAGGUGGACCUCUCACGCCUUUACAUUUGUUGAACUUACAUGCCUAUUAUAGAGACUAAAUACAACAUUCUAGAAUAAUGGAGAAUGUUGUCCACUUAGGCUUAUUCUAGGAAAUUCUAGAUUGUAAUUCUUCUAGAGCCUUCUACCUUCUACACUUUUCUUUUGCCAACUAAGCUAGAUUUUCUUAAGGAUUUUUCUUGACUUUUCUAGCUCAAAUCUUUCAUGAAGUUUCUAGAAUUGGAUCACAAAUUCCAACAUUCCGAAUCCGAUGCCAUCCUUGCUCCGCCCGUGAAAUCGCCGCCGCUGCCGAGCCGAGAUCGGAACGCCGUGUUCGAGCUCGGCCCUGCUCCCUCAAAGCCAGUGACCCGACGCCUCCAUUCGCCAACUACGCCCCGCUGUUGCCGCGCCGGAGUUCCCCCUGCACCCAUGACUGCCUCGCUGGAACCCUCGCCAGUGACCCCCCCCCCAAAAACCAGCGGCCAAGAUUUCCUUUUUUAAAAAAAUUUAAAUUAGGUAUUUUUGCUUUACUUUAUUAGGCAAGUUUACGUUUUUUCUUUAUUUAUUGUUAUUAUUAUCUCUUUAUAUCUUGUUUUCUUUGGUUGAAAUACUUAUCUAUGCAUAAUAAGAAAUCCCAAUAUAUCACCUGAUUUGCAACCACGCCAAGGUUUUUUAUUUCAUCUAUGAGGCUUGAGAUGAUAUAAUUAAUCAAGUGGGAAUAAAAUUGAUAUUUUGAUCUUUAAGGCUUAAGAUCAAUUUAUCGAUUUUAUUAGCAAAAUAUUAUCCCUUGAUCUAAACGAUGUGUGAUAUUUUUUUUGUAAUUUUGAAUGGUCUUGAUUGUUUUAUUUAUCUUGAAAUAUGUAUGAGUUAGAAUAUUGCAUGUUUUAGGGUUAUUUGCAUAUUUAAGUUAAACAUGCUAUUUAUCAUGAAUUUUAAAAAAAAAUAAAAAAAUAAAAAAAUAAAAAAUUCAAAUCAAUUAAUUUAGGUUGCUAGUUUUUUAACUUGAAUUGCAUGUUUAAUUAUUUGGCAAUUGUUAAUUUCGAAAUUAAAAAAAGAAAAAAAUCCAAAAAAUGUUGAAUUAGGAUUAGGUUUGUUUUUUUUGUCUUGCAUAUUUAGAAUAUGGAUUUUAUUUUGAAUAAUGAAAAAGAAAACAAAAGAAAGUACAUUCAUUUAGGAUGCUAGUUUUAUUAUUAUUUGAAUUGCAUGUUAAAUUUUAAUUUGGGAAAAAAGGAAAUGCCACAAAAAAAUCAUCAUGCAUAUGUCAUGUAAAAUUAGGGGCAUAUUUUGUACGUCAUGGCAUAUUAAGGUAAAAUUGCACUUAGUUUAAUUUUGAUAAUUGUUGCGAAAAGACAAGCGAUCGAACAAUAAUUUAAACGAAAGAAGAAAAUAAAUCAGAUACCGGAUUUACGUGGUUCGGUCGUAAAGACUUACGUCCCCAGUAAUAAUAUUUUUCUUAAUUUAUUAUAAGUUUAGGUAUUUCCUUAAAUAGAUUGCAUUUUAGGAUUAUUUGGGUUAAGAUAAUAUUUUAGUUUAAAUUAGGAUUUGGUUUACCUUAAUUCCUAAUCAAAUUGAAUAGGAUCUUAAUCUAGCUAGAUAAUUUUCACAUUUUAUCUAAUUUCGAAUUUCAUGAAAAAAAAACACAAAAAUGUCUUAGAAUAAAUUAGCUUUAUUUUCUAGGAUAAAUUGCAUUCUUUAAAAAAAAAAAGAAAAAGAAAAAAUGUCAUAUGCAUGUCAAUAGGAUUAGAUUCAUGAAAUGCAUGCCAUUUAGUGAUUGUUGUUAGGUCCAUUUAAUUAGAAAUUGCAUGUCAUUGGAAUUAGGUCAUUUAGUUAAUAUUGCAUUGCAUAUUGCAUGAUUUUCAUUAAUCAAGUUAAAGCAAAAAAGAAAUUGCGUGUUAAUUAGAAAUCAUAUCUAGGGUUGUUGAUGUGGAUUCUAAUUUAACAUUGCAGAUGCUUACGUUGUUUUGAGGUAAGAUUUUUUUUUUACAAUUUAUUAAUUAUUUAUCUGGGUGUUAAAUUGGUAGUUUGUGUACCCGCAUGAUCACCUCACAUGUUAGGAAAAUAGAUUUAAAAUCAAUUUAAGCUGCCUGCAAAAACAUUUUUGAAAAUAAAAGAAUGGUACCGAAAGGGCAUUAGAGAAAUCUAGUGUAACCAAGUCCCCGUACCCAUAGUCUCUGGUUCGCAGGAGUAAAGUAAAACUCCCGUUAUUUUACUUGGGUUUCUAAUCGACCCAUCAAGAAUAAAUUAGUGACGACUCCUAAUUAAAAAAUCAAUUGCAUGUUAAGAACUUGAACAUAAGUCGUGAAUUGGUAUGGGCUUGGGAGAGCCCGAGUUAAGUCUAGGCUUAACAAUCCAUUAGCCAAACUCUAGGUGAAUUACCCAAAAAAUUGAUCGCAACAGCUUGGCGACUCCGCUGGGGAUUUGUGUUAAAACACUUAGUGGACUUAGGCCAAAUUUUUUUUUUUGAAAAAUAUUUUUGUUUGACAACGAGGAUUCCAGGUACGUCCCUAACAUUUAGGUGUUAAAUGUUUUUGCAGAUUGGGAGGUAUAAGGGAAGUAGUGAUUGCUAACUUUUGUUUUGUAGGGAGGUGUAGGAAUGUAUGGUGUGUUCUCAUGUUGAAGUGUUGUUUGAUAUAAAUUGCCGUGCAUGCCUUGCAUUUACACUACACUUUUGCACACAACCUGCCGCCGGACCUGGGCCGCACUAGGUCACUUAGGAUGGUAUUGAGUUGGAUACGACUUCGACCGCGAGGCCAUGUAGUAGAGGUUGCCCAACUCAAUCCCGAAAGUUUUUUCUUGGUGUCAAGAAUAUUUACCUCUGCUCGCGAGGCUACAUCGCAUUGGGGUAUCAUUCUUGAUUGAGCCGAAGUUCAGAGGGCUUGAGUUAGUAUGCGAGGCUGCAACUAAGUCAUCCCACCCUUUUAACUCCAUUUUGCUUAGCCUUCCUAGUUAGAAAUCGAACCCCACAUUUCAUGCACUUAUCUAUGUGGUUGCUUUAAUCGUCUAGUAAAGUAAGCUCCCUACCAUUUACUCUUGCAAUUUACUUACUUUAUUAUGUCUUUGGUUAGUCCAUGACAUUAGGUUGGUCGAGUCUUGGUCUAUAAACAAUGGGAAGAUCUGACAUUCGAUUCGUGCCUGCACCAAAGGUUGAACUCAAAUCAUGAUAGGAUCAUCUAAGCCACGAUGGUCAAAGCUAUGUGGAAGGCAGACUUGGUCGCCUUGUUCCCCUCCUCGACAUCGAUGUCUAGAGUGGCGUCAUGCAAGCACUUCCUCAUUUCUGGAGCCCCCGAACAUCAACGUUCAUCUUUGGUAAGCACGAGCUGACUCCGACCCUAGAAGAAUAUAGCAUUGCCAUUGGAAAACCCUUGGAAUUGGAAUUGAUAAAUGCGGCAUCCCAAAAUUCAUAACGACCUCUAGUUACAUUAAAGUCUAUGAAUAUGUGAUGGAAGUAUCAUUAAGUUAUUUUAUAGCUAUUUAAUCCAUAAUUUGCAAUAAGAUUUAUGGCCAAGCUUUUAAUGGAUAAUUAUAUGAUAGGAAAAGAAAAUUCUAUCAUUGGCCAUGUGCAUUAUAAAUUGGAAUUUAUGAAUUUGUGACUACAAGUUUUAUGGCCUUAUUAAUUUUGCAAGUAGAUUCCUAAAACCUACUCUUUGCUUGCUGUAAAGUGUGUGUAGAAGAUGAUAAAUCGUGGUUGUGGUAAGUGGUGCAAUUUCGGAGCUUUGAGGAGAGGUUUGUUGGUCUUGCAUGCUGUUUCUGGAAAAUCAGCUUGACUGUUCACGAGUUUGGGGGUUGCAUGCGACUUUGUAUUUGGAAUUUCACUUCGACCUCUUCACGAAAGUUGUAGAAAACAUCUCAAAGUAUAAUAUACUAAAAUUUGAGACAAAAUUUCUGAGUUUUAAGGGGUGAAACCCUUCCUCUACAAAAAACGCUAGAUCUGAAACUGUUUUGUUGAUCUCUUGGUGGUUUUGUGCGUUGCAUGUCACUUUUUACUGAGAAUUUCACUUCUACUUCUUCACGAAAGUUGUAGAGAACAUCCUGAAUACUAACAUACUCAAAUUUGAGGUAAAACUAACAAGUGUAGCCUAGUGAAACGAUUUUUCCUUUGAAGAUGAUAGAUCUGGAAGUAUUGUACUGGACUCCAGCGACUUCGUGAACUAUAAAGUGACUAUCCGUUGAGAAUCUCGCCUAUAUCCCUUAAUGAAAGUUGUAGUGGAUCUCUUGAGGCAAAACAUAUCAAAAAUUCAGAGGAAAUGAAGGAAGAUAAGUAGGUGAAACCUUGAUUUUUCGGAGACAGCUAAACCUGGACUGUUCGGUACUAGGAACAGGGGCUUCGACCGUCCAUAUUUAAUUAUCUGGGGCGAAUCUGGCAUGGAUGUCUUCAUGAAAAAAUCUACCUUAGGGUCUUGAAUAUCACCUGGUAAAAUUUCAUAAUUUUUGGAGGCCAUUCGGGUAUUUAAAUUGAAAUAUUUCAAGAACUGCGCAAUCUGAUUGUAUCCGAAUUUUGCAAGCUGUAAUGUGUGAGCUAUAUCUUUUUGUGUGAAGUUCUUUUGGGCAUGUGUUCUUCAUGGAGUUGCUACCUCUAUGUCUUGCCUAUCACAUGUUCUGAUUUUAUAAUUUUUGAAGAUCAUAUGGAUAUUUAAUUUAUGUGUUUUCCGAAAUUGUGCAAGCUGGAAUUUGGUAAAUUUCAAAAAGUCAUGAUGUAUGGAUUAUUCUAAGUUGUAUGGACCCCAUGGAUUAUAUUGUCAUAAGUGAUUGGAUCUUGCUGCAUAUAUGAUGAUGAUUGGAACUACAUAUAAGAAUCAAAUGCUGAAAAUGAUCUUGUUUGCCAUCAUAUCAUAUACUCUGUUGAAAUUGAGCCAUAAUUGUGAAUGUGAAAUUGAAAAUGAGAUGUAUGGGAAUAUGCAUUGUGGUGAUGAGAAGACCGUCGGAGGUGUAAGCCGACGAUGCCCCAAGAGUGUCGGGAUGCUCGGAAUGUGGGGGUGCCGGAUGCCCGGUGGCUUAGUGGCUUAAUUCCGGAGGGUCCUCAGGAGUUUCGAGAUGCCCGGUGGUAUACGGUACGUAAUUCCAUAGAGGGGGAAUCCUGGUGGUAUGUCGGUACGUAAUUCCGGAAGCCCUGGAGGUUUGUGCCCAGGGGGAUGCCUCGUGAUGCUAGUUGGGAUGCGAGAUGCCCGGAGGUGUGUGCCGGAUGCCCGGUGGCCUUAAAUGGCUGAAUGCUAGAGGUUCCUGCAAUGUCUGGUUGGAUGUGAGCGAUAAAUUGUGGGAUGCAAACAUUGGUCCCUGAAAAGAAAAACUGAUGAAAUCCUUAUGAAAGAUAAGAAUUGAAAAUGAAUCAUGGGCAUGGGUGUAAGCAUAUGGCAUGAUGCAUGAUCUGCUUAUGAAAAUAAAUUGAUGCUAUUUGACAUUGAGAAUGCGGUCAUGAAGGCUUGAAUGGAUCUCAUGGUGAUGCAUGCUUGAUAGCAUGGAUGAUACGAAUCAUGGUGAUAUAUGCAUGAUGGCAUGGCAAGAUAUGCAUGACUGCAUGGCAAUAUAUGCACGACUGCAUGGUGAUGCGUGCUUGAUAACAUGGAUGAUAUGAGUGCAUGGUGGUAUAUGCACGUUGCAUGGUGAUAUAUGCAUGAAUGCUUGAUGAUGAGUGCAUGGUGAUAUAUGCACCAAUGGCAUGAGUAUGCAUGAAUGCUUAAUGAUGAGUGCAUGGUGAUAUAUGCACAAAUGGCAUGAGUAUGCAUGAAUGCUUGAUGAUGAGUGCAUGGUGGUAUAUACACAUAUGGUAUGGGUAUGCAUGAAUGCUUGAUGGUGAUGGCAUGAUAAUAUAUGUAUGGUUGCGAGGUGAGGUAUGCUUGAUAUGCAUGAAUGAUAUGUGCCUUGUUAUGAUGCCUUGAUUGUUCUGUUUGAUGCAAUGAGUAGUUUGGUGGAUCUUUACUGCUGAGUAGUUGUACUCACCCCUUUUGGGGAAUAAUAUUUCAGACUAGAUAAAAUACCUCUGCUGCCACUGCUACCAGUAGAUGGAUCAAGUGGUUGGAUAUGACCGCGAGGAGGAGGAUAACAAAGGAAUGAACUUUUGGUCGCCGACACUGAUCGAUGGACUUUAAGUAUAUGACUGCUGGAGGAGGUGUCGGUCAUCUUUUGAAGUAUAGCCAAGUAUAGAGAACCAUGGCAUUUUGAUGUACCGAUGAAUGAUGUCCAUCUAGUUUAAGUAAAUAAAAGUGUUCGGCUUUUACCUAUAAAUGUUUAGUUGGUGUGCAUUAUUUUUUGAAUAUAAGGAAGGGAGUUGAUGGAUGUGCUUCCGCCAUAUGAACUGCGCAAGGGACCGAUAAUAAAAGAUGUAAACCCCCAUGGUUGUAUGGACCCACUGCAAUUGAAAUGGUAUCAGAGUGACAUGUUAUCAGGUCAAGCGAAUGGUAAGCGAACUGUGGCGACCUUAACGGAUCGGGAGCUGUUGAGGGGUGCCACAAUAAAUCCACCCCUUGGAUUACAACCAGAAUCAAUUUUGUCUGAUUUUCUUAGAAUGGAUAAGAAUCUGAUAAAAAGAGUACUGAAAGAUAAUUGUCUUGCAUGUCCUUUUUCUUUCCUAGAUCAGAGUUUUGCUAGUGCUAACACUCUCUUAAAAAGUAGGAUCUUCCUCCUAGCUUUCUUCGGGUUUAUUGUUUUCCCUCUUCGUAAAGGCGCUAUUAAUCCUUCUGUCGCAUGGGUGGUUAAACAAGUGUGUGCUAGAAUUAGUUUUGUCAACACUAUUCUAGCUGAAAUAUUUUUAUCACUCACCCGAUUUAAGGAAGAUGAAGAUAAAACCUUUCGUGCACCAAUUGAACUUUUACAAAUUUGGUUCUUCUCUCAUAUGAGUAAGAUUGAUAUUCGCAUGAAUAUUAUUAAUGUCACUAAUUCCCAUCAUCCCAUCAAGGUAUUCAAAAAUAAUCAGGAUUCAACUCCAAAUCUUUCUUACUCAAAAUGGGUCAAAUUGUUGAAAAAUCUGAAUACCAAGAUUUUCCUAUGGUAUGCUAAAUGGUUCCAAGUCUCCAAGGCACGUCUCUCUCAUGGCGAUAAUGAGCCGAUCCCGCUAUUGGGGAUCACCAGUGCCAUUUCCUACUACCCACUCCGAGUGGCCCGUCAAUACUGAGUUGUAUAGGAUCUACCACCCCCUCUCAAGCUGGGUUUGUUCCAAGUCCGAUUCACUGCUAAGGAUGGUGAUCACAAAGAGGAGCUUCGCUGUGUAGAACAAGCUUGGCUCGCAUGUCGCAAACAAAAGUUGAACUUGCUUGAAGAUGAGCUUGAGGGGAAGGAAAAGACUUACUAUGCCACGGCUCGAUACAUCCGUCAGCACAAGAUUCCGAUUGAGUAUCUCCCGAAGGUGCCAGAUGUGACUGAAAAACCCACUCGGCAAGCGGAGCUUAAUCGUCACAAGAGGAAGAUUGAAGAACUCGAGAAGCAAGCCAAGAAGAACGCUAAGGAGAAGAGGCAGCUACGUCGAGCGUUGGCUUCCCAUGUGUUUAUAGAUCGGGCCAAAUAAAGUGGCUUGAAUCUAUUUGGAUUCCCAUGCGUUGGCUUACUUUAGAUUAAUGUUUAAGAAGUUGACUCAUUUACUUGAUCAGUUUAUUUGUCUAGGGCCUUGCAAGUUUCUUUACAUUGUUAAUGUCAAACAAUUUUAUUAAUGAAUAAAAACAGUUAGACUUUCAUCAUGGACCGACAUUGUUUGAUAUGAAGUGCUUAUGUGUAUUCAUUUCUUCAAAUUUAGGUGAUAACGGAUUCUCCACGCUCUCCCAUCAUCACGCAAUUAAGAGCUAGAAUGGCCAAUCAAACUGAAAUGCGCGAUCGUAUCUCCACUAUGGAAGAACAACUUCAACAGUUAACCACCUCCAUGCAGCUUCUGACGACUCAAAUCCAAUUCCUUCGAGCAAAUCCGACUCCUGCGCCCACUCUCCCUGAGAUAAUUGUCUCGAAGGCUCAAAUGGGUGAUGAUCACAUGCCUGACCUGGAAGAUUAUCCACCAUUGAUCACCACUAAAAAGACAAAGCCAAAUAAUGUCCCUAAGGUGGAGCAAGAUGAACGCUUCACAAAGCUAGAAGAAAACUGAAACAAUUGCAAGAGUCAGAAAAUUCACUCCCGUUCGACCUGUCUGUGUAUGAGAAUGUCAAGAUGUCAAAGAAGUUCAAAAUGCCGGAUUUUGAGAAGUGCGAUGGUACUUCCUGCCCAAAAGCUCAUUUGCAAAUGUACCAUGUGCAUAUGGCCCAAUAUGUCAAGAACGAGCCUCUCAUGAUCCAAUCGGUUCAUGCGAGUUUGACUGGACCUGCACUAAACUGGUAUGUCAUGAAGAAUGUGAACCUUCUCGACACCUGGAAUGAAGUGGCCAACGUAUUUCUCAAGCAGUACAAGUUUAAUAUGGAUAUUGCACCUUCCCAAGAGGAUCUUGAGAUGAUGGAGAAAAAGAGAAGCGAAUCAUUCAAAGAGUAUGCCGUGAGAUGGCGAAAUCUGGCAGCUCAAAUCACUCCCGAGCCUACUAACAAGGAGCUGAUGAAGUUGUUUAUCAAAACCCUCUCGUCUGAGUUCCGUAAUCGAAUGGCCAGCACAUACGUUGAAAACUUCAAUCAGCUUAUUCCUAUGGGAGAAAAAAUUAAGGUGGGGUUAAGGGAAGGAUGAUUUACUAAACCAUCGACUAGAAGGUUCUCUGCCAAGAAGGAGAAGGAAGUUGCUGUAGACGUGAAUGUGGCUUAUGGCCAAGAAAGUACCAAUCGUGCCCUGGCUAUCCAGACGAAUCAAAGGCAACAACAAACUGCCGGCCAUCAAACAUUUGCCCAAGCAAGAAGACAGUUCACCCCUCUCCCUGGAUCUCCAUCCCAAGUGUUGGCAAUCCUAAGAAAGAAAGGUUUGCUCACUAGUGAAUUGAAGCGUCCUAACCGUGAAAGCAUUCGAGGCUACAACCCGAUGAAGAAGUGUGAUUACCAUAACAGCGAAUUGGGGCAUUCAACUGAUGAAUGUUUCACUCUCAAGCAUAAGAUCCAAAACCUCUUGGACACAAAGGCCUUCUCAUUUCAAACUGCUCGGUCGAACAUCCAAAAGAAUCCACUACUAGAGUAUGAAGGUACGGUCAAUGCUAUUUUAGAGCCUGAAGUCAAAGGUGCACAUGGCAGAUGCUUACAAUGGGCUAGUGAGAGCUGGAUAUUAUCUAGAUCAUGAGGAUGUUCCUCUAUCACUUAUGAAGGAAAGAGUCACCAGGAUGGUGGAUGAUGGCAUCAUCGUCUAUUCUGACCAUAACUGCAUAGUUUCCACUAUUUCCCCCAUCAUUAUCGAUUGGGAGGAGGAGCAAGCUGCGCUCAAUGCUGAUAAGGAGGAAGUUGAUCCUUCACUCGUGGACAUACCCCCACUUGAAGAUGCAUCCAACGAUGAGAUACUGAUUGAAAUGCCUCAACCGUAUGAAUAUGUCAACAAUAAGGCGGUCCCUUGGUCCUAUGAUCUAGAUGUUGACCUCAUUACAAGAUUUGGUCAAACUUAUCCUCAAGCCAAUGCUCAACCUGCGAAACCUAUCACCGAUGAAGAGGUAAAGGAGUUUCUGGCCAUGAUCAAAGCAAGCGAGUAUAAUGUGGUCGAACAGUUACGAAAGAUGCCCACCCAGAUUUCUUUGCUCGAACUCCUGCUUACAUCCCCUAUGCAUCAAAAGUCGCUGAUAAAGGUGCUGAGUGAAAUUCGUGUACCCGAGAUGGUCGAGACGGACAAGCUAGAAGAUUUUGUGGGAUCGGUCCUUCUCAAGGACAUGAUUGCCUUUUUCUGAUGAGGAAUUCCCUCUUGAGGGCAGGGGGCAUAACAAGACACUCUAUAUAUCUGUCAAGCAUAAGGCUUCUCAUGUGUCCCGAGUACUCAUUGAUAAUAGGUUCACCUUGAACAUAUGUCCACUGGCCACUCUUCAUCGCCUCAAGGUGGACCCGUCCAAGAUACAUGUUGCAAAGACUACUGUUCGAGCUUUUAAUGGUACGAAGAAGGACGUGCUUGGGGAGAUUCAUCUCGAUGUGCAGAUAGGGCUGGUGGUUUUCAAUGUUCCUUUCCAAGUAAUGGAUAUCCCUACUACCUUUAAUUUUCUGCUGGGUCGUCCCUGGAUUCAUACUGCUGGAGCUGUACCGUCAAGUCUGCAUCAAGCUAUGAAGUUCAUGAUUAAAGGGAAGUUGGUCACUGUCUAUGGUGAAGAGGAUCACUGAAUUUAUCAUGAGACGGCUAUUCCCUAUAUAGAGCCAGACUCUGAGUUCGAGUCGAGUUACCACUCAUUUGAGUUGGUGUCCACCAUACAUGCAUCUUGAGGCUCACCACCACCCACUCCUGAAGUUUCAAAUGUUGCCCUUAUGGUGGGAAGGGUGAUGGUUGGGAAUGGUUUUAUUCCUGGUAGUGGCUAUGGAAGAAAUGGUUAGGGGAUUCAAAACCCCAUUGAAGCCCCUCAGAGGUCCCGUGCUGCUGGAUUAAUACCAAGGAAGAGGUGGGGAAAGUUCUAGAGAAUGAAGACAGGAAAGGUGGAACCCGCCACCUGACCAAGGGCAAGGAUGGCAAAACCCAUUACCCCUGAACAUUCACAAGACAUUCCCUGGUCUUCCAAUAAUGAUGCAGGAUGAAGUAGAAAUAAUGGACACCCUGGGGCAGCCAAGCGGAAAACUCGACUAUCUAGUGAAGUAUUCAGCUCCUCCCAGUUUCUACAUUGAUCCCCGCGACAUUGUCCCAGAUGGAUGGGGGGGCAUGGAUGAUCCGACACCCCCAGAGAUAGAAAACCCCGAAGAUGCAUUGGAAGGAAUCACUAGUCUCUUCGAUGACGUCUUCAUAGGGACCAUUGACGAAGGACCUUCAAUGGAGAUGGGCUCUGGCCCACAAGAGUAACUCAUUUACUGCUUUCUCACAUUCCCCUGCGUGGGAAUUUUUAUCGCUUUCUAGGGCUUGUUUUCGAUAUCUUUUUUUUUUCGCUUUCUUUUUAGGGCUUGAAAAUCACAUUUACAUUCAAUAAAUGUAAUUGAUUGAUGAAUAUCAAUAAAAUUACAAGUUUUAUUUUGAGGGCAUGAUGAGGUACACCAAACCAGCCCGGUGAUGAUAUCCAGCGGAUCAAAGAAAAAGAAAAUCCAAUGAGAGCUCUGAGACCUGGGCUUCAUCAUGCUUUCUCGUGUAAAAAAAAAUGUUUUUGCCAAGAUUCUUUUUAAAAAGAAAUUAAAAAAACAAAAACAAAAACAAAAGAUAUAGAUUACUCCAUCUGUCUUUCUAAUUUAUUUACUUCAUGUUUCAAGAGCAAUCUUAUGACAUACAAAGGUAUGAAAAUGGUCCAACCCAAUGCAACAAAUGAUGACAUUGACGAUCUCAAGGACUUGAGUGAAGAUUCCAUUGAGGUGUAGCGAACUUGGGAACAACAUGAAAAAGCCAAGACUCUCACAUCCGAGCAGACUGUCACUAUUAAUUUAGGUGACAUAGAAAAAGUCAAGGAAGUUAAAAUUGGGGCAAAUCUCCCCAAAGACGAGGCCGAGCGCCUAAUUUAGUUACUAAAGGAAUAUCAUGAUGUCUUUGCAAGGACAUAUGCUGACAUGCCUGGUUUAGACCCAUCGAUUGUCGAGCAUUGCUUGCCUACUAACCCGGACGUGCCACCUAAGAAGCAGAGGUUGCGAAGAACUAAACCUGAGCUCUCGAAGAAGAUAGAGGAAGAGGUGAUGAAGCUUUUGAAGGUGGGAUUCAUUGAAGUCUUGCAAUACCUUGAAUGGGUGGCUAACAUCGUGCCAGUGAUGAAGAAGGAUGGUCGAGUUCGAGUUUGUGUUGACUAUCGAGAUUUGAACAAGGCCAGCCCAAAAGAUGAUUUCCCACUGCCUCACAUAGAUGUCCCCGUGGACAGUACUGCUGGAUUUGAACUAUUCUCGUUUAUGGAUGGGUUUUCCGGGUACAAUCAGAUAAGGAUGAAGGAGGAAGGAGGAAGACAAGGAGAAGACUGCAUUUAUCACCCCGUGGGGAACCUUUCAUUACAAGGUCAUGCCCUUCGGACUCAAGAACGCAGGGGCAACUUACCAACGAGCCAUGGUAACACUAUUUCAUGAUAUGAUGCAUUAGGAGAUUGAAGUCUAUGUUGAUGAUAUGAUUGCAAAGACUCGGCCCAGAAGAAGCCAUGUGGAAACCCUGAAGAAUUUGUUUGAUCGACUUCGUGAAUUCAAGCUUCGGCUAAAUCCCGCUAAAUGCAUGUUCUGGGCAACAUCUGGUAAAUUACUCGGAUUCAUUGUAAGCAGUAAGGGGAUUGAGAUCGACCCAUCCAAGGCUAAAGCCAUAUGCGAGUUGCAACCUCCAUCAAUAGUGAAAGAAGUUCUUAGCCUUUUGGGAAGACUGAAUUACAUAGUUCGGUUCAUUUCCCAACUCUCUAAAACUACCAAGCCAUUCUUCAAACUCCUAAAGAAGAAUGCACGAAUCAACUAGGAUGAUGAGUGCCGAGAAACGUUCAAUAAGUUGAAGCAGUACUUGAUAAAUCCACCAGUUCUUGUCCUGCCAUCACCGCGACAUCCCUUGAUUCUUUACCUCACCAUUCAUAGUGAAUCGUUGGGCGCGAUGUUGGCUCAGGAAAGUCCUGUUGAUAAAAAAGAACGAGCCAUUUAUUAUCUGAGUAAGAAGUUCACUAUAUCAGAGCUAAAGUAUUCUAAUGUUGAAAAGACUUGUGCCGCAUUGGUAUGGGUAUUGCAUAGAUUGUGACAAUACACACUGUAUUACCAGACGUUCCUCGUGACUGAGAAUGACCCCAUCAAGUACUUACUUGAUUGGCCAGCUUUGGUGGGUUAGUUGGCCAAAUGGCAAAUUUUGAUCUCCGAAUUUGAUGUUCAAUUCAUGCAACAAAAGUCGGUUAAGGGUCGAGCGAUCGCUGAUCUAUUAGUUGAGAAUUCAGGAGUCUCUAAUGACGAUGACAGUUUCCUUGAUGACCAUGUCUUGAGUGUAAAUGAAGACUCAUGGAAGAUGCUCUUUGAUGGAGCCGUAAAUUUGUCCGGUUCUGGUACUGGGGCAAUUCUGAUAUCCCCAGAUGGACAGCACUACCCGGUAGCUGCAAAAUUGACAUUCUCAUGCACCAACAAUGUGGCCGAGUAUGAAGCUUGCAUCUUCGGACUUUAAGCUGCAAUUUAGAUGGGUGUGGCCAGGUUAAUGGUAUUCGGAGAUUCAGCACUAAUCAUACUGCAGACUGUAGGUGAGUGGAAGACCAAGGAUGCCAAAUUGCUCCCAUACCACAAGUAUUUAAAAGGUCUCAUGAAGCAAUUCAAAGAAAUAUCGUUUGAAUACUUGCCAAGAUCUCACAACCAAUUUGCUGAUGCACUCGUGACUUUGUCGUCCAUGUUACAAGUCACUGAUGGGUUAGAAGUCGAGCCAUUGAAGAUAGAAGUUUUGCCGAAGCCAGCUUACUGUAUGAUCAUAACUAAAGAACCUGAUGGAAAACCAUGGUAUUACGAUAUCAUGAGCUACAUUAAAAGGCAGGAAUUUCCCGAAGGAAGCACUCCCGCUGAUAGGAAGUACAUCACAAAGAUGGCCUUAAAAUUCUUCGUCAGUGGUGAGAAUCUUUACAAGAGAUCCUAUGAUUCAAUCUUGUUGCGAUGUGUGGAUGUAGCUGAAACCACUCAGAUCAUGCAAGAAGUGCACGAAGGAAUAUGUGGCCCUCACAUGAAUGGGCAUAUGAUGGCUAAGAAGAUCAUGAGAUUAUGCUACUAUUGGCUCACACUAGAAAGUGACUGCAUCAAGUAUGUACGAAGUUGUCACCACUGCCAGAUUCAUGGUGAUAAGAUAAAUGUUCCUCCAACUGAGCUGUAUUAGUUUUCCGAGCCAUGGCCCUUCUCAAUGUGGGGCAUUGAUGUGAUUGGCCCGAUAAAUCCUAAAGCCUCAAAUGGGCAUAGGUUCAUCUUGGUAGAGAUAGACUAUUUCUCUAAAUGGAUCGAAGCUACAUCCUUUGCAAGUGUCACCGCUCGUAAUGUUGCGAAGUUCAUUAAACGCGACAUAAUUGCUCGUUACAGCAUUCUGAAGCGAUCGUCACCGACAACGGAACAAACUUGAACAAUAAACUCGUUGAUGAAUUGCUCAGCGAUUUCAAGAUCAAGCAUCUAAAUUCGUUUCCUUACUACCCUAAAAUGAACAAGGCUGUUGAAGCAGCCAAUAAGAACAUUAAGAAGAUCUUGGCUAAAACAGCCGAGAAUUAUUAAGAUUGGCAUGACAGAUUACCUUUUGCACUAAUGGCAUACCGGACAUCGAUCUGCACUUCUACUGGGGCAACCCCUUUUGCUCUAGUGUACGGCAUGGAAGCAGUUCUGCACGUGGAGGUGGAGAUUCAUUCUCUGAGAGUUUUAUCCCAAGUGGACUUGUCUGAGGUUGAAUGGAUGCAGCAAAGACUUGAGCAAUUAAACUCGAUAUAUGAGAAAAGACUGAAGGCUCUUUGUCAUGGCCAAACUUAUCAGUUGCCAUAUCCUUCAACCGAAAGGUAAGAAAGAGACAUUUUGAGAUAAAUGAUCUUGUUCUAAGGAAACUGUUGCUGAUUUUUCCAAAUCCUGGGGGCAAGUUUGCUCCAAAUUACGACGGCCCAUAUGUGGUAAAGAAGGUACUUCCUGGAGGUGCCCUAAUCUUGGCAAAAAUGGAUGGUUGUGAGUUUUCUGCUCCAGUCAAUACUGAAGCUGUCAAAAAGUAUUAUCCAUGAUAAAAUUUGCUAGGUCUUGUCUUGAACUACAAUUAUUUUAUGAUGAAUAAGAUGCCUCAAUGAGUUGAAUUGUUCAAAUUUGUCAUAAAUCUUGCAUUUUUCUUCCUUAAUGAAUUGUGUGAGAUAAAUUGAAUGUGUCAAAUGGGAUACCUUGGAAUGAUGAAAGGCAAACCUUAUUCCAUACACUAUCCCAUACACUAAUUCUCAGUGAGUUGUGUGGAGAAAUUCCAUGCUCGCAAGGAAAAGGGUGAUCUCACAAAGGGUACGUUAACCAAGGUGAUGCGAGGCAGUUUCUUCUUCUACCUAAAACACUACAGGUAUACCCAUUGUUUAGCCCUUUGAGCCCAUACACAUGAAGAGCUUUUUAAAUUAUCCCUGUCAAGGAUCAUCCCAUAUUGAGACAAAAUUUGAAAUGAAUAAUAGGAAUUUUCUUACUCACACUUGCAUCAAUCUUCGAACAUUGCUUUUGCAUUGUAACUCAUACGAUAGUUUGAAGUGCCUUAGGAUGAUGAAGAGCAGUUAUUUUUCUAUCCUAUACACUUUUAUCCACUGUAUAGCCCACUUGAGCUUAUGAAUUCAUCUCAUAUUAAGCCAAGUUGGUGAUCAUCCCCCCACACUGGGGCAAGACAAAAACAUUCAAGUAGCAUGAACUAGAAUGCCGACAAAAUGGAGACUCUUCAAGGAAAAUAAGUGUAAAAAAUGGGGCAUGAAAAAGCAGUGUGAUUGGUAAAAGCAAAGCCAAUGCCCAAAGAAAAAAAAAGGGAGAAGAAAAAUCAAACUCUUGAUAUAAUGAGUCGUAUCCCCAACAAGGCGGUACCAAAACUCAAAUGCUGUUGCAAUUAAUGGAGAUUUGAUGAGAGAAAAUCUUCGAUAGUGGAGAAGGAAAGUAGUGGAAAUGUCAAGAUGAUCACCAACUUUGACUCCCUAAACACCUUUUUGAGCCUAAUGAUCCAUUCGUUUAUCAACCCAUGAACCAAGCCUACAUUACGUCCCUUACAAAGUCUCUUCAGAUUAUGGCACUUGAAUUAACGUAAGAGUUCAUAUGCUUGAAAGCAUUGCUUGACGAUGUGUGAGUAAGAUAAUUUCUACCUCAUUUCGUGUGUUUCUUGACUUGUAAAUCCCAAGACAAUUGCGAAAUGUCAUCUUUCAAUAGCUUCGACUCAAAGAGUCCUCUUUGUUAAGCCAUUGACCAAGCCGACAAUAUGGUCCCUGUUAAAGACCCCUCAGAUUGGUAAGGUCAUACCACUUGCGAGAUAGCUCAAACCCUUGUCUGGCAUGAUGAUGGUGAGAUAGAAUAAUUGUCAAGAUCCUGCAUCAAAGGUCAGGAUAAAACAACCCAUUUUAAAGAGGAAGAGUGAAAAGUCCUUUUAGACUGAAGGAUCUCUCAUUUGACAUAUCCAUGACACUCAUACGUUCAGAUUCGAAUCAUCUUUCGAAAUCAUUUCUAUUGGAAUUAGGGUGAUGCAUGGUUGAUAGAAAUCAUUACGCAUGAACCUUACUUGAAUUAAUGCAUGUCUAUGAUUAUAAAUGCAUGUUGCCUCUCCUACGAUCAUGUUUUGCAGGAGACAUAUAUCCAAGGAACAAAGAUGUCACCACGUAAGUAUAUCCCUAUCCAUACCUUAAAUAUUUGUGAUUGCACAGGUAUUUCCCUUUUAAAUACAUUGACACUGUUGACACCUAAAUUUUGGCGACCGGUUUAUUCAUUUAUCGCAUUAAAAAAUUAGGGAAUAAUUUUAACCCCUAAAAAAAUAUAUUAGUUAAUUAACUAAUUGCAUAGAAUAUAGAUUUAGGUGCAUUUGCAUUUUUUGCACCGGUGGUGGAUGGGUUUGAAUUAGUGGUUCUGAGCUUUAAAUUGACAAGCCGGACUAAGCCCACGAAGUGAGCAAAUUGGCCCAGGCCUUUUUUUUUUUAUAAUAAAGAAUCUCGUGAAAAAUAGGAAUUUGAAAUUUUUCCAAAAUAUGAUGAAUUUUUUGGAUAUGGUAAAUGUGAAAAGCAAAUAUUGCAUUUUGAAAAAGAAUCUUUGUGGAUAUGAAUUUGGAAAAAAUUAAAACUCUAAUCCUCACCCUAUAAAUAAGUUGUUUGCAUAGAGUUUCAAAGGGGGCCACACAAUAGAAAGAUACGGCCACGAUGGGGGUUUUCUCUCGAUUGCCAGAAGAAAGAAAAAAUCGAGCUCAAGCAAAGAGAGAGGUCCUUCGGUUUUUAGGGUUUAUGAGAGGAGAAGGUCUUGACUUUUUCCUUUUGCAAAUUUAAUGCCACAGAAAGUACGAAGGGAGCAGAGAGAGACCGGUGAGUGGGACGUGAGAUAGGCAGGAGGAGAGAGAGGGAAAAUUGAAAAAAAAAAAAGAGAAAAGAAGAAGAACGUUGUUCAUCUUCUCCGGCGUGCUUGCUGCCAUUUGCCUGAGCUUCGGCCGUUGCUCGCCGGACGUCGUCGUCUCGCCACACAAGAGCCACCCAACUCCUACUCUGCCCUGUCUUGCCAGAAACCACGACCCACCGCACCAGCAACGACGCCCCGGCUCCGCCUCUGCCCUGUUGCCGUCGGAGCACCGUUCGCCCACGCCUAGAGCCUGACCCAAGCCGGAUCGUAGCCCCUCCGCUCCGACGACGCCACUGCUGUUCUUGCUUUGUUCGCGUCUACAGCCCUCCGCUCAGCUCUGCUCCGUGCCUCUGUUCAGGCUUGAAGCCAGUCGCUGCACCUCCUCACUCAAGCGACCACCCGAGCCGCUUCCAUCGCGCCAAAUCUGGGCGCCGAGCAGUACGUCCGUCUGACAUCUCGCCCCUGCGACCGUCUCCACUCCACCCGACGACCCGCGACCCUCUGCUCUGACUCGACUCCAGCAGCACCGUGCGACCUGACUCCAGCCCGAAGCUCCGCUAGCCAUUGUUGCACUCACCGUCUGCAACCCGCGGGCCAUCCCGUCCCUAAAGCCCAGCAACGACGCCGCCUUCGUUCAAUCUCAUCGCGCCUCGCCUACCCGCCGCGACACCAGCAACUCGCGAAGCCACCACUGCGUCACCGUCGCAACCCGCUUGCUCGCGAGUCUGAUCUACCAUCUCUGGUCCGACAUCAUCAUCCCCCUGCAGCAAAGCUUGAGCCUUUCGUUCACUGCUGCUCCUCGCUGGCACCUUCAUCCUUGCUGGAGCUCCAACCGGCGUUGCCCCCUUGGUUGAUUAGGCUGCCAAGCCCUAUUUGGAAGGAAAAAGAGGAAAAAAGGGGAAAAAUUAAUAUAUGUAGUUUUAUUUUAUUUUAUUUAUUUAUUUAUUUAUUUAUUUAUUUAUUUUGUUUUUUAGUAUAUUUGUUCCUUAAUGUAAGAUUGAAGCUCCCGACAUGAAAUUGCCUCUGAGAUUUGGGAUUGACAGUUCGAUUUUCGCGCCCGAAAUCCGACUCGCAAUCACAAUUGCUUGAAAAAUCGUCAAUCCGAUCUUCCGCUCGAGAUUUGAUUCGCGAUUUAUUUAAAAAUUGGUCAACCUGAUCUCAUUCGCGAGAUAUGGUUCGCCAAUUUGUGGAUAUCGAUCCUAUCUUAUUUUAUUUGCUAUCAUGUUGGUUGAAUCAAUUUUAUUUAUUUAUUUAUUUUUUUUUUUGGUAAAGGGUAAUGAGAAUCAAUUUUAUUUUGUUAAGUAAAAAUUCCAAAAAAAUGCAUUCAUUUAGGAUGUUAGUUUUUGUUUAAUUUAAGUUGCAUAUUUAAUUACGUGUCAAUUUUUAAUUUCGAAAUUAAUUAAAAAAAAUCACCAUGCAUAUGUCAUGUAGAAUUAGGGCAUUCUUUGCACGUCAUUGCAUAUUAGGAUAGAUUGCAUGCUUAUUGAGAAAAUAAAAAUCAUGUGCACGUCAUAUGAGAAUUAGGUUCAUGAAAUACACGUCAUUUAGUAAUUGUUGCUAGGUUCUUUUAAUUAGAAAUUGCCCGUCAUUAAGAUUAAGUCAUUUUGGUUAAUUUAUAUUGCAUAUUUAAUUAUUGCAUAUUCAUUAAGAAAACACAACAAAAUUAUUUUACUCAUGUCAUAUAUUGCCAUGUCAUAUCAUUUCAUUAGUAGCAUGCAUUGCAUGAUUCCUAUUAAAAAAAAUGAAAACAAAAAUUGAACGAUUGCAUGUUAAUUAGAAAUCAUAUCUAGGAUUGUCGAUAUGAAUUUUGAUUUAACAUUGCAGGUGCUUUCGUUGCUAUGAGGUAAGUCUUGCAAUUUAUUAAUCGUUUUAUCUGGGUGUUAAAUUGAUGGUUUGCGCACCUACAUGAUCACCUCACAUGUUAGGGAAAUAGAUUUAAAAUUAAUUUAAGCUGCCUGUGUUAGGGAAAUCCCUUAUGAUGUUUUGAAGAUGACAAAAUAAAUCAAAGGCUACUAACAUGUUUGAUGGUUGAGUAAUAGACCAUGCAGAUAAUAGAACAUGUAAAGGAUAUUAUCAAAGUCUGAAGACUGCCAGACUCAAGACUCAAAGUCUGAAGAUUGCGAGACUCAAGACUCAAAGUCUGAAGACUGCCAGACUCAAGACUCAAAGUCUGUUCUACAUCAGAAGUCUGUCAACUCUGACUAAUUCCAGACUGAACGUGAAUGCUGAACCAGAAGACAGACUCUAUGCUGAAGCUGAACUGGGUACAGACCUUAAAGCUAAAUCUGUUCAGAAGCAGAUAUGUUCAGACCCAGAUUGUAAAGUCUAGAGACUCAGAUUGUAAAGUCUAGAGACUCAUAUUGUAAAGUCUACAGACUCAGACUUUACAUCCAGAUUCAAUGAAUCGUAACUUAAGCCCAAUCAUACAACGGCUAGUGAUCUGGUUUGGAUUCCACAUCAAGAUUGAUUUGAUUGAUUCAAUCUAAUUGAUUGACGAUUGGAUGUUGAAGACAAGAUCUUUGUAUACGAAGAAGCUUUACUUAUGGAAACCAAGAUUUCGUUUGUAUGGGCGAUCGGAAUCAAUUUGGGAUUCUACCUUUGUCACUCAACGGCUACCAAAUCUUCUAGAUACAGAGCUGUCCAAUGGGUAUAUUGGAAGACGAUUCUCCGGGAUACUGUCCAACGGGUAGUUUGGAAGUGGAGGAGUAUUUAAGGAGAUGAAGGACCGAUGAGCAAGUAAGAGACGGAGCGUAGAAUUUAUAAUUCCAAAGUCUGAGCGACUUUAGAUCAUAUACUUGUCUCUUGAGAGCUUAAACGUUUGUAAUCGUGAGAGAAAUACCAAGAGAGUGACUUAGUGAGAUAGUGUGAUCUACUAAGUGUUUGCACUCGAAGUUGUAAUCUCUUGUUGAUUGCAUAUUGGAAUCCAGCCAAGAAGGCUGUUAUCGUGGGAGAGUGGACGUAGGCUUGGAUUAAGCCGAACCACUAUAAAUCUUGUGUUCUUAUUCUCUUCCCUAACUCCUUUAUUUUGUUCAUACUAGCACUCUCAGCCUGCCAAAGCAUUUUUGAAAAUAAAAGAAUGAUACCGAAAAGGCAUUAGAAAAAUCUAGUGUAACCAAGUCUCCGUACCCAUAGUCUCUGGUUCGUAGGAGUAAAGUAAAAUUCUCAUUGCUUUACUUGGAUUUCUAAUCGACCCACCAAAAAAUAGAUUAGUGGUGACUCUUAACUGAAAUAUCAUUUGCAUGUUAAGAACUUGAACCUAAGUCGCGAAUUGGUAUGGGCUUGGGAGAGCCCGAAUUAAGUUUAGGCUUAACAAUCCAUUAGCCAAACCCUAGGUGGUUCACACCCGAAAUUUAGGUCGCGACAGCUUGACGACUCCACUGGGGACUUGAGUUAAAACUCUUAGUGGACUUAGGCCAAUUUUCUUUUUUAAAAAAUGUUUUUAUUAAGCAGCAAGGAUCCCAAUUACGUCCCUAACCUUUAAGGUGUUAAAUGUUUUUGCAGGAUGGGAGGUAUAAGGGCAGUAGUGAUUGUUAACCCUUAUCUUUCAGGUUGAAGUUAAGGAUGAAUGUUUUAAAUUCAAGUUAUUGAAGUGUUGUGUGAUUUAAACUAUUGUGCAUGCCUUGCAUUUGCAAUACACUCUUGCACACACAACCUGCCAUCGGACCCCUGCCGCAUUGGAUCAUUUAGGAUGGUAUUGAGAUGGAUACCACUCCGACCACAUGCUUGCAGUACGAGUUGCCCAUCUCAGUCCCGAAGUCUCUUUCAUGAUGUCAAGAGUACCCACCUCGGUCCGCAUGCCUGCGACCUAGGUCGGCUCUUUGACCAAGCCAGAGUCAUGAGGACUCGACAUAGUUCACAAGCCCGUGGCUAGUCUGAUCAUUCUUGUGGCUCCACCUUGAUAAGCCUUAUAGACUAGAAAUCGAAUCACUUACCAUGCGCAUGUCUAUGUGAUUGCCGUCGAUUUGUCUUGGUGAAGUAAGUCUUCUAUCUCUAUACUGAUGCAAUUUACUUACUUUGUCAUACUCUUGGUCCGUUCAUGACAAUCUAGGUCAAUCAUUGAUUUAAUUUAUUUGUCAAUUAGAAAUGAAAUGAGGAAAUUGCCAUGCAAUGAAUCAUUUGGAAAAUAACAAAAAAUUUGGUGAAUUUGUUUUCAAUUCAUGUCUAGGAAAUUUGGUCUUGUUAGGGUGUCUAUCUUUAUUUUCCUAGUCCAUUUUUUAGGAAAUGCCCUUCUUGUACGAACUUUUCAUGAAUAAAUAAAAAAAAAUAGAAAAAUCAAUUAGAUCAUUGUCAUAGAUUGACUUUCUAUUUACCCUCAUUCUUACAUGUUCUCGUUCAUUUGAACUAAGUGAUUAUGGAACAAUCUCGCUCACCCAUCUGUUCACGAUCAAGAGCCCAACUGAUGGAUCAAGAACAGCUUAUCUCAUCAAGCAAAAGUGUUGCGAUCUAUCUUUAGUGAGAAAUUGCAACUCCAAAAAGAGAGCCAAGAAGACUUUUUGACUCGUCUCAUUUUCCUAAGGUAGCCGAAUUUGAUGCCACCAUGAAGAGACUAGUGACAUAUCCAAAGGGAAGAAUAUUUGACUUGAAGGGUUCGUAUCACAAGAUCAAUCAGGGUGAAGAAUUCAAGUAUACAUGAUUCAUGGUCCUAAGUAGUUCAAUUUUCUCAUUUAGUCAGGGGCAUGCACCUUCCCCUGCGUGGGAAUUUUUAUCUCUUUUUAGGGAUUGAUUUCAAUUUCUUCUAUGCUUGAACAAUCCAUUCCAAUAAAUGUAAUUCGAUUGAUGAACAUCAAUAAAAUUACAAGUUUUGUUUUGAGAACAUGAUAGGGUACACCAAAUCAAUUCGAUGACGAUAUCCAACGAUGAAAAGAAAAUAUCAUCCAUGGAGAAAUUUUGAAGACCGGGCUUCUUCAUGCUUCCUCAUCCAAAAUAUUCCUAAAAAAAAUCAUUUUUUAAAGACAUUUCCAAAAGCAUGCAUUAGUUUACCCUUAUUUGUUUUUCUAACUCAUUUACUUUAUGUCUCAGAACAUAACAGAGAGGCGUUUGAAAAUAACACUUCAAGUUCUAGUGAUAGUGGGCCUGUUGAUUUGGGAACAUACAUCUGAAGGAAAAAUAGAUGUGGGGGCAAAGGAUCAUUUCCUAGCUAAUCUUGAUAACAUCUCCCAAGAAUGAAGAAGACAUUAAGCACUACUUAUCCUCUUACUUGUUCUGAGCGAUUUCCUUGCACAUUAAUAAGAAACCGAUGGUAAGUCAAAAGAAGAUCAUUUAGAUUCCAAAGUGUGAUGUGUGACACAAAACAUCUCAUUACGAUUUGUGUGAGAUGUCAAAUGAAGUUUUGAGAAAAUGAUGGAACAAGUCAAAAGAGGAUCAUCCGUCUUGGAUGAAAUGGAUACAUUGUGUUCAUGAAUAUAAUUAAUUUUGAAAUUGACACUCUGUUCUUUUCAAUGCAGAUAAUGAAUUGGGGCACUACAAAUUUUAGUAGUGACAUAACUGAGACAAAAUCUCAAUCCGAGCCAAAAUGAUUGUGCAAUUUGAAUUUACUUUGAUAUUGCAUGGUAUUAUUUUCAUGCAUGUUCUUUUGCGCCGAGGCAAAAGUGGAUUUUCAGUCUUGAAUGAUAGGGACAAUCCAAGGACACCCAAUUGCUGAGAUAGUCCCUUCGUGGGACAAUACCUUGAUUGAAUGCUUGAGAUCAUGUUUUUCAUACUUAUGAGAGCAUGUUUUGUCUGUUUGAAAUCACAAAAGUUUUUCAAGCUUAAAGUUGUUGGACUCUUUUGAAAAGAGAAUUUUCAUAUUGAUUUAGCUCACCAAUUUCAUGAGGAGAUUUGUCAAGAUAGACAACUCAAUGGAGAGACACCAAUGCUUAAGAAUGCUGAAUGAGACAUAUCAGGAUGAUGAAAGGCAAGCUUUAUCCUAUACAUAGUCCCUUACUUAUACACUUGUGAGAUGAGUGUAGAAAGUUCCAUAUCCACAAGGUAAAUAAUUCUCUCGCAAAAGGUACGAUAACCGAAAUGAUGAGGGGCAAUUUAUUUCUCUAUCCUAAACACUACAAGUGAUCCAUUGCUUAACCCCUUUGAGUUCCAUACACUUAUGAAAAGUCUUUUCAAAUUAUCCCUGUCAAGAACCACCCCACAUCGGGGCAAAUUGGAGGUAAGACAGCACCAUAAGGUAAAGAAAAUGGAAAGAAAUUUUCUUGCUCUCACUUGCAUCAAUCUUCAAGUCGUGCUAUUACAUUAAAUUCAUGUGAUAAUUUAAGUGCCUUAAGAUGACGAAGAGCAUUUCUUUCUCUAUCUUACAUACUUAUAUCCUUUGCAUAGCCCACUUGAGCCUGCAAUUUCAUUUCUUUAAACCCAGUUGAUGAUCAUCCCCCACAUGGGGCAAGGCAAAAGGCAGAUGAAGACUCUUAAAAAGUUCGAACGUCAUUCAAAGUCUAAUUGUUUAACGCAUGCAUUGUGCACAAGAAUUGAAUUCGAAAUAGGACUAAGGGACAUGAAAAAUCAGUGUGCCUGGUAAAAGCAAGGCCAAUGCCCAUGAAAAAGAAAUGAAAAAAAAAAAUGAAUGAGAACUAGGGGCAUGAAAAAGCGGUGUGCCUGGUAAAAGUAAGGUCAAUGCCCAUAGAUGAAAAUGAAAAAUGAAAAAAAAAAAAAAAAGAGUCAAGAUAGAUGACUAUCAGUUGCAAAGAUUGUAUCCCAAUGGAGCAGUACUCAAAGAGUCAAGAUCAAUAGGGUGCCUUAUGAAGACCAUCCCCGAUGGUAAAAAAGAAAAUUGGUGGCAAUACCAAGAUGAUCAUCAACUCUCACCAUUCACAUAUAUUUUGAGCCUAAUGAUCAUUUCAUUUCUCAAUCCAUGAACCCAGCCUACAUUAAGUCCCUUGCAAAGUCUCUUCUAAUUAGAGGACUUGAAUUAACGUAGGAAUUCAUAUGUUUAUAAGUAUCACUCGAAGAAGUGCGGGCAGGAUUAUUUCUUUAUCAUUUUACAGGGUUCUUGACUUGUAAACCCAAAGAUGUUUGAAAAGUUGUUCUUUCAAUAGCCUUGACUCAAAGAGUCCCUUUGUUUAGCCGUUGACCAAGCCCAAAAUUAGAAAUUGCCCGUCAUUAAGAUUAAGUCAUUUUGGUUAAUUUAUAUUGCAUAUUUAAUUAUUGCAUAUUCAUUAAGAAAACACAACAAAAUUAUUUUACUCAUGUCAUAUAAUUUAGGUUAUAUUGCCGUGUCAUACCAUUUCAUUAGUAGCAUGCAUUGCAUGAUUCCCAUUAAAAAAAGUGAAAACAAAAAUUGAACGAUUGCAUGUUAAUUAGAAAUCAUAACUAGGAUUGUCGAUAUGAAUUAUGAUUUAACAUUGCAGAUACUUUCGUUGCUAUGAGGUAAGUCUUGCAAUUUAUUUAUCGCUUUAUCUGGGUGUUAAAUUGAUGGUUUGCGCACCCGCAUGAUCAUCUCACAUGUUAGGGAAAUAGAUUUAAAAUUAAUUUAAGCUAUCUACCAAAGCAUUUUUGAAAAUAAAAGAAUGGUAACGAAAGGGCAUUAGAGAAAUCUAGUGUAACCAAGUCCCUAUACUCAUAGUCUCUGGUUCGUAGGAGUAAAGUAAAACUCCCGUUGCUUUACUUGGGUUUCUAAUCGACCCACCAAAAAAAUAGAUUAGUGGCGACUCUUAACUGAAAUAUCAUUUGUAUGUUAAGAACUUGAACCUAAGUCGCGAAUUGAUAUGGGCUUGGGAGAGCCUGAGUUAAGUUUAGACUUAACAAUCCAUUAACCAAACCCUAAGUGGUUCACACCCGAAAUUUAGGUCGCGACAGACACUUAAUUGAGUUGUCUUCAAAGAUUUUUCUCCAGAUUUAGUCUGAUUAAGGCGACCGAAGAACGGUUUGAGUCCUGGUCAAAUAAUCUGUGUUGCAACGUUAGGCGACCGUAGAAUGGUACGGAUCAUAAACAACAUUUAUUGCUCUAAUAGGCAAUGGUAUAAUGGCACGGGUCCUGGAAAAGCAAUUUCCCCAUUCAGGCGACUAUAGAAUGGUACGGGUCCUAAAAGGUAAAUCCCCGUUUAGGCCACCAUAGAAUGGACCAGGUCCUAGACAACCUCUAUUUCCCUAUUCAGCCGACUGUAGAAUGGUAUGGGUCCUAGAAAGUGAAUCCCCCGUUUAGGUGACCGUAGAAUGGUAUGGGUCCUAGACACAACCGAGCAUUGACAUACUGGGCGACCAUAGAAUGGUACAGGUUUUGGACAUGUAACACCAACUACCUUGAACUACUCUAUCUUCCUUGAAGGUAAGUUAUUCUAGGUAGGUUCAUUUAUCAUUUGCAUUACCAUUUCUAUGCAUCAUAUAAAUUGCAUUUGAAAAUGGAAUUCAUUUUCAAAAAAAAAAAAUCAUUCAUUGCACGUACAUGAUAAAAAAUUUAUAUCUCAAUUUAUCUUUGAAGGCAACCUCUGCGUGAUCACAUUCAAAGAGAAGCAGCUAUUGACACCUAAAUUUUUGGGAUUGAUAAAAAAAAAAACACAUAUUCAUUUUGUUUAGAAACAUUUUAUUUUUAUUUUCAUUUUGUUUUGUUUUAUUUUAGGCCGCUGGUGAAGGGAAGAUUUUUCACAUAUUCCAUUCAGAUUUUUCAUAUUUUUAGGUAAUAUAUACUAAGAGGUGUAGUUUGUGCAAAGAGGGAAUUUUUCUGGAUAGAAUAUGCGAGAAAUACAAAAGGGGAUAUUGCGCAGGGUGUGUAUAUUUCAACGACUUAUUUAGGGGUAUCAUGCGCAAGUAAAAAGGAAAAAAUAUAUGUCGCGAGGAUACAUUUUUUAGACCAAUAAAAUACAUUGCGCGCAAAGUAAAAAGGGAUUCUUUUUUCUUGGGCAGUAAAAAAGAAAACAAAAAGCAAAAAGGUGAAAGGUGAGUGACGUGAUAGAGAGAAAAAGUUAAAAAAAAAAAAGGAAGUCCCAUCGUCUUCCUCGAGAGGGGGACACCCUCGACGGCGCCGGCACACCUACGCCGGUAAUCGAGCCACCGGCGACCCCUUUCUUCGACCGCACCAGCGACCAAGCUGCCCGCCGCUGUGAGCAGCACCGCCGCCCCGCUAAUCUGCUGCCAGAGCUGUAGCCCGCAGUAGUCGCGACCCAAUCCCUCGUGCAGCCACGCCGCCCUGUCGCCGAUCUGUAGCCGGAGUCCCAGCGCCCCUGCUCACCUUCGCCCCGACGCUCACCGUCGUCGCUCGCCCUCUGCAGCUUCGACGCUCGCAGCUCGCGCCGCCCCGACGCCACCUCUGCUCGUCGCCUGCAGAUCCGAGAUCCCCACAGUAGCCGAUCCAGAUCCGCAGUGCCCUUGCCUCCCCGUUCGCUGCCCUAGAGCCCCGACGGUCAUCGUUCCGAAUCCGAUGCCAUCCCUCCUCCGCCCGCGAAAUCGCCGCCGCCACCGAGCCGAGAUCGGAAUGCCGUGUUCGAGCUCGGCCCUGCUCCCUCAAAGCCCGUGACCCGACGCCUCCAUUCACCAGCUACACCUCGCCAUUGCCGCGCCGGAGUUCCCCCCGCGCCCACGACUACCUCACCGAUGCCCUCGCUGGAACCCUCGCCGGCGACCCCCCCCCCCGGCCAAAACCAGCGGCCAAGAUUUCCUUUUCUUUUAAAAAAAUUAAAUUAGGUAUUUUUGCUUUACUUUAUUAGGCAAGUUUACUUUUUUUCUAUAUUUUUUAUUAUUAUCUCUUUAUAUCUUGUUUUCUUUGGUUGAAAUACUUAUCUAUGCAUAAUGAGAAAUCCCAAUAUAUCACCUGAUUUGCAACCGCGCUAAGGUUUUUUAUUUCAUCUAUAAGGUUUUAGAUGAAAUAAUUAAUUAAGUGGGAAUAAAAUUGAUAUUUUGAUCUUUAAGGUUUAAGAUUAAUUUAUCGAUUUUACUAACAACAUAUUAUCCCUUGAUCUAAACUAUGUGUGAUAUUUUUUAGGUAAUUUUGAAUGGUCUUGAUUACUUUAUUUAUCUUGAAAUAUGUCUGAGUUAGAAUAUUGCAUGUUUUAGGGUUAUUUGCAUAUUUAGGUUAAACAUUCUAUUUAUCAUGAAUUUUCAAAAAAAAAUCAAAAAAAAAAAUUCAAAUCAAUUAAUUUAGGUUGCUAGUUUUUUUAACUUGAAUUGCAUGUUUAAUUAUUUGGCAAUUGUUAAUUUCGAAAUUAAAAAAAGAAAAAAAAUCCAAAAAAUGUUGAAUUAGGAUUAGGUUUGUUUUUUUUGUCUUGCAUAUUUAGAAUAUGGAAUUUAUUUUGAAUCAUGAAAGAGAAAACAAAAAGAAAGUACAUUCAUUUAGGAUGCUAGUUUUAUUAUUAUUUGAAUUGCAUGUUAAAUUUUAAUUUGGGAAAAAAGGAAAUGCCACAAAAAAAAUCAUCAUGCAUAUGUCAUGUAAAAUUAGGGGCAUAUUUUGUACGUCAUGGCAUAUUAAGGUAAAAUUGCACUUAGUUUAAUUUUGAUAAUUGUUGCGAAAAGGCAAGCGAUCGGACAAUAAUAUAAACGAAAGAAGAAAAUAAAUCAGACACCGGAUUUACGUGGUUCGGUCGUAAAGACCUACGUCCCCAGCAAUAAUAUUUUUCUUAAUUUAUUAUAAGUUUAGGUAUUUCCUUAAAUAGAUUGCAUUUUAGGAUUAUUUGGGUUAAGAUAAUAUUUUAGUUUAAAUUAGGAUUUGGUUUACCUUAAUUCCUAAUCAAAUUGAAUAGGAUCUUAAUCUAGCUAGAUAAUUUUCACAUUUUAUCUAAUUCCGAAUUUCAUGAAAAUAAACACAAAAAUGUCUUAGAAUAAAUUAGCUUUAUUUUCUAGGAUAAAUUGUAUUCUUUUUAAGAAAAAAAAAAGAAAAAUUGUCAUAUGCAUGUCAUUAGAAUUAGAUUCAUGAAAUGCAUGCCAUUUAGUGAUUGUUGCUAGGUCCAUUUAAUUAGAAAUUGCAUGUCAUUGGAAUUAGGUCAUUUAGUUAAUAUUGCAUUGCAUAUUGCAUGAUUUUCAUUAAUCAAGUGAAAGCAAAAAAGAAAUUGCGUGUUAAUUAGAAAUCAUAUCUAGGGUUGUUGAUGUGGAUUCUAAUUUAACAUUACAGAUGCUUGCGUUGCUUUGAGGUAAAUUUUUUUUGCAAUUUAUUAAUUAUUUAUCCCGGUGUUAAAUUGGUGGUUUGCGUACCCACAUGAUCACCUCACAUAUUAAGAAAAUAGAUUUAAAAUCAAUUUAAGCUGCCUGCAAAAAUAUUUUUGAAAAUAAAAGAAUGGUAUCGAAAGGGCAUUAGAGAAAUCUAGUGUAACCAAGUCUCCAUACCCAUAGUCUUUGGUUCGCAGGAGUAAAGUAAAACUCCCGUUACUUUACUUAGAUUUCUAAUCGACCCACCAAGAAUAGAUUAGUGGCGACUCCUAAUUAAAAAAUCAAUUACAUGUUAAAAACUUGAACAUAAGUCGUGAAUUGGUAUGGGCUUGGGAGAGCCCGAGUUAAGUCUAGGCUUAACAAUCCAUUAGUCAAACUCUAGGUGGAUUACCCGAAAAAUUGGUCGCGACAAUGUCACAAAGUUGGGAUUAAGGAAUUAGAGGCUGAAGAGAUUAAAUAAAUGCAAAAGUUGUGCAGAGAUGUCUAGUAGAUUAAUUUCCCUGUGUAGUCAAAUCAUGCCUCCGUACUCCUUGUUUUGGGGAUCAAUGUAGGAAUCUGGUAAUAUAAAGACAACUCCAGGUAGAUCUGUUUAUAGCUCAAUAAGUCAGUGCAGAACGAUGAUGAGAUACUAUCAUUCAUUGAUUCCAAUGAGAAACUGAUUAAAGACACUUGCCUCUAAAUUGCUCUGACUCUGCUUCAGUCAUCACAGCCUGAAACCCCUGAUAAGUGGUGGUGCUACAGGCAUAAAUUCUCUUUUUUGCUUCUUCCAAACUGAAACACAAAAAAUGUCAUCUCAUUCAACAUGCAACUAAGAAAUAUCAGCAAUGAUUCAACAAAAAUUGGCAUAUCUAGUGUAAAUGCAGAGAACAAAUUUAAUUACCUAACUUUCAACUAUGAGAAUCAUUCACUUGACAUUUACUUAAGAAAAUUACAAAAUAAGAAAAAGCCUUACGAUGACAGUCCUAAGUAAAGGGAGGAGAAAUGCUGUCAUAAGGAUAAAAAGGGACAAUGACGCUAUUGUCCCUAAACUUUAGCCCAAUGUACGAUGCCAUCCUUACUUUUAAUUCGUUCAAUGUGGUUCUUGAACUACUUGUAAAGUAUAAAGGACCAUGGGAAAAUAUCACCACAAGUCCCUCAAAUUACAAUUCGUUCUAUCUAAUUCCUCAACUUUUCAUUACAAAGUCAAAUAAGUCUUUUGUACAAUUCACACGGAUCGUUAACUAUAAUAUAUAUAUAUAUAUAUAUUGAUUUAGAAAAUAAAUUGAAAUGAAAAGAUGAUCGUCAAUUAGGACAAUACUACAAUUAUGAAAACUUGAGAAUGGUACCACAUGACCAAUUUGAUUUUGUUGUGGAAAGGUGAGCGACUAGAUUGACAAAUUGAAAGCUUAGGAACUAGAUUGCACAUAAUGCGAUAGUUAAGGGACAAAUGUUUGACUUUCUCCCUCAUUCAAUGAAACAAAAAGACUACAUUGUAGCAGCAAGUUCAAAGGAGACACGAAAUGAAUUAAAAGCCAAGGAUGAAAAUGCAGAUUAGACCAAAGUUUAGGGGCUAUUAGUAUCAUUUACCCCCACAAAAAAUACUCAAUUCAGACCCUGAACAUUUUUUGGCUUCCAGUCUGAUUAACUUAUUCAUUCCAAUUUGGUUCAUCUGCACGGCCCCUAUUGGGUGGACAGGCGCAGACACUCGAGUAGCUUCAAUGAGUUAUGAGAACAAGUCAAACCUCUAGCCUAGAGGCUGACCACCCAAGUUGCAACCUGUUAGGAAAGAGAGAAACUUCAGCCUCUUCCAAAAUCACUAGCCAAUUCUACAAGAUAUGUCACCUUACACCACUGACAUUCUGCCUCAACUACCACAUCACCUCUUCCCUGCAUCCGAAGAGCCUCCCAAUUUCCCAGGAAUCCCUUCUUUUACUGUUGAGGAGGGCUUCAAUCCCUCCCAUAAAUUAGAGUUCAUUAGACUUCCAACCUGUAUUGGCAAUGCUUUUUGGCAACACCUGACUUAUCCCUAAGCAUUGCCGGUACUGAGACACCCAUUAAUCUCUAAGCAACACUCAUUUUCAAAUUUUGCAUCUUAUAAAUUAAACAUAAGGCUCCAAAGCCUCUUGAUGACACUCCAUUUCCAUCUUCAAUUGGCAAUACUCGAGCUACCACUAAUGGAUAACAAUAUAAUGGUGGCUUUGUCACCAAAAUUGGAAAGGCACUAAGUUAAACACUUUGGACUAGAUCUAGUACUGUAUACUCCAUCGUCUGGCCAUACAAACAAUUAAAUAAACAUGUCAACCAAUCAUUCUAAGGGACAUGUCUUUCUCUUGGGUUUACGCGCAUGGAUAAAAAGAAAAGGACAUGCACAUACAUGUGCAUAUGAAUGGAAGCAUGCACCACAGAAAGAGAGAGACGGCAGGCAAACAAGAAUUCCUGUCGCUUAUUUUAUUGCUAAACUAAGCUCAGUAAUAUUACAACUCUUUUUAUCAUGUAACCGAGGCAUAGACUCAGCAUCCCAUAUUUGCUUGCUUAAAUUAGUUAACUCUAAACGUCAUCUAGCAUUUGUUCCACGUACUUCCAUAAAUGCCUAAUACCGACGAGGCAACACAUUAACCCAAAAAAACAUGGUGUUGUCAACGAAGCACAUGAAUUAUAGUCUCAAACAUAGGACGCAAUACCUACAAUAAGGCGUUGUUGACACCUAAAUUUCACAAAUUUAUUUAGGACCUAAUCGCAUAAAAAAUUAGGAAUUAGUCACUAAAAAAAAGAGAGAAAAAAAAAUCUCUUAGGGGCCGGGUCGGGCCGGAUCAACCAUGGCCCGGCCCGACUCUCUUCCCUUUCCCCCUGUGUGGGGCCCGGGCCCCUUUUCUCCUGCGCCCCAAGCCAUCUCCCCUUUGGCCUGGCCCAUGCUAGCUUCUUCCUCCUCCUAUCCAUCUUCGCGCCCGGAGCCUGCAAAAAGAGAAAGGAAACUUGUAGAAAAGGGGAGUAAGACAGAAGAGAGAGGGGGAGGCGAACCGUGAGAGAGGGGACCAGAGGGGAGGCUUGGAGGAAGCAGCUCGCCACCCAAGCCACCCGCAAGUCCGCCCCGGCCACCGGUGGCGUCAAGAAGCCCCACUGCCAGGCCACACCUCUCUAAUGGACACCAUGCCUUGACACCUCGCCCCAAUGCCGUCCAGAUCUGAGUGAGUGGGUUUUGGAGAGCAAGGGUUCUGAUGCCGUUCCUGCUGCUAUUGCCGCUGCCACCGGAUGCCAGAUCUGGAGGAGGGGAGACUCACGAUUGCUGUGCCGAACUUCCGCCAUGUUGCUAAUGCCCAGCGAGUCAAAACCCUACAACUGUGCUGUCCCGGCCACCCCCCAACAAUGUCGCUGCAUCGGAUUUCCGCCGUGCCACUGCCGUUCGACCACCAACGACGGUGAGAGAUAGCAUCUGGUUACCGCCGUUCCAUCCCUCGACGCCGUCGCCACUAUUGAACCCUAGACCAACCACCUCAAGAUGUGCCGUCGUUCCCCUUGUCGUCAUCGCUACACCAGAUCUCCGUCGUUGCCGUUGCAGCAACGGUCACUAGGCCCGACGCCUCUACUGCCAACGAUGCCAUCUGCUCGCAAUUCCGUCGCCCACUUCCGGAUCCGCGACGUCCCCAAUGACCUGCUGAGGCCCCUGCCGUGUUGGGCUGCUGUUGCUCUCAUCCGUCACAACGCCGUCGUUCACUGCGAAGCCAUUGUCAAAUCCCUACCCUGCAAUGUGCCAGCCAACCCUCGACGCCGCGGAUCGCCAAACUCGAGGGUUCCAGAAUCUGGGUCCAGGAAGAAGAAGCCAAGUUGGAUCCGAGUAGGUUUUUUCUUAAGAAUUGGGUCUCGGUUUAGGAUCCGGGUCGGGCAUGGGUCGUGAACCGAACAAUUCGAGCCGGAUACCUAAGUCGUGUCUAGGCUGUUUUGGGACGUGGGCCGUGGGCCUGCAUUGGGUCCAUUUUGCAAAAGAGGGAUUGGGCCUGCCAGCUGGGCCUAACCCAAUUUUAAGUAAGGGCCCGACCACCUCUAGUCGGGCCCAGCCCUUUUUCGGGUGGGCUGUCCGGCCCGCCUCGGACCGGAUUUGGGCGGGUUUGACCGGCCCGCCCAAUUCGGUCAAACCCGAGUUAGGUCAGACCAGACUCUACCCGGGCCGGCCCAAAAAAAUUAAUUAUUUUUAAAAAUUAAAAAUUAAAAAAAUAAAUAAUUUUCUAAAAUCCAAAAUUUGUAGGGUUUGGUUAGAAAUUGCUAUGUAUUUUCCUUUUAGUGUAAUUGGGUCUUUAUUUGCUCGUAUAUUAAUUAUAUCACAUGUUUAGUUUGCAUAUAUUGUUAAGUUUAAUUGCACAUGUUUAAUUUUAUGGCAAUUAGGAUCUUGGUAGCUAUAAGUAUUAUCUUAAUGAUUGUGCACCCGCAUGAUCACCUCACAUAUUAGUGGAUAGGUAUGAAAUAAAUUCAAACUGCCUGACAAAAAUCUUUUCUCUUAAAAUGAACAAGAUUAGGUACCGAAAGGGCACUAAUUUAUCAAUUAGUGUACUCAAGUCCCCAACCAUAGAUUCUCUGAUUGCGUAGGAAGUGAGGUACACUCCCAUACCUCACUUGGUUUCUAGCCGACCCCAAUAGGCUAGUGACGACUCAUUUCUGGGAAUUUUUUUUUUUUUAAGAAUAUCCCAACGUCACGAGGGGUAUGGGCUUGGGAGAGCCCACUCCUAAUCAUAGGCCUUAGGCCCGUCCUUUAGGCAAUACCCCUAAACCCGUUCCCUACCCUUGAGGGGUAAGUCGCUACAGCUUGGCGAUUCUGCUGGGGAAUUAGUUUUAAACCUUAGAGAAUUUAGACCAAAAUUAAUCUUGUUCAAAAAUAUUUUUAUUUGUCAGCAAGGAUUCUAGAUACGCCCCUAACAUUAAAGGUGUUAAAUGUUUUUAUAGAAUAGGAGGUAUAAGGGGAAGUGUUUGCUCACCUUUGUCUUGUAGAGAGGUGUAGGAAUGUAUGGUUUAUUUUUUUAUGUAUGAAGUGUUGUUUACCCAUAAAUUGUUGUGCAUGUAUCAUUUGCAUUGUACUACACCAUAGCACACACUACCUACCGCUGCACCUGGGCCACAUAGGAUCACUUAAGAUGGUGUUGAGGUGGAUACCACUUCAACUACAAUCAUGUAGAAUGAGUCGCCCAUCUCAAUCCCGAAAUUUCUUUCUUGAUGUCAAAGGUCCCCACCCUAGUCUGCAACCGCGCUACACGGGUCGAUUCUUUGACGAAGCCGAAGUCAUGGGUAACCCGACCUAGUUGCAACCUUAUUGGUUUGGUUCAGUGAUCCUAUGGCUCUAUUUUGAGCCGUAUAGAGUAAAAAUCGAACCACAUCUCAUGCGCAUGUCUAUGUAAUUAAAAAAAAAAAAGAAACAGAGAGAAAAGUCGUCCCCCACUGUAAGUAUCAUUCUUUUUUUAUUCGCUUUUUUUUUAAUUGAAUUUUCGUCUUGAAAUUCGCGGAAAUUAAUCGAAUGCCCUCAGUGUUGUAGGCUUAUGAUUAAAAAAAUUGGCAAUCACUCUUGAUAAGUGAACAUUGAAUGCAAGUUCUAAGCACUUUGAUUUGGCCCUGUUGAACACAUAGUUUUAUUUAAAUUUCUAGUUAUGGGCUCAAAAUUGUAUUUUAAAAAAAAAAAACUUUCAAGUUGUGAUUAUACAUUGGGGCACAAACAAAAUUGAAAUUGCAUUUUUAAUCAAAUUCUCUCCAUUUUGUGUAUAGAUUUCUCAAAACAAGAGUCAUCUCAUUUUUCUAUGAGUAAAAAUCACAAAUUAAUCUUUCAAAAAUCAAUGCCACUUUUACAUAUGAAACUUUUGGAAUAGAAUGGACAUUCGAUUGAUAGCCGCCGAUCGAUCCUUUAAUGAUGCCCCUUCUCUUAUGACAAAUCUUGGUGAAAUACCAAAAUCCCAUAAUAUGGACUAUGGGGCAGGUACCGUCAUAAGAGGCGACCUCAUUGAAAGAUCAAUUUUUCAUUCACACACUAACAUUGUCUUCUUUUCGCAGGUCAUGCGUGAUGACACUUCUUGACUUCACUCGCUUGAUCAUGCCAAGAAGUCGACUUUAGAAUUAGGAUGAGAAUGGAUUUAUACUCUCAUAUAUGCAAGCGUAUUUUGCAAUAAAUGGGUAAAGCAUCUAAAGAAUAAUAUCCCCAAAUGUGGAAACAAUGAGCAAUCCUCAUCCUUUCAAAAGAAGGAUCUUGAAAAACACAUCUAAUGAUCCAUAUUUAAAUUUUUCAAGCUCCUUGUCAAUUAAACGUCUCUUCAAAAAGAGCAUUUGAAAAAAGCAGGAAUUGAACUUUGUAAUUGUUGUAUACAAUAAAGAAGUGAUUUUCAUGGAUAAAAUCAGGGCCUCAUAGCCAUUUUUCAGUCAAUCCUAGCCACUUCGGUGAAGUUCAUACUUGAAGAACAAAAAUGCGUGAAGGGUAAAUUGUGUCAAUUCCAAUUGCUCAUUUCGAUAGCGCCUUUGACAUGAUCCUUUUUUUUUUUCCUUUGAUAGGAAGACAUCAAACUCUUAAAGGCAAAUGCAAGUGAAGGGUACUGUCGAGUUACCAAAUAUCCACAAGCAUGAAUUCAAGAAAUGUUAGCACUCAAAGGAUAAAAGCGGGUGAAUGGUAAUAAUGUAUCGUUUCCAACAUUUCAAUCCCUAAAGAUUUUUACACUAACAUAUUCUUUUACAUUCUUUACAAGGUUACCACGUCACCAUGCCACAGGUAAGUACCCUUCUUCUCAAAAAAAAAAAAAAACAAAGAAUUUCCAUUACAAAAAAAGAACCUUUUGUGCUUUCCAAGAGACAAGCACAAAAAUGAAUAAUUGAAAAAAAAAAUUUCUACAAACUUUUUGAACAUCCUUUUUAUUUCAAAAUUGUUUUCUUGUUUUAUAGAUUAUUCAUUUUGAAUCAAAAUUCCCUAUGGAGAUUAAUCUACUCAAACGAUCUCAGCAGAGUGAAGUGGAGAUGAUAAUCAUGCCAAGCAGAGGAUACUUAGGAUGAAGAAAUGCAAGCCAUUUCCAAACACAUCCUUUAAACACUUUUGAGAGUUGAGUGAAAGGCAACAUUCUCUUAGGAUGAAUGAUUCAUUCGCAUUGAGCGCAAAUAUCAAAAUGAUAAAGGCAUUUCCUUCAUCAAUCCCAAGUACCAUACUAAUCUCUUGCUAGCCCUUUCGGCUGAAUAAAGAUGAUCCUUCAAAAUACCCCUGUCGAGAACGACCCUACAUUAGGGCAGCAUAGGAGAUUACGAUCGUGUUGUAGAGCGAAGAAUUGAGAAAAAUUCUAUUACUUUCACUUACAUCAAUCUUCUGGUGAUAGCUUCAGAUGAAUUCUCAUUAGAGCUUAACUCAUCCCAAGGUGAAGAAGAGCAUUUCCUUCCCUACCCAAACACUGAUACCCAUUGUUUUAAUCAAUUUUGGCCUGAUUAUUCAUUUCUGAACCCUGAGUGGUGAUCAUCUCCCUUCACUGGGGCAAGGUAUAAGAAUUGACCAAAUACAAUUGAAGUUCACGAGAAAAUGUGAAAAGCAUCUUAAAAGUCAUAAGAGCUACAAAAGUUCAAAGAGCAAAAAGUUCGACAAACUAGGGGGCAUAAAAAAGCAGUGUGCCUAGUAAAAGUAAGGCCAAUGCCCGUCAAGAAAAAGAGCCAAAAGGCUACAUCUUAAGUGAAAAAAAUUAUCAAAGUCCAAGUGCCUGCAUAAAAAAAUCAUCGCAACUACAAAGGAAAUUAGAAAAAGGAGCAAAGCUCUAUUGCAGAAAUGAUUAGUCAAAAAACUUUCGAGGUGCGCUGUGUUUCAAAAGCCAAAUGAUUUUGAAAGAUCGAGUGACUUGGUCACGAUGCCAUGAUGAUCACCGAUUCUUAAAAACCCUCUUGAAAAUUUUAAGCCUUUCGAGCCUCUCCCAAGACAACAUUACAAUCCCCUUCUGAAGUCUCUUCUGAUUGGGAUAAUUUGAGUGAAAAUGAGAAUGCCACAAAGAAGCUACUGCUUGAAGGAGUUGAGGUAAUUAUGUUUUGUCUUAUCUUCCAAGUUCUCGACUUGUAAACCCAAUGAAGAUAGCGACAAAUGUUUCUUUGUUGGCCUCAAAACAAUAAUUCCUUUGUAUAAGCCCUAACCGAGCCUAUAUUGCGGUCCUUUCAAAAGACCUUUUUGAUCGAUCAGAUUGUGCUUAUCGCGAAUGUUUCUGAAAGCCUUUGACAUGGAUUAUGUGAGAUACCCUCAGCAAUUAGUUACUUCCCACGCGAAUAAAUGGAAUCAGGCAGCCAUUUUAUCGAGAGUGUGUGAGAAACCCUUUCUAACUAAGAAGCUCUAGUUUGGCAUGCUUAAUGAGCCUAUUUCAUGAGUCGUAGCCGUUCUGAUAAGAACUUGACUCCCAGAGAAUUUGACGAAUAAUGAUAUAUCCCCGAGCAAGAUGACAGUUUUGCGCCACAUGAUGAUAAUUGACAUUGAAUGUUUCUUAAGGCAAUUAGACUUAGCUUGAUUAGCUUGUUCAAUUAAUGCUGCAAUAUUGCCAAUACGUCUCUUGAUGACGUCUCUAAUGACAUUUGCUCAAGUUGAUUUGACAGGAUUCCUCAGCGACGCCAUGCAGUUUUCAAGGUGUUAGCGGGUGCUUCCCUAAAAACCAAAGGUUCAUGGUCAGCCUUAAACCAUUCCAUCUCCAAAGGUUCAUGGUUAGCCUCAAACCAUGUCAUCUACAAGGUUCAUAGUCAGCCUUAAACCAUGCCAUCUCCAAAGGUUCAUGGUCAGCCUCAAACCAUGUCAUCUACAAGGUUCAUGGUUAGCCUUAAACCAUGUCAUUUCCAAGGUUUGUGGUUUAUCAUUAAACCACAGGGUUGGUGGUUUUUCCUAAAUCACAUGGUUCGUGGGUCAUCCUUAAACCACAAGGUUGGUGGGUAUCCUUAAACCACAAGGUUGGUGGUUCUAUCCUUAAAACCACGGGGUUGGUGGCUUUUCCUAAACCACACAAUUCGUGGGUCAUCCUUAAACCAUAAGGUUGGUGGGUCUAUCCUUAAAACCACGGGGUUUGUGGCUUUUCCUAAACCACACUGUUCGUGGGUCAUCCUUAAAUCACAAGGUUGGUGGGUCUAUCCUUAAAACCAUGGGGUUGGUGGCUUUUCCUAAACCACAAGGUUCAUGAGUCAUCCUUAAAUCACAAGGUUUGUGGGUCUAUCCUUAAAAUCAUGUGGUUGGUGGCUUUUCCUAAAUCACGCGGCUUGUGGGUUCAUCUGUAAACCACGCUUGUCCGCAUUCGGUUGAAACCCGUUUUUACACGGUGAGACAUUUCUUCCAGUCGAAACUCGUUUGUACAUGGUGAGACUAUCAUCCAAACACAGUGAGACUAUCUUCCAAUCAAAACCCGUUUAUACAUGAUGAGACUAUCAUCCAGUUGAAACCCGUUUUUACAUGGUGAGACUAUCACAUCCAGUCGAAACCCGUUUUUAUACGGUGAGACCUUUCUUCAAGUUGAAACAUGUUUGUAUACGGUGAAACUAUCAUCCAGUCGAAACCCGUUUUUACACGGUGAGACUAUCACAUCUGGUCGAAACCCGUUUUUACACGAUGAGACCUUUUUUCUAGUCGAAACCCGUUUUUACACAAUAAGACUACCAUAUACAAUUGAAACCUGUUUUUACACGGUCAAACUAUCACAUCUGGUCGAAACCCAUUUUUACACGAUGAGACAAUUCUUCCGGUCAAAACCUAUUUAUACACGGUGAGACCAUCAUAUCUAGUCGAAACCCGUUUGUACACGGUGAGACUAUCAUAUCUAGUCGAAACCUGUUUAUACAUGGUGAGACUAUAAUAUCCGGUCGAAACAUGUUUUUACACGGUGAAACCUUUCUUCCAAUCGAAACCCGUUUGUACACGGUGAGACUAUCAUAUCCAGUCGAAACCUGUUUUCACACGGUGACACUAUCACAUCCGGUCAAAACCCGUUUUUACACGGUGAGACAUUUCUUCCAGUCGAAACCUGUUUGUACACGAUGAGACUAUCAUAUCCCGUCGAAACUCGUUUUUACACGGUGAGACUAUCACAUCUAGUCGAAACUCGUUUUUACACGGUGAGACAUUUCUUCCAGUGGAAACCCGUUUGUACACGGCGAGACUAUCACAUCCAGUCGAAACUCGUUUUUACACGGUGAGACUAUCACAUCCAGUCGAAACCCGUUUUUACACGAUGAAACAUUUUUUUCCAGUCUAAACCACAAGGUUUGUUGGUUCAUCCUUAAACCACAAGGUUCGUGGGUCAUCCUUAAACCACACAGUUCAUGGGUCUAUCCUUAAACCACGCUUUUAAAAUGUUUAUGAGUCUAUCUUUAAACUGUUGGAGAAAUCUUCUUGAAGAGUUUUGAAGCUGACAAAACGUUUCCAUCAGUCUAGUCUGAAGGUUUGCAGACUCUGCUAUUUAAAGUCUGAAGACCUCCGAACAGCUAGACUCAAGACUCAAAGUCUAUCCUCAUUGACAGUCUCUAAUCCGUUGAAGAAAGGUUAUCUAGAACUGGAUGUUUCAUUAAGGAUAUGACCUUAUCGACUGGAGAAGAUCUCUUGACUGGAUAUGACAUAACGGAAUCCUUUGAUUGAUUGAGAUUGAUUCGAAGACUAAGGAUCCGAUGAUUGGCAAAAUAUUCUUGGAAGGUUCUACUUAUGGAAACUGAGAUCCUGAUUGUAUAGGCGAAUAUGAUUGAUGGGCUAUCGACACGUUCUUUUAAUAGCUCGAAUAAUCUUCCUAAUUGAUUCGGUCCAACGGGUAGAUUGGAGGAAUUCCUUUGGUAAGUGCCAACAGGUAUGAUGGCAUAAAGGAGUAUAUAAGGAAGACGUUCUAAGCUGUUCGAGAGGUGCGCGAUAGAAGAAUUCCAAAGUCUGAAGCUUUUUAUUGUUUUAGCAAAUCACUUUGAGCGAAAUCUUGUACACAAAAGAGAGUCUAUAUUUGUGAGAAACCUUGAGGAGGUGUGGUAGAACAUCUACACUGUGGAAUCAAGGAAAAGCUGUGCUGUAACUUCUCUUUUGUUUAUAGUGAAAUCCAGCCGGUGGGCUGUCAGUGCGGAAAAGUGGACGUAGGCUUGGAAUAAGCCGAACCACUAUAAACCUUGUGUUCAAUUUUUCUCUUCCCUACUCUUUACUUUACUUUGAUCGUACUUCAUUUUGUUAAUUAAAAAAGAACUCCCUUUCUAUCGUUUGAAUCGCUUCCGUAUCUUGAAAAAUUAUUUGUGCACCUAUUCACCCCCCUCUAAGUGCUUAUACUAGCUAUCUUAAUUGGUAUCAGAGCUCGUGUACUCACUUUGUUUGAAGUGUUUUACUUCAGAGUUAAAGAUCCAUGGCUAGUAUGUUGGCUCCAGGACUGGUAGAAGGGCAAAGCAAUACCAGACCGCCUUACUUUGAUGGAAAGGACUACAACAUAUGGAAAAACAAGAUGAAGGCGUUCUUAAGAUCAAAGGAUCAUCUGGAAUGGGACGUUGUAGAAAAAGGAAUCAUUCCUAAAGCUGCACCUGUUUCGGAAAGAGGAAAAGACACUGUUGAGUCUAGCGGAAUGACUCAGGAAGAGAUAAUCAAGAGACAAGCUCUUGAUGCAAAAGCAAUUUAUUCUUUAUAUUGUGCUUUAUCACCUACUGAAUAUAACAGAAUAUCUUCUUGUGAUACAGCCAAAGAAGUCUGGGAUAGAUUACACAUUACUUAUGAAGGAACCGAUCGAGUGAAAGAGACUAGAAUCAACAUUCUUCUCGGUCAAUACGAAGCCUUCAGAAUGAAAUCGGGAGAAUCUAUAACUGGCAUGUUUAGUCGUUUUACAGAGAUCGUGAAUGGUCUUGAAAAUCAAGGCCAACCAAUUUCUGAUCCCAUGAAAGUAAACAAGCUACUGCGUGGACUCUCCAAGGAUUGGAAUCACAUAAAGACCUCAAUCAGAGAGACCCAAAGAAUCAUGCCACUAUCUGUCGAUGAGUUGGUUAGGACUCUUCAGUCUUAUGAAGUAGAACGAAUCAAUGAAGACGAAGAUCCUAAAGGUAAGAAAUCCAUUGCAUUAAAAUCUAAUGAUGAUUCUGAUGCAACAGAUUCUGAAGACGACAUGGAUGAUGAAGAGCUUGCUCUCAUAAUAAGAAGAUUCAGAAAGCUGAACAGAAAAGGAAGAAGAUUCAACUCAAAGAAACAAAGUUUUCAAAAGCAACAGACCAAGUCUGCUGAAGAUGAUGAAUCAAACAAAGAUGUAGUCUGCUUUGAAUGUAAGAAAAAGGGACGCAUCAGACCCAACUGUCCUCUUCUGAGGAAGAAGAAAGGAAAGACUGAAAAGUAUCGAAAGGCUCUCAAAGCAGAAACCUGGAGUGAUACGAAGUGCGAAGAUAGUGAUGAUGAUUAUGCCAACAUUUGUCUAAUGGCACAAUCGGAUUCAGAGUCAAACUCUGAGAUAGAUUCAGAUUCGGAAAGUGAAUUCGAGGUGAGUAACUUCAAAAUCCCUAUUAAAGUUUCAAAAUACAUUGAUGAAUUGUGUUUUAGUCUUAAGACUUCUCUUAAAAGAAUUUCCGAACUCAAAAAGGAAAAUUCUAUUCUAAAACAACAAGAGAAUGUUUUGGAAGAAAAAGUGAAAUGCCUAGACCAGAAAGUUUCUUCUCUCAAAGAAAGUGAAGAUAAUCUUUUAAAAGAAAAUGCAUUCUUGAAAAAUGAUAUUUCAAAUAUUUCCAAAAGAUUUUCUCUAGGAUCUGAAAAACUGGAAAAAAUACUUUCUGUUCAAAGACCUUAUUUCAAUAAAUUUGGUUUGGGAAUGACUACUGAAACCAUUCCUUUAAUUGAUUUUCCUAAAGUGAAAGAAAGAAUCAAACAAAGACCCACAAGAGAUGCUUACAAAAAUCAUUUUAAAAGGACCUUUGUAAAACCAGUAGGUCGCAAUGCUCUCAGAUGUUCAAAGUGCAAUAAUGCAGAUCAUUUUGAAAAAGAAUGUCCUAUGGUGUGGAAACCUGUCAAUAAAGUUUGGGCAAAAACCGCAUAUCAUACUAACUCAAAAGGACCCAAGAAAAUAUGGGUACCAAAGAAAGCUUGAGUCUCUUUUUAGAUGAGGUCACUAUCAAGAAAAAGGUAAAAUGGUACCUGGAUAGUGGAUGCUCGAGACACAUGACAGGAGAUUCAAAGUGUUUCAUAAAGCUUGUUCAAGUGAAUGGUGGAAAAGUUUCAUUUGGAGGAAACAGUAAAGGAAAAAUUGUGGGAUUUGGAACUGUAAAGAUUGGGAACCUCACAAUAAGCAAUGUUUCUUUAGUUGAAGGGCCCAACUACAAUCUGCUCAGUGUCAGUCAGCUGUGUGAUGCCGGUUUCAGAAUCAACUUUCAAGAGGGUAUUUGUUCAGGAACCAGUAAAGACUCUACUCAGACGUUUAUGGGUCGAAGACAUGGAAAUAUCUACCUCUUGGACAUGAAACCAGAUGAAUCGCAAUGUCUAAUCUCAAUCCAAGACGAAGCGAACUUAUGGCACAAGAAGCUUGGGCAUAUUAACAUGAAGCAGAUAGCCAAAAUCUCAGCAAAGAAGCUUGUUCAUGGUCUACCCAAUUUAUCAUACCAAAAGUCUGACCUAUGUACACCAUGUAUAUUGGGAAAACAGGUAAGAAAUUCCUUUAAAUCAAUAAAUCAAGUUUCCACUAACCGUGUACUGCAGCUCUUGCAUAUGGAUCUCUUUGGACCAACAAGAACGCAGAGCGUUGGAGGUAAGAAAUAUUGCCUAGUAAUUGUGGAUGACUACUCACGAUUCACUUGGGUAUAUUUCUUGGCAAGUAAGUCUGAAACUUUCUCUUACUUUAAAAAAUUUGCUAAGAAGAUUCAAAAUGAAAAGGGGUUUGUUAUUUCAAGUAUAAAAACAGACCAUGGAGGUGAAUUUGAAAAUCAAGAUUUUACAAAAUUUUGUGAUGAAUCUGGUUUUCAGCAUUUAUUCUCUUCUCCAUAUACUCCAGAGCAAAAUGGAGUUGUGGAAAGGAAGAAUAGAUCUCUUCAAGAAAUGGCUAGAACACUUUUAAUUGAAAGCAAUAUCUCUUUACGAUUUUGGGCUGAAGCAGUUUCAACAUCAUGUUAUAUUAUCAAUAGAGUUUUUCUAAGGCCUAUUCUUGAAAAACCCCGUAUGAACUAUUCAAAGAAAAGAAGCCUAUUGUUUCAUAUUUUCAUAUAUUUGGAUGCAAAUGUUUCAUACUGAAAAAUGCAAAUGAUCGAGUUGGUAAGUUUGAAGAAAAAUCAGAUGAAGGCAUCUUCCUCGGAUAUUCAACCACAAGCAAAGCGUACAGAGUCUACAACAAGAAGACUCAAACUGUGGAAGAAUCAAUGAAUGUCAAAUUUCAAGACUCUAUUCAUAAUGAAUCUAUUCAGACUCAUCUUGAAGAGACUGAACCUGCUCCAGACUCUAUAAAGUCUAAAUCUCAAGAAGCAGCUCAGACUUUGAAGGACCAGCAACAAGUGACUAUUGAAGAUUCAAGUGAAGGAAGUGAUCAUCAACCUGACAAAUCAACCAGCAACUGGAAACAUAAGUCCAGUCAUCCCAAAGAUCUUAUUAUUGGCGACAUCAAUGAAGUAAUUCGCACAAGAUCAAAAAGGCGCGAAGAGUCUAGUGUUGUGGCUCUUAUUUCUGAAAUUGAAUCCAAAAGCAUAGAAGAAACUUUAUCCGAUGAGAGCUAGAUUGAAGCCAUGCAAGAAGAACUCAGACAAUUCAGAAUUAAUGAUGUCUGGGAGUUGACUCCAAAACCAAAAGGUAAAUCAAUUGUGGGAGCUAAAUGGGUUUUCAGAAACAAAAUAGACGAGAAGGGAAAAGUCAUAAGAAACAAGGCUAGACUCGUGGCCAAGGGAUACACACAAGAAGAAGGGAUCGACUAUGACGAGACUUAUGCACCAGUAGCAAGGUUAGAAGCAAUUUGUUUAUUACUUGCAUUUGCUUGUCAUAAGAAUUCCAAGUUAUUCCAAAUGGAUGUCAAAAAUGCCUUCCUAAAUGGAUUCAUCCAUGAGGAAGUUUAUGUGGAACAACCACCUGGGUUUGAAGACCCAAGGAAACCAGACUCAGUAUUCAUACUCAAAAAGGCCUUAUAUGGCUUAAAACAAGCACCUCGAGCUUGGUACGACAGACUGAGUAAGUUUUUAAUUCAAAAUGGUUUUGUUAAAGGUAAAGUAGACACUACUCUUUUUAUUAAAAGAGAAAGCAAGAGUUUUUUGCUUGUUCAAAUAUAUGUCGAUGAUAUUAUUUUUGGAUCCUCUAAUGAAAGUCUGUACAAGAAAUUCUCAAAGACCAUGCAGGAUGAAUUUGAAAUGAGCAUGAUGGGUGAGUUAACCUUCUUUCUCGGUCUUCAAGUAAAACAACUGAAGGAUGGAACUUUUAUUCAUCAAGAAAAGUAUGCAAAUGAUCUUGUCAAGAAGUUUGGACUGGACAAUUGCAAAAAGGCUGAUAUACUAAUGUCAAGUUCCUUGAAGAUAGACAAAGAUGAAGGAGGAAAGAAAGUCGACCAAAAGUUAUACAAGAGUAUCAUCGGUUCACUUCUUUAUCUUACUACUUCUAGACCUGAUUUGUGCCAGAUUUCAAGCAGACCCUAAAGAAUCUCAUUUAAAUGCUGCAAAGCGUAUUAUCAAAUACAUUGCCUCAACUUCAAGCAUUGGUCUUUGGUAUCCUAAAAGAGGAGACUUUACUCUUCUUGGAUACUCAGACGCAGACUUAGCCGAAUGCAGAGUUGAUAGAAAGAGCACCUCGGGUACCUGUCAACUACUUGGAGGCAGGACAGUGUCUUGGUUUUCAAGGAAGCAGAGUACAGUAGCUCUCUUUACAGCAGAAGCAGAAUAUGUAGCUCUUGGAAGCUAUUGUUCACAAAUUCUGUGGAUAAAACAACAGCUAAGAGACUUUGGAAUUGAAGACUCAUGCACGGAAAUUAAUUGUGACAACACCAGUGCAAUCAAUCUUACCAAAAAUCCAAUUCUUCACUCAAGAGCAAAGCAUAUAGAGAUUCGACAUCACUUUAUUAGAGAUCAUGUUCAAAAUGGAGAAGUUUCAAUUCAAUUUGUUGAUUCAAAGAACCAACUGGCGGAUAUAUUCACAAAGCCUUUUGAGAAAAAUCAAUUUGAAACCAUCCGUUCCAGACUCAACAUUUUAAGGUAUGAGGAAAUCAAAGUCUAGAGACUCUCAGACUCAGACAAACAAGACCUUGACGGUAAGUUAUUCUCUCUCUCGAAUCUCAACUUGAAAAGGUACGAUCGUUAACUGUAUUUGAUUAUUGCUAUAACUAUUGUGACUUUUCAUUUUCAAAAAAGGAAGUUAUUUUUUGAAAAGACUAUUUUCACGGAAAAGGCAUUUAUUUUGAAAAGGCAUCUUUUUAUUUUCCUUUGUGACGAUCCGUAUACCUCCCAUUUUAACCGAUCGUACACUCUUCGCUUUACUCUCAAAAACCCUAGAAAGCAUCAAUCUUCCAUUCCUAUUUUCUUCCCUUGUUUAAUCUUCGAAAAAGUUGUCAUCUUUCUUGGGAAAGUCAAGCAAGGAAUCUUUCAAAGACUAAGAAAGAUGUCGUCUUCAAGAAAGUCUUCGAGAAUUGCAAGCAGGGGACCACGGCAGAUGAGUGAGGGGCCUACGCACUUCGAUCUCACCGAAGAAGAAGUUUCUCCCAAUCAGUAGCAGAGCCCACAACAUUCUCAACAGCGUCAUUCUCCUCCAUCUAGUCCUCAAGGCGUUGAUCAUCAACAAGAGGAAGAAAUCAUUGAGGAUGCAGACCCUGUAAGAGUUCAAAAGCCCGCUUUUAUUUAUAAGCUAUAUCGUGCUUUGAAAGGAACUCGUACUCCUUUGAACUAUGUCGAUGAUUUUCUUAAUGACAAAGGGUAUGGAAAUGAAUAUAUCUUUUUGUGAAAAAUGGAAAGUUUGGGAAUUGCUCGUAAAGGGGUGGCAGAGGAAACCCUUGCGAAUAUCCCAAGUGAUCCUCGUGAUUGGGGAGUUAAUCCUGUAGAUGGAAAUGAUGGUGACAAGCUGUUCAGCCAAUUUCAACCGAGAAUGGGUGUUGCGGCUGAAAAUCGAGGAAAAAUAGGAGAGUUGUUCAGAUUAAAGGAACAAAAAGAUCUAUACUCAAAAUUGUUGAAGCGUAGGGUAAUAAACCCUAGGAGUGUGGAUUUUGAUUUUCUGGAUGCUGUGAAUGUGAACUUGAGGGAAAAGUUCGGUUAUCUUCAACUUGAAAAGUUCUGCUCCGACACUACAGAGGCUUAUGCUGAACUAACCGCAUAUUUCUAUUCAAACCUUAGCUUCUUGGAUGCAAAUAGAUUUUCUUUCAGCGUCAAAGAUUAAGACUUUGUUGUGGAUAUGGAUAUGCUGGCAGAUGUGUUAGAAGUUGAGAGAGGAAGAUAUCAACCGAUCAAAGUUUCUAUUGCUCGGGCUACAUUGGAACUUGUGAAGGACAGGAGAACAGAGGAAAAGAUUUCCUACUUAAGGAUGAGUGCGUUCAACAUCUUGCUCCACAAGAUUGUGAUUAAUUGCCUCCGACCGAAAUCAACUUCCAAGACUGAUGUUUCAAGUUCAGAGGCAAAGCUGAUGUAUGCCAUCCUCACUGGUAAAAGGUUUUCUCUUCCUCACACUAUCAUGUUCCACAUGUAUAGAGCCAUGAUGAAAGACAGAGGUCAACUUCCUUACCCAAGUCUUGUGACGAAGUUAUUCAGACAUCUGAAUAUUCAGCCUCCGCAAAUUUUUUGUGCUCGAUCGUGCGAUCAUAUGGUAGUAGGACUGAAAAUGGUGACCAAAAUGCGUCUGAAGGAACUAAGCAAGGCAUUAGAGAAAUUCAAGGAGAAGACUCCAAUCAAACCUCAUCAAACCUCUUCUUCAUCAAAAAGGAAAGGAAAGGAGCCCUUGAUUUCUUCAAGGACGAAAAGAAGAACUCUCAUUGUUGAAGAUGAAGAUGAUGAUGAUGAAAACAUCACCAUUUCUGCAAUGGCUUUGAAGAAUCUGAGUCGUUCUGUUCCAGAGAAAGAAUCGGAACAAAGGACGAAAGAAGCAGAGGAGAAAGAAGCAGAGGAGAAGGGAGAAGAAGAAAGAGAUGCUGAGAAGGAAAGAGUUGAGAAAGAAGAAGAAGAGAAAAGAGAUCAAGAAGAAGAAGAACCUAAGGGACACUCUUCUCCACCUGAAGGCAUGAAAACAGGGGGAGAUCAAGAGAAAAGAGGAAAGUCCUCAUAUCUUGCUACAAGUGAGGGAGUCAGUCGCUCUCCAGCAGAUCCAGAGGACAUUUAUGCCUCUCAAUUUCUUGAGGAAGGUCAUGAUGUCUCAUCGCCAAAUCUGCGUGAUUAUGCUGAUCUACCAUCGUCUGCAUUUACUCCAUCAGAUCGUGCCGAAGCAAGUACUCAAAUUGAUAAUGCAGCAGAUUUUCGCAGAAUUAUGGAUAUUCUCUUGGAGAUGCGAGGUCAAAUUUAUGCUCUGGGAUGCGAUGUUCAAAACUUGCAGAACGCAGGUCAAGCUUCUUCGGUUUCAUUGAAUGAUCAAAUCCAAGCCCUCUCUGUUCAGAUUCAGGCCAAUGCCAAGGGUGAGGAAAUUGCACAACUAAAGGAAGACUUGAAAAGGCUGGAAGGCAUCGUUCAGUCUAUGGGGGAUUUCCAGCUUGUUCGCGUUCCCAAGCAAUCUUGACUUUAUCCCAUUUUCAUCUCAAACCUUUUUAAUGCUGACAAAAAGGGGGAGAGAUGCAAGAUUUGAAUCAAAACUUUGACUUUGAUCGUAUCGUUUGGAUUGGAUUGUUUUGAUGUUUAACUCUCUGUUUGACUUUAUUUUUGUGUCUGGAUAAGAACUGAACUUGACUUGGACUUGAUUGCUUAUACUAUCUACUAUUGAUAUCUUAUGAAUGGCUUUAUCGCAUACUAGACUAACCUAUUUUCUAUGGUUGCAGAUUCUAGUGUUAUUCAUUUAGCCAUUUAUCUCUAUAAGACAUGCAUAUGUGUUUAAGAAAUGUUUUACAUGUCAAAGUUGUCCAAAUCUGCAGGAAAGUUUUGUCACCAUCAAAAAGGGGGAGAUUGUUGGAGAAAUCUUCUUGAAGAGUUUUGAAGCUGACAAAACGUUUCCAUCAAUCUAGUCUGAAGGUUUGCAGACUCUGCUAUUUAAAGUCUAAAGACCUCCGGACAGCCAGACUCAAGACUCAAAGUCUAUCCUCAUUGACAGUCUCUAAUCCGUUGAAGAAAGGUUAUCCAGAACUAGAUGUUUCAUUAAGGAUAUGACCUUAUUGACUAGAGAAGAUCUCUUGGCUGGAUAUGACAUAACGGAAUCCUUUGAUUGAUCGAGAUUGAUUCCAAGACUAAGGAUCCGAUGAUUGGCAAAAUAUUCUUGGAAGGUUCUACUUAUGGAAACCGAGAUCCUGAUUGUAUGGGCGAACAGGAUUGAUGGGCUAUGGACACGUUCUUUUAAUAGCUCGAAUAAUCUUCCUAAUUGAUUCGGUCCAACGGAUAGAUUGGAGGAAUUCCUUUGGUAAGUGCCAACGGGUAUGAUGGCAUAAAGGAGUAUAUAAGGAAGACGUUCUAAGCUGUUCGAGAGGUGCGCGAUAGAAGAAUUCUAAAGUCUGAAGCUCCUUAUUGUUUUAGCAAAUCACUUUGAGCGAAAUCUUAUACACAAAAGAGAGUUUAUAUUUGUGAGAAACCUUGAGGAGGUGUGGUAGAACAUCUACACUGUGGAAUCAAGGAAAAGUUGUGCUGUAACUUCUCUUUUGUUCAUAGUGAAAUCCAGCCAGUGGGCUGUCAGUGCGGAAGAGUGGACGUAGGCUUGGAAUAAGCCGAACCACUAUAAACCUUGUGUUCAAUUUUUAUCUUCCCUACUCUUUACUUUACUUUGAUCGUACUUCAUUUUAUUAAUUAAAAAAGAACUCCCUUUCUAUAGUUUGAAUCGCUUCCGUAUCUUGAAAAAUUAUUUGUGCACCUAUUCACCCCCCUCUAGGUGCUUAUACUAGCUAUCUCAUAAACUACAAUUUUUCAAAAGGUUCAUGGUCAACCUUAAACCAUGUCAUCUACAAAGGUUUAUUGGUUUUUCUCAAAUCAUGCAUUUUCAACCCGGUUGAAACCCAUUGAUACAUGAUGAGACCUCAUUUCUUUAUUCCCCUUAUCAACACGACGCACUUCCAUAACCCCGAAUCCUUUCCGUUGACCUGGUGCAUGCCUAUGCACCCAGGGUCGCUUUCUCGUCGAAAUAAUUUAGGUGCCUACCAUCUUUGAAUGCAAUCUCUUCAAGACUACAUUCAAAGAGGGGCGACUAUUAACACCUAAAUUUUACCAAUUUAUUUAGGACCUAAUCGCAUACAAAAUUAGGAAUUAGUCACUAAAAAAAAAAGAGAAAAAAAAACAAAAACAACAGAAAAGAAAAAACGCUUAGGGGCCGGGUCGGGCCGGAUCCAGCCUUAGCCUGGCCCGACUCUCUUCCCUUUCCCCCUGUGCUGGGCCCGGGCCCCUUUUCUCCCACGGCCCAAGCCGUCUCCCCUUCAGCCAGGCCCAUGCCUGCUUAUUUCUCUUCCUAUUCAUCUUCACUCGCGAAGCCUGCAGAAAGAGAAAGGAAACCUACAGAAAAGGGGAGCAGGACAAAAGAGAGAGGGGGAGGCAAACUGUGAGAGAGGGGAUCGGAGGGGAGGCCUGGAGGAAGCAGCUCACCACCCAGGUCGCCCACAAGUCCGCCCUGGCCACCAGCAGUGUCAAGAAGCCCCAUCACCAGGCCACACCUCUCCAGCAGACACCGUGCCCCAACACCUCACCCCAACGCCGUCCAAAUCUGAGUGAGUGGGUUUUGGAGAGCAAGGUUCCGAUGCCUUUCCUUCUGCCGCUGCCACUACCACUGGAUGCCGGAUCUGGAGGAGGGGAGACUCGCGGUCGCUAUGCUAGACUUCUGUCGCAUUGCUAACGCCCAAUGAGUCGAAACCUUGCAACCAUGCUGUCCCGGCCACCCCUCGACGCUGUCGCUACAUCGGAUUUCCGCCGUGCCGCUGCCGUUUGACCACCAACGACAUUGCAGAUCGUGUCUAGUUACCAUCGUUCCAUCCCUCGAUGCCAUCGCCACUAUCGAACCCUAGACCAAUCGCCUCAGGCUGUGCCGUCGUUCCACUUGUCGCCAUCACUACACCAGAUCUUCGUCGUCGCCAUCGCAGCAACUGUCGUUUGGCCCGACGCCUCCACCACCGACAACGCCGUAUGCUCGCAACGCCGCCGCCCACUUCUGGAUCCACAACGUCGCCAAUGACCCGCUGAGGCCCCUGCCGUGUUGGGCUACUGUUGCUCUCGUCCGUCACAACGCUGUCGUCCACCGCAAAGCCAUUGUCGAAUCCCUACCCGACAACAUUCCAACCAACCCCCGGCGCUGCGGAUUGCCGAACUCGAGGGUUCCAGAAUCUAGGUCCGCGAAGAAGAAGCCGAGUCGGAUAUGGGUAGGUUUUUUCUUAGGAAUCGAGUCACGGUUUAGGAUCCGGGUCGGGCACAGAUCACGAACCGGGUAAGGUUUUGAACAAUUUGGGCCGCGUACUUAAGUCGAGUCUAGGCUGUUUUGGGACGUGGGUCAUGGGCUUGCAUUAUGUCCAUUUUGCAAAAGAGAGAUUGGGCCCACCAGCUAGGCCCAACCCCAUUUUAAGUAAGGGCCCGACCACCUAUGGUCAGCCCAGCCCCUUUUCAGAUAGGCUAUCUGGCCCACCCCGGAUCGAAUCAGGGCGGGUUUGACCGGCCCGCCCAACCGAGUCAAACCCGGGUCGGGUUAGACUGAACCCUACCCAGUCCAGUCCAAAAAAAAUUAUUUUAUUAUUAUGUUUUUAAGAAAAAAUUUAUUUUAUAAAAAAAUUAAAAAUUAAAAAAAAAGUAAAAAAAUUUUCAAAAAUCCAAAAAUUGUAGGGUUUGGUUAGGAAUUGCUAUGUAUUGCCUUUUUAGUGUAAUUAGGCAUUUAUUUGCUCGUAUAUUGAUUAUAUCGCAUGUUUAGUUUGCAUAUUUUGUUAUGCUUAAUUGCAUGUUUUUAAUUUUAUGGCAAUUAAGAUCUUGGUAACUAUAAGUAUUAUCUUAAUGAUUGCGCACCUGCAUGAUCACCUCGCAUGUUAGUGGAUAAAUAUGAAAUCAUUCCAAACUGCCUGAUAAAAAUCUUUUCUCUUAAAAUGAACAAGAUUAGGUACCGAAAUGGCAUUAAUUGGUUAAUUAGUGUAAUCAAGUUCCCGACCAUAGACUCUCUGAUUGCGUAGGAAGUGAGGUACAUUCCCAUACCUCACUUGAUUUCUAGCCGACCCCAAUAAGCUAGUGGCAACUUCUUUCUGUGAAUUUUUUUUAAGAAUAUCCCAAUGUCACGCAGGAUAUGGGCUUGAGAGAGCCCACGCCUAAUCAUUGGCCUUAGGCCCGUCUUUUAGGCAAUACCCUAAACCUGUUCCCUCCCCUAGAGGGGUAGGUCACGACAGACAUGCACAGUGUAAUUUAUCCAAGGCACGAGCAGAUUACCAACCACGAUAGACCUAACCUAUUUGAAAAUUUUUCAGUCUAAAAAGUUUGAAACCUUUUUUUUUUUUAAUACCCGGGGAACCCAGUAGUAGCCGGCGGGUAAACCCUGGAGCGACGAUAGCGGAGAACCCACCACCCCGACGUCACGCUUAAGACCCCGUGCAGCCAGCGGGAUUCGACCCCCUCCACUUUCGUUAGUUUCAUUAGCCAUAAGUGCUGAACUCAUGCUUUCUAGCCAAACAUUGCUUAACUCCGGCCUCUAACUAAUGAAGAACAAGCAUAUUGGAUAACAAAUUCCUUAACGAAGUACCCUCUCUUCAAUGAAUUUGACUAAAUGGCAGAGCCAUUUCCGACACACUGCGCGGAAAGAAACAACGCAAGCAAAAAGAAAGAUCAAAACCUAAUGUUGAGCCCUUUGGCGCAAGUCUUCUCGUAGGUGCGAACCAUCUCCUCUGGCGUGGGCUUGGGGUCCUUGGGGAAGUCCAUGGUGAUGAGCCAUUGGUUGAAGUCGCACCCCUCGAAGAGCACCGUGUCCGAAUCGAUCUUGUCAUCGUUGUUGUAGCCGUCGGCGUUGUAGGCCAGCGACCGCGAGAAGAACAGCCACAUCGCCGCCGCCGCUGCUGCCGACGAGGAGCGAGGCCGCAGCGCAGUUGCCACGAGAGGCGGCGUCAGACGGCAGACGGCGGCGCGGCGAGGGCUCGCCGGAAGCGGACCAAGCGCAUCACCAUGGCUGCCGUUGAAGAGAGAGAGAGAGAGAGGGUUCUAGAGGUUUUUUGGAGGAGCUUUUUCAGGCAAAUGCGACUUCCGAUUUGCAAGAGCAUGUUACGCCUCAAAAGAGCGAAAUUUUAUUUUUUGUGAUUUUCGACCUGGAAAUUACGAUUUGGCCCCAGAUUUUUAGGGUGGUUAUUGAUAUCGCCCCACCCAGUAUCUCGAGAUUUUGGCAUAAAUCCCUCGAUAUUUUUUACGAAUUGGUUUUUCAGUGUACGCCCGCCCCUUGGUCGGUCACGUGACCAAGGGCGGUGACGACUUCGAGGGCGAAAUCAUCUUUUUCGUUUCGAAUUCCUCGUGUUGAAUCGGUAGAACCAGCAAUUACCCUACUUCCUCUUUUGCUCUUAUUUUGGUCAUUUUUCUGGAUUUUUUUUUUAGCCUUUCUUGUAUUUGUUUGUAUUGGAGAAAUCUUGUGCUGCAGAUGAUGAAGGAUAGGGAAGGACCCAUCUUCUGAAUUUUACUUAUUUGAGACCAAAAGAAAGUAAUUUUUAGCAUAUUUGCACAAAGAAAAAUGAAGAAAAGUUAAUCGAUUUCAUAUAUCUUGGUUUCUGUUCUCUUCCUUCUUAAAACUCCCCAACCUGAAAAAGGGCACUAAUGAAGGUGUGGCACAGGAAUUAAACUUCAAUGAAAUUUAAAUAAUAAUAAUUAAAAACACCUAGCUUAUUUCCGAAUUGACCCUAAGCCAUUUCAGGGCCGAUAGGAUCGCUAUUCAAUUCCAUAAACUUUGAAUCGAUUCUGAUUGGGUAAAUUCCACCUGUAGAGUGAGAAUCGACCAAUCCUGAAACUGAUCAUCAUACGUUUGAUAUGACUUACUUAAAAAAUAACGUCUUCACAAUUUAACAUUUUAUUGAGCAGAUUCCUCCUUUUGCUUCUCAGCCUACGGGAUCUAACGAUACAAUAAAAAUGAGUAGUCUUUCAAUUUUUUUUAAUUAAAUAUAAGCUAAAUAAAUGGACAAGAGAGAAACUUUUCAGUUUUGACUAAUAUUUUCAUCAAAGAGAUGAUUUAUCUUUGAAAAAUAAGUAAAGAAAACCAUUUUACAAAUUUAAUCUGUCAUUUGUUAUCAAUAACUAUUUUUUACAAAUAUUAAAUAGAGUGAAAAAAGCAGAAGUUAAUAAAUAUAAUUUAUCAUGUGUCUUAAUAUUAGAAUUCUACAGAUCUUUUAGAUAUUGUUAAAUAUUUCUUUUGUAAAUUUUAUGUAUUUAUCAGUAUCUCCUUUCCAUAAUUUAAUACUUCAAAUAUUUAGCAAUGAAAUAAUUUUGAUUGAUCUUUAAAAUGUCAAUUUUUCGCAUACACACAACCAGUGUGCACAUUUUUUUAAAAAAAUAAUUCUAGAUAUGUGUGACAUUUAUUUUUACUUUAUCAACAAAUAUUUUGCAUUACCUAAUAAUUCAAAUGUUUCUUAAGAUGCGUUGCAAGUUUAUGAAAAUUUGCUAGACCCGUUUGAUAGGACAAAUGAAAGAGCUUGGAUUUUGCUCGGGAAAAUAACUUCGAAAUUGAAGACUUCACCAAUCAAAGAUAAUUAAUUUUGACGUUCAACACCAAAGAAUUAGAAUAAAAUGAAUUACUCGCUUGAGAAGAAUUCUCAUAUAUUAUCAACUAAAUUCUGAACUUUUACAAUUAAGAAUGCACAUCCUAUUUACGAACAGACUAAGACAUAAGAAUUUAAAAACAUUGAAUUAGGAAACAUUCAACUUUUAGAAACUCUAUCUUAUACCUUCUCCUCUUUGGUCCCAUCAAAUCAUGCUGUGGUCCAAAUUUCCAUUUGUCUGCGCAAAUAUCAAAUGGACCUACUUGAUUGCGGAGGUUUGAGAUGGGCUUGUGAGUAGGGGUGCACAAAGAAUUGAAACCACUGUUCCCAUGGGACUAGUCUAACUCCCGGUUCUAGUUGUGGAACUGCUCACCCAAACUGGAUUGGUACAUACAUAUAUAUGAUUUUUUUUUUAAAUAAAAAUUAUGCAAAGCAUCUAUAUGCUCUUGAGUUUGAUGUAUUUGGGCUUGGAGAUGACCAAAGUGAGUUCAAUUUUAGAUUUGGGGGCUCUUUUAGUGAGUUCAAUUCUAUGGGCUAGAUGGAAAACGGGAAACCUCUAGUGGGUGUUUUCCAUAAGUGGGCAAAUAACUUGAGUGCUAGAGGUAUCUUUGGUCCAACAUUUCUCAAACCUAAAAGGAGACAAGGAGGCAAGGAAUUAUUCACCAUAGGCAUUGAGGAGGAUUGAUUUGUGGUCCGAAGCAUUUUAGUAUGAUGGCCAAUGAUAGGAAGAGCAAAGAAAAUACUGAUUUCAGUGUAGAUGAAGUGUUGCGCCAAUCUAAUCACUUUCACAUACACUGUGUGAAUGCUCUUGUCUACUUUGAACUUCUUUCCACUGAUAAAAUUUUGCAACCAUGAAAAGAUUGAAAGAAGCAACAUUAUCAAUGUGGACUUCAAUCUCUAUUAAAAAACACUAAAAAUUGUGCGAAAAAAGAAAAAAAGAAAAAAGAAGAGUGGCUUUCUAACAUAAGCAAAACUUUUCAAGUCAUACAUAUAUAACGGCCAGUUGUAAAUCUACAGACAAGAUGUUAGUAGCUAAAACCUACUUGCUUUGUAGCUUCUUCAACGCUCUUCGAAAAUCCCUUUACAGAUCCCGAAUUGAUCGAUCUAAAGACCUAUGCCAACAUAAAAUAGAAGUGAAAGACGAUAGUUAAACUUCAUUUUCCUUACGAUUGAAGUCCCUUGAAAAUGCCAAUAAAUUUUAUGUAAAUUCUCCCGGCCUAUACAUGCCAGUUUUCUGGGUCAUGUUCGUCCCUAACUUGUACUUUUUUGUCGCCAUCGAGGCUUGUCGAGGGACAAAGUAUCCACGAAAUCUUGUCAAGCCUUAAGAGAGCAUUCUCAUGCCACGCCUGACGUUUUUCAACUUAAACUUGCGCCACUUCACCGCUUUUCUCCAUCUCUAUUCGAAAUUCUUCCAUAUGUCAAAUGCAGCUUGUCCCCCAACUUUUGCAAUGUAGAUCAUGCCAUGGUCGCCUUGGGACAUUGAUAGUAGACUACAGUCAUCACAGAAUAAAGUGAUGAUCACAUGAUCAGAAAAUAACAUGUACAUGUAAUUACAAUGCUGAAGCGACAUUAAUUUAAUUAUUGUGAAUGUGAGGUUGUGAAUGUCAUUCUUAAAGACAACGUCAAGAUCACUAAAGAGUCUAUGCUUGGGAGUGUCGUAUUGGCCAUCACAUAGAUCUAGCCCACCAAUGAAAGUUAUUAUUUUACAGCUGUUUCCUAGGCUUGAGUGUUGAGAACCACGCACUUUUGGUGGUGCGUGUAUGGGUCCCCACCACUUGGGCUACAAAAGAUCCAUACACCAACAAAUUAAACAAGGAAAGAACACCCCAAGUGCCAAAACUUGGCACGGAGAAACAUUUAAGUGCCAAAAGUUUGGAAAGUGACACUUAAGUGCCAAUAUCGGAAAAAAAAUGGAUCACUUAAGUGCUACUCCGGCCAAAAUGCCGACGUGGCAAUUUUCCGAUGAAGCAAGCGCAAAACGGCGUCAUUUUGCGCGUUCACAUGGCUAAAACGAUGUCGUCUUGUGCUGACGUGGUAAAAAAAUUGAUAUAAAAAUUAAUUAAAUUUAUUUAAAGAUUUUAAACAUAAAAUUAAAAUUAAAAAAAUUUAAAAAGAAAAGGGGGGGUUGGGCAAGCGGCUGAGGGCUGAGCCCUCGCCGCCGCCACCUCCCUGCCACUGCCGGAAGUGGCGGCGGAGGGGGGAGGGUCGGCCGGGAUCGCCGGGCCUUGGCCAAGGGACGGCAACCCCGGCUGACCGGCGGCGAGGGCUCGCAACCCUUGCCGGAUCUGGGCGAGGGCCGCAACCCUCAGCUAGGCCAAGUGGCUAGCGGCCCUUAGCCCAGCCAGGCGAGGGCCGUCGACCCCUACCAGAGCUGGUCGAGGGCCCAUCGCCGCCGGCCCUUUCGGCGGCAGCGGCAGCGAGAGCUCAGCCCUCAGCCACCUGCACCCACCCCCCCUUUUUUUAAAUUUUAAAAUUUUUGAAAUUUUGAAAUUUUUAUUUUAUUUUUAAAUAUUUUAAAUUAAUUUAAUUUUGAAUUUUAUUUUAUUAAUUUUUUUACCACGUCAACGCAAAACGGCAUCGUUUUAGCCAUGUCUGCGUGCAAAAUGACGCCGUUUUGUGCUUGCUUCGUCGGAAAAUUGCCAUGUCGGCAUUUUGGCCGAAUUUUAGCUGAAGUGGCACUUAAGUGAUCCAUUUUUCUCCGAUAUUGACACUUAAGUGUCACUAUCUAAACUUUUGGCACUUAAGUGUCCCUCCGUGCGAAAUUUUGACACUUGGGGUGUUCUUUCGUCCAAAUUAAAUCAAACACGAUAUCAUAUAGGACAGCAUGAGAUAGGUCAAUAAACUUCCGUAGAUUGUCUGAUGAAAGCAAAAUCUUUCCUAUGAAAUUAAACCCGAUUGGAAUAAUCAGGUAAUAUAUAGUAAAAGCAAUGCUUUUGGUGCAAUCCGAUGAUGAGAUUUUGAUUAAGAAUUGACCUGAACAUCUACGAAUACAUACAUAUUGCUUGAAGAUGCUAAGUUUGGUGCUUGCAUAUCGAGGAGCAAGCACACAGCAGACAUCAGAAUGUUGGAAAAACUUCUUCGUCUCUUUGUCAUGAGUUUGCAUCACGCCAUCUUGUGCGACAAUGUGGCACAUGCCGAGUCUUAAUUAAGAGAGAUCUCAAUAAAGAACUAUCUUUUCCUAAGGCAAUAAACGUACAGAAAAUCUAUCACAAAGGGCAUGGAUUUGAAGUUUGGCCAAAUGGUGGGUUACACUAUAAAUGAGGAUACUUAUUCAAGAAAGAGCCAUUAUGUAACAUAUUCUCCAAUUGCAUUUUGUUAAGGUAAGCCAAAAGGAAGAACCAUUAGAGGUCAAGCUUUUUUGUGUCGAAAACCAAAAAACUUCUUCUUUUGUAAACAUUCAUUAAGCCAACAGUAAAAGUGAGAAAAUCCUUCACUAGCUGUGCACCAUUGAGUAAAGGGUGCUCCUUAGGUGCAAUGCCGUUAGAAUAAAAAAUGUGUUGUGGUGAUGGGCUGAUGGGUCUGGGCCGGGGAUAAAACCAAUGGGUUGCUCUUGUGGGCCGCAUCAGUUGGACCAAAUUGUCCUUUUCUACUUGUUAUUUAUUUAUAUUCUUAUUAUUCUUAUUCUUUUGUUCUUUUUACUACCAUUCAUCGUUUUGAUGUUUUUUUUUUAAUUACAAUAAUGCGUGCUUAAUUUGUCAACGAAAUUUCAGGUGUUGAUAGUUACGAAUAUAUUUACCUUAAUAUAUGAAAAAAAAAAUAUCACGCUAUCCAAACAAACCAUAAGACGUUGCGUCAAAUCUUUGAUUGCCAAAGGCCAUAUUUGUUUCUUGAUCGAUGGGAGGGCUAAAAAAUAUGGCACAAUCCAGUUGAAUAGAACAUGUAUGCGUUGAUGAAAUAUCGACCCAUUUAAAAUAACUUGAUUUAUGACCCAUAUUCAUAUUAAGCCCAGAUCCUAUCUCGCCCAUUUGUUGGGUCAAAGUCCCAAAAAUCACUGUGAAGGCUUAAAGAAAGAGCAGUACAAGCGAAGAGAGAGAAUGAAAGAAAAAGAGAGAUGACAAAGAUUCUUUAGUGAAAGAUGAUUCCUUCAUCUUUUUGCUUUCCCCGUUUAGAGGAUUCUUUUUUACUUUACUUAAAAGGUUCCGAAUUAAAGAAAUGAGGAAAGGAUUGAGAAUUCAAAUCCUUUUUAAAAAUAUAUGACCACUAGCUUACUUACGAGGUUACCCUUAAGUAAGUUGUCAUUAUUAUUAGGAUUUUGUCAAUUUCUAAACAAAUUAGUAUAUCAUCACCUCUUCUGAAAUUUCACAAGCGUCUUUUUUAUAUAUCAAUAAUAUAAUAAAGUUAUAUAUAUAUAUAUAUAUAUAUAUAUAUAUCACUAAUACAGUGAUAGACCAAUUUCUUUGAAAUUUUACAACUUUUUUUUGGUAAAAUACCAACUCAAUAAAGAAUCUACCAACCUCACAAUAAAUCAGUGAAUUAUCAAGUUUUUUCAAGUUGCUAAUUAUUAAACUAACAAGAUGAGAUAAGAAAAAAAAAAGGAACAAAUAAAGAUGAGAUAACAUAGGAUAAAGACACGAAAAAGAGUCCAGGAAAAGCAAAUAUGUGGUGGGCCCACACAGUGGUGUAAGGAAAGACGAAACAGUUUUACGAGGAAUAAUUUUUCUGGGCCCCACAGGAACAGUUUUCUCUACCACUCUUUCCACUUCCCUCAACUUAUUGUAGCUCAAGGUAGGGAUGUACAUGGUCUGAGUGGGCGGUUCCCAGCCUAGAAUUGGGAACCGCCCGCUAAGAACUGGUUCCAAAAAGAACCGGGAAUCACCCGUUAAUUGCAUGGAUCCACCCGAGAACCGAACCGAUGGUCUGGUCCCCGGGUGGAUCCAUAGAACCGGUCUCACCAAUAAUAAUACCGUUUUCUAAAUCCCGCUAUAAGUACUCUUCAUAUCGAGUAAUAUUUUUCUUUAAAUCAAACCGGCUUAAUUAAUGGUACCAUUUUUCUUUAUUUUAUUGGAAAACACUACCAAAGAAGAUAAAUAGGUUUUUUUUCUUGUUUUUGAAUCAUUUCAAUUGAAAUCUAAAAUAUUUUUUAAGUUCAAGGUUAUGGAUGAUUGUCAUAUGUAGAUCGUCUUUUCAUUUAUCCCAUAACAGUGCUCAAUCUCUUACGACCUUUGCUUUACCAAAUUCUUUCUGUAGAAACAAUUCCACCGGUAGUCUACAUUUUUUUGAACAUGGUGUCCUAUGUGAGUCCCGGAAGUAUCCUUUGAAAGAGCUAUUUGUUGAGUUGUUGAAAGGUAGUUUACACACUUUACUAAAUUCUUAUAAGAACAUGGAAACCGUGAGAGGAGAUGAAGCCCUAAAAUUUAGGUUUGCUAAUUAGUAAUUUUGAAAUUUAUUUUAAUAUUAAAAAUCAGUCCGGUCCGAGUGGGCGGAUUCACCCAUGGAACCGGAAACCGGACCGAUACCCACCGGUUCACAUAAAUUGAAACCAGGAACCGAACCGGUUCCCUUAAGAACCAUCGAUUCUCAGCAGUUCCAGUCUGGUUCUGGGCGGUUUGGGCGAGUCCUGGUUUUUUUGCACACCCCUAGCUAGGAGUGUGUAUAAUCCGAGUGAAUCGAUUUCAAAAAAUUAGAAUUGGAAAUUGCAUAAUAGUUGCAUGGAUCCAUCUGGAAAUCGAAUCGUUGGUCUGGUCUGAUUCUCAAGUGGAUCCAUAGAAUGGUCCCACUAAAAGCUAUUUAAUAGUUAAAAAAAAUGUUUACCAGAAACAUGAAAUUGUUUUAUAUAAUAACCAACUAAAAGCCUAAAAACAAUCUCUUGAGCUCCACAAAAUUGUCUCAAUCUUUGAAUAGUGAUUACUUUGCCGAUAAUUGCUACAUGCCAUCACCUGUUCAUGUUCUCGUUUCCUCCUUUUUUUUCUUUGAACCUGCUUAUGUCGAUCGACAUCAUCACAUUUCACAUUUGCUAAUUUGUCUCAGUCCUCUCUCUUUAGCAAGGCUUGUCCCUGCAUGGUUUUUACCAUCUCCUUCAUUGUCCUCUCCUCACCCUCAAGCUGCAUUUUCAUGAUGGCCUCAGCCUACUUGUCAAUUGGCUUGAAGUACUCUUCAAUGGCAAACUCCUGCAUAGGUUAGCGGAGAGUUCAAAUUGAGAGAGACGAGAUGGAGAUUGGAGCCAUGAAUUUUAGAUUUGCUAAUUUCGAAAUGUUUUUAAUAUUAAAAAUUAAUAUAUUAUUAUAAUAUAAUUGGUCCAGUCUGGUUGGACGAGUGGGCGGAUCUGCCCAUGGAAUCGGAAACCAGACCAGUAUCAACUGGUUACCGUAAAUUGGAAUCGGGAACCGGACUAGUUACCUUAAGAGCCACCGGUUCCGAGCGAUUCCGGUCCGAUUCUAGGUGGUCCAGGCCGGUUCUUUUACACACCCCUAAUUCUAGCCCUACAAGGCAAGCAUUAUUUCCUUGUUUCUUUAUUUCCUCUCCUUUUAAUCCGAGUCCUAAAACCCGCUUUACUCUAUGAAAUGACUCAAUUCAAUUCUAUGGUCAUGCCAUUAGAAAAUGGGGGACAAUCACCUAUUGAAGAGAACCGGAUAUGUGUCAAUAAAAUAUUGGCCCUUUAAAAAUGAUUUGAUUUAUGACCUGGAUUCAUAUUAAACCCAGAUUUAAUCUUACCCAUUCGGUGAGUCGAAGUUCCAAAUAUCUCAAUGGAAGAUUAGGCGUAGAGUAGUACAAGAUGGGGGAGAGAGAGAGAUGGAAGGUGAAGGAUGAUUCUUUAGUAUUUUUCUGUUCUAUUUUGGAUAUUCUUUUUCACUUUUUCAAAGUUGUCCAAAGUGAAGAAAUGAUGAGAUGUUUGAGGAUUACAAUCCUAUAUGUAAAAAGAUCGAGAAAAUUGUCCAAAAAGUCCUAAACUUAGUAUACUUUUGCGAAGUUGAUUCUAAGCCUUUUUAAUUUUACCAAUAAAGUCCUAAACUUUUGACAAUUUGCCAAUUGAGUCUAUCCAGGCUGUCGGAAAUUGCUGACAUAAGCAUCGGGCAUCCUGCUUGGCACGCUAUCGUUGAAGUGGACAUUUUUAAUGACAUUUUUGAACUUUUCUGGUUUUUUUCUUCUUCUUUUUUUUUUUUUUUUCAUUUCUUUACUUUCUGUUUUGCCUAUCCCAGAUCUAACAAGAGUGUCACGACCCUCACUAGAUCUGGGCGAGGGCUCAUGCGCUCUCGCUUAGUGUUGCGACCCUAGCCCAAGCCUUCAACAGCCAUGACAAGGGCCAUUAUAGCCGUUGAGGAUUGCAAUGUCCUCACCCCAAAAUAGCGAGGAUCGCCAUCUGUCACUGUAAAAACCAAAAAAAAGUGUAAAAGGAAGAUAGUCCAGGCCAUCCAAGCACUCAUUCCUCAGGGUCAAUUCGAGAGGGUCUACUACGAGAGUGCUUCGCCAGGGCAUGUCGCUAGCCCUCCUGAGGUGAAUUCCUCUACCAGUGAUCGGGGUGACACUAUCACCGAUUCACGAGCUUCCUUCUUUGAGGGCACAAUGAAUGCUCUGGAUGAUGAGAAGCUCAAAGUGAUUGGGAUCUACGGGCCCAGUGGCGUGGGGAAGACGACGCUCUUGGAGGAAAUCUAGAAUAAACUCAGGAACGAGAAGAGACUGUUCCACCCGAUUGCCACAACGACUGUAUCGCAGACUCAAGACUUGAAGAAAAUCCAAGAUGACAUUGCUUACGCCUUGAGUCUGGAUCUGAAGAACGAGCCAAGCAAAGUCAGAAGAAGAGAUCUUCUGUUUCGGAAAUUACAGAGCGAUCCGACAAAGAAGGUUAUCAUAAUAUUGGAUGAUCUGUGGGGGCCACUUGAUUUGAAGGCGGUUGGAAUUCCUGCGGGAGACAAGAGCAGGGGAUGCAAGUUGCUGUUAGCAUCAAGAUUUAAAGAUGUGUUGGAGCAAAAGAUGCAUGUGGAUAAAACAUUUCGUCUUGAAGGUUUAAACAACGACGAAGCUUUCAGGCUAUUUGAAAAGAUAGUCGGCGACAAGCUCAAAGACAAGCAAUUGAAAGCAAUAGCAGCUCAAGUGGUCGAGAAGCUCCUAGGUUUGCCUCUUUUGAUUAUCUCCAUCGCAAGCACUUUCAAAUACAGCCUGUUAAGGAAUAUAAAUCAAAAACACCAACUGUACCAACUAUCUAUGCUGCUGAUAUUGAUAAUAGAGAAAAGAGGGUGAAGACAGAUAUUAAAAGAGAAAGAACAGAGGCUGAUAUUAGAGAGAAGGAAGAGCUGCAAAGCAACAAAGUGAGUAACACAGACUGGAGAAGACACAACAACUCAAAUAAACGAUCGCGAUGAAGGUUGAUAUGGAUCGUCAUCAACGGUGAAGAGUUUGUGAUGAAGACUGACACGGAUUGCCAACUCAUGAAGACACGUGAGCAGUUAUUCAGUUGAGGAUUGAAACAGAUUGAGAAACAGUCUUGUUAAAAUCAGUUUUUCUGUUGUAUCUUCAUCUUCUUCGAUAGGAAAAGAUAUAAAGAAGUCUUAGCAGGAUCAUCUUUGUUGUUGUUGAGGAAAACAGAUAGAGAAUUCCUAUAAAUGAAUGCUCUGUAUUUUACAGUAGAGAGAGAGAGAGAGAGAGAGAGUGUGAGAAAUUUAGAAGUGUAAAUCUUCUUUGUUCAUUGAUGAUCCGAGAUAUACAGACUUUGUAUUACAAUCUCGUUGAAACAGAAGAAUUCAAAGCUUCUUGAUUGAUCUUCAGUUCUUCAACAUAUCUCUUCAUCUUCACAUUCUCUAGUUCUUCAAUUCUAUUUCUUCAUCUUCACUUGGUAUCAGAGCAGAAGAUCAUACCUAUUAGAAAGGCUUAUUCAGCAAUCAUUCAUUGAAUCAAAGUGAAGAAACUGAAGUUGCAGCAGAUCGCAGUGUCACGGUAAUUGAGGUUACUAUCAUAAUAUCAUUGCUGUUAUCAUCUUCUUCAAAGCUGAGAGAAUAGAAUAAUGGCAGCAAGAACACAGAAGUAUCAUUUCCCAAUACAUGUGAAUAUCUCUAAUUUUGUCACAAUCAAACUUACCGAAGAUAACUUUCUGUUAUGGCAAGCACAGAUCCACAGAUUUGUGAGAAGCCAAGAACUCUUUGGCUUCAUUAAUGGUGAAUUUCCAUCACCUCCUCGAAUGCUGCAGAUUGAAAUAGAAGGGUGUGAAACUGAAGUUGUAAACCCAGAUUACACUGAUUGGACAAAGACUGAUCAGCUGAUAUCAUCGUGGAUAAGCGGAGCUGUCUCUGAAAACAUUCUGAGCCUAAUCAUUGGCUUAGAAACAUCUUAUGAGGUAUGGAAAACCUUGCUCAAUAGAUUUACACAAAAGUCUGUGGCUAGGGAAUUUGAGUUGAGAGGAAAGCUGCAAGCAUGUCAUAAACGAGAUCGAUCUCUGGCUGUGUAUCUUAGAGAAUAUAAAUCGAUCUGUGGUCAACUCAAUGCUAUAGGGAAGCCUAUAGAUGAAAUAACAACGAUGUUUGGAGUUUUGGAGGGUUUAGGAUCUGAGUAUGAAAAUUUUAAAACCACCAUCUAUUGUUUAAAACCUCAACCAGACUAUGAUGAGGUGAUAUCUCAGCUAGAAAGGUUUGAAGUGAGGUUACAAAGGUACUCAUUGAGUUCAUACAAUCCCAAUCUAGCAUAUUAUAGUCAAAGAAGAACAGAAGUUCAACAAAGGGAAGAACUUGACAAAGAACCUAUGCAGCACAAUUGUCACGCCCCGAUCCUCCGAGCGCGCGAACGUCCCACUCUGGUCGAUACAAAUGCGACUUCCCAGGACACGUCGCCGACCCAUUCAAUUUUUAUUAUGCAUGCGGAAGCGAAACAAAUCCCCUGACAACAUUUAACUUGGGAUAGAAAAGCAGGCAAUCAAUCACAACCAAACAAGCUUUCUAUAAACACAUAGGUUUAUAUACAACAUUGGAUUGACUACAAAAUAGAUAGGCUCAACAACUAGGGAACUGUCCUAUGACCAACUUGUCAGACACGUUCGCCGAUUCUUCAGCCUCCACCUUCCGAACUCCAGGACUUCCGGUCCUCCACGACCGUCAUCUAGGGACCUGAAAUAUUAUCCCACAACCGGGAUGAGACUACGUCUCAACGAGUCCUACCCUCUAAAACUCAAUUAGGGAGAAAAUACGCCUCAGGGCGCUCUAGCCACACAAAUAGAAUAGAGGACUUACCUCACCUCAGUCCCUUUCCUGCACGUUAGUACAAUUCAUAUUCAAACAAUGCUCGCACAAGCUGAAACUACCGACAUACCCAUCGGUCUAUCAAUUCAGUCAAUCCAAUUGAUAUCAUACAAUCCACACAUCUAUCAAUUCAUAUCAUCUAUUAAACCAUACCAUCUAUUCAUCCAUCAAUACAAUUACGGCUCGCACAAGCUGAAAUGGAUGCAAUGCUCUCACAAGCUGAUAUAGAUGGUAGCUCGCACAAGUUGAUAUAUGCAUAGAUGAUAGCUCGCACAAGCUGAUAUAUGGAUCAUUGCUCUCACAAGCUGAUAAACGAUCAUUGCUCUCAUAAGCUGAUAAAUGAUCAUUGCUCUCACAAGCUGACAUACAGUGCUCACACAAGCUGACAAUGAUGCUCACACAAGCUUAUACAUAUAUAAACCAAUUGCUCGCCAAAGCUGAUAAUUCAAUAAUAAACCAACUCAUAUCUCAAUUCAAUCAAUCAAUCAAUCCAAUCGAUUCAAACUGGUCAUACAAAUCAAUUAUGGUGCUAAAAGCCAACACCGGGUAUUUUCAAGUUAAAUAUCACAACUUCAUCAAUAUCACUCAAUUCCACAUUUUUGGAAUAAUUAACCAUAAUCAUCAAUCACUCAAUUUCUCAAUUUAAACAUACAAUUAACACAAACCGACCACACUGCUGCGAUCAACGCGAAAUUCUAACGACCGGCCAUCCCGGCAUAAUUUUCGAAAUUAUUAAAUAAUUAAAUUUAAUUCCGAAAAUUAAAUAAUUAAAUAUUAUAUUAUAAUAAUAUAAUUUAAUAAAAUAAUAUUUAUAAAUUCGAAAUAAUUAAUUAAUUGAAAAUAAUUAAUUAGGGCUUAAACAAGAUUACACUAAUUUAAUCAUACAAUUAGCCCUAAUUAAACACCCAUUAAACUAAUCAUACAACUAAUCUAAUUUACAUUAAAAUAAUCUAAUUUAAUCACAUAAACCUAAUUAGACUAAUCUAAACACCCCUUAAGCAUCAUUAACUCACUAAGCAAGAAUUAGAGGAUAAACUCACCCGAUUAACGAGCCGAACGGCUCAAAACGACGAGGACGAUGCGAGGGUCGAUAGUCUCCAAGGCGGGCCUAGCUUCCGGGGUCGGGAAGCCGACCAAAACGGGCCAAAUAGCCGCUACCAUACCCAUUUUCCAACUCUCUGUUCGCUGCUGGUUGAGGCCGGGAAAUGGCGGAUCCGGGGCUGGUUGGGGUCGGGAAUGGGCGGAGGAGCUGAACCGGACCUAGGCGGGGCUUCACGGUGGCCGGAGGGAGCUCCGGCGGUGGCUCACGGUGCUGGACAGCAGCUCUGGACGCACACCAGACAAGAACGACGGCUGGAAUGGCGGGCUUGGCGUGCGUGGACGGCGGGUGUCGCGAGUGGCGGACGGCGGGCAAGCGGGGCGCGACGGCGGCGGUCCAGCAGCUAGCUGGCUGCUCUGUCGUCUUCCCAGAUCUACUGGGUUUCGAACCACACAAGGAAGAAGGAGAAGAAGCCGACACCAGCAGAAGGGGGAGAGAGGGGCGGAGCUACGUGCGGAGCAGCGGCGAGCAGCGACGGCGAUCGGCGACGGGCGGAGCUGCUCUGGUUCACUGGUCUUCAGCUUCUUCAGCUUGCUGCGUUUCUUCGAGCAACAAGAAGAAGAUGGAGGGGAAAGGCAACGGGAGAGAGGGAGGGAGGAGAGAGAAGGAGAGAGAGAGAGAGAUGGGACCCCUUUCUUUCAUUUUCUUUUCUUUUUUCUUUAAUCCCUCACACAUGGCCCACCAUGACCUAGGAUGACCUCACAAUCCACUCACCCAAUCCUCCACAACCUCUUCCAAUGGUUGCAAUUUCAUUUUCCGCCGGGGUCCAAUUCUUGUACACUUAAUUUAAUCAAUUCUCAAUCAAUUCCAUUCAAUUGAAGCUCAAUUAAAUUAACCCAUGUGUCCUCGGCCUUCUCAUGACAUUUCCCCAUCAAAUGAUCCAACUUGCAUCCUGAAGAUUCGAUUAAAAAAUGGCCCUCUAACAAUCCCGAACAUAAACGGCCUUACUUUGCUUUUCUGCCAAAAAUCUCGGUUUGUAGAAAAAUCUUCUGGAGAUGAGUCGACAUUCCUAAAAUGAAUUGUGACUUGACAGAACUUCCAAUUUCUGUAAUCGGGUUCAAUUUCACGGUUAAAUUCAAUCUGGCGCAACUUUAGCACGUCCUAAUCUACCGGGUAGCUUUUAGGAAUUUUCUGUGCAAUUGACCUGUGGUUGAUUAUUUUCAAGCCACAAAGUGCAUCUUCGAUACAUUGGCGACUCUUGAUUGUCGUAGAAAUCUCGAGGUUUCAAAUACGGACACAGGGUACCAAAAUGACAGAGAAAUCGGUCUAGUGCCGAUCAAUAAGAAUUGUGCAAUUAGGUGGAAUCACCCACACUGAAUUACAUGGUUAUGUUGAAUCGACCUAUCUCCGGUCUCUAAUCGGUCUGUGCCGUAAUGACCCUUGCAGAUUAGAACGGUCGAGCAGUCGUUUCCUGGUCGAAUUAUUAAGUCUAUUGCGUUUAGAUUCCUUAACGGCUUCACCUGAUAGACUAGUUAUCUCGUGAGUGGCCAACUCAGAGAAGAAAGCUAUAAACGCGAAGAUGAAAUGCCCGACUUAUUUAAUUGAAACCAGAAUUGGAAAAUCGGGAUGUCACAACAAUUCUGGUUUUGGAACUUUAAGGGAGAACAGUCGUGGAGGCCGUAGGUAUGGAAGAGGAAGAUUUCUUAAUAACAGAGGUCGAGGCUUUAGAUAUCCUGGAAGAGAUUCAAGUUACAGACCAAAUAACAUCAAUUACAUACAAGAGGGUUACAAAGUUAAGCAAUUCCACAACCCCUCUAGUUCUAUUUCUAAUCCAGGAUUUCGCCCUUAUGCUGGUUCCUCACAGAGAUAUCAAGAAACAAGAUCCUAUCCCACUUCAAAUCUAACCUUUUCUAAGGAUUUGCAGGAUGAGAAAUCAGCUGACAACAUGAGAUUAGAGUGUCAAAUUUGAAAGAGACCAGGACAUGAUGCUUUACAUUGCUGGUAUCAUUUUGAUAAUUCCUAUCAAGCUGAGGAAAUUCCAACAGCUCUAGCAGCAAUACAUCUCGAAGACUCCAAAGGAAGUGAGUGGUAUCCAGACACUGGUGCAACUGCACAUAUCACAGCCAAUCCUGGUAUACUUCAUAAUCCUUCUAGAUAUACUGAUUAUGACACUAUUAUGAUUGGUGAUGGAUCAUGUUUGCCUAUCACCUAUACUGGUAAUACAUUACUACAUACUGAAAUAAAUUCAUUUCCUCCAAAUGAUGUGCUAAUUGUCCCUGAUAUAAAGAAGAAUCUUCUGUCAGUAUCCAAAUUAACAGAUGACUAUCCAUACUCAUUUGUUUUUGAUAAAUUUGGUGUCUAUGUAAAGGACAAUUGCACCAACACAACUCUGCUGCUCGGGAGGAAAAUUAAAGGGCUGUAUCGAGUAAAUUCACAAACAACAAAAGCAUUUCUAACUCAGAGACACAGAGUAGUAGGAGAGGAUACAUGGCAUCAACAAUUAGCACACACCAAUUUGAAUAUCUUGAAGUACCUGUAGAACCAACAACUAAUUCAGUGUAAUACUAGAAUGUAGAACAUGUGUAGUAGUUGUCAAAUUGCUAAGACCACAGCUUUGUCAUUUCCAUUAUCAGAAUCUGUAGCUACUAUGCCCUUAUAUAAAGUCCAUUGUGAUAUCUGGGGCCCUUCACCUGUUACUUCAUUUCAGAAUUUCAAAUACUAUGUUCUUUUUGUAGACAAUUUCUCUCGGUUUAGCUGGAUCUAUCCACUGAAGUUGAAGUCAAACUUAUAUAACGUCUUUGUUCUAUUUCAAAAGCAAGUAGAGAAUCAAUUUGAGUUGAAAAUCAAGAUAUUUCAGUGUGAUGGUGGAGGAGAAUUCAUUAGCCACAGGUUUCAGACUCAUUUGCAGAACUGUGGUAUCAAACAGCACAUCUCUUGUCUUUACACACCUGAACAAAAUGGCAUUUCUGAGAGGAAGCAUCGUCACAUUGUUGAACUAGGUCUUGCCAUGCUUUGUCAUGGCAGAGUUCCACUGAAAUAUUGGGUAGAUGCAUUCAUAACAGCUAACUAUGUUAUCAAUAUACUUCCAACACCAAAAUUGCAGAUGCAGUCACCUCACAGAAGAUUAUACCAAUAAGAACCAAGUUAUGAUCAUCUCAAGGUGUUUGGAUGUGCAUGUUAUCCAUGUUUACAACCCUAUGCCCAACACAAGUUUGAUCCAAGAUCACUCACAUGUGUGUUCAUUGGAUACAGUGAACGUCAUAAAGGUUACAGAUGUCUUGUGCCUACAACAGGUCGUGUGUAUAUUAGUCGACAUGUCCUAUUUGAUGAAAACUCUUUCCCUUUUACUAAAACAAGUCUAACAGAGUAUGCACCACUCACAACACUUUAUUGAUUAUGGGCUGAAGAAACUCAACUUAUGGAAUCAAUAAGCAAGGAAACAGCUCCUGUCUUUUUACAGAUAUAUGCAGAACAUUUGCAGACUAAUGGAGAUAUCACUACAAAUAAUUCUCAACCUUCACAGCAAGUUACAAUACCAUAUACUGAUCAUUCAUCAUUUCUGCCAAAUGUAACACAAGAACAUGGUACCUCUAUAAUAACAACACAAGAUGAAAUCUCUUCACCAGUACAGAACCAAGAGAUGCCUUCUACUGAAACAGCAACAUCCAAUGAUAUAAGUGUUGGAUCUGAACAUGUCAUUCCUCCUUAUGUCUCACAAGGAACAACUUCAAGUCAUUCUAUGCAGACUCGAUCAAAGUCUGGCAUUAUAAAACCUAAUCCCAGGUAUGCAUGUCUUGCUGUAUAUGAAGUACCCACUGAACCAAGAUCAAUUAAAUCAGCUUUAGCACAUAAAGGCUGGUAUAAAGCCAUGACAGAAGAAAUGGAUGCACUGUAUCAGAAUAAAACUUGGGAGUUAACUCCUAGAACUAAUCAAAUGAAUGUGAUUGGCUGCAAGUGGGUAUUUAAAACAAAACUUGCAUCUGAUGGUAGUCUUCAUAGACUAAAAGCUUGACUAGUUACUAAAGGUUUUCAUCAAGAAGAAGGCAUUGACUUUACAGAGACUUUUAGUCCUAUUGUCAAGCAUGCUACAAUUCGAAUAGUUCUCUCUGUAGCAACGAUGAAACACUAGCCAAUUCAUCAACUCGAUGUUAAAAAUGCAUUUUUACAUGGUACCCUAAAUGAGACAGUUUACAUGGAGCAGCCUCCUGGCUUUCAAGAUCCCAAGAAACAUCAUCAUGUAUGUCUCCUCAAGAAGUCUCUCUAUGGACUUCGACAAGCUCCCCGAGCCUAGUUUGACAAGUUCAGCAAUUUUCUACUUGAAUAUGGGUUCUUUUGCAGCUCAACUGACCCAUCCUUAUUCGUAUUUCACAUUGGUACAGACACAAUUCUUCUACUACUAUAUGUCAAUGACAUUGUCUUAACUGGAAGUUCCUCUCAGUUGCUUUCUAAUCUCAUCCAUUCUCUAAGUCUCCAGUUUCAUAUGAAAGACCUUGGCCCACUACACUACUUUCUUGGCAUUGAAGUUAAACAUACUUCUAAUCAUCUGUUUCUUUGCCAAACUAAAUAUGCUAUUGAUCUUCUUACUCGAGCUCAUAUGCUUGAGUGUAAACCAAUUUCAACCCCUCUGUCACUAAGACCAAUCAUUUUGACAAAUGAUUCUAUUCCUCUAUCCAAUCCUAUUGAGUAUCGAAACUUAGUUGGUGGUUUUCAAUACCUGACAUUAACAUGUCCUGACAUUGCCUAUGCUACGAAUUUACUGUGUCAAAAAAUACAAAAACCUACUGUUGCAGAUCUUCAUAAACUCAAGAGGGUUUUGCGAUAUGUUAAAGGCACCAUAAGUCUUGGAAUUUUCAUUCAUUCUCAAAGCUCUCUACAUCUGUAUGGUUUUUCAGAUGCAGACUAGGCUGGAUGUGCUGAAACAAAAAGAUCAACAACUGGUUUCUGUACAUACCUUGGCUCUAAUCUCAUCUCUUGGGCAGCAAAGAAGCAAUCCACAGAUAGUCGCUCCUCUACAGAAGCUGAGUACCGUGCUCUUGCUUCCACUUCUGCUGAACUUACUUGGAUCAGCUUUGUCCUUCUUGACAUAGGAUGCUCUCUACCUCGUCCAACUCAUCUCUUUUGUGACAAUAAAUCAGCCAUUGCUCUUACUGCCAACCCUGUUUUACAUGCUCGCACUAAACAUAUUGAAGUGGACUUCCACUUUGUUCCGGAAAAGGUCUCCUCAAGGUCACUCCAUGUGGGAUAUGUUCCAAGCAACUGUCAACUUGCUGAUAUUUUCACAAAAUCUCUGCCUCGCCUUACACAUUUUCAACUACGAAUCAAAUUGGGCAUUGGUUUUCCACCCAUUCCCAAUUUGAGGGGGGAUGUUAAGGAGUAUAAAUCAAAAACACCAACUGUACCAACUAUCUAUGCUGCUGAUAUUGAUAAUAGAGAAAAGAGGGUGAAGACUGAUAUUAAAAGAGAAAGAAUAGAGGCUGAUAUUAGAGAGAAGGAAGAGCUGCAAAGCAACAAAGUGAGUAACACAGACUGGAGAAGACACGACAACUCAAAUUAACGAUCGCGAUGAAGGUUGAUAUGGAUCGUCAUCAACGGUGAAGAGUUUGUGAUGAAGACUGACACGGAUUGCCAACUCAUGAAGACACGUGAGCAGUUAUUCAGUUGAGGAUUGAAACAGAUUGAGAAACAGUCUUGUUAAAAUCAGUUUUUCUGUUGUAUCUUCAUCUUCUUCGAUAGGAAAAGAUAUAAAGAAGUCUUAGCAGGAUCAUCUUUGUUGUUGUUGAGGAAAACAGAUAGAGAAUUCCUAUAAAUGAAUGCUCUGUAUUUUACAGUAGAGAGAGAGAGAGAGAGAGAGAGAGUGAGAAAUUUAGAAGUGUAAAUCUUCUUUGUUCAUUGAUGAUCCGAGAUAUACAGACUUUGUAUUACAAUCUCAUUGAAACAGAAGAAUUCAAAGCUUCUUGAUUGAUCUUUAGUUCUUCAACAUAUCUCUUCAUCUUCACAUUCUCUAAUUCUUCAGUUCUGUUUCUUCAUCUUCACAAGCCGUGUGUCCGCAUGGAAAAACGCAUUGAUAAAAAUAGAUGAGCCAAAAAUAGAAACUAUAGUGAAGUUGAGUUAUGAUCAUUUGGAGAGUGAGGAAGCGAAGUCCUUAUUCUUGCUUUGUGGUCUUAUUAGCGGGACCAUUAAAGUUGAACUUCUACUGGGACUAGGCAUGGGGUUGGGCUUGUUUGAGAGAUUCAAUGACACGAUAGAAGAUUCAAGGGAUAGAUUGAAUACUAUGCUCGAUAGCCUCCGUUCUGUUUGUUUGUUGCAGGAUGAUGGUGAUGACAUGGAAAAUGUCACCAUACAUGAUCUUUAUAGUAAGGUGGUCGUCUCAACUCCAUUUAGAAGUCAGGAUUCCUUAAUGAUGAACAACUAUUAUGUUUCGUGGCCAAAAGAAAAGCUUGAGAAAUGUUGGGCAAUAUGCCUUGUUAAUGAUUACAGUGAUAGCCUUGCUGAAAAAAUGCGGUGUGUGUUUCCCGACUUGGAGAUAUUCAUGUUGUCUCAACUAGGGUUGUUCGAGGCACCUAUACACCGACAUGAUGUGAGAGAUUGCUAUGGACUAGAUUUCACAGGCAUGGAGCAGCUCCAAGUCCUAUAUCUUCGCUUCAUACAUAUCACCAAUUUACAUUCCUUGAUUGGCACCCUUAGGAACCUCCACUCAUUAUACUUACACUAUUGCAUUGUGGACGAUGUGGCAAUUCUUGGCAAGCUCAAAACAUUGCAGAUUCUCAGCUUGGCAGGAUCUCAAAUUUCUAAGCUACCUAAAGAAAUUGGGGAACGUAGGAAUCUGAGAUCGUUGAAUCUAUAUGAUUGUGACUCGCUUAUGAUAAUCGAGCCCGGUGCCCUAAAAGGCUUAGUCAACUUGGAAGAGUUAUAUAUGAGGGGAAGCUUUAGUCAAUGGAUAGUCGAUGAUGAAAUACCAACGGAAUCGGAUAAUGGUAGGCUUGCUGAGUUGAAGAGCUUGAGAAAGCUACCCUCUUUGGAAAUAUCGAUUCAUGAUCCCACCGUACUCUUAAAGGAUGAUGACCUGCCAUUUGGGACCUUGAUCAGAUUUUGGAUCAACAUAGGAAAUGCUUGCGGAAGGGGAUUUCGUGGUUUGAGAACCAUGAAACUCCAAUUGGAAGGAUGCGAUGGUAUUCUCUCAAAGGAAUGGGUUCAGAAAACUCUGUAGAAAACUCAACACUUAUAUUUGGACGGAUUGGGAGAGUUCAAGGAGAAUGCUCACGGGUUGUGCAUUCGAGGAUUUACGCAACUGAAGCAUCUCAACAUUCAGAACAGCCCCUCAAUCAAGUACAUCGUCAGUUCAUUAAAUGACCUUCUCAUUGCAUUUACGGAUUUAGAGUCUUUGUUCCUUGAAAAUUUUAUUAAUCUGGAGAAGAUAUGCAAUGGCCCUGUCACAACAAAUUGCUUCAGCAAAUUGAAAGUUAUGUGUAUCAAAAAGUGCCACCAAUUGAAAAAUUUGCGGUUCCUCUCAGAGAUGCAAAGACGUGUGCAUUUGGAAGAGAUCAAAAUAUGUGAAUGUGACUCAUUACAAGCCAUUAUCACAGGUGAUGCAGGAAAAGUAGAAGUUGAUGUUGAUGACAUGAUUGAGUUACCUAAUGUACGACGUCUAGAUUUGCGUAAGUUACCAAAAAUGACGAGUGUUUGCACUAAAGCUGAGGGUGCUCCAAUUCAGGUAACUUUUUCAUUUUCUGGGUAUAAAUUUCUUUAAUUCUUAAUCUUGCAAGCAAUACCUAGAUUAUACUAUUAUAGGGGGAUUUAGGAUAAGAUGAUAUUGGUGUUCACCGAGCCUCAGUGAAUAUUGCAUUAAUUUUGAUUAUUUGUACAUCUUGAAACACAUAAAAAAUCCUUUCAAAGAAAACACAAACCAUACAUUUUUAUUCACAUCCAACUGUAGCUAGGGGAAGCCUUUUUCUACGAAUUUUUUUUCAAUUUAUUUCAGUGUUAGAUAAUUGCACUAAUUAUUUGGGCUUUAGCAUGGGUUUGUACUAUGACUAAUUUAUUACUUAUUUAACUUUUUUAAUGAGAAGAAAAAACAUUAUACGGAAUGAAUCUUAAACGAAUGCAUGAAAUUCAACAAUUUCAAAAUGAAGAAAGUGAGAAUAAAUAAAUAGAAGGCAAACUAGUAGCCACGUAACAAAGAAAGUCCACAUAAUUCAUGUUUCACCUACAUGCAAGUUAGCAAUUGAUUCUAACACUCAUGCCAACCUCACCAUGUCCACAUCGUUAUGCUUCUGUCAUCCCUUCGUCUCAAUUAAGUUUUUGACAUUUUUAAGAGACAUCAAACUCAUUCAUAUAUUUAAGUUUCUUUUAUUUCGCUGAAAAUUCAUUGUUGCUGAAAAAUGUCUUCCCGGCAAUUCAUUUUUCUUGUUUUCUUGUAUUUGGUACUGCUGAAAACACAAUCUGAGAGUAACCCAAAUAAAUCAUAUUUACCUGUUCAUAAUGAAAAGCAAUAAGUUAAGAAAUAAUUUAUUAAAAAUUACGAAGGAAAAGAUAACAAUUACGAUGACAAUUGUUUUGAAGAUCAGUAGAUGAUUUCAAAAGAAAAGAGAAAAAAAUUAUGGUCAUAGCUUUGAAGAUCAGCCAAAUCAAAGCUAAUAACUAUGAUGACACGUGGGAGCAGCAUGGUAGUGGUGAGGAUAUCCUCCUGAAAAUCAUUUUGCUUUUUACAGAAGAGAAAUUCAUUUUCUUGCAUUUUAGCCUGAGAUUUCAAUCAUUUUCUCGUAUCCAAACACAAGAAAAUUCUAAAAGCAUUUUUCUAAAAAUAGAUUUACUUGUAACUUACCUUUAAUGAGUUUGAUUGUGGCGCUUCGUUAGGUUUCAUUGCCUUGCUUGGAAUCCCUAGUAAUGGUUGGACUCCUUGGCCUAGAAAAGAUACUCUAUAGUGAUCCCUCAAUAAAAUACAGUGGUCUGAAAUCGCUAAAGAUAGAAGAAUCUAAAUCCACAUUGAGUAUUCCCAAAGAUUGGACAUUGAAGCUGCCAAAUUUGGAGUCAAUGGAAAUUGCGGGCUCUCCAUCAGCAGAAGUAGUUUUCGACCUGGAGGAGCUGAAAGUCAGUGGAGAAGUCGAGAUUCUCUCUCGGCUAAGUACAUUGGCAUUAUCUAAGUUGCCAAACCUGCAGCGCACUUUGAAACAAGACGUACAAUUACAAGGAAUAUCGAUAUUUCGAAACUUGAAGGAGCUCUCUGUCUGUGAAACAAGGCUGUCAUUUCUCUUUCCUGUGUCUGUAGCUAAAUGUCUUCGAGAAAUUGAAGACAUUAAAGUGGAGGACUGUCCAAAUAUGAAGACGGUGAUUGUGGAUGAAGAAGGAAUAGAUGAUAUUAUAGAGCUACCACUACAGAAGCGACUUUCUAUAACGCGCUAUCCCACAGAGAAAUUCUUCUCAUAUCCUCAUCGAAAGAAAGAGUUAGUAACCACUACUUCAUAUCGCAAGAUGCUUAUUUCGAUUCCUUCUUUGAUCAAAAGGUACAAAUCCCUUCUCUUGAGAUUAUACCCACAAUAGCCAUAAGCACAUGCUUUGCAAGGCAAGUAAUCAAAUCUCUUUGAAGAUCUUUAUUUGGUUUUAUUAAUUAAAAUGUGUUCAUAAUUUAUAACUAUAUUUGUCAGAUAGAGGCCACUAAUGGAAAAUUCAUUCUUCCACCACAUUAGAUAGAUUGUGGGGAUUAGGCCAAUUUCACAAAUUUUUCAUAGCUACAAUCUAAUGCAUAGCUCUUAUGAGCAGGUUAGUUUACCGAGCUUGGAGGAGUUAAAGCUUGAGUCAGAAGGAUCCUUCAAAAGAAUAUGGCACAAUGAACUUAUGGAAAAUUCCUUCUGCAAAUUAGCCACCCUCUCUAUUGGAUAUUGCUCUAAGCUACACAACGUCUUCCCUUCCACAAUCAUAGGGAGAUUGCACAACCUAACAAUUGUUGAGAUUGAAAACUAUCCCUCUCUGGAAUCAUUGUUGAUUGUGGGUCCACGAAGCAAACAUUGUGCAAACAACUGUAUUGCUCCCCAAAUCAGAAGUAAAGACGGUGAGGGAAGCAGGAAAGUUGAAAUGUACAGUGAAGAGCGACUCCCAAAUGAUUUUGAGUUUUCCUAGUCUUAAAAAAAGUCCGUGUUUGCAAUUGCUCCAACCUAAGAUAUCUCUUCCCCAGUUGUAGUGCCACAACUCUAGAGAAACUCGAGAGCCUAUGGAUUAGCAAUUGUGAACAGAUGAAGGAAGUGGUUCCUAAGGAGAUAGCCAAAGGAGACGAUGAAUCAUCACAACUGUUGUUCAAUGAGAUGGUUUGCUCCAUCCUUUACCAUGAUCAUCAGAAUUCUUGCAUUUCAUAUUUUAGAACGAACAAUCUAAUAAUUUGUCCUAUCUAUCCUCCUUUCUCACAUUAAACUCGUGCAGGCUAGAUUCCCCAAUAUAAGAAAACUACAAAUUGAAGGUGUCCGGUGCAAAGAGCUAUGGAACAAUCAAAUUCCCUAUGAUUCCUUUUGCAAACUGGAAUUUCUUCGAUUGGAGCACUAUGACAAUCUCCUAUGUAUUGCCCCAUCCCACAUGUGGAAGAGACCACAGCUUUGUCUCGACUUCCUAGAAGUGAGAUCAUGCCGUUUGGUCAAGAGCAUAUACAAAAGUGAUGGGACAGAUACAAAGAGUGGCAAAUUGAGGAGGUUGGCUUUGCAUGAUCUCGAAAACUUGAGGCACCCGUUCCCAAACUUGAGAUACGUAGAGGUUGUGAGGUGCUCUCAUUUGGAAAUUCUUUUCACAACCUUCAUGGCGAAAUUUCUCGGGCAAAUCGAAGAGCUAAUAGUAGAGUCAUGUGAAGAUAUAAAACUAAUUGCUGGCCAUAAAGAAUGUGAAGAAGCGGCCGGUACGACAAUCACCUUCUCCGAGUUAACUGCUUUUAGACUUUUUGAGUUGCCGAAAAUCAGGAGAAUCCUAGCUGAGAAAUACUCUGGGGAAUUCCCAUCCUUGCAAGUCUUUUGUAUGGUAAGCCGUGGAAUGGCGCCGGACCGAGGCCUUGAUGACUGGGAAAGGUACCAAGCCCGCAAGUGGUUUGACUUCAUGAAAUAUGGAUUUGAAGAAUAAUCGUUUCGGACUUCUGCAACGGAAAAUGGUGUUUGGCAAUAUAGAAUAAUGCAUCCGGUAAUAUGAUAUCAUGUUUCUGCGUUAUCUUGUAUAGUUCCCACAAAGUCUCUUGACUAUUUCCUUCAAUAAUCAUUGCUCUGGUUUGUCUCCUGUCCCUUGGAUCUAAGGCCGUGCUAAGGAAGGUCACUUGUUCAUUUCGACUGAGAAUGUAGAGUUGCUAUCAAUGCAUGAUUCUAAUAAAAUGACUGCCUAUUGAGACAUGGUCUCUUAGGGAGUGCAUGAUAACCAAAAUUUUUGUUCCAGAAAUAAUUUUUCUAUUCCAGACCUGUUUAUGGAAUAGAUUCCUGUUUGAUAAACCUACUCAGUUUUUUUAUUUCUGGAAUAGAUUUCUAUUCCAGAAAUUGAUUUGGAAGAGAAAUCAGAAAUAUAAAUUUUCUAUUUCUGAUUUCUGGAAGAGAAAUCAGAAAUAAUUUCUCUCACUAAACCCUAAUUUCGGUGAGUCCUCCCUCAUCUCCUUUACACCUCUGCCUCCUCCUCAUCCGCCUCUCCUCAUUUUAUUAAAAAUAAAAAUAAAUAUAUUCAUUUUAUUCAAUUAAAAAUAAAAAUAAAUUUAUUAAAAAUUAAUAAUUUAUUUAAAAUUUAUUAAAAAUUAAUAAAUUAUUUAAAAUAAAUAAAUUAUUUUUAUUUCUCAUUUUAUUUUUAGUUUAUUAAAAAUAAAUUUAUUAAAUUUAUUAAAAAUAAUUUAUUUAUGAUAAAUAAAAAUAAAUUAUUUUUAUUUGCCUUGAGUGUUUUGCCAGAUAAAUUUAUUUUUAUUUUUUAUUUUUAUUCAUUUUAAAAUAAAUUUAUUCGUAAAAUAAAAUAAAAUAGGAUAUUUUUAUUUUAUUUUUUAUGAUUUCUUUUAUUUUACUUUAUUUUAUUCUUUAUUUUUUGUUAUUAAAUCAUUUUUAUUUUUAUUUUUUAUAUUAAAGGUCGUCAGUCGUCGCCCUCGCCGUCCGAAAGGAAGAAAUUUUGUGUCGUUAUCAAAUGAAUUUCCAUUUUUAUAGUAGAAAUUUUGUGUCAUUAUCAAACGGAUAUUUUUGCUUAUAAACUCUUCUAGAAAUAGAAAUAGAAAAAUCUAUUUCUGUUCCAGAAACUAUUUCUGGAACAGAAUGGUUGUCAUGCGCGCCCUUAACUGACAAGCAUUUAACAAUUACUAGUGAGUCCCAGUUACUUCCUCUAAAUUUCUAAAGAGUCUUUCAUGGACAGUAACAAGUGCAUUGUUUCCAAUUUGUAACUGACAACGAGUACAUUAUUAAGCAAAUGACAUAUUCAAAUAUUUUUCAUCAUAAAUGACUAUCGGAACAAAAUAAUUCUUUUUUUUUAAUUCAAAUUUAUAAACGUGAAUAUUUUCUUAUUUUCGCUAACUAUUUACUACUUGAUGAUUGGAUAUUUUAAAAUGUGAUGUUCAUGAUUAGUAAAUAGAAAGUUACUCUUGCUAUUUUCUCGUUCAUAGAGUCAAUUUUACGAGUUAUUAACAAGAAAUUUUGCCCUAAACUCAUUAAUAGUGAAGGCAUUUAGUAAGCAAAAGGCACUUCUAAUAUAAUGUAUUACCAAGAGAUUCUCCGCCUAUACUUUUACUCUUCUCUUGACAAAAAGCUCUUCAAAUUUUAUUUGGAAAAGAAAAAAGCCGUUUUAUUAAAUAUGAAUGCAUCUAAUGUGCAAAAAUCAAUUUCACUGUUUUAUAUAUACCAGAUUUCAGGCUCUUUCAAGAAUUUCACGAAAUAGAUGAACUCCAUACACACGAGUUUACCAACUUAAGUACACUUCCAACAAUUUUGUCUCAUGAGAAAGAUCAAAACAGGUUUCUUCUCUCUCGAUCGAAUUUACUGGCUAACAAGGCCUCGUCACGUGGCCCUCGACAGAAUUCACCGGCUCUCUUCCUUUCUCUCUCUACAUCAAACGAUCUGAGUCGAUUCCCUUUCGAGAUCAGGCUCGGCGCGCUCUGCGGAGUGGGGCCAGAGCAUAAACAGAGCCACCUUCACACACGCAAAAGGAGCUCCACAAAUUCUCUCUAGCCCUGGUUGAAGGGACUCGCGUGAUUUUUGAGCAUUCAUAAGUCACUCUCUCUCGGAGAUUUCCUUCGAAUCCUUGCCUCUCGCUUCGUUGCUGAUCGUCACCGCUUCCCGAUCGCCGACAGUUCGGUCUGUAAUGGCGAAGUUCUCAAACUUUGGUCGCGACUGCCUGCUUCGACGAUUCCAAUCCUGGAUGUUGUUUCUGUUAUCUCCUUACUCAUAUCCGAUGUCAAUCGCUAUAGCUAAUCAUUCUUCUUUCAACUAAACCACAUUUGCUCUGUUUUCCGUUGCUUCAUAUACGAAGCAGAGGCUGAGUGCUAUUGUUACCGCCUGUGCGAAAACGGCUUCGACUGAGGCUGUAUUGAUGAUCGAACUUGCCGACUGCCUUUGUGAUGAUUUGGAUGCGAAUCACCUGUUUGAUGAAAUUCCUGAACUUAGUCAGUUUGUAUUUUGAUUCAAGUCUUGACCGAGAAUUUCCUUCAUUACUAGAUUAUUGAUUAAUUUCGGUCAUGUAAGCGUAUCUGAGGUCUGUUUCUUCGUAAAAAAUCAUAGGUAUUCAAUUUUGAACUUGCUUUGGAUCUGCUACAACCUGUCGAUACAUGCUGAUUCGUAACUAUUGCAGCCCUGAGCUGAUGUCAUUUGGUCCUUGAUAUUGAUUUUAUUCCACCUAAGUAAGCAUGUUUAAUGAAUUUCAUGUUCCCCUGAAAGGAAUUUAUGUCAUGAAUGAAAUAAAUUCUACCGGGAAUUGAUCCUUUUAUGUUGACCGUCUUAAAAUCCCUGAUUUAGUGUGUGUUUGAUUCCAAUUUGAGGCUAGUUUGGUUAUGGGAUCGUAUAUGCCCAUGCUAGGAAAGCAUUAUGGUGAAUCUCAUGCCGAUUUGCGAGAAUUGGGGUCAUCACCAAACUUGAAUAUGUUAGAAUGAAAGUAUUGCGUGCUGACCAUGCUUGCUUGCAUAAAUUCAGUAUUAAUUUGCCCCUUGAUUGAUGCCAUUUUGAUCAAGUAGACUUAUAUGCGCUGUAGGAAGAUAUGGCUUCAUUUUCAUGUUGAUUACUCAUCAAAAGAUCACAAUUUGCUGUCUCAUAUGCUCUGUUACAAUUAUGAAUGUCUGCUGGAAGUUGUGGAAUAAGCAUAAUUAGAUGGAUAAGAGAUAUGGUGUGUGCAAGUUCCUUGUCAAUUUCACAUGUUCAGAUGGCAAUUGCAUGAUUAAAUUGAUGUAUGUAUGCUUGCUAUUGCCAUGAGAGUCUUGGCCUGAUUAUUGAAUUAGAGAACUCCAAUGUUAACUGAACUUUAAUUCCAUGAUUCUUGCGAUUUCAAAGCUCGGGACAUCUAUUAAAUAAUUUGAAGAAUACUGACUUCGUUUAAAGGUGAUAUGGUAGACUAGCCAGAUUUGAGGAAAUCUCUCAACAAAACUGGUCACUGAGGCCCCAUCAAAAUAUCGCAUGGACGACACUUGCCAACAGAAUCCAAAUAUUCUCUCCCUCUCCUUUGACGCUCACCAUUUAAGGCUUAUUUAUAAGAGCUAUUUCUUAAACCUGACUGAUCCUUCAAGUUCAUGCACUUGUGCCAAUAUACUGUGCACAACACCAAUUGCAACCUAUUGACGCUACUGGAAAUAUCUUCGGGGAAGCUAGAACUCACAUUUGGUUGUGAAUUCCAAUGCGGCAAAUGAAGGGAUAUAUCUCUCUGUCCUUUCCUUCCUCAGAGUUCGCUGGCCAGUGCUGUUCAGAAUGAUGUUUCAAAUAUAUGUUUCUCAUUUCAUUGGAAUGCUCAUGAUAGACUGAUAGUCAUCUGCGUCAACAGCACUAAAGGAGCACGACAGAAGAUUAUCGCCAGUAGGGGGAGGGAAGCUUGGUCACCAGCGAUAAUUUAGUCACCUAUCCAAUUGUCAACAGUCCCAAGGACUAAAAUGCCACGGUACUCAAACUUUGGUCAUAAUUGCCUGCUUCGACAAUUCCAUUCCUUGACAUUGCUUUUGUUAUCUCAUUACUCAUAUCCGAGGUCAAUCGCUAUAGCUAAUCAUUCUUCAUUCAACCAAACUGCAUAUGCUCUGUUUUCCAUUGCUUUAUGUAUGAAGCAGAGGCUGGGAGCUGUUGCUCCCAUCUAUGUGAAAAUGGACUGUGAUUGAGGCUUUAUUAAUGAUUUGAACUUGCUGCAUUUCCUUUGCAAUGAUUUGGAUGUGAACCGUUGCUUUACUUUUGCAUCUAAGCUCCCUAGCUGAAAUGUAUACCACAUGUUUGAUGAAAUUCCUGAACUAAAUAAAUGUGUAAUUCCAGGUCUUGACUGAGAAUUUCAUUCAUUACUAGGAUUUCAUCAAUUUUGGUCAUAUCAGCCUAGUUGUGUUCUGUUUCUUCAUCGAAAAUCAUAGGCAUUCCAUUUUGAACUUGCUUUGGAUUUGCUGGAACCUUGUCAAUACAUGCAGAUUUGCAGCUGUUGCGGCCCUGGGCUAAAGUCCAUUGAUCCUUCAUUGGAUGCUAUUCCACUCAAGUAAGCAUGUGCAGUGACAUAAGAUUGUGUUACGGUAAAUUUCAUGUUUGCUUGGAAAAGAUAUUAUGUCAUGGAUGAAUUAAAUUAUACUUGAAAUCAAUCCUUGGAUGCUGACCAUGUCUUGGUAUCCCAUGAUUGGGUGUGAGUUUGAUUCCAACUUGAGGCUAGUUUGGUUAGGGGAUCUUAUAUGUUCAUGCUAGGAAAGUAAUAUGGUGAAUCUCAUGCCAACUUGAGGCUAGUUUGGUAAUCGCUUCAAUUUCACGUCAAUUUGUCAUCAAACAAUCACGAUUUGCAGUCUUGUAUGCUCUGUUACAAUUCUGAUUGCUGCUGGAAGUCGUGGAUUAAGCACAGAUUAGAUGGAUUUUGUCUCAACUUGCUUGUCAUUUUUAUUGCCCGUGGGCAAGUGAUAUCACGUGUUCAGAUGGCACUAGUUGGCUGUUAGUCCCACAAGAAUGAAAUCAAGGACUGCAUAUCAAAACAGAUAUGUAUUAACAAAGGGUCUCAAUUCCCCAAAAAAGCACAAACUUUAGGUUGACUCUCUGUUCUGAGUUAAACUUUUUUUUGUCUAGAAAGAAUCAACUUCCACUUAAGUCCCAAAUUUGAUCCCUGUUCAAUUGCCGUCCAAAAUCACUGUUGAAGGUCUAACAUGGCAGUCAGUUGUAAAUCCAUGUCAGCUAACUACUCACCAAAAAGAUGCUUUGUUGUUCUUAAAAUUUUGGAAAAAUCGAAACAAUUAUAGGUGGAUUCUUCAAUUCUGCAGACAAAAGUCUUCAAAUUUUGUGUUUGGGAAUCUUCAAUUCAUCGAAUAGACUCACGCUCGAGAUAGUUGGUUUGUUGAGCUUUUAACAAACCAAUUCUGAACUCUGCUGGUCUCGUGAUCCAAGGACAGGUGCUCGACCGAAGACAGCAUCUUCUGCAGGAUCAUUCUCAGUGAAUCGCCUGCAUUCAAGGUAUUUGAUUGAUUUUGAUUCUGGUUCUUCUGAAUCGAGGAUGGAUAGCUAUCUUCUUCAAUGUCAAAGCUCAUUUCAAUUCAUGGUUUUGCAUCUCAUGCGUUAUUCUUACUGAAAGAUGCGAGCUUGAUGUCCUGCUAGGUUGGCAAUCAUGUGCGGAAGAAUUACAUCCACAUAUUGUUCUCAUAUUUUGCCUAUCCGAAAACUCAAUGGAAUGGUGACUCUUCCACAUUGCACUGUUUGUCGUGCAUCAUUAAGCACUGCUGAUGCGGCUAUGUGUUUGACAAACAUUUUCGGAAUGUAUGACAGAUGACGGCUAGAAUGAUCAGAUCCUUCUUCAUUCAUUUGAUCUUUUUGUACUUUCAGCUCUGUGAGGAUGGAAAGUGUCUAUGCAUAUUGAUUCGAGUCUUCUAAGCCAUGGGUAGGGUGUUACUCAUCCACCAUUCUGCAGUAGAUGACCCCUUGAAAUUAUUGUCCUUAAACAAGGAUAAACUGAUUAGGCAAAAAUGUCAUUUUUGCUCUGGUGAUUAACUUCUCCAUUGUUUAGCGAGGACUUCUUAUAUAGUCUCAUCUAAUCACUCACUCCAGAUUGUGUAACCUUGCUUCAUAAACAACAAAUUGAGAUGAAUUAAUGUGUCUAUACGUGAAGUUAAGAUUUGCCCAUGAAACUAUGUUGCAGUAAGAAGCAGAUGCUGCCAUGUUGUUAGCUUGGAUCCUAGCAGUUGUUCUCAUGGCCUAAAGAACCCACAUCGUUAAAAAAAUUCUACCUGCAGAUCAGCUUAGAUCCUGACAAUUGAAUGUAAAUACUAAAAGAGAACAUUGAAGAGGAGGGUAUUGAUUGUUAUUAAUGCAAACUGUCCUCUCGAGGAAUUUCGCACUUUUGUUUUUUCAUAAACCAACUUCUGUUCUUGAAAAAUCUUUUUGCGAUGUAAGACUGUGCGAACUCAGUCACCUCAAUUGUAACCUGGGACGCAGUGCUUCGUCCACGAUCUCCUGCGAAUCUGUGGCUUUCAUACCGGGCGGGCCUUAUUGUUCAACAACCAACUCGACUACAUUAAUGCCACGCGGAACAUGCCGUGGUCCCUCGCCUGGAAGCUGGAUCGUUGGCAUGGGAGGAGCGGGGUUUAUAGCCGAUGGCAAGCUAAGUAGCAGGGGACAAUCGGGGGUUCCUCAGUGCCAGAUAGGCAAGUUACUUUUUGUCCAGCGUGGAUGCGCUUUCAUGGAGAAAAAGAUUGCGAGAUGGCUGGAUAGUUCUAGCAUUUUGGGAGAAAAUAUUGGGUGGGUUUUACCCUCCACGUAGGCGGUGGGUAAAACCACUCAGUGAUCGACACGUGGCGCCACGUAGGCGAGGACGUCAGAGGAGAAAAUAACUCUGUCUCUCUCCUCUCGCGUCUCUCCAUCUUCUGCGCUUCUGUCUCUCUCCUCUCUCCGAAAUAACUCUGGGCUGGUGGCUCGGCUCGGCUCGGCUGGCAGAAGAAAGGACGACUCCCGCUUAAAAUUUCUCUCCUCACUUGAAUAUUUUGGGUUUCGUCUCUCUCUCUCCUCGUGAAGAGCAGAGAACGAGCUGCACCUCCUCUCUGUUUCCUUUUCUCAGCGCAUCCCAACCCCACCCCACGAGCGGCCCCCGCCUCCGGAGGGGCAGCGCCUGAGCCGUGCGGCCGGCGGAGGAGGCGGUGGCGUUGUGAGCGAGGACGGGAAGGCGGAGGAGGCCAAAGCGGCGCGGCGGCCGUGGAAUCUGAGGCCGAGGAGGGCGGUGAACCCUUCGCCGCUGUCGUUGAGGAACGGCGAGGCGUUUCACGACACCGCGGGCGGCACGAUCAGCGGGGACAAGGAGAAUUACGCCGCGCAGCAGCAGCAGUUGCAGCUGCAGCCGAAAUCCGUGUGGUUACGAGACUUCAUGGGGGAGGGCGAGAGGAAGGAGAAGAAGAGGCUUCUCUGCGCCCUCCCUCUUUCCGACCGGCAACCGACGAACCACCGCACCGGACCGGCGAGAGGACCGCGAGACCUAGCUCCCUCCCUCUUUCCGACCGGCGAACCACCGCACGGGACCGGCGAGAGGACCGCGACCUCCUUCCCUCUCUCUCUCUACCCUCCCUCUGUCCGACCGACGAACCACCGCACGGGACCGGCGAGAGGACCGCGACCUCCUUCCCUCUCUCUCUCUGCCCUCCCUCUGUCCGACCGACGAACCACCGCACGGGACCGGCGAGAGGACCGCGAGCAAUCGACGAACCACUACACGGGACUGGCGAGAGGACCGCGACCUCCCUCUCUCUGUGCCCUCCCUCUUUCCGACCGGCGAACCACCGUGAGCAAAUAAGAUGUUUUUGUAGAGAUCUCCCAUCGUCGCCUUCAUCUUCUUUUCCCCCCUUUUUUGUUUUGUUGGUUUUUUCCCCUAGUGUUCUGAUGAUGGAUCUGGAGUUGCAUAUGCUCGACGGCUUCUUCGGCGACCUCCCUGAGGCCAGCGACGUCAUCGGCGCUUGCUCCUCGACGAACGCGUUGUCAUCGUCUCCAGGCUCGGGGCUCUCGUGGUUCAUCGAGAACAUCCUGAUGAAGGACAACGAGGACGGUAGAGUUGCCGGUGGCGGGAUUAGGGCUGAUUCGAGCCAGGAGUUCUGCGAUAGGUUCCUCGCUGACGUGCUCGUUGACUCCCCCGGAGAUGGGUCCGCGGAGAUAGCUGACGGGUCCAGCGACAAGGAGGAGCCUGGAUCGUCAUCCGACGGCUGGGUCAAGGCUGCGAAGGUUGAUGGGGCUAACGUUGGUGGUGAAGCCUAUGAUCCUGCUUCUAAGAAGCUCAGGAGGUACGUUGAUUAGGUUCUCUUGCACUUCUCGUGUGAUUAUUAAGCUUAUUAUAUGAUGCAUUCUGAUUGCUCAGGUGUUUUCACUAAAACCUGAGAAGGCAAUUUCUGAUGCCAUUUUACGACAAGCAAAAAGGCCUUGCAAUUAUUACUGUUGUGAAAGUUGGUAUGAUGGUACCGGCCUUGUGGUUGCUCGUAGGGAAGACGGCUCAUCGUCUCCACCUUCUACAAUUUCUUCAUGUGGAAUAGGGUGGGGAGCAAAGGUAGGCUCGUUUUAUCGUAUCCCUGGAUUUUGAUUUCAUCAACCUUAAGGGCCAAGCGUCGAAACCAACAAGUGUUUUUGGCUUUCAUGCAAUCUGCAGAUUAACCACGUGUAUCAACGUGCUCAAAAUGAUUGUUUAGAUAAUAAACAUCAAUUUGAUUUUUUACUCCAUCCGGAAUGCUUGACAUAUUGUCUGCUUCAUUUCCAUGGUCUCUGUGAGAAUUUUCCUUUGUAAAUGUCUGGUCUGUCAUCCUUCUAUUUCAUGGAAUGUGCCAUUUGUUUCUCCUUUCUGGAACUCUAUCUAAGAACAGUAUUUCUCAGGAUGAGAUUUGGACUUUUUGUUUGAUUAUCAUGUUGCCAUUGAGUUUUCAAGUUCCUUUCUGCAUCUCUGUUCCCUUUCUCUGAAUUUGUGUUUUGCUUUAUUGUGGAAGUGGGAGAAGUCCCUGAAUACCGACACAAGUUGGUUGACACUCUAUCCUCUUAAAACAUACUCAAGAAAAGAAAUCUAGUAGUAAUAUCAGAAAACCAAGUUGUACUAUUUUCUGUGUUCAUAGCACUCAAUAAAAAAUCCUGUCUUUUCCGCAAUAAAAUUGAUGAAGAGGAUUUUUUUUUGGUUAUAGCAUUUAUAGCGCCCUAUGCUUUUGAAAUCUCAAAUGAAAACAAAACAGUAGAUUCUACAAAAGAACUCUAGAGAAUCAAGUUCGUGGGAAUCAAUAUAACAAUGAAAUCAAAGGUUUAGCGUUUCUCUGGAGAUUAGAAAUCAACCUUUGCUUAUUAAGGAGGGAGCAACUGCCGCAUAAGUUAGCCUCUAUUGGAGCUACAAGGAUUCCAGGAAAAUUAAGCAUUGUAGGCAUGCAAAAUGCCACACCCUCCUGCUCUAUAAGCAAAAUGGAUAUUUGGUCACAGUGUAGCUCGCUGAUAUAUGCUUAUCACAGAGGAAUUUUUGUUUUUUUGGCUCUUUAUUGCACACUACAUCUCGUGCCUCAAAUGUCAGUUUAGCUGUCAAUAGUUCCCAUAUUUUUCAUUAAUCCUCUCCCUGCAGAACCAUUUAGCUGUAUAGGACAUGGCAUUUCUAAAUUAUUUGUUUAUGGAAUGAGGAAUUUUUUCUUACAGUACUGCGUGUGGGGGAUUGCAAAUCGAUCUGACUUUGACAAUACCCCUGCUUGGCUGCACAGAACUUUGCUUUAGAUUGUUUUCUUGAAUUCAAGUAUUGCGCUUGCUGGCUUUUCUAAAGUGAUUUACUAUCCAUGAUGUAUAGGAAAUUUUCGUCUGAUCUCUCUAUCUAAUUAAAUUGUAGUGGAAAAAUUUAAGUGCAAAUCAUCUUUUCAACUAUGAUACCAUCUGCAGAAAAAAUGCAGCGCGUUUGACGCAGUCCAUCUCCAUCUCCAUUGACAUUGUUCAAUGCUCUGUUUUCCCGCUUGAUAUAAUGGUGUUCAAUGCUCUGUUUUUCCGCUUGAUAUAAUGGUGUGUUUUUAAUGCCUGUUACUUCUAUGCAUUAAAUUGAGAUAAUCAUUUACGCUUUCAAUCAAACCAUGAACAUAUUCUUUACAUUAUCAUUUAUUGCAGAUAAUUUAUUUGUCUGGUGCUUCCAGUUCCAGUGUUAUAAACAGCUAGUACUCAGUUAAAUAACACCUAAUUUCAAGUGAUAUUGGUUUCCAGGUGAGAGAUGAACUGGAAGAACUUCUUGACGAUGAUGACGACAUGGCAGACCUUUAUUUGUCGAGGAAACUCACUGGAGGGUCUUCUCCUGUCAGCUGGUCUGGAGCUCCAGAUUGGUUCUUUGCCUCUCCUACAACUGGCUCAAAAUUAUCCAGAACAAGUAGGGCAAGUGCGGUAACAGCAAGAGAGGAAAAUGAUGUUGAGGAGCUUGAAAUGUUGCUGGAGGUUAGAUAAAUCCAAUCAAUGGUCUCAUUUUGCUCAUUGAGAGUCCAUAAGUAAUGCUGCUGCUUUUCUGCAGGCAUAUUUCAUGCAAAUUGAUGGCACUUUAAACAAAUUGUCAACGGUAUGCAUUGUCAUUGAUAUCCUUGUACGAGUUUGUUUGAUUAUGUUGCCUCAUAAAUUCUCCUGCAGCAAUUUAAGGAAAAUUUCUUAGAAGAUAAUUAUCUUGGUAGACUAAACUGUACUAUUCCUACAAGCUAAUUCUUUGUAUUCUCUUUCAGUUGCGCGAAUACAUUGAUGAUACUGAGGAUUACAUCAAUAUUCAGGUAAGCUUUUGGAGAAUUUGGAACCAUAUCCUCAACUAUGUGACAUGUAAUUUAAACUAUUUUUCUCUCACAGAACAUCAUUAGACUAUGUAGUAGUAACUAGUGACAUUUUGAUCUGUUUUUUUUGUCUUGUUACAGCUUGAUAAUCAUCGGAACCAGCUUAUACAGGUAGGAUUCACAAGAUACACAAAGCUCCACUAGGUAUUUUGGAAAUUGACUAAUGUUGGCACCCUAUGUUAUCAAACAAAUGAAUCUCCAUUGCACGAAAAAUUCAUGCUCAUUGCUAAUUUCUACUAAAUUUGAACUGGCCAUAGCUAGAGCUCUUCCUCAGUUCAGGAACUCUGUGCUUGUCUGUAUAUUCUCUGGUAGCAGCGGUAUUCGGCAUGAAUAUUCCCAACGUGUGGCAUGAAGGUCAUGGUUAUGUCUUCAAAUGGGUAUGUAAAUCUCAUCCCGAUUGCCUUCCCUGCGAAAGCCUAAUCCUUAAGUCUCACACGACAUUUUGUCUGAGAGCAAGACAUGAUGGAUGGUCUGGUUUUAUUCAUGUUAACGUUCACUGGGGAAACUCUCAGGUGGUCAUUCUCGCCGGAGUUUUGUCUGGAUCCAUUUUCCUGUCAAUAAUGUCCUACGCUCGGCACAAAGGUCUGGUUGGUUCUUGAAGCCAAAUUGAUUCAUUCGGGAGGGAGGUUUCUGCAAAGCUUGAAAUGUCUUCUCAGGCUACCGAAUUUAGGAUCCAUCCGAUGCGCCAGCUCUAGGACAUCAUGUGGACGACAUCACCCUAUUAGUUUCCCACAAAUUGUACCAACCCACGCCAACAAUGUCCACGAGAUGGAUGAGAUGGAAUGGACGCAUAUCUCCCGGUCAAACUCACCAUUCCCUGCAGGUGGUUAGAAACUAGCUGCCAUUGAAAAGUCCAAAGUAGCAAUUGGGGUCAAUUCAAGUGAAGACGAGUCGUUGAUGUUGUGCCAUUGAUGCUGUGCUGCUUGUUAUACGUACAGCUACAGUAAAGGUACUCAUCUAUAUAGCUAUUUUUCCUUUUAAACUGUGGAGUUGUCCUCUGGACUGAUUUUUGGGGUAUGUAUACAUUGCUAUGCAAAAAAACAUUGAUAGUAUCCUAUGAUAUUAACCGUUUUAAUGUGAUAGUAAUUUCUCUAUUUUUAUUAAGUCCUAAGUGGAUGCAAUAAUAGUCUCGGGACAUAGAAAAACUGCUCAUUUUGCAAAGGAUCUUGUUCACUCUCUUUCUUUCUUCCUCAUUUGUCUCUGUUGCUGAGGUGAGCUAUGUAGUCUAGCUUGUAUGGCAUGGGUAUCUGUCCUUAGGCAGUCAUGUAAAAGACUAUUCUCCGAUUACUUAAAAUACUCUUCUAGUUAUAUAUUCAAUAAAAUGAUGAUACUCUUUACCUUUUCAAGCUAUGUGAAGCUGUUUUCAUUAGAUCAUUGUUUGAAAAAGUUUCUACAAAGAGCAUUUCUUGAGAAGCUUGCUUGUUGCCCAUUUCUUAGUGCCAAAGAAAGGGGAAAAGGGAGAGACAUUAGUUGAGAAAGCUUCUGCAGGGAUAUUUUUGAAUAAGCAAUCAUUUGAGAGAACACCAAGCUUGAUUCGUCAUAGAUCCUACUUAAAUUGAGAUGCUCAUAGUAAAAAGUUGGAGAGGUUUAGAAUUUGUAUUUCUCAUUUUCCUAUCAUUUCAUUGCCAGCAGUCUGUGGGGGCUCGUUCCGCUUUCUGAAGUUCUUUAAUUGUUCUCAACUUUUUCAUAAAAUAAUUGGCAGGUGCUUUUGUUGGAUGCUCCCUUCAAGGCAGUGUGGUGACAACGCGGACAAGAGAAAAUUGCCAAUUUUAUGGCAGCCCGUCUAUAAAUGCAUUGUACAUACUACUUGGUUCAUUGCCGAGGCCACCAGCUGCUGCCAUCCUUUUUAACGCACUCGCAGACAUGUAUCAGAAGCUGGAGUGGUCAUCACCAUAUUAGUGCCGUACAGCUUGGCCAAUUGUCUCCGAUACUGCCUAUGGAAGUUCUUAACUGCAAUUCUUGCCACUGUAAAGUUGUCUAUUCUUAUCAAGUGUAUAGCAUGUUCAAACUCAUUGCUUCCCUCUCUUCGCCAGGGGGUUUCGGGAGAGGAAUAUGUAAAUAGUUAUAAUUGCUGGGAUCAAUCUUUGGAAUGUACAUAUAGCUAUACAUUUCAUAUUUGGUGUUUGCUCAGGGUAUUGGGGAAGACAAGCAAAAACCACCCUUCUUUUCAAAUUACUUUGAAGAUUGCUUGGGCAUGUCCUAGAUGAUGGAGGAAAUUUUAUGUGAUUGUUCAUGAUGAACCCAGAAAAACAGGUUGCGUGGUCACGACCUGAUAUACAGCUCUUCUAUGGAUCUUGUUCGGUACUGCACCGCGCAUUAGACUCGAGUCAAUGCAGUGUAAUGGAAGUCCACCUCCCCCCCUGUUUCGAAGUAGUGCAUACAGAUCAUUGCGAUUUCUUGUUAAUUAUCUUGUUGUGCUAGAUCUAUGUUCCCAUGCAAUUUCUCGUUAGUCGUCAAAUGGUGGGGGAACCGAGUGUGAUUAGGAAGGUGGUAAUGUUAAGAAGGAUUAGGAAGUGGCUCAAUAAAUAGACCAAGACUAGGCGUCCAAGAAAUGAACCCUACAAAAAUUUAUGUCCUGACCUAACGUAUAAUCGAAGAUUGACCUGAGAAACCAAAGCGAGAAUGGAGGCAUGAGGUUGCGGAGAACCUGUGGUUUGUUGCUUGUUAAAUUCAUCUCAUUGAAGACAAUGGCAAUGAGAGAGGGAACACGGUUUGCUCCGGCAAAUUUUCCAUCUAGAAUUGAGAGCCCGAUUGUUCAGAUGGUUAAUGGCCAGAAGCCUUUUUCAUCUACAUGUCUCUGCCUGACUAACGUAGGACUGGAACAUAUUAACUAGCACCUCGUGUGGAAUCUGCACUUGUAGGUCAAGAGCAGUUUGUCAUAGCAGCAACAAAGUCGUGAUAAACAACCUGGCGAACCAUAUCAGGAAGUGUCUGCUGGUUUGAUGCUCUCACUAGUCACAGCUCGAAACUAAAAACAUUGCCAUGUACUUGGAGAUCAUGGAAUGACAAGUUUAGCCUGAUCAACUAAGGAGCCAGCAAAAGUGAAACCUCUCCAACACGGCACAUGUAAGCACUCUUAAGAUCAUAUGGAUUGAGCUUCGCAACCAACGGCCCAAAGGCCGGCCACGCACAAAGCGAAAACAAGGGAAAAUUAAAGAUUCUGAGCUUCUCGGCUUGCACAAAUUUGAAAGAAAAUGUUGUUGACACCUCAAUUUUAAUUAGGUUAAUUUUAUUUUAUUAAUUAAGUUUUUAUUUUAUUUAUUUUGUCUUUUUCGGAAUAAUAAACAAAUAACAAAAACAACAAAAAAUAAAUAAAAACAAAGGAAAAAGCAAAAGCAACAUCCCCCUUUUUUUCGCGUGGGCUCGCACGACCUGGCCCCCCCCCCCCUUUUUCUCCUUCUUCUUCCUUCUUCUUCUUCAUCGCUCCUUCCUUCUCCGCCUCUGUAGUUCACGCGCAGCAACGACGACGCGCUCGAAGACAACCUAUGGCCGAGGAGGGUAGGCCGACGUCGGCCAGAAGAGACAGAUCUCGGGCGCCAUCAUGGAUUUCCUUCAAUGCCGAGCACGCCUUGUGGAGGAGCUCGGAUGGGAUGUUGGUUCGGCCGGCGGAGGCGGUUCGGCGUGCGAAGAUUGGCGGUCGAAGCUCCAUCGACCAGCCGCCCCCUCGCCUAUAAAUAGGCUUCUCCCGACGAUGGCAAAGCACGGCGAGCUCGGAGACUUUCCCUUGAGAGACUUCAAGGGAGACUCAAAGAGCGAGCGCGUGAGAGAAAUCCGGUCGCGAACUCGAACGACCUCCCCCCGAGAGACUUCGGGGGAGGCCGACGACAAGCGAACCCGGAGAGAGAGGAACCGAAACAGAGAUCGAAAGCUUGCGAGCACCGGAAGCUUCCCUCGAGAGACUUCGAGGGAGGUCCGAACGCCCGCAAGCCCAGAUCUGUGAGCAAUCGAGGCCGGAAGAGAGGAGAGAGUUCCAGAUCCGCGAGGAGGGGCUGGAGAGAAACCAGAAGGAGCCGCCUCGAGCUGUACCGCCGUCCUCUGACACUGAUUGCUUCAGCACCUACCCGCCGUUGCCAUCCCCUUUCGUCAGAUCUGCUGCAGCGAAGCUGCUGCCUGUUGCCAGCUACUGCUUCCGCCCCCUCGACGCAGAUCCAUCCCCGUGGACUUACUCCCCCGCCGUGCCGCGUCGACCAGAGCCACGCCAGGCACCGACUGAUGCAGCUCACCGCAGCUGCCUGUCGCCGCCGUUCGCCGCGUCGCCGGUGUCGAGUCAUCACCCAGUGACGUCCCAGCCAAGCCCCACCUCGGCGCCGCAAAUCGUCGAGCUCUAGGGUUCCCAAAAUCCGGUUCUACGAAGGAGAAGCCGGGUCGGAAAGCGGGUCGGGCAUGGGUCAGCGAUCGGGUAGGGUUUCCCCCCCGAUGUGGGCUUGCGUGUGUGGGCCGGUUAAUCCCUGGAUUUUUUUUUUUAACGAAAAUGGGCCUUGGUUAGUUCAUGGGCUUGGAAAAAGAAAAAAAGGGAGAAAAAUCUGAGUCGGGCCCGCGUUGCGAGCCCGUCCGCGUGCGGGUCGCCGGCCCGGGUCGAACCCAACCCACGGAUCCGACCCGGGCCGGUUUUUAUAAUAUUUUGAAUAAAUAAAUAAUUUAUUUUCCAAAAAAAUAUAUAUAUAUAUAUUUUCUUUCGAAAAAUAUUAAAAAAUAUUUUAAAUUUUCAAAAAAAGACAAAAAUAUCCAAAAAAUAUUUUAUUUCCAAAAAUACUAAAAAAUGUUUUAAUUUCCAGGAAAUCGAAAAAUAAUGAUAAAAAUAUUUUAUUUUCCAAAAAAUCAAAAAAAAUAUUUCAUAUUUUCCACAAAAUGCCAAAAAUAAAAAAAAAGCCAAAAAUUCAUGAAAAAGCCAAAAAAUUCAUAAAAAGCCAAAAAGACUUGUAUUUUUCCCCAAAAAAAAUACCAAAAAAUCCCUUUUGUGUCCAAAAAAAUUAGAAAAUGACUUAAAAAAUGUUUGUCCUUCCAAAAUGCGUGGAAAAUCCCUCGAACAUCCAAAAAGCCUCAAGGUUUAAACAAGAUUAGGUACCGAAAGGGCAUUAGUGAUUAAUUAGUGUAAUCAAGUCCCCGAUCCUAAUUUCUCUGGUUGCGCAGGAGCGAGUAUUUCUCCCGAUACUUCGCUUGGGUUUCUAAUCAACCUACCCCAAAUUGAUUAGUGGCGACUCCAUUUUAAAAAUCAACUUGCAGGUUAAAAACUUAGACUAUUAAAGUCGUGAAUUGGUGGACUUGGGAGAGUCCGGGCAUAAUUAAAUUCAGCCGAGCCAUUAGCCUCCUUUAGGCGCUCGCCCCUGAUGUGGGCGCCGAAAAAAAAAGAGGUCGCGACAGCUUGGCGACUCCGCUGGGGACAUUUGAAGACUUAGGCCAUUUUAUCUUUGUUUAAAUGUCUUGCUGAUUUGGUUUUUUUCUUUUGUGCAGGGUAAUAGCUUAAAGUUUUAUUCUGUUAAAAUAAAAUGUUUUGUGAUUAUAAAUUGCCGUGUAUCCUUAAAUGUUUUAGCACUACACAUGACACACACAACCCGGCCGCCGGACCUGGGCCGCCAUAGGAUUUCUAAGAUGGUGUUAAGAAAGAUACGACCUCGAACGCGAGACUGCGAUGUAGAGGUUGCCUUUCUUUUCCCCGAAUUUCUUAGCCGAGGUUAGGAGGGUAUGCUGCUAACGCGAGACUGCGACGGGCGGAUAUCCUUUUAAUCUCAACAAUCCUUCUCAGUUAGAAAUCGAGCUACACGUCUCACGCGCAUGUCUUUGUGCUUGCCAUUUUUCUUUAAAAAGCAAAAGUAAUUUCUUUACUGUUACUCAGUCUUUUUAUUUGGCCCAUGGCAAUUUAGGAUAAGCUUUUCAAGUCCCAGUUUAUAUGCGAUGGGGAAAGACGAUAUCCAGUUCAUUCCUACUCCCAAGGCGGAGCUUUUCAGAUGGUGGGGUCAGUUAGAUCAGUUUGCCCAAGAGCGCGUGAAGGCCAAAGUCGGUCAUCUCCUAUCGUUGAUUCAAAUCACUGUUCGUCCUGAAGUCAUACAAGCCAUGGCACAUUUUUGGUGCCCGAAGACAAUUACUUUUAUAUUCGGUAGGUUUGAGCUAACCCCAACCCUGGAAGAAUACAGCAUCAUCACUGGAAUGCCUCUCGAGAAAAAGCUUGUCAGGCCAUCGACAGGCGCCCUCCCAUGGCGUGGGUUAGCACGACUUUUAGGAACUGAAAUCCAUGUCAUGAGGCAAAUUCUUGAAGACAACCAUAAUACCUGCCCACUAGAAUUUAUGAAUGCCUGUUUCCAAAAUCAGCCUAUGACCCAGAAAAUUGAGAUUUUCCUCCUGGCCUUUUUCGGGCUCAUCAUCUUCCCCCAUCAAAGAAAUGCCAUAACUCCCAAGAUGGCAUGGAUAGUUGAUCAGAUCUUAAGAGGGGGGAAUUAUGUCAACAUGAUUUUAACUGAAACAUUCUUGUCCUUUAAUCGUUUAAAGACAACUCGGAGAAAAUCAUGCGAGCCUCUCCUGAAAUUUUACAAGUCUGGUUCUUUUCUCACCUAAGCGAAUUUCGAGACUUCAUGCGAUCGUCUGAAACAAAUGCUUUUGAAAAUCCAUUACAAAAAUUUAUGGUUUUAGGACCGUAUAUUCCCAAUCAAAGUUGUUUAAAUUGGGUAAGCUUCCUAAGAGACCCAGCUCCUGAGGCAUUCCAAUGGUGUGCUGGUUGGUUCCAUGAAAAGAGGGCUUGCUUUGCUUACAUACGCACCUGCCCAAUUCCGUUGCUCGGCCUCACCGGCGCCAUUCCCUAUUACCCGUAUCGGGUAGCACGACAAUAUGGAGCCCUUCAGGAGAUUCCACCACCUUUCAAGAUGAUGAUCCCUCCAGUUCUUUUCAACACAAACCGUGACUAUGCAUUCGAAAUUGCUACCGCUGAGGAAACCUGGAGCAGCUGCCAUCGCAAAAGGAUUGUGAUACCUGAAGGGCUUGAGGGAGAAGAAAAAGCCCACCACGCCUCCAUGUCCUACAUCCACAACCAUCGCAUCCCGAAAAGAUGGAAGCCAUUAGUCCCUCACUCAAUCAGCGAGAGCAGCCAACACGAGCAAGCAGAGCUCAUGGAGAGGGAUUUGGGAAUGGACUGGAUGCACACCUCAGAGCCAGUUCAAGGAAGCAGGCGUUCUCGCAAGAACAAGGCUCCCCGUCGCAUAUAAAUUGGCAAUCAUGUGCCCCUUAGUAUUAAUAGUGUGAAAGUUUUGUCCCAUUGUUUAGGGACUCUUGUUUAAUAUCUAGUAUUUCAUCCUGUCUUUUCAAUUUCAAGUUCUAGAUGUUAGGAGUUGGCAGUCUAUAAAUCCUCUUUUGAUAAAUAAGAAAGCAGUUAGACCAUUGCCAUGGGUCAAUCUUUGUUUACUGUCGUGCUCAUUCAUUGUUUUCACCACGAACAGGUAAUUAUGAAUCGCCGGCCACUAAUCGCCCGCGAAUGGCCUCAUGCAAUAGGGCCCGAUCAAAGUGAUGUACAAAAUCGUCCCAUUAACAUUGAAGACGGCGUGGGACAGAUGUCCAUUGUCCUUCAACAACUCUCGAGACAAAUGAAAUCCACUCAAGUCGAACCCAACUCUGUAGUUGCCUUAAACACCGUCAUGACACCCGCAAAUUUGCCAGAAAAUAGCCAGUACCAUAGACAGUUUGAAAGGAUCAUGAAAAAGUUAAGCCAGCUGCAGGAGCAGAAUCCCAUGGACCUGUCCAAUUACACCGGCAUUGAGAUCUCUGAAAAACUCAAAGCACCUGAAUGCGAAAGGUAUGCUGAUACCUCCCGCCCAGAGACCUACUUGCAGGCCUACUUGGUCCGAAGGAUGAUUCAAUCGUACCAAUCGAGCUUGACUGGCCCUGCCUUACGAUGGUACAUUAUCAGGAAGAUUAGUCCCCUUAAAACCUGGAGGGAACUAAUUCAUGUUUUUCACCAAGAGUAUAAUCUUGACAUCACCUUGCCCUACGAAGAACUGAUGAUCGUGGAGCACGAGGAACCGUUAGUCGCUGAGAUAGGAGAAGAGCAUGUCAAUGAAGCCUUGCAUGAUAAAUGGGCAGCUGAACAACACCUUGUUACUGGAAGAUUUCCCACUAGGAAAGGCAAGGAGCCUUUGUACGAGAUCAAAGACACAGAGCCUGUUCAAGACCGGGGCACGACUGGACAACUCCCCAAGCUUACUUCAAGAGCUAGGGUCCAAAGAAUACCAACCCCUAUCAACCUGGGAAGUGAAUCAGAUAGUGAAACUCCAAUGUCUCUCACUUCCUUUGACAGAAUCGAGCUGGCAAAACGAAGGGCCUUACUCAAAAGAUCUGGACCAGGGGCCAAGAAAAGAAAGCCUAAGCAGAUCAAUGCAGCAUCUGCCGACGAGCCACCGCACCAAAGCUUCGAGCAUUCCCAAGAAUACAACUUUGAAGGCUACCAUCCCCAAGAGUACAACCCUGAAGACUUCCCGGCCCUAGAAUACAAUCCCAAGGACUUCCAGCGUUAUUUCGACAAUGAAACUGACGAUUCAUCGUAUAACUGUUUCCUACUCUCACCCGGAGAUGAAGGCCCGUCAGAAGAGGAAGCAUACGUCUUUAUCCGCUACGAUCCUAACGAAGUACUAAGCUCGUCCUUUGACCAUGAGGAUAGCUUCAAUACUUCAUCCUCAUUCGGAAAUUUUGACCCAGAAGAAAGCAAUGGGGUAAUCUCGGUAGAGUCCAGCUUCCCUGAAACAGAAAAAUUCACCACUACAAUGAAUAUGCAGUGGGAAAACCAGUGGUCUAGCCAAGACAUACCAGGCUCGUCUUGCCCACGUAGGAUCAUGACCCCCAUAGAAAUGUGGAUACCCAAUCUCCGCAAGUAUAACGGCAUGACUUGCCCCGUGGCCCACUUGCAGUACCUCCAUGCUGAAAUGAGUCGAUACUAUGGCCCGAUGUCAUUCACAACUCAGGCUUUCCAAGAAAGUCUUACGGGGUCUGCAUUACAAUGGUUCAUCACAGCAGAUAUCUACCUCAUGAGAGAUUGGAAUGAGCUGUCUUCUGCAUUCCUGCUUCAGUAUCAAAGCCAGAUUGGGACUGAAGUGCCUUGUCAGAACUUGGUUCAUUUUAGAAGAAGACCAAUGGAGGAUUUUCAAGCAUAUGCAAAGAGGUGGGAAGCUUUCAUGAUGCAAAUCUACCCUCAACUGGCUGAAGAAGAAAUGAUAAAGUUGUUCAUAGGGACUUUGCCUCGCGAGCAUCGUUGUUGGUUGCAUGGGUUGUACUUCCAUAGCCUCAAUGAAGUGGUCCUUUCAUGUGAAUACUUCGAGUCUACUGGAGGCGAAGAAUUCAAAGACGCUUAGCUUCAAGACCAGCACUAUCAAAGCGCUCCUUUACACAGGGGUUUUCAUGAUUUUUACUUGUUUUUAUAAUUUCAUGUUUCUCAUCUUGUCUAGUGUGCUACUGUUGUAUUUUCCAUUCCAAGUACUCUAUUGUACAGUUCUAAUAUUUUGUUUUAAGAGCAUGAGGCGGUACUCCAAACCAGCCCAGUGAUGUUAUCCAACCAUGAAAAGAAAAUAUCAUCCAAGGAAAAUACUGAGGGCUGGGCUUCCUCAUGCUUUUUCUCCCCCAAAGACGUAUUUUGAAAAUAAAAAAUAUUUCAUUAUCUAAAAGCUUUUGUCAAAACAAGAUGAUAAAUUUAAGCACGUUUGUCUUUCUAGCCCUCUCGCUUUAUGUUUCUGAACAUCAUCCCCUUUGAUUUAGUGUGACAAAAGGUAUUUGAAACUAGCACAUUGUGUGAACAGACCAAACUCGAGAACACAUUUUCAAGAAAGCAGGGGCAAACAGAAAGGAGCAUCCCGUUUCCAAAAAGGGGUAAGUCUUAUUCCCUUAACAUAAUAGUGAGAAUGACAACCCCUCUCUUCUAUUUACAGGAAACGAAAAUAUGACGUAAUAGGUACAGGCAUACGGUUAAAAUCAAGCCGUCCCUAGGAGCUCUGUACACUCCACCUUGCUCCUGCCCAACUCUUUCACAAGCCAGAGCAAUAUCCUUUCCCCACAAUGUGCCUAAGCAACCAGAUGUUGUGGUUUCAUCAGCGGGACUGCCAGCUUCGACAAGCCCAGAAGCACAAGGAAGGGAUCUCUUCUCUUUCUUUGAAUUGGCUACUGUCAACAGGGAAGAAAUCCAGACAGUUGAAGUGGUCUCUAGCCCCUAUUCAAAAUGAGGACCUAGAAACCUGACUUCCUAUUCAGACGCAUGCUCUCGCAAGAAGUAAUUCCCAUCAGAGAAUUGGAGGUUUUGAUUGUCCAUCUCAGAUUCCAUAGAAGCUUGAGGUACAUGACUUUUGCCCAAUGAUGCUAUAGUUAAAGACAGAAGGAGAAAUUCCACAGAAGGAAGGCGUUGAAGAUGAAUCAACGACCAGCAAUCAUGCAUAUAUGGUCACAAGUGAGGAAGGCCAAUCGAAAGAAAUGCCAAAUUAUGCCAAGACGAAAAGGCUGUCAUCGACAUUCAAACAUCAUCAGGAGUCAGCAAAUACAAACUUUGGAGAAGAGUAAUUUGGUAUCGUUUCCAAUACUCCCCCUACUUGAACUCACAUUUGACAUAUUUUCUCCUAUUGACAGGAAGCAUCGGGAUUCAAGAACCAAGCUUAAUGGUUAAUUUAUGCCAAUCAAGUGACUCGUAUUUAAUUCACCUAACUUCAUGAAAAAGGAUGUGUUGUCUAGGAGCCGGUUUGGUUAAAUGAAAAAAGAAUCGUCCUACGGACACCGUCGGCGCCUCUAGCCGAGUGGUAUCCGGGAAGAAGCAAAAUGGUCCGAAGUCGGGGGUUCGAAUCCCCGACGCGGCAGUUAGCCGCUUGGUAAAAAAAUAAUAAAAAAAUUUUUGCUUAUCUUGCGCCUGCAAAUUACGAGAGAAUAAUUGACCUAACGAAACAAGGGACAUAGGACUUCGUGUCCCCCUUCUCACUUCAGGUUCACCCAAUCAUAUGCAAGCCAGUGAAGGGUAAAGUUGUAUCGAUUCCAGUUAUUCGACUCUUGAAAGAGUUCAUGACUAACACAUUCCCUCUUGUUUGUUGCAGGAUCACCUGACUGUCAAAAGCAAGGAUAAUGAAUCAAUGAGAAGCAUGUCUUGUUUGUUGCAGGAUUACUUGAUUGUCAAAAACAAAGAUAACAAAUCAAAGAGAGGCAUGAAACUCUCCCAAGCAAAAUGGCGUCUCAAGUAUUGCCAAAGCAAAUGACAGAAAAUCUUCAGGCCUCAACUCACAUUUGAUUUUGGCCAGACUAAUUGAGCUACUUAUACAUCUUCUCUUUCUGCAGGGGCAAAAGCAGAGAUGCCUGAUCAAAUUCUCAAUCCUUGGCUGAUCCUUCAUGUGUCAUAUCCCUAAUCAAUAGGGAUGACUAUCGACACCCAUUUGCGAAUAACCCUUUUGAUGUUCAAAAUUUAACAUAUUUGGAAACACCAUCAUGUUAAAGUUGUCAACAGGGUCUUUUUUGAGUCAAAACCAUUCACUUGUUUUGAAAAGUUCAAACUCCAUCAUAUUCAAAAUAUUGCAUGUCAUUUCCAGAUGAAUUCUGCAUGAUGAUUUUGUCUGUCUAAGUCACUGAUUCCACUAAGGAUUAUUAGAAUAGACAGCUAAGUGAAGAAUACAAGAUUGAUCGAGCAUGCUGGAUGAGGCACGUCAGGAUGAUGAAAGGCAAACCAUAUCCUACACACAAUCCCCCAUCUAUACACUUGUGAGAUGAGUGCAGAAGAUUCCAUGACUGUAGGGUAAAGAGUUCUCUCGCGAAUGGUACGAUAACCAAAACAGUGAGAGGCAUUUCAUUGCUCACCCCAUUGAGCCCCAUACACUGAUGAAAUUUCUAUCCUAUCCCUGUCAAGAACCACCCCACACUGGGGCAGAUCGGAGGCGAAGCAGCAUCACAAGGUGAGAAGAGAGAUAGAAAUUUUCUUGCUCGCACUUGCAUCAAUCUUCGGGUGUCCUUAUUGCAUAUGAACACUCACGUUAAUUUAAGUGCCCUAGAAUGACGAAGAGCAAUUCUUUCGCUAUGCACUUGUAUUCAUUGUACAACCCAAUUGAGUCUGUAAUUUCACCCUUACAUGAAGGCAAAAUAGAAGUUACUGCCAUAGCCCAGAGCGCCUAUUGAAGAUGAAGACUCAAGAGUCUAAUAAUGGUGCUUCGAUUGAACUUGCCUAGGCCGGUUCCUCUAAUGACAAAAAUGAAAAAAAAAACAUGGGCAUAAAAAAGCAGUGUACCUGGUAAAAGCAAGGUCAAUGCCCAUAAAUGAAGAACUGGAAUAAAAAAAGGGGCAUGAAAAAGCAGUGUGCCUGGUAAAAGCAAGGCCAAUGCCCCCUAGUCAAAAAUGCAGCCAAGAAAAUGUUGCUGUUGUGGUCCAUAGAACCUCCAUUUGACAGUGAGAAGAAAGACUGGUGACAAAUGCCAAGGCAAUCACCAGCUCUUACCCUUUUACACAUGAAUCAAGCCUACAUUGCAUCCCAUUGUAAAAGUCUCUUCAGACUAGGGGCACUUCAAUUAACGUAGGAUUUCAUAUGUCUAUAAGCAUCGCUCGAAGAAGUACGAGCAAGACUAUUCUAUCUCUUUUCGCAGGACUCUUGACUUGCAAACCUGGAGAUGAUCGUGCGGCACUUCGUUCAUGAGCCUUGACCUCGACGGUCCCAUUUGAUGAGCUAUUCUUCAUCAUAAUUUCAACAAAGACCUCUCACAUUGGUAAAGUCGUACCACUUGCGAGAAUACUCAGACCCCUGCUGACAUGAUGACAGUGAGAAGUGUGGUCCUUAUAAAUCCUGCAUCAAUGGUCAGGAUAGCCUUUUCCAUGAGAGUGAGUGAAAAGUUCUUUCAGACUGAAAGUCCCUCAUCUGGCAUGCUCAAGACAUCUACAUUCUAAAUGAAGGUUGUCUUUCAAAAUCUUCUCCAGUGAAACUCAGAUGAUACAAAACUGACAAAAUUGUCAUGCAUGAAUCGCAUUUAAACUCAUGAAUUUACAGCAUAUGCAAUCAUGUGUGCUUAUUGUGCAAAUAGCAGACAUACUCUCAGAGAUCAGAGAUAUUGCCAGGUAAGCAUAUCUCUAUCCCUAUUUGUCUUAAAGUACCUAUCACUGUCCAGGUACUCUCUUCUUGACACUCGACCUAUUCGAGUCGUCCCUUGAGUUUGGGUGCUUGCAAUUGUCUCAGUAUCCCAUGGUCUUUGAGUACCCACCACUUGCCGGGUACUCCCUCUUAACGACACUCGACCUGUUCAAGUUGUCUCCAGAGUAUUGAUACUUGUGCCUGACCAAGUAUCCCUUUAUCGUUGAAUACCUACUGCUGUCUAGGUAUCCCCACUGUCUUUGAGUACCGGCCACCGUUCGGAUACUCCCUUUUCCUGACACUCGACCUAUUCGAGUUGUCCCCAGAGUAUUGAUACUUGUGCCUGACCAAGUAUCCCUUUAUCAUUGAAUACCUACCACUGUCUAGGUACUCUCCUAUUGACACUCGACCUAUUCGAAUUGUCUUUUGAGUUUCGAUGCUUGCAACUGUCUUAGCAUCCCAUUGUCUUUGAGUACCGGCCACCGUUCGGAUACUCCCUCUUUCUGACACUCGGCCUGUUCGAAUUGUCCCCAGAGUAUUGAUACUUGUGACUGACCAAAGUAUCCCACUACUUUUGAGUGCCUUUCAUUGUCUAGGUACUCUGUUUCCGUGACACUUAACCUGCCUGAGUUGUCCCCAAAUAAUAUAGCAGCUGUUCAAGCAUUCCACUGCUUUAUGUGCCUGCGCCUACCCAGGUAUGCUUUCUUACACUUGGACCUGCUGAGUGGUCCCAGAUCAUGUCAUUAAAUACUUGUGUUCAUCCAAGUAUUCCGGUACUUUGUACUCCUGCGGCUACUCAGGUGUUUCAGCCCUUUUGAGUGCCUGCGGCCAUCCAGGUAAGCCUCGCGCUACAUUCAAGUUUAUGUUGCCAGGAGGUGGGAGACCUUCACGAAUAUGCGAGGCACGCCCUCGAUAUUCCCAAUUACCAGGAGGUGAGAGACCUUCACGAAUAUGCGAGGCACGACCUCGAUAUUCCCAAUUACCAGGAGGUGAGAGACCUUCAUGAAUAUCCAAGGUACGUCCUCGAUAUUCCCACUACCAGGAGGUGAGAGACCUUCACGUAUAUGCAAGACCCAUCCUCGAUAUUUCCACACGAAUAUCUCAGGUAUGCCUUGAUUCUUCCUUCAGAGUUUGUACCUGUGAUCGUCCAGGUACCCCUUCGAUGCUUGUGAUCAUCCAGGUAUCUCCCAAGAGUUUGUGCCUGUGAUCGUCUAGGUACCCCUUCGAUACUUGUGAUCAUCCAGGUAUCUCCCAAGAGUUUGUACCUGUGAUCGUCCAGGUACCCCUUCGAUACUUGUGAUCAUCCAGGUAUCCCCCAAGAGUUUGUACCUGUGAUCGUCCAGGUACCCCUUCGAUACUUGUGAUCAUCCAAGUAUCCCCCAAGAGUUUGUACCUGUGAUCGUCCAGGUACCCCUUCGAUGCUUGUGAUCAUCCAAGUAUCCCCCAAGAGUUUGUACCUGUGAUCGUCCAGGUACCCCUUCGAUGCUUGUGAUCAUCCAAGUAUCCCCCAAGAGUUUGUACCUGUGAUCAUCCAGGUACCCCUUCGAUGCUUGUGAUCAUCCAAGUAUCUCCCAAAAGUUUGUACCUGUGAUCGUCCAGGUACCCCUUCGAUACUUGUGAUCAUCUAGGUAUCCCCCAAGAGUUUGUACCUGUGAUCGUCCAGGUACCCCUUCGAUGCUUGUGAUCAUCCAAGUAUCCCCCAAGAGUUUGUACCUGUGAUCGUCCAGGUACCCCUUCGAUGCUUGUGAUCAUCCAAGUAUCUCCAAAGAGUUUGUGCCUGUGAUCGUCCAGGUACCCCUUCGAUGCUUGUGAUCAUCCAAGUAUCCCCCAAGAGUUUGUACCUAUGAUCGUCCAGGUACCCCUUCGAUACUUGUGAUCAUCCAAGUAUCCCCCAAGAGUUUGUAUUUGUGAUCAUCCAAGUACUAUCUCCCAACAAACAGAUGCCCUGAGAAAGGUCGGCGCAUCUCCCGUCAAGGCGACCGAAGAAAGGUUCGGGUCCUAGACAAAACAACUUAUUGCUCUAACAGGCGACCGAAGAAAGGUUCGGGUCCUGGAAAAGCAAUUCCCCGUCAAGGCGACCGAAGAAAGGUUCGGGUCCUAGACAAAACAAACUUAUUGCUCUAACAGGCGACCGAAGAAAGGUUCGGGUCCUGGAAAAGCAAUUCCCCGUCAAGGCGACCGAAGAAAGGUUCGGGUCCUAGACAAAACAAACUUAUUGCUCUAACAGGUGACCGAAGAAAGGUUCGAGUCCUGGAAAAGCAAUUCCCCGUCAAGGCGACCGAAGAAAGGUUCGGGUCCUAGACAAAACCAACUUAUUGCUCGAACAGGCGACCGAAGAAAGGUUCGGGUCCUGGAAAAGCAAUUCCCCGUAAAGGCGACCGAAGAAAGGUUCGGGUCCUAGACAAACUAACUUAUUGCUCCAACAGGCAACCGAAGAAUGGUUCGGGUCCUGGAGAAGCAAUUUCCUCAUGCAACAGGUAAGAUGACAUCUUGAUACUUGCCAAACUCGGGGUUCACACCCUAUCUCACUCACUCCCGGUAAGUAACUACAGGUAUCUUCUUAUCUGUCUCAGUAUAUGUAAAGUUAUAUUGCUCUUUUUUCCGCAUAGAAUAAUAGGUCCCAAAUAAAGUAUAAUCUGCUACGCAUGCAUGGAUAAAAUUGAGAUAUCAGUCUGUCUUUGAAUGCAACCUCUGCGAGCUCACCUUCAAAGAGGGGCAGCUGUUGACACCUCAAUUUUAAUUAGGUUAAUUUUAUUUUAUUAAUUAAAUUUUUAUUUUAUUUAUUUUGUCUUUUUCGGAAUAAUAAACAAAUAACAAAAACAACAAAAAAUAAAUAAAAACAAAGGAAAAAGCAAAAGCAACAUCCCCCCCUUUUUUUCACGUGGGCUCGCACGACCUGGCCCCCCCCCCCUUUUUCUCCUUCUUCUUCCUUCUUCUUCUUCCUCGCUCCUUCCUUCUCCGCCUCUGUAGUUCACGUGCAGCAACGACGACGCGCUCGAAGACAACCUAUGGCCGAGGAGGGUAGGCCGACGUCGGCCAGAAGAGACAGAUCUCGGGCGCCAUCAUGGAUUUCCUUCAAUGCCGAGCACGCCUUGUGGAGGAGCUCGGAUGGGAUGUUGGUUCGGUCGGCGGAGGCGGUUCGGCGUGCGAAGAUCGGCGGUCGAAGCUCCAUCGACCGGCCGCCCCCUCGCCUAUAAAUAGGCUUCUCCCGAUGAUGGCAAAGCACGGCGAGCUCGGAGACUUUCCCUUGAGAGACUUCAAGGGAGACUCAAAGAGCGAGCGCGCGAGAGAAAUCCGGUCGCGAACUCGAACGACCUCCCCCCGAGAGACUUCGGGGGAGGCCGACGACAAGCGAACCUGGAGAGAGAGGAACCGAAACAGAGAUCGAAAGCUUGCGAGCACCGGAAGCUUCCCUCGAGAGACUUCGAGGGAGGUCCGAACGCCCGCAAGCCCAGAUCUGUGAGCAAUCGAGGCCGGAAGAGAGGAGAGAGUUCCAGAUCCGCGAGGAGGGGCUGGAGAGAAGAGAAACCAGAAGGAGCCGCCUCGAGCUGUACCGCCGUCCUCCGACACUGAUUGCUUCAGCACCUACCCGCCGUUGCCAUCCCCUUUCGUCAGAUCUGCUGCAGCGAAGCUGCUGCCUGUUGCCAGCUACUGCUUCCGCCCCCUCAACGCAGAUCCAUCCCCGCGGACUUACUCCCCCGCCGUGCCGCGUCGACCAAAGCCACGCCAGGCACCGACUGAUGCAGCUCACCGCAGCUGCCUGUCGCCGCCGUUCGCCGCGUCGCCGGCGUCGAGUCAUCACCCGGUGACGUCCCAGCCAAGCCCCACCUCGGCGCCGCAAAUCGUCGAGCUCUAGGGUUCCCAAAAUCCGGUUCUACGAAGGAGAAGCCGGGUCGGAAAGCGGGUCGGGCAUGGGUCAGCGAUCGGGUAGGGUUUCCCCCCCCCCCCCCCCGAUGUGGGCCUGCGCGUGUGGGCCGGUUAAUCCCUGGAUUUUUUUUUUUAACGAAAAUGGGCCUUGGUUAGUUCAUGGGCUUGGAAAAAGAAAAAAAGGGAGAAAAAUCUGUGUCGGGCCCGCGUUGCGAGCCCGUCCGCGUGCGGGUCGCCGGCCCGGGUCGAACCCAACCCACGGAUCCGACCCGGGCCGGUUUUUAUAAUAUUUUGAAUAAAUAAAUAAUUUAUUUUCCAAAAAAAACAAAAAUAUAUAUUUUCUUUUCGAAAAAUAUUAAAAAAUAUUUUAAAUUUUCAAAAAAAGACAAAAAUAUCCAAAAAAUAUUUUAUUUUCCAAAAAUACUAAAAAAUGUUUUAAUUUCCAGGAAAUCGAAAAAUAAUGAUAAAAAUAUUUUAUUUUCCAAAAAAUCAAAAAAAAUAUUUCAUAUUUUCCACAAAAUGCCAAAAAUAAAAAAAAAGCCAAAAAUUCAUGAAAAAGCCAAAAAAUUCAUAAAAAGCCAAAAAGACUUGUAUUUUUCCAAAAAAAAAAUACCAAAAAAUCCCUUUUGUGUCCAAAAAAAUUAGAAAAUGACUUAAAAAAUGUUUGUCCUUCCAAAAUGCGUGGAAAAUCCCUCGAACAUCCAAAAAGCCUCAAGGUUUAAACAAGAUUAGGUACCGAAAGGGCAUUAGUGAUUAAUUAGUGUAAUCAAGUCCCCGAUCCUAAUUUCUCUGGUUGCGCAGGAGCGAGUAUUUCUCCCGAUACUUCGCUUGGGUUUCUAAUCAACCUACCCCAAAUUGAUUAGUGGCGACUCCAUUUUAAAAAUCAACUUGCAGGUUAAAAACUUAGACUAUUAAAGUCGUGAAUUGGUGGACUUGGGAGAGUCCGGGCAUAAUUAAAUCCAACCGAGCCAUUAGCCUCCUUUAGGCGCUCGCCCCUGAUGUGGGCGCCGAAAAAAAAAGAGGUCGCGACAAAUGUGGACCAAAUGAUCCUACUUCUAAGAAGCUCUAGGACAACAGCGACAUCCUCCUCGAUGGCGGGCAACACCAACACCACAACAACCCCCAUGGUGGUGGUCGUCUCCGUCGCAAUGGUCACUUAAGACCGCCGUAAUUGAGUCUCCAAUUCCAACUCCAACUCUCACUCCGGUAUUGAACCAUGAGAGUUCGCCAUCUUCGUAUUCCAUGAGUUCCGACCUCCACCAGUACAUGCUGUAGUCCUCAUCAAACAGUACAUGAGUAUUAUGCAAGAUUUAUUGCCAAGUUAAUAGGUAAGAGCAAAUAAAAGCUACAGAAAUUAGCAACAACAGGAUGGAUAAAUACCUGCAUUCCAGGUCUCAAUAUAAGAACACUCCUUCCAUAACGAUCAUGAAAACUUGCUCUGUAUACUUUUCCAGUUUCACCUUCAAUAGCAACUUCUUCCUGUUUUAGUAAGCAUCACAUUGUCAAAUGGAAGCAUUAUUCAGCGUCCCAAUAAGUACUAUUGCAUGUCUAACACAACCUGCUCAUUAGCCAUAUUGUCAACUAAAACGGUCUAAAUGAUGAUUUUGGAAACAGCAUGAGUCAAAAAAUAUAUUGGGACACUUAGUGUCCCUUGAACAAUAAACUCUCCAACACCUAAUGCUUCAUAUCACUGCAUCAUGGCAGUCUCAUAGAAGACACAAAAGUUGAGAGCCACUCAAUUAUUGUUGACUAACACCAAUCCUGCAUUCGCAUUCAUUCAGAAAAUCAGUUCUUUUCCAUACCAGGAACUUAGUCUACAAAAUAAAAUUAAUUAUCAGGUCAACACAAUAGUUAGGGUAACAAGGAUCGGAUGUCUAUUGAAGUUUAACAGGCAACAGCCAUCGGCAUAAAUUAUCUAUCACAAUACUCGCGCAGGUAUUCAUUCACCGGGACACUUAGCCAUCUUACCCAGCUGAUUUCCUCAGGCUUAAGAGUUGAUCUCCAUUUCAGUGUCUCAUCUCUUUGCUUUAUCUAUGUUCCAGUUUCAAGCUUCCAAGUAUCUCCUCAAGCAUGCAUCAUCACAAUACUUCAAACUUCGCCCAGAGAGUGGUCCCAUAGCUUUCUUAAGUCAUUCACCUACAUGCAAAUGGACUUAAAAUGUAACUGUAUUUCUCCAAUAUUCUAGGAAGGAACAUUGAUUAUCAUUCCACAACUCUAGAAAAUCAAUGCAUCAUGAGACAUUAAACACAUAUAUGAAAGGGGUACACAUCUCUGGCUCAGGGACUUUUUCUUCUUCCACAAUAAAGCAAAACACAAAUUCAGAGAAAGGGAACAGAGAUGCAGAAAGGAACUUGAAAACUCAAUGGCAACAUGGUAAUCAAACAAAAAGUCCAAAUCUCAUCCUGAGAAAUACUGUUCUUAGAUAGAGUUCCAGAAAGGAGAAACAAAUGGCACAUUCCAUGAAAUAGAAGGAUGACAGACCAGACAUUUACAAAGGAAAAUUCUCACAGAGACCAUGGAAAUGAAGCAGACAAUACGUCAAGCAUUCCGGAUGGAGUAAAAAAUCAAAUUGAUGUUUAUUAUCUAAACAAUCAUUUUGAGCACGUUGAUACACGUGGUUAAUCUGCAGAUUGCAUGAAAGCCAAAAACACUUGUUGGUUUCGACGCUUGGCCCUUAAGGUUGAUGAAAUCAAAAUCCAGGGAUACGAUAAAACGAGCCUACCUUUGCUCCCCACCCUAUUCCACAUGAAGAAAUUGUAGAAGGUGGAGACCAUGAGCCGUCUUCCCUACGAGCAACCACAAGGUCGGUACCAUCAUACCAACUUUCACAACAGUAAUAAUUGCAAGGCCUUUUUGCUUGUCGUAAAAUGGCAUCAGAAAUUGCCUUCUCAGGUUUUAGUGAAAACACCUGAGCAAUCAGAAUGCAUCAUAUAAUAAGCUUAAUAAUCACACGAGAAGUGCAAGAGAACCUAAUCAACGUACCUCCUGAGCUUCUUAGAAGCAGGAUCAUAGGCUUCACCACCAACGUUAGCCCCAUCAACCUUCGCAGCCUCGACCCAGCCGUCGGAUGACGAUCCAGGCUCCUCCUUGUCGCCGGACCCGUCAACUAUCUCCGCGGACCCAUCUCCGGGGGAGUCAACGAGCACGUCAGCGAGGAACCUAUCGCAGAACUCCUGGCUCGAAUCAGCCCUAAUCCCGCCACCGGCAACUCUACCGUCCUCGUUGUCCUUCAUCAGGAUGUUCUCGAUGAACCACGAGAGCCCCGAGCCUGGAGACGAUGACAACGCGUUCGUCGAGGAGCAAGCGCCGAUGACGUCGCUGGCCUCAGGGAGGUCGCCGAAGAAGCCGUCGAGCAUAUGCAACUCCAGAUCCAUCAUCAGAACACUAGGGGAAAAAACCAACAAAACAAAAAAGGGGGGAAAAGAAGAUGAAGGCGACGAUGGGAGAUCUCUACAAAAACAUCUUAUUUGCUCGCGGUGGUUCGCCGGUCGGAAAGAGGGAGGGCAGAGAGAGAGGGAGGUCGCGGUCCUCUCGCCAGUCUCGUGUAGUGGUUCCUCGAUUGCUCGCGGUCCUCUCGCCGGUCCCGUGUGGUGGUUCGUCGGUCGGACAGAGGGAGGGCAGAGAGAGAGAGGGAAGGAGGUCGCGGUCCUCUCGCCGGUCCCGUGCGGUGGUUCGCCGGUCGGAAAGAGGGAGGGAGCUAGGUCUCGCGGUCCUCUCGCCGGUCCGGUGCGGUGGUUCGUCGGUUGCCGGUCGGAAAGAGGGAGGGCGCAGAGAAGCCUCUUCUUCUCCUUCCUCUCGCCCUCCCCCACGAAGUCUCGUAACCACACGGAUUUCGGCUGCGGCUGCAACUGCUGCUGCUGCGCGGCGUAAUUCUCCUUGUCCCCGCUGAGCGUGCCGCCCGCGGUGUCGUGAAACGCCUCGCCGUUCCUCAACGACAGCGGCGGAGGGUUCACCGCCCUCCUCGGCCUCAGAUUCCACGGCCGCCGCGCCGCUUUGGCCUCCUCCGCCUUCCCGUCCUCGCUCACAACGCCGCCGCCUCCUCCGCCGGCCGCACGGCUCAGGCGCUGCCCCUCCGGAGGCGGGGGCUGCUCGUGGGGUGGGGUUGGGAUGCGCUGAGAAAAGGAAACAGAGAGGAGGUGCAGCUCGUUCUCUGCUCUUCACGAGGAGAGAGAGAGACGAAACCCAAAAUAUUCAAGUGAGGAGAGAAAUUUUAAGCGGGAGUCGUCCUUUCUUCUGCCAGCCGAGCUGAGCCGAGCCACCAGCCCAGAGUUAUUUCGGAGAGAGGAGAGAGACAGAAGCGCAGAAGAUGGAGAGACGCGAGAGGAGAGAGACUGAGUUAUUUUCUCCUCUGACGUCCUCGCCUACGUGGCGCCACGUGUCGAUCACUGAGUGGUUUUACCCACCGCCUACGUGGAGGGUAAAACCCACCCAAUAUUUUCUCGCAUUUUGGAGGCGGUAGGGCCCAAAAGGCAAUAUUAGUAUAAAGAAAUGGUGGAGGGGGUCCACUUAUUUCAAUCGAAAAUUGCAUGGCCAGUUGCGGGCCGGGGAUUUUGCUCUUCCGUCCAACAGCACCUUUGACCAUCUCUUCAACAGCUACUUUGAAAAUUGCAAUUCUGAAAAAAAAUAUUCAAAGCUUGCUGAAGGAUUCGGUUUCCGACUUCUUGAUAUUUUACAAGCGUGGUCAUAAACUGCCAAUACUCUGAAGAAUUUUGCCAACAUACGAAUGGAUUAAUAAAUUACCAACUUUUUAUCAAUAUUGUAAGGGAUUUAGUAAUAUCCAAAUAAAUUAGAUUUAUCAAUGUCAAAAUAAAUUAGAAAAUUAUUUAUUUUUUUUUUUAAAUUAGACAUGGUUCAUAAGUUUUUAGCGAUGUUAUUAAUUUACUUAUGUCAGAUUAAUUUGUAAGUAACCUCUUAGCCUAGUUAGUUAGGAUCCUUUGAUUCCACCUUCAAAUGCAUGUACUCAAUUCGGGCUUACUCGACUUCAAGGGAGGCUUUCCUCCUGGCGCCCCAUGAGGAUCUAUUAAUUUCUUUCAUUGAUCGAUAUACUUCAAUUUUUGUCCAUGAGGAUCUGUUAAUUUCUUUACUUGAUCGAUAUACUUCAAUUUUUUUCCUAAAUAAUCUAUUUUUCAGUAUAGAAUUUGCAUAUCAUGGAUAUACAUGUAAUUUGUACCUUUUUAACUAGAAUUUUUUCUAUAUUCACAAUCAAUACAAAACAACCUCUAUUGUGACACUGCAAUAUUUAUACAUAUAUGCUGACUAUCCAAUUAUGUUAGGUUAUUUAAAUUUCAGAGUACAUGAGUAAGUAUAUUUCAUAUACCAUUGAUUAAAAUUAUUUUUGUUUUGGGUGACUUACCGAAUUAGGAGGGUUGCUUUUUUAAGAAUAUUGGCUGCUGUUAGUCGUAAAACAAUUUGUACGAAUUUGGGACUAAAUAUAUAAUUGCGUAUGGUCAUGCACACAUUAACGUGACACUUUCAAGCUUUUUCAGCAAUUCCUUUUUAAUUUCUAUUUUACUAGGUAUCAUAUACCUGAAUAAAAAGAUAUUCUUUACUUGAAUAAUUUUAGCAUUCAGUUAUGAAGUCGCCCUACCAAUUCAAUUAUAUAUGUAAUUCAAAACCUGCACAUCGUCACAGGAUUAAUAGAUAUAUGUCUAUUUAAUAUCAAUAAGGUGUCUAGAACUCUCUGAGCAUCCAACUAAUCUCUAUUUGGUGUGAUGGUCCCUCCAUCUCACACACGUCAGGUAAUCACCGGAGACUUACAAAAGUGUGCUUAUGGGAGUGGCCACAAGAGAAUGUCCAAGUAUAGUGAUUUGAUCACAAGCUUUGACAAGAAAGAUAAACACACUUGCCACCUAUGAAGCACGGACACGUUGCCCGUGCUUCCAUGUCGUGUCCAACACUUGUCUGAGCGUGUCGGACACGUCAACACGCUAGGACACGGUCGGACACGCAGUCAACGCAUGUCGGAUUUUCCGACACGCGGUCAACGUUUCUCGACACAUUUUGACACGCAUGUCUGGAAGACGAUGGAUGGUAGAGGCAAGGGAGGGCGAGGGAGCAGAGAUGAGGCCGCGAGCGACGGUGAGAGAUGGCAAGAGAAAGAGCCAAACAAAGAGAAAGAAGAGAGAGAAAGCAAACUCCCUUAGAGUCAUAAUCAAAACAUCACAGCGUCAUGGCCUAGUGCGGUUGCAAAGAAAACUGAUCUCGGGCCUAUUUGGCUCGCGGUUUACUGACCAAAUCUACGAGAACCUUCAUAGAUAUUUUGAUGCGUAUUCAUAGAUCAUAUUCAUUCUCAGGUGUAAUUCCACUCCGAGGGCAGGUAUUUCUUUUAGGGAAUGAGCUUGACUAAAGUAGGGGCAAAUCUUUUUCAUUAGGGGCCUUAUUAGUGAUUCCCUCUUUUUGGUCCCCGGCCGACUAUUCUCUCCAUCGGUGAUAACAUAAUUCGACGUUGAGUUUUGUCAUCUGCUGUCACGGUUGCACCUCAUGGAGAAAUUUACUAGUUUCUUCUUGCUAUUCAUAAUGACUAUUUGACAUAUCGAUACAAGAGCAUAUUUAUUUUUCUAUAUGUCAUAUGUAGGUUAGGCUAGACGUUCGUCAAUAUGUACGUGUGAAUUGUAUUAAAAAAGUCUCACACCGGAUAAUUGAUGUGGUGUGAUUAGUUAAUUUAUCCGAGUUAAUCUAUAACUUAUUGGCUUAAAUUUUUUAGCUCAAAGUAGAUAUGUUGAUAGGUUCAAAUUUGGACUCUCUCUUGGCGACCACCCUGAACUCCCAAUGUGUGGUGUUUGGUAAAUAUCUCAAGGAACUCAAUGUGCAUCAAUAUUUGGUAAGUAUCUUAAGAAAGAAAUCUCGUGAUCAGUGGUUUUCGAGCAGCCUAGUGUUGUGGUGCAGCAUUGCAUUCUCGAUGGCAGUUCGAGAUGAAGGUUGGCAUUGUUGUAGUUGUUGUGACCUCACACGCAACAAAGUGGAGAUUCACAUGUGAAUUAAUGUAGAACAUACCUAAUAUUGAACUCACACCUGAAUGAGUGGGAGAUUGUUGAGUUGCACAUUUGCAUUGUAUUAAAAAAGUCUUACAUCAGAGAAUUGAUAUAGUAGCUAAUAUAUCAUAGUUAACCUAAAACUAGAUAUAUUAAAUGGCUCAAACUUAGACUCUCUUUGGCAAUGUCCUCAAGUGAAGCUAUCAAGCGUCCAACAGUUUUUGAGGUCAGUAGCUUUUUCCAAUGGCAUGCUUGAAAGGCAAUCGGAAGGUUUGAAGGCAAUGGUGCGGCUACAUUGUGCCUCUUAAUAGACUUUGUGAAGGUAUCAAAGUACAAUAGACAAUCAAGGACAGUUGCCUCGUAGAAGGAAGGAAAAAUAAUACAAAUAAUUCAUGAACUUUGGUCCAAUAUACAAUGUCAUCUUUAAUUUGUUUAACUUGGUUCAUGAACUAUUGGUAAAUGUUCAGUGUUAUCUUUGAACUUCUAAUUUAUUCAAUGUGACCUUUAAACCAUUGGUAAAUAUUUAAUAUAGUCAUUCUGUUUGUUCAAACAACAAUAUGAUGACAUGGAUUAUUAUAUUAUAUGCUGAGUUGGAUUUUUAAAAUUAAUGAGUCAAUAUAUCCGUCUUUUAUCCGUCUACUUUAAAAAAGGAAACAAACAAAUUAGGGACUUCAAAUAUCCCACGUGCAAAUUUCUUUUCCUAAUUUGAGAUAAAUAUUUUACGUGGAUAAUCCAUAUAUAAUUUGUCUACCAUUCAUAUUUAAUGGAAUGGAAGUCACGUAUUCCAUUAACUUGAAUUAACGAAAAGAUGACAUUAAAUAAUUUGAUAUAGUUAGGGAAUUAGAUUGAACAUUUAUUAGUAACUCAAAGUUCAGGACUACAUUGAACAUUUACAAAAGUUUAGACAUUAUAUUUAACAAAUUAAAAGUUCAUAAGUAACAUUGCAUAUUGAAUCAAAUUUUAAGGACCAUUUUUGCUUCAUUUUUCCUUAUAAGGAAAGUGAAAGUAGGAACGUCCUCUUUGGUUUCUUUGCAUCUUGCAAGGUGCUUCUCCUCCGUGAACCACCACUUGCAUGCACGACUGACGUACCACGCGUUUUCCAGUUGUCUUGUAGAUGUUUCAAACAUAUUUACCUUAUUAUUUGAAGAAGAAUAUCAUGUCAUAAUGAACAUAGUACAAGACACUAUAUAAUUUUUUUCAUUAAAUCUUUACUUAUCAAAGGCCGGCGAGUUAUUUCUCGAUCGAUGGGAGAAAUGGGCCAAAAAAUUGGGAAAAUCCAGUUGAAUAGAACCCGGUAUGUGUUGAUCAAAUAUUGAUCCAUUUGAAAUGACAUGGGUCGAAGUCCCAUAGAAUGUGGUGGAAGACUAAACAAGGAGUCGUAAAGGGAAGGUGGUGGGGGAAAGAGAGAGAGAGAGAGAGAGAGAGAGAGAGAGAGAGAGAGAGAGAGAGAGAGAUUUCUUUAGUGCAAGAUGAUUCUUUCAUAAUUUUUCUUUAGUGCAAGAUGAUUCUUUCAUAUUUUUAUUUUUCUUUAUUUAAAGGUUCCAAAGUGAAGAAAGGAUACGAUGGUUGAAGGAUUUUUUUUCUCGUCUUUCAGUUCAAAUACUUGGCUUCCAUGAUAGAGGAUUCUUUUUCCCUUCAUUUAAAGGUUCCAAAGCGAAGAAAUGAUGAGACGGUUGAGGAAUUUUUUUCUCAUCUUUCAGUUCAGAUACUUGGUUUCCACAAUAGAGGAUUCUUUUCUUCAAGCCUAGGGAUUCUUCCUCAAAUUAUUCAAAUUAUUAUUUUCUUCUUCAAAGUCAUCAUCUCCUUCCAACGCUAAAUCCAAACCCCAUGUCUCCCACCACGCUGACAUCUUAAUAAGCCACAGAUUAAACUAAUUCCUGCCGGUGAAGAUCUCUAACUCAAAUUUUCUAGAAGCCAUAGCGAUAAUUGCAUACAGACAAAAUAACCCUAGGCUUUGAUACUAGUUUUACAACUAAUGCGCAAACAAGAACAAAUGAAAAUGACUUAAGUAAAAUAUAAAUUGCAUAAAUAAAACCUGAACGCAGCGGAUUUACUUUGUCCAAUGGUAAAACCUACUUUAUGGGGAAAGUUAACAAGGUGGUUUCAUGAUAAUCGGCGAAAAAUGGAUUACGACCGCUCAAUUACACUCACUCAUAAGUGUUUCUCAAUCAUAGAGUUUCACAAGAAUCAGUCACAAGAAAUGAGUUUUCUCACACUCUCAGCUCUCUCGGAUGAUGAUUCUCAAUAGUCUCUAUGUCUCUCACAAGCUUUUAUACAUAUUAAGCACACUCAACAUGCUCAAAAGACCAACUGACCAAUAAAAUAGUUAUAUGCAAAGAAAUUAUCAGCCCGUAUUUGAUGACAACAUUGAUUUCAUCUUCAAUAAUGAAAAGAGUUAUUGUGAGAAAUUAAUGUCCCUUGUUGCAUCACCCACACUCCGAUUGGCAAGAGUCCAAUUUGGACUUCCUAAUAUGGCCUGAAUUGCUUUGCAAUUAAAUUAUGGGUCGAAUAUCAAAUCAAUCGGGAUUAACUUGGAUUCAUAAUCAACACAUAACAACGUCAUGGCUGAGUGCAUUUGAAGAGGCAAUUGAUCUCAAGCAUACUCGGCAAACUGAAUGUUAGCAAACAUCAGUUUAAGGGAGGGAUUGUUAAUAUAAUAGUUAUUUCCUUUUGCACGUGUUGUUGAUUUGGUUGUUCAGUUAUUAGAGUUAGUGGAGUCAUGUGUGUUGGUUAUCCUAGUUUUUAGGUGUUAGUGGGACAAGUGCUUUAUGGAGAACAUGGGUAGUUAUAGUUAUGGUGUGUUUUACGUUAUGUAUUUUGUCUUUUGUAAAAGACUUGGUUGUUCAGUACGUAAGAUGUUUUUUUAGUCUCAUCUCUCCUCCUUUUUAGCAAUUUAACAAAAUCUACAGGAAUAUUCGUAGAUAUUUUUAUGCUUAUUCAUGAAUCAUAUGUAUUCUUAGGGGUAGUUCCUCUGAGGCGGGUAUUUCUUUCGGUUAACGAAUUUGACUAAGAUAUAAGUAGGUGCGAAUAUUUUUCAUUAGUGGCCUUGUUAGUAAUUCCGGUUUUUUUGGUCCCUGGCCAACUAUUUUGUCAUCCGGUGACAACAUGAGUCAAUCUUGAGUUAUGUUGUCUACUGUCGCGGUUACACCUCUUGUAGAAAUCUACUUGCAAGGUGCUUUCAUUGGUCCCUUCUCUGAGAACCAUCACUUGUGUGCUCGGCCAGGGUACUGUAUGUUUUCCGUUAGUUCUUGUAGAUGUUUUAAAUACAUUUAUCCUAAUUUUAGAAGAAGAAUAUCGUGUCAUCGGGAACAAAGUAUAAGACACUGUAUGUUUCGUCACGUCAAAUUUUUACUUACCAAAGGCCAGAGUUAUUUCUCGAAGGGAGAAAUGUCAAAAAAACAAAAAACAUAAAAUAAAAUAAAAAACAAUAACAAAAGCGACAAUCCAGAAGGGUAGAACCUGCUUCAUAUUGACCCCAAAUCCGAUCUCCCCCAUUUGGCACGUCGAAGUCGUAGAAAUCACGAUGGAAGAUUAAAAGAGCAGUACAAGUGAAGAGAGAGAUUGAAAGAAGAAGAAAGGCGGCAGAGAUUUCUUUCGUGAAAGAUGAUUCUUUCAUAUCUAUAUUUUCCUGUUUCGAGGAUACUUUUUCGCUUUAUUUAAAGGUUCCAGGGAGAAGAAAUCAUGAGACGGGAGGAUUCUUUCAUUUAUUCCCUUCAUGUUGAGGAUUCUUCCUCACCUUUCAGUUCAGAUACUUGUCUUCUAUGACAGAGGAUUCUUUUCCUCCAGCAUGGGGGAUCCUUCUUCAAAUUAUUCUUUUCUUGGCCGAGGAAAAAUGAGAUGGUCUUCACGACCUUUCUUGGCCAACACCUUCGUAUAUAUUUUGGGAGUUUCACUCCAUCUCAUUCAGACAUCUGUCGCAUUUCCUAUCUCGAAUUUUCACCGUCCUUCACUGUCUUCUUCCAGCCAUUAGCGAUCUCUCUCUCUCUCUCUCUCUCUCUCUCUCGUUCAUUGUAUUCAUCCUAUUGAACCUUUCCUCUUCUUCAGUCGUUUCGUUUUCGGGAUCCAUCACUUCAGCCUUCCUCAGUAUAUAUAAAUUCUUGACUUCCAUUUCUCUCCAAAGAGGAAGGAAAGAAAAUCAGAAAGAAAUAAAAAAGCGGGAAAAUGGCGGAUAUUGUUCAGUCUAUAGCUUCCAAAGUGGCGGAAUACCUGGCGGCUCCAAUUGGUCGUCGAUGCGGCUACCUGAUAUUCUCCAACAGCUACGUUGGCCAACUGAAGGAAGAACUUGAGAAGCUGGAUGACGCGAUGGUUGGGCUGCAGCGCUCCGUCGAUGAUGCUGAAAACAACAUGAGGGAGAUAAAACGCGAAGUUAACAGAUGGAAGAAUGAUGCAGAGACUGUUGCCAACAAGGCACGCGGCAUGCUGGAUGACGAGGGAAGAGCCAAGAAAACUUGCUUCUGCGGGUGGCUUCCCAACCCAAAGGAGCGUUAUUGUCUCGGCAGGGACGCGAGGAAGACAGCCCAGGCCAUCCAGGCACUCAUCCCACAAGGUAAAUUCGAGAGGGUCUACUAUGAGAGUGAUCCACCGGGGCGUGUCGCUGGCACUCCUGAUGUGAAUUCGUCAGCUGGUGAUGGGGGUGACACUAUUGUGGACUCGCGAGCUUCCGUCUUUCAGGGCAUAAUGAAAGUUCUGGAUGAUGAGAAGCUAAGAGUGAUUGGGGUCUACGGGCCUGGCGGUGUGGGGAAGACUAAGCUAUUGGAGGAAGUCGAGAAGAACCUCAGUAAAGAGAAGGGACCGUUCCACAUGAUCGUUAAAGCAAAAGUGUCGCAGAUUCCUGUCUCGAAGAAUAUCCAAGAUGAGAUCGCUGACGCCUUGAAACUGGAUCUGAAGGACGUGCAAAGCGAAAGCGGCAGGGCAAAUCGUCUGAUGGAGAGAUUACAGCGGGAUCCAAGUGAGAAGGUUCUCAUAAUAUUGGAUGACCUAUGGGGGGAACUUGAUUUGAACGCGGUUGGAAUUCCUUCAAGAGACAUUAACGGGAAAUGCAAAUUGUUGCUCGCAUCGAGAUUUGAAGAUGUGCUGAAGAAAAAGAUGUCUGCCAAUAAAACAUUUUUUCUUGGAGGCCUAAACAACGACGAAGCUUUCGGGCUAUUUGCAAAGACGGUCGGCAACAGGCUCGAAGACGAUAAGGAUUUGAAAGCAAUAGCAGCUCAAGUGGUCAAGAAGCUUGCAGGUUUGCCUCUUUUGAUUAUCUCCAUUGCAAAAACCUUGAAAGAAAGCCCUGUGUCCGCAUGGAGAAUCGCACAGAUAGAAAUAGAUGAGUCAACUAAAGAAAUACAAGAAACGAUAGUGAAGUUGAGUUAUGGCCAUUUGACGACUGAGGACGCGAAGUGCUUAUUCUUGCUCUGCGGUCUUAUUGGCGGGACCAUUCAUGUCGAACUUCUAUGGGUAUUAGGCAUGGGGUUGGGCUUGUUUGAAAAAAUUAAUGAGACGAUACAAAAUUCAAGGGAGAGAUUGAAUAAUAUUCUGGAUAGCCUCCGUUCCAUUUGUUUGUUGCAGGAUGGAGGCGAUGAUAAGAAAAAUGUGACCAUACAUGAUCUUUACAGUGAGGUGAUCAUCUCAAAUGCAUUUAGUGAUCAGAAUUGCUUAAUUAUUAACAGCGAUUAUGGCUCAUGGCCGAGGGAAAAGCUUGAGAAAUGUUGGGCAUGCUUAGUGAAUGUUGGCAAUGGUAGGCGUGCUGAACUAAUGUUGCGUCAGUUUCCCCAUGUGAAGAUACUUAUGUUGUCGGAACAAUACGAUAUGCGAGAUUGCAGUAGAAUGGAUUUCACAUAUAUGGAGGAGCUCCGAGCCCUAUAUCUUUGCUCCAUGCAUAUCACCAGUUUACCUUCCUCGAUGGAAAUCCUCAGGAACCUCCGGUCAUUAGGUAUAAAUUGCUAUGUGGAGGAUGUGGCAAAUCUUGGCAAGCUCAAAGCACUGCGGAUUCUCAGCUUCGAUGGGUCUAUAAUUUCUAGACUGCCUAAAGAAAUCGGGAAACUAACAAAUCUGAGAUCAUUGAAUCUGAACCAUUGCUACUCGCUUAAGAUAAUCGAGCCUGGAGCCCUAAAAGGCUUAAUCGACUUGGAAGAGUUACAUAUGAAGAAAAGCUUUGAUCAGUGGAUGGGCAAGCAUGAAAUACCCUCGAAAUCGUGUCGUGUUGGGCUUGUCGAGUUGAAGAACUGGACAAAGCUAGCAUCUCUGGAAAUAUCGAUUUGUCAUCCCAUCAUACUCUUGGAGGAUGAUGACCUACCAUUUGAGAACCUGGACAAAUUUUGGAUCGACAUAGGAAAUAUUGGGUUUUGGACCGACAUACAAAGUUUUGGGUGGAGGGAAAAUGAAGGUUUGACAACCAUGCAGCUCAAUCUGGAAGGGUGCGAUAGUAUUCUUUCAAGAAAAUGGGUUAAGAAAAAUCUGCAGAAGACUCAAUGCUUAUAUUUAAGCGAGUUGAGUGAGUUCAAAGAGAGCCCUCGUGAAUUGUGCACCCAAGGAUUCCGAGAAGUGAAGUAUUUCAACAUUAAAGACAGCCCCUCAAUCAAGUACAUUGCCGGAUCAUCCAAUGGCCUCCCUCUCAUUGCUUUUGGGAAGUUAGAGUCUUUUUUCCUUGAAAAUCUUAUUAAUUUGGAGAAGAUAUGCCAUGGCCCCAUUGCGCCAGAGUGUUUCAACAAAUUGAAAGCCCUGAGGGUCAGACAAUGUGACCAAUUGAAAUACUUGUGGUGUCUUUCAGAUGUGCAAAGACUUGUACAGUUGGAAGAGAUUGAAGUGUGGAAAUGUGACUCAAUGCAAUCAAUUGUCACACACGAUGCAGGAGAAGAUAUAGUUUCUACCAAUAACAAAGUUGAGUUGCCUAAUGUACGUCAUCUAGCAUUGAAUGAGUUACCAAAUAUGACAAGCUUUUGCACCAAAGCUGAAAUCACUUUAGAGGAUAUUCCAAUCCAGGUAAUUUUCUUUCACUUUUUCCCUCUGUCAAUUUGUCCUAUUAGGAUGAGAUGAUAUUGGUGUUCACUCAACGUUAGUACAUAUUGCAUUUUAACUUUGAUUAUUCAUACAAUUUUAUUCGCGUUUUGAUUUACAAAUGAAAAAUCAUCUCAAAUAGAACACAGGUCAUAUUAUAAUUAGAGGGAAGCUGCUUUCCACAACUAAUUUUUUUUUUUUUCAACGGUAGAUAAUUGGACCGAUAACUAGGGUUUCUACUGUGACUAAUUUAUUAUUUAUUUAACAUUUUUAAUGAGUUGAAAAAAUAGUAGUGUGAUGAAUGAAUGAAAGCAAGAAUGAAUCUUGAAUGAAUAAAUAAAAUUCAAUAAUUUCAAAAUGAAGAAAGCGACGUCUAGAGAUUCAAUAAAUGGAUGGCGAGCAAGAAGCGACGUAACAAAGAAAGUCCCCAUGACUGUGCAGUUGUGCGGCACUAGCAGCAUGAUAGUGGUGAAGAUAUCAUCAUGAAAAUCAGAAGAGAAAUUCAUUGUUUUUUUUUUUUGUAUUUUAGCUCGAGAGUUUCACUUAUUUUCUCGUGAAAAUAACUUGAAUUGAACAAACUCACCUUUAAUGAGUCUCAUUGUGGUGCUUUGUUAGGUUUCUUUGCCUCACUUGGAAUCCCUGGUAAUGGUUGGAUUCAUUGCCCCAGAAAAGAUACUCUAUGGUGAACCCUUAAAAAAAAACAGCAAUAUGAAAUUGCUAAGGAUAGAAGAGUCUAAAUCCACGUCGAGUAUUCCGAAAGAUCGGAUACUCAAGCUGCCAAAUUUGGAGUCAAUGAAUAUUCAUUGUCGUAAUUCAUUAAAUAAUCGGUACGAGUGAACGAAAUUCAACAAUCUCAAAAUGAAGAAAGUGAGAUUAAAUGAAUGAAAUGCGAACCAAGAGCCACGUAACAAAGAAAGUCCACCUAAUUGAUGUUUCACCUACAUGCAAGUUGCAAUUGAUUCCAACACGUCAUGACAACCUCACCGUGUCAACAUUGUUCUGCAUCCAUCAUCCCUUUCUUCAGCUACUAAGGGGAUAUUUCCUUCUCCAUUCUUUCAGGCACGACAAAAAAUAUACAUGUUCCCCACUCUGAUCAAUUAAUUUUUGAAUAAAAUUAAGUUUUUGACAUUCUUAAGAGACAUCAAGCCCAUUCAUGCAUUCAAUAUCCAUUUGUUUCAUUGAAAAUUCAUUAUUGUUGAAAAAAGUUUUCUUGGUAAAUCGUUUUUCUAGAAAAUGAAUUGUUUUCUGUAUUUGGUUCUACCGAAAACGUAAUUUGAAAAGAUAUUUUAUGAUGUUUAUUAACGAAGCACAAAAAUUUACAAAGUGAAGACAAAAACUGUUAUGGAUCCUUAAUAGAAAAAAGCCCGAAUAAGUCAUAUUUACUUGUUCUUAAUGAAAACCAAUAAGUUAACAAAAAAUUUAUGAAAAAUUGAACUUUGAUAUGAUUUUGUUGUCAAUUUUGAAGUUCAAAAUAGAAAAAACAAAAGAAAAGAUAACCAAAUUAUGGUAGUUGUUUUGAAGAUGGGUAAAUGAUUUCAAAAGAAAAGAUAAAAAAUUAUGGUCAUAGUUUUCAAGAUCAGCUAAAGAAAAGAUAAAAAAAAAAAGAUGAUGACAGUUGAGAGAGAGAGAGAGAGAGUGUGUGUGUUGUGCGAUAGUAUUGCAUUUGCGACAUGAUAGUGGUGAGGAUAUCCUCAUGAAAAUGAUCCUUUUUCACAGGGAAUUCAUUUUUUCUGUAUAGUCAUUUUCUUGUAUCCAUGAGAAGUUUGAAAGCAAUUUCCUAAAAAUAGCUUUACUUGAAAGAAACUCACCUUUAAUGAGUUUCAUUGUGGUGCUUCAUUAGGUUUCAUUGCCUUGCUUGGAAUCCCUGGUGAUGGUUGGACUCCUUGGCCUAGAAAAGAUACUCUAUAGUGAACCUUCAUUAAAAUACAAUAAUCUGAAAUCGCUAGAGAUAGAGGAGUCUACAUCCACGUCGAUUAUUCUGAAGGAUUGGAUACUGAAGUUGCCGAAUUUGGAGUCAAUGAAAAUUGCACGCACUCCAUCUGUAGAAGUAGUUUUCGACCUAGAGGAGCUAAAAGUCAUCAAAGAAGUGGAGAUUCUCUCUCGGCUAAGUACAUUGCAAUUAUCUAAGUUACCAAACCUGCGGCACAUGUGGAAACAAAAUGUACAACUACAAGGAAUAUCGAUACUUCAUAACUUGAAGAAGCUCUUUAUCAAAAAUACAGGACUAUCAUUUCUCUUUCCGCUGUCUGUGGCUAAAUGUCUUAGAGAAAUUAGAGACAUUAAAGUGGUGAAUUGUCCAAAUAUGAAGGCGGUGAUUGUUGAUGAAGAAGGAAGAGAUGAUGGGAUAGAUGAUAUUGUAGAGUUCCCAUUAUUGGAGCGACUAUCUAUAAGCCGCUGUCCCACGGAGAAAUUCUUCUCACAUCCUCAUGGAACAAAAGAGUCAAUAACCACUACUUCAGAUUCACAAGAUACUUAUUUGGAUUCCUUCUUUGAUCAAAAGGUAUGAAUCCUUUCUUUAGAGCUUACGCCCAUAAUAGACACCCAUAAUAGUCAUAGGCACGCGAUUGGUGGGGCAAGUAUUAAUAUUUUUUUUUGAAGAUUUUUUUUAUUUGGCUUAUUAGUUAAAAUGUUUUUAUAAUUUAUAGCUACACUUGUUAGAGUAAGCCCAUUGAUGAAAAUUCUAUCCUCCACCGCAUUAGAUAGAUCGGUAUAUGAUUAGGUCAAAUUGUAAAAUUUUUCAUAGCUACCAUAUAAUGUACAACUCUUAUGAGCAGAUAAGUUUACCAAGCUUGGAGAAGUUAACACUCCACUCGCUAGGAUCCUCUUGCCGUGGCUAUGGGCUCGGCCUCGCCAUUGCUGGGCAAGGCGUAUGGCACAAUGAGCUUCCCAAAAGUUCCUCCGACAAAUUAGCCAAUCUCACCCCAAAACAAGAUUUGCAAUCACAAGGAACAUCAAUAUUUCAAAAUUUGAAGGUGCUCUCUAUCAACAAUACAGGGCUGUCAUUUCUCUUUUCGGUGUCUGUGGCUAAAUGUCUUAGAGAAAUUAGAGAGAUUGAAGUGGAGGAUUGUCCAAAUAUGAAUGCGGUGAUUGUUGAUGAAGAAGGAAGAGAUGAUGGGAUAGAUGAUAUUGUAGAGUUCCCAUUAUUGGAGCGACUAUCUAUAACCUACUGUCCCACGGAGAAAUUCUUCUCAUAUUCUCAUGGAAAAAAUGAGUCAAUAACCACCAGUUCAGAUUCACAAGAUACUUAUUCGGAUUCCUUCUUUGAUCAAAAGGUAUGAAUCCUUUCUUUAGAGCUUAUGCCCAUAAUAGUCAUAGGCACGCGAUUGGUGGGGCAAGUAUUAAUAUUUUUUUGAAGAUUUUUUUAUAUGGUUUAUUAGUUAAAAUGUUUUUUAUAAUUUAUAGCUACACUUGUUAGAGUAAGGCCAUUGGUGAAAAUUCUAUCCUCCACCGCAUUAAAUAGAUCGGUAUAAGAUUAGGCCAAAUUGUGAAAAUUUUCAUAGCUAUGAUCUGAUGUACAACUCUUAUGAGCAUAUAAGUUUACCAAGCUUGGAGAAGUUAAUACUCUACUCGCUAGGAUCCUCUCGCCGUGGCUGUGGGGCUUGGCCUUGCCAUUGCUGGGGGAGGCAUAUGGCACAGUGAGCUUCCCAAAAGUUCCUUCGACAAAUUAGUCAACCUCACCCCGAAACAAGAUUUGCGAUCACAAGGACCAUCAAUAUUUCAGAAUCUGAAGGUGCUCUCUAUCAACAAUACAAGGCUGUCAUUUCUCUUUUCGGUGUCUGUGGCUAAAUGUCUUAGAGAAAUUAGAGAGAUUGAAGUGGAGGAUUGUCCGAAUAUGAAUGCGGUGAUUGUUGAUGAAGAAGGAAGAGAUGAUGGGACAAAUGAUAUUAUAGAGUUCCCAUUAUUGGAGCGACUAUCUAUAAGCCACUGUCCCAUGGAGAAAUUCUUCUCAUAUCCUCAUGGAAAAAAUGAGUCAAUAACCACUACUUCAAAUUCACAAUAUACUUAUUCGGAUUCCUUCUUUGAUCAAAAGGUAUGAAUCAUUUAUUCAGAGCUUACGCCCAUAAUAGUCAUACGCACGCGAUUGGUGUUCAAGUAUUAAUAUUUUUUUGAAGAUUUUUUUAUAUGGUUUAUUAGUUAAAAUGUUUUUAUAAUUUAUAGCUACACUUGUUAGAGUAAGGCCGUUGGUGAAAAUUCUAUCCUCCACCGCCUUAGAUAGAUCGGCAUAAGAUUAGGCCAAAUCGUCAAAUUUUUCAUGGCUAUGAUCUGACGUAUAACUCUUAUGAGCAGAUAAGUUUACCAAGCUUGGAGAAGUUAAAACUUGAGUCGGUAGGAUUGUCAAAAAGGAUAUGGCAUGGUGGGCUUCCCAAAAGUUCCUUUGACAAAUUGGCCGAAUUCACCCUUGAAAAGUGCUCCAACCUACUUGAUGUCUUCCCUUCGACAAUCAUGGGCAGAUUGCAGAACCUCAAAAUAGUCGAAGUUUCAAGAUGUCCAUCCUUGGAAUCGUUGUUUGAUUUUGGAUCCCUUGAUUCAUAUACGGAACAAAAAAUUGUGUUGCUCCUCAAAUUGAAAAAAGUCGAGGUUUUAAGCUGUCCCUCCCUGGAAUCAUUGUUUAAUUGGGGGCCCCUUGAUUCAAGUAUGGAGCACAAAAUUUUAUUGCUCCCCAAAUUGGAAGAAGUGGCCAUGAGUGGAGUAGGAAGGCUAAGACACAUGGUGAUGAGUGAUUCCCAAACUGUUUUGGGUUUUCCUAAUCUAAAAGAAGUCUAUGUUCACAAUUGCUUUGAGUUGAGAUCUCUCUUCCCCAAUUAUACGAUUGCAACUCUAAAGAAACUCAACACCCUGUGCAUUCUCAAAUGCGAACAAAUGAAGGAAGUGGUUCCCAAGGAAGAAGGUGGUUGGUCCAAGGCAAAAGUGAUAAGUUUCCCUUCCUUAACUAUUUUGGUUAUUUGGCGAUGCCCCAACAUUAGAGCAUUCAUAUGGAGUCCUACAAGUGCCAAGAGGCAGUUAGGUGAAAUGAUUGAAGAAAAUGAUGAAUCGCUCCAACCGUUGUUCAAUGAUAUGGUUUGCUCUAUAUCUUAUUGUGAUCAUCUUUAAUCUCGCAUUAUCAUGUUUUAGAAUGAACAAUGUAAUAAUUUGUCCUACUUAUUUUCUUUUCUCACAUUAUCCUCGUGCAGGUUACAUUUCCCAAUUUAGAAAAACUAUAUAUUGGAGGUGUCCGAUGCAAAGAGUUAUGGAACAAUCAAAUUUCUGAUGAUUCUUUUUGCAAAUUGAAAUAUUUUAUAUUGAAGGAUUGUGACAAUCUCCAACAUAUUGCCCCAUCCCAUAUGUGGAAGAGGCUGCAGGACUGUCUGGAAACCUUAGAAGUGAAAUCAUGCCGUUCAAUCGAGAUCAUAUACGAGAGUGAUGGGACGGUGGCAAAAAGUGGUAAUUUGAGGACGCUGGAUUUGCGUGAUCUGGACAACUUGAGGCACAUUUGGCAGUACGACAAUCUCCCAAACAUCCCCUUCCUAAAUUUGAGAUACAUAAAGGCUGUGAGGUGCUCCCGUUUGGAUAUGCUUUUCGCCACCUUCACGGUGAAAUUUCUCGAGCAAAUCGAAGAGCUAGUGGUAGGGUCAUGUGAAGAUAUGGAACUAAUUGCUGGCCAUGAAGAAUGUGAAGAAGUGACUGGUGAGACAAUCACCUUCUUUGGGUUAAUCACUCUUAGACUUUACAAUUUGCCGAAAUUCAAGAGCUUCAUACCAGAGAAAUACUCUGUGGAAUUCCCAUCCUUGGAUGACUCGAGUAUAAUAGAGCUAGACCAAGGCAACCAAAGUGCGGAGGAAAGUGAGGGGGAAACUGAGCAGUUAGACCGCGUAAUUGAGGAGUUAGACAGCGAAAUUGAGGAGGUAGACAGUGAAAUGAGGAAGAGAGUGAGGGGCGAAUAAUUAGUUUUAUGAAGUGAGCCACAAAAGUUUGUGAAUGUUGCACCGAAUGGUGUCUGGCAAAACAAAAUGGACGUGUCUGGUAAUAUGAGAUUUUGUUUUUUUUUUCUUUUGCAGUCUCUUCUACACUUCCCGCAAAGUGUGUAACUGUUUUCUUGGCUAUUCAUUUCUUUGGUUUGUCUCCUGGGCUACAGUGAUGAGUGCCCAAUCAUUGGACCAUAAAUUGUGGGGUUAUGCUGUAUAAAUUCUAAUCAAGUGCAUUAUCAUGUUUAUAAAUUUUCCCGUAAUAUUAGAAAAUGUAUGUGCUAUUAUAUUAAGUAAUCGAAGUCAUGAUGAAUUACCUCAUGACAACCGUCACAAGAGGAAGAAGGAGAUCAAGGAGAUUGCAAUCUGGGAAAGCCCAUGUUCCUCCUCCCAUCUCUCUCUCUCUCUCUCUCUCUCUCUCUCUCUCUCUCUCUCUCUCUCUCUCUCUCUCUCUCUCUGUGACUAUUGAUGGAGGCCGAAACUAUUUGAGUUUGAGGGACGGUAGUAUGAUUUCGAGUUCGACAAAGGUUGAAUGUAAGUUGAAAUUGGUGAUAACAAGGAGUCCUUUGAGUGGGUUGAGUAUUUGAAUCUUCAUGAUUCUAAUCAAGGUAAACUUCGCUCUGUUUCUCCUGGAGGAAAGGAUCGAGUGCUUGAUUCCGCCGGCGUGAAAUCUGGAACUUACUGUCCUGAUGAACUCAUUCAGGUGCCCUUGACUGAAACACCUACCAUAUGUUUGAUUGAAUUCCUGAACGGUACUGGCAUGCAUAUUUUGCAAGUAUUCUUGCAUUGUGAUGAUUAUCUGGCAAUGGCGUGCUUAAAUUGAGAGUUCUCCAGGGCAUAUGGUAUUAUUUUCGUUGAUGUUGGUUGAACUCUCCCGGUUGUGCUCAAUGCUCCCAUGACUGAGAAUUUGAACAUGCCGUGUUGGCUUAAUUUACUUAGAAUUAUGUUUUCCUUAUCAAUCUACGAUGUUGUAUAUGGCUAUUUUAAUAUUCAAGACAAUGACCAUCUUUGAAUUGGAAAUUGUGAAAUCCUUCUUCGAAAUGUGCAUCGUUACUGUGUACUUCAAUGAAUUCCUGUGCGGACUUCAUCCUUUGCUUGAUCUCGCAUGUAAUUGGUUUCGUAUGCCUGGAUGAUUUUGCCUUGCAUUUCUCGAUCUGUUCAGUGAUACCUCAACCCCUUCACAUCGCCAAUGAUAUUCGGUUCAUUUUUUUGGGCGAAUGCAUGGGCCUGUACCUCUUUGAUUUUCUUCAUUUACUAAAGAUUCUGAGGUUCAUUCCUCGAUGUCAUUUGCUUGUAACUUCUCUGUGAAUGGCAUGUGGCACCCCUCGACAGCCCCUGAUCCGAUAGGGUCGCCACAGUUCGCUUACCUUUCACUUUCCCUAUUAACAUGUUACUUUGAUACCAUUUCAAUUGCAGCAGGUCCAUACAACCAUGGGGGUUUACAUUUUUUUUUUUUGAUAAGUCCCUUGCGCAAUUCAUAAAGCAGAAGCACAUCCAUCAACUCCCUUCCCUAUAUUCAAAAAACGAUGCACACCAACUAAACAUUUUAUAUAAGUCAAAGCCGUACACUCUUAUUUACAUAACUUGAUGGAUAUCAUUAAUCGAUACAUCAAAAUGCCAUAGUCUUUCUAUACUUUGCUAUAUUUCAAAAGAUGACCGACAUCUCUUCCAACAGUCAUAUACUUAAAGUCCAUCGAUCAGUGUCGGCGUUCAAAAGUUCCUUCCUCUGCUAUCCUCCUCCUCGCGGCCAUAUCCAACCACUCGGACCAUCUACUGGUGGCGGUGGCGGCAGAGGUAUGUUGUCUAGUCUGAAACGUUAGUCUCCAAACGGGGUGAGUACAACCACUCAGCAGUAAAAGAUUCAUCAAGCUAUAUCAAGCAUUACUAUUAAUAUCCAUAUUCAAGUAUGGUAGACAAAAUAGGCAAUCCAUAAAUGAGUAUGCAUCCCAACCAUAUAACUCUUCGAUGCAAUGACUAGUGCAUUUCCAACCAAUAAGAUGCAUCGUGUCCAGCCACACAAGUCCCGAUCAUGGGGCCAAACUGUGAUGACAUGUCCCAUUCCAUGCCUUACAAUUUAGUCCCAUAACCAGACCACACUCACACUUAAUAUAAUCAUCCGUUUUAUCAUUCAAAAGGUUUCAUCCCCCAGAGGACCAAUGUUUGCAUCCUUCUGGGAUUCCGCACCCAACCUGGCAUCGCGGAAGCCUCCGGGCAUGUAUUCAAAAUACAACCAGGCAUCCAAAGGGCAUCGGCUCAUUCGAACCUCUGGGCAUCUCGCACCCCACCUGGCAUCACGAGGAAUCACUGGGGACCAUAGACAUGGUUACCCCUAACCUUCGAGCAUGCAUCAUAAUACAACCCCUCACCCUCCGAGCAUGUAUCAUAAUACAACCGGGCAUCUCGACACUCCCGGGAAAAACCUUUGGGCAUGUAUUCAUAAUACAACCAGACAUCCAAAGGGCAUCGACUCAUUCGAACCUUUGGGCAUCCCGACUCCCGGGGCAUCGUUGACCCGAGGGUUCAACGGUAACAGUUUAGCAUUUUAAUUCACAAAAUAUUCUCAAAUGCUAAAACAAGACGUCUCAUGGACUCUCUAUCACAUCUCAAUAUUGCACAAAUAUUUACAGCCAUUACCAUCAUAUCACAUAGCCAUUCGAAAUACCUUCACUUUCGGAUACUUUUGUAAAAUUCAAGAGCAGAAUAGUCCAAUUUUUACAAUGCACAGUUCUGGUAGGAAUUUUGAAAUAAAUACUAAAUGGACUCAGAAAAUUACGAAAGUUUGACAUGUUAUCAAUGAGACCUAAAGGAACAAAUUUCAUGAAGAGCACAAAGUCAAAUUCCAUACACAUCGAGAGUAAAAACUUCGGUAUUUCUUGCUACAGUUUCUGUAAAAUUUCCAGACUUAGCAUUUCCGUAUGAAAAUCAUUUAGUCGGCAAAAUCUUGUCCAUUUAUGCUAAAUUUUUUAUAUGUUACUCUCACAGAUGUGUUCUCCAACUUUUGUUAAGACUUCGAAAUCAGAUUUUGGCUAGAAAAUUCCAGAAAAAUCGAGAAAUCACUGAUGGUCAUGCUGUUCUUGCGAAAACAGUUUACUAGCCUAAAGAGGACUCUUCCUAUACUUUGAGUUUCAGUAUCCAACUUCCACAACCAAGAUUUAGAAGCACGUUACACCACAAUACAGCCUCUUUACUUCUCAAAAAUUCACCAUAGCUAAAUCCUUGAGUUCUCAUUUCAAUUUAAAAGCAAAAUCCACCAGAAACUUGCUCCAAUACCUCGGCCAGCUUCAUCUCAUUCAUCACAAACAACAUGCAGCUCCAAAUCUCACAUUUUCUCACAUCUACCCACUCUUCACUAGAUAAAACAGCAAGCAAAACAUAGGUUGAAGAACUUCUACUUGCCUUAAACUCUCUCACUCGGUGGCUGUCCGAAAAUGGAGGUUCGGGGGUCGCGGCUUGACCGGUCGGCGACGGGAACCGGUGGCGAGGCGGCGGCAGCUCGAGCACGGCAGAAGGUGGUCCCUUCUUCUUCUUCGCCGUUCACCCACCUGCUGCUCACUCGCGAAUUUCCUCGCUCGAUAUCUCUCUCUCUCUCGGUUCUGCUCGGUCACUCUCUUUAGUUCACUUUCACGAGCAGAUUAGCUGCUGGUUUUGCUAAAAACCAGCCAACAAAGAGGGGGAUUUUCGGUGGAUGCAUGCAUGGAGGACAGGUGGAAGAAGUGUGUCUCCAGCUGGGUUUUCUUGACCUUCGCUGGUUGCUCCACACGAAGCAACAUGGCCUCCUCUGGCCUUGCUUCUCGAUUACCAUUUACCAUGGCCGCUGGUUUUUACUUAAAACCAGUCAACUUAAGGGGAGUUUUUCCAUGGUUUGGCCGCAUGAAGGGCAGCUGGAUUCGUACGUGUCCAGCAUGCAUUUCUUCCUUCGACACCUUGCUCCUCCUUGCAACGUGUCUUCAGCUAUUUAAUUAAUUCUUUUCUUAAUCCCAAUUUGCUGGCCGACCGUGAGAAAGCAACGUGGCAUCAAUGGUCAGAAAUUUUCCUCUCAUAGUUGACUAGGGUGUCGACCAAAUGGAGAGAGGUUCGGGCAGCUUUUGGGCGCAGACGAUUCCUCCUUUUCCGCAUGGGUGUGCAUGUCCCUCAUGCACGGCUGAAUUCAAUUUCUUCGGCUCAGAAUUUUAAUUAAUAGAAGUCCAAAAUUUUCCUCUCAUUUCGUAUACAUUUUGGUGGUACAAUUGUGUAGUGUCAUCAAAGAAAUUUGCACAACUCAAUAAGGUUGAAUGUAGUACUAACGAUGACGAAUUCCAAUAGUAGCUUCAUCAAUCCAUGACGUUUCAUCAUCAUUCAUUUUUUUUUCUAAGAUCGACAAAAUAUGGAUGAGAUUGGUCUCACUAAUAACCUUAUGUAAAGAGGCUUCUGACAAUACUCUAGUCUAUCCCACAAUUGGACUAUUUUCUAAACGUGAGGUAUCGGUCCAUUAAUGAAAUAAAACGGAGUUCACACAUGGUGCCAACGACACCAUUCGACCGUACUUCCAUAAUCAGUCAUGGUCAUCACAUAUCCGAGGGUUGUCGAAAUUCUCGGGUGCCACAUGGCAUGCGAGUCCCUGUCAUACUGACAUUCGAUGGCUGAGUGCAUAAUGAGUUGUUUAUGCCAUGGCCGAAUGCUUUGCUCGAUUCAUUGUCCACAUUGCCGAUUUGUAUGCAUGUUCAGUUGUUGCUGAACGAGUCUCAUCCAUGAGAAUUGAUUGUAGAAUGUGGCUCAAUGUUGUUUUCCUGUGUUACGUUGCUAUGCGUUUCAGUUUUUGUGGCAUGACGUUCUUUGAAAAUGUCUCCGCUGGAGCCACCCGUGGGUAAUUAGAAUGCGGUCUUUAGCAUUUGGUCCCAAGAGUUCCUGUUGUGUAAAAUCAAAGUUGUUUCCAAGUUAUUCAAGUCACAUUAGCAAUAUAUGUUGGAUUCAUGUCGACUCCAUGUUGAUUUCUUAUAGAGUUCAAUGUGUUUUUUGCAUCAUAUGUGGGCUAGGAUUGGAUUUGAUAGAUCUUGGUUUCAUAUGAGGGUUAAUUCGGUAGCACAUGAUGGUACAUCGACAUGUAGAUGAUUUCUCAUCAUUUUGUAGUUACUAGUCCCUAUCUAUCUAAAUCAUGCUCAUGCAUCGUCAUUCUACUACUCGUGUUUCUCAAUUUUUAGUAGUUGAAAUUACCUCAAUAUCGUGAGCCAUAUUGCUUUAGAAUCCAAUGUGAUUAAUUUACAUAUUUGAUCAUGUUGUAAUCGUAUUGGGAAGAGUGGUGGGAUUUUAGGAUUUUGCCUCCCACCUAAGGAAAUGUUUGGAAACUAGCUGUCACAACCAAAAUUUCGGAUGCAUCACCUAAAAUUGGACUAAUGGAUUGUUAAGCCUAAACUUAGCUCGGCUCUCCCAAGCCUAUACCAAUUCGCGACUUAGGUUCAAAUAUCUAGCAUGCAAAAGGGAGUCGCCAUUAAUCAAUUUAAUGAAGGUCGAUUAGACACCUAAGUAAAAUAAUACUCCUACAAACCAUAUUUUGGGUACGGGGACUUGGUUACACUAGACUUCUCUAAUGCCCUUUAGGUACCAUUUCUUUUAUUUUUAAAAAUAUUUUUUGCAGGCAGCUUGGAUUGAUUUUAAAUAUAUUUUCCUAACACAUGAGGUGAUCAUAAGGAUGUGCAAACCACCAAUUUAAUACUCAAUAAAACAAUGAAUAAAUUGUAAACUUACCUUAUAUUAACGAAAGCAUCUGCAACGUUAAAUCAAAAUUCACAUCAUCAAUCCUAGAUAUGAUUUCUAAUUAACACGCAAUCACUCAAUUUUUAUUUUCAGCAACCACUCAAUUUUUAUUUUCAUUUAUUUAACUUAUUUAACAAGAAUCAUGCUUUAUGCAAUGCGUGCUACUAAUUUAAUAUGAAAUGAUAUGAUAUGGCAAUAUCACCUAAACUAUAUGACAUAAUAAACAUGCAGUCUAUUCAAAAGAAAUGCAAUAAUUAAAUGUGUAAUCUAAAUUAACCUAAUGACUUAAUUCUAAUGACGGGCAAUUUCUAAUUAAAUGAACCUAACAACAAUUACUAAAUGAUGUACGUUUCAUGAACCUAAUUCUAGAUGACAUGACUUUUUUUGUAUUUUUUUUAUGAAAAUUCGUAAUUAAAUCACUACAAAAUAAAAAUCUAACUAAAGUGAAAUGCUAUCUAUUCUAAAUGCCUUCUAAACAUGCAUUUAAAAAAAAUAAUAACUAACCUAUCAUGCAAUCAAUCCUAAUCUACAUGAAUGCAAAUGCAAUUUUUUGUAAUUUUGGGAUAAACAAAACAAUUAAAAGAUAAACAUCAUGAUCAUCAAAAAUGCUAUCCACCAUUUGAAUCGAAAUUCAAACUUGACUAUUUCGCUAAUAAAAUCGAUAAAUUGAUCUUAAACCUUAAAAAUCAAGAUAUCAAUUUUACUCCUGGGUGAAUAAUUAUUCCAUUUAAAGCCUUAUGGAUGGGAUUAAAAAUUCGUGCGGUUGCGAAUUGGAUGCUACGAUUUCAAUUAGGCAUCAAGAAAUAUUUCAAACAAUGAGACAAAAUAUCAAAAACUAAAUAAGAUCAAAUAAAUCUACCUAAAAUAAAUCUCUACCUAAAUUUGAAAUUUUACAAAAAAAUCCAAUUGGUAGAAUGGACAACGAUGGAGGCUCGGCACGGCAUGGCUCAAGGGCAGCGGCUGUGGUGAAAGGUCACCCAAGGAAAGGUUGUUGCUAGUGGUGCUAAAGGACAAGUAUUGCUCGAAAAUUCGCUGGGAUUGCCGGGGCGGUGACUGGAUUUGGUCAAGGAAGACCUACAAUAAUAAAAUUCAAACGAAAGCAAAAUAACUGGAUCGGUGGAGGUCUCGGGCACGUCAAGGACGCCUGGAAAAUCUGCAAGAAAGUCGUCAGGUGCGGCCAAGCUGCAUGCGCAUGUCAGAAAGGGACGGGCUGGUGUGGCAAAAUUGGCCGAGAAAGCUGAAGAUCAUGCAAGAGCAGACAUGCAAAGAAGCAUAUGGGCUAGAUUUUGCUAUGGUUCAGAAAUAUGUAUUUUCUCUCAUUCCAUAUUGAUCUCCAAGCAUCGCCAAGUGGAGCCUUGUUAGAGCCGCCAAAAUCUGAUCGUUGUGAGCUUUCAACCAUCGUCAUCGGAGGCUCCUUGGCGUGUGAUCAUCCGAAGGUCGUACCUCGGCUGGACAGCAAAUCGUCAUGGACUCUCGGGACAGCAACUUCGUCAUCGGCACAGCAAAACCAGAGCAGCGGUGUUGUCCUACGGCAGCGGAAGACGUCUCGUCCAGAGGGAGCGCGGCAAGAGGAACGUCCCAAUGGUGCGGCCUCUCUGCCGUGCUAUGGGUUCCGAAUUGCCGGCCCUCUCUUUGUUGACUAUUUUGUCCUAUAGCCGUCUCUAUUUUUCACGAGAUUGUGGCCAUCAUGAUGGUCAGAUAAUGGGAUAACCCAUGUGACCAUCCAUGAUAACGAUGAAUUGUAAAAACAAUAUAGUGGAGUAUGUGAUUUGCUCGAAGAAAAAGGGGGCAGAAGCGUGAAUGUGAUGAGGGGAGGAGAGAAAUAUUGUAAAAAGUCUGAAUUGACACAGUCGCUUCUCUCUCUCUCUCUCGCUACCUCUCACACUUUUUCUCUUUUUUCGUGAAUGAACGCGCUCUCCUCAACGUGGCCGCUUGUAUCAAUUGUGUGGCCCCAAAACUGUACGUGAACAAUCUAGGGUUUCAAUUUUUCCAAAUCAAUAUCUACAGAGAUUUUUUUUUUCAAACGCAAUAUUUAUUUUACCGAACGCAAUAUUUACUUUUCCACUUGCUCUAUCCAAAAAAGAAUUCAUCAUAUCCUAAAAAAUUUCAAAUUUCUAUUUUCACAAGAUAAUCUUUUAUCAUUAAAAAAAAGGGAGCUUGCACCAAUUUGCUCACUUUGUGGGCUUAGUCCGACCUGCCAAGUUAAGGUUCAAAAUCAUUAAUUUGAACCCAUCCAUCACCGGUCCAAUAAAUAAAUGCAAAAAAAUGCAAAUUAAAAAUAAAUGCACAUAAAUCUAUAUGUUAUGCAAUUAAUAUUUUUUUAGAAUUAAAAUUAACCUCUAAUUUUUAAUGCGAUAAAUGAUUAAAUGGGUUGCUAAAAUUUAGGUGUCAACACUAGCCAAAGGACCAACUUUACCGUCUUGGCUCAAAUGGAUCGGAUAUUGCAUUAGGUGGCCUCUCAUUUCCAUGGGAUUAUGUUGGUCCUCAUCCGCAUAAGCCCUCCAAUUCCGUUUGGCUAUUUUGUUCACCCUCUUCAUGAGUUCAAUGCUUUGCAACUCCCUGAAGCUGUCCUCUAAAUCUCCCAAGUGCUCCACCCAAAGCGACAUCCUAUAACCAUAAGCCUGCACAACAUCAUUAAAACAUUAUUAGUCACAAGCUUGAGUUUUUGAUAAAUGUCGAUGCACUCGCUGGGUGUUCAGCUAGUACCUGCUAUUAAAUAGAUGUAACCACAUGGAAAUAUGACAUACUUGAACUUCAUACACAAUUCCAUUGUUGUGCCCUUUGAAUCCAAAAUCAGUGGUAUUAGCUAAUGCAAAAUUCUCAGUGGGACCCACAUACACUCUACAUCUCGCGGCCCUCUGCAGAAUUCUCUGCCUCUCUUCCUGUCUCUCCACAUCUAAUGAACUGAGUCGCUUUCCUUUUCAGCUCAGGCUUGGCGCGCUCUGAAGCAGGGGGCCAGAACAGAAACAGAGGACCUUCCAACACGGAAAAGGAGCUCAACAAAUUCUCUCUAGCCCUCAGUUAUUCCUUUGAUCUUCAUUCCCUCUUCAUUGUCCUCUCUGUCACCCUCCAUCCACCAACAGCUGCUGCCACACCUCCAUCGCUGGCCACCACAGGACAUGUCACACUGAGAAGGGGCAAGAACAAACAGCGUUGAUUAAAGGAACUCGGGUGAUUUUUGAGCAUUUAUAAGGCUGAGAAGAACAGAGGGCGAGCUUUAAUUGACACCGUAGACUGAUGCUUCAACGAGGAUUAUCACCGUAGACAAAUGAUGUGGACAAACAUGAAGAGAUUGUUAAGAUGGAGCUGACUGAAUAGUGAUGGCUAUGUUCUUUUUACUGAAGGCAACGGGAAAGAUACAGUUGGAGUUUUGAUUUGGAUCCCUCUUCCUUGGUGGCUCUUAUACCAUGGAAAUAUUUCUAUGAUUUGCAAGCGAGAGAGAGAGAGAGAGAGAGAGAAUCAACAAAUACUACACCUUUACUCAAUAGCCGAAUAAAAGAGGAUAUAGUAGCUCCACUUAUAAAGCAUGAGAGACAUUAACAAAGCUUCGAUUACCUUAUUUGUGACCACCUGCUAACUGUCGACUAAUUUUCAUAAAUAUACUCCAACACAUAUCACAAUUGGAGCAAAUACUUGACAGUGUUUUUGCAUGUUUUUCCAGGAUGUUAGUGCGUCAUUUUCAAAUAAGUAUCCACAACUGUACAAGGAGGGAAUACAGAAUUCAUACUUCAACUGUAGAGUUGUGGCAGCCUGGUCUGUUUCUGCGGUCUACCAGUCUCUCGUCCUUUUUCACUUUGUGACAGCUUCUAGUUCUACUGGUCUAAAUUCAUCGGGAAAAAUGUUGGGCCUCCAGGACGUCAGCACAAUGGCAUUUACCUUUAUGGUUGUCACUGUAAACUUACGCCUUCUUAUGAUGUGGAAUUCAAUAACAAGAUGCCCUCAUUUCGCUGUCAGUAGAAGCAUCCUUGGGAUGUUUGUUUUAUUUUAUAUGUUCACUUAUGAUGGUGAGUCUUCUCCCUUUCUGGGGGUUCUUUUCUUCCCUUCACCUCAUCUAGUCCUCUUUUGGAUAGCAAUUAUUCUGAUAUUCGUCUUAUUACUUGUAUGCGCAAGAAAGUCUCUACCAUGUCAUCCACGUAUUAAUGAGUACAGUCUACUUCUACCUGACAUUUCUUCUGGUUCCAAUUGUCGCAGUACUUGGUGACUUCUUAUGCCAAGGGCAAGGUUUCAGACUCAUAUCUGGCCCAACAAAAAACAGUCGGGCUUUUUUGUUCUUAGACAUAUUUCUCGUUUAGAAACAGAGAGAAACACUGUAACAUAGUUCUCAAGUAAAUUUGCUCAAGAAUACUGAUUGCGAAUCUGCAAUUUCGCUUUUCUAAAAGUAACAAAUGUCGUUUGUCAUGGAAAUUAUAAUGGAGGACCUCCUUUUUCGCUCAAAUAGCCUUCAUUAUCUUCAUUGUCGAUUUCGUGGGUCCUUUUUUCCCUAUUUGCUCCGAGACAAGAUACAGGGCUUGUCAUGUCCGUACUUUUCCAGUUUCUCAGAUGGUUCAUCAUUUGGGAAUUGUAUCUGCUUCUCUCUCUCUCUCUCUCUCUCUCUCUCUCUCUCUCUAACCCCUCUUCCUCCUCUCUGGGCUGAAGAUGGUCUUAUUUCCGGAAUGCGGUUACAGGAUAAAUCCAUAUAUCAGCCUUAAUUGGUAUAAGUAUUUAUUGGCUUGUGGGAACUUGACAGCUCGCUCAUCUCACGCGAUUGAUUUCUGGGUUCACCAUAUUCUAUUUGGCGGAUUCUGUUUAUUAGCAAUGAGUGUUUUCUUUAAGUAAUUGCAAUGGAUACUUCCUCUGAUUAGUUUCUUUUUUUUCCUUCUUUUUUUUCACGCACUAAUUUUUCAUGCACUUGGUUAUAGGAUUCAAAGGUGGUUCUUCCCAUAUGAUUAUCAGAUAUUAUAGGAAUUUCUAUGGGCACAAGCCACGGGAUGAGGACAAAGCCGAAGACAUUGCCCAGGAGCUCUGAUUUACAGAUAUGUUUCUUAGUACUGUAAAAUGAAAUUUUUAGAUUGUUCGAGUUUCUCUAUUAUUGUCAGAAUCACAAGCAUACGAUCUUUAGGAUUCUGCCUUCCAAAAUUCGUACCCAUCCCUAAACGGAAGGAAAGGGAGGGAUGUGAUGAUAACAGACUUCUGGACUCCUUCCAGACGCCAAGAGUAUCGCACGUUUCAGAGCAGUAGGAAAGCGGCUUACGUUAAUUCUGUUCGUGCAUUUAUGGGCUAGUUCUAGCCCAACCGCAAAGUCCUAAAUGCUUUUCAGUAAACGUUUUUUUUUAUAUCUUCCUGUUCAUUGUUUCUUGACAAAGCUCGCUUCACAAAGGAGGCUUACCUUUUAUUACGAGCCACGCUGCUCAUUUCUCGCAUUGUGACUGCUUAUAUGGCUGCAAUAAGGAGUUCCUUUGCCUGUUCAUUAAUUCUCUGGUCGCUUUUUCUCUGGUUGAGUGGGAGAUCUGUUAACUGUUAGGUUAUUUUAGGUGCUACUCUGGGACCCAUCGCUGGCUGCAUCCCGAAGUUGUUUGAGGAUGACAAACUGACCAUGCCUCUGUCGAAAAAGUCGGGUGGUUUCCUAGGAAUUGCUAAAAGUGUGAUCGUUGAAAGCACCUCAUUAGUUGAAGAAGGACAUUUUCUCAGAUUUUUAUAACUGAUUCCAACCGUGUCCUAUGAUCCCCUUCCAACACAGAAGUCUAUUAUAUUCUGUAAGCAAAAGCCGUUGCAAGAAUCGCAUAUAAUCACCUUAACGAUGGACCAAAUAUCUCAUGAGGAGCUGAUGAACUUGGCCAAGUUUCUGAGACACUUGACUGCUGGGAUUCGUCCAACUGUUCUUCAUUACCAUCGUCGCCAUCAUCAUUCUCGAAAACCAUCUGUAUCCCAUGCUUUUUCAGCGAGAGCCCAGGAAAGUAUGGUGGGUCUCGCAGGACUAUAUCUAUUCCUGUCUCCUUUGAACAGCCGAACCAUUGGCUUGAAUUCUGGAUGUCUAAUCUAGUAAAGCUGGUCUUGGCUUGUGUCAUUUAAUGUCUGACGUGUCUUGGACCUUCAAGCCUAAGAAGCCUUCCUUUAAUGUCCUCGAUUGCUGGUAGCAGAAUGUUUGCCCGGUUUGCACUGUCCAUAGAGACAACAACAGCGAAAAUCAUUCCCUCUAACCUCGCGGUUCUUCUUCGGAGCAGCAAAAUGAGGAACUUCCUGAGAAAACCAUCCAGGAAUCUCACUCCCAGGGACACUCGAGUUGUGAAAAUGCUUUAGAGCAACCUGAAAUUUCCCAUGGAAAAAACACAUUUUAAGGUCAAACUAUCUGCAUUCAUGAUUGAAGAUACUGAACAAAGGUGGAGAAACUGAACUGGUGAUCUUCAUCCAUCUUUUUGCCACAGUUCAAGUAGUUUUCCCAAAAUGGGAGUUAUGAGUUAUCUUUUUCACCUUUUCAAUUCGUCUCUCCCAAGAGUAAAAGCCUCAGAGAUUUCAAUAUCCGGAGACCAGUGACGUCAACUAGAUUGCUGCAAUCAGUAAAGUUUGGCUCCUUCAAAUCAGUAGAAUUCAGAUGAUCGGCGUAAAUUUGAAAUUGAUUAACCUCAACUCGGGAUAGUUCUCGGAGAUGAUGGCCACGACUGCGCUGAGUCGCGGAUCGCCUCCAGAAGGCCCAACGCUAUCUCCUCCCCUCGCUUGAGGCCUUCUUCAUCGAGCCGGAGCUGCAGCACGCUGCUGAGCUCGUGCUUGCGGUAGAGGCAAUCCACGAUGCCAUGGCAGGGGUGUCGGCGCCGCAAGAGCUGAGGAAGACGUCGCAGCGGAAGCGAGAUGAGAACAUAGCGUCGUCCUCUUCGGGAUCGUCUGUCAGCAUCGUUGUCUUCGGCUUCUUGGUCGGCCUCACUUGGGAGUCGCCGGUCUUUUGACAGAGGCGGUCCAUGCAUUGAUUGGGGCACCACUUAACGAUGAGCAAGGAGCAACGAGCACCUUACUGAUAGAUUUGUGUUCCCUUUGAAAAAACUAAAGAGCGAUUUCCACAGCAUGGGAAAUGUGCUGUCUUAAUUUUUAAUUGACAAAUCAUGGCAUUCUCGUUAGUUAAAGGAAAAAUUAUCAAUGUAUGGUGAUCAAUUCAAUUUUAAAUUUAUGUAUUAAUUUAGUAUUAAGCAGUCAUAAAUAAUUUAAUCGUGUCAAUUUAGUCUUAAAUUUUUUAAAAAUUAUAAAUGUAAUCUUUUUGGGUAAUUUUUGUUGGAAAUUUUCUUUCUUUUUAUUUUAUAGUUUUCUUCUUAAGGUCAGCAAGUCCACCGGUCACUGGCCGAGGGCCAGCAGCCCAGACACCCCUGUAAAUAAAAACAAGGAUGGUAAAGAAAAUUAAAAGUUUUAAGGAAAAAAAAAUUCAAGUACUCAGAUUGAUAGUUUAUGCCAUGACAUAGCAACAUGUCUCCUCGAUACGUAACAAAAAUUAUCACGACAAGGAUGUUCAUAUCUACUCCGGUUAAAUGUAGGAUCGCAAGUUUGUCAAUUUAGCCUGAUUUGGUUUUCAAUUUCAAUCCUUUAGACUAAAAUUAAUUUGACCUUGGGGCUGCACGCCUUGCACGUGCUGGUGUCGGAGAACGUCAGCACCUCCCUGCACCGACGGUUGCGGCACGCCGACGUCUUCUUCUCCCUUGGAUCGCAGUCCCCGAACCUCUCUUGCCUCUACAAGAUGACCUCUCUGGUCUUGAUCUGCACAUGAUUUGCUCGUUUGCAUGUAAAAAAAAUGUGCGAUUCAGGAUCGAAAAAUUAUUGAACAAAUCUUUCUUUUCGUAUAAAUUUUUAAUGGAUUGGCCACCAAAAUCACAAACUCGAUUGCGUCAUGAUCCGACGGAAGCAAUCGAAGUGAUGAAUUACCUCACGACAACCGUCGCGGGUGGAAGAAGGAGAUCGAGGAGAUUGCAAUAUGGGAAAGCCCAUGUUCCUCCUCCCACCUCUCUCUUUCUCUGACAAUUGGUUGAGGCUGAAACUGUUUGAGUUUGAGGGAUAGUAUCAUGAUUUCGAGUUUGACCAAGGUUGAAUGUGGGUUGGAAUCGGACAUAACGAGGAUUUCUUUGACUGGGUUGAGUAUUUGAAUCAUCAUGAUUCUUAUCAAGGUAAACUUCGCAUGCUCUGUCUAUGCUAGAGGUGGGGACCGAGUGCUUGAUUCUGCAGGCGUGAAAUCUGGUUGAGUCCAAGAUUGUCCUAAUGAACUCAUACACGUUUCAAUGAUUCAGUGAUUGUUUGGAUGCGCACCUCUUCCUUAUCAUUGCAUUUAGGUGCCUCUACCGAAACGCUUACCCCAUGUUUGAUUGAAUUCCUGAACGAUAUUAGCAUGUGUAUUUCGCAAGCAUUCUCGCAUCGUGAUAAUUAUCUAGCAAUGGCGUGCUUAAACUGAGAGUUCUCCAGUUUAUGUGACAUUAUUUUCCUUGAUGUUGGUUGAACUUCUAAAGUUGUGCUCAAUGCUUCCAUGACUGAGAAUUUGAACGUGCCGUGUCGGCUUAAAUUUACUAGGAAUUAUGUUAUCUAUAUCAAUCUACGAUGUUUGUUUGUGGCUAUUCUAACAUUCGAGACAAUUACCAUCCUUGUACUGGAAAUGGUGAGAUCCUUCUUCGAAAUGUGCAUCAUGUGUUGUGUACUUCAGUAAAUUCCUAUCCUGACUUCAUCCUUUGCUUGAUGUCGAAAGUAAUUGGUUUCGUAUGCUAGGAUGAGUAUGCCUUGCAUUUCUGGAUCCGUUCAUUAAUACCUCGAUACCUUCUGUAUAUUAAUAAUAUUUGAUUCUUUUUUUUUAGGCGAAUGCAUGGCCUCUACCCGUUUGAUUUUCUUCGUUGACUGAAGUUCAUUCCUUGAUGUCAAAACUGACAUUCGAUGGCUGAGUGCAUAGUGAGCUUUUUAUGCCAUGGCCGAAUGCUUUGCUUGAUUCUUUGUCCAUUUUGCAAUUUGUAUACAAGUUCAGUUGUUGCUGAAUGAGUCUCAACUAUGAGAAUUGACUGUAGAAGGCGGCUCAAUGCUGUUUUCCUGUGUUUAUGGGUAGACAGGCAUGCGGCAUGCUGGAAAACGACAAAAAGAGCUAAGAAAACUUGCUUCCGCGGGUGGCUUCCCAACUUGAAGGCACAUUAUCGUCUCGGCAGGGAGGGGAGGAGGACAGCCCAGGCCAUCCGUGCAAUCGAAUCGUAGAUUAAAAUAAUAAUCUAUUUCUUCUAAAAAUAAUUUUCUAGUUCACCACAUGCAAGACAACAUUUUAAAGCUUUGGCUUUUAAGGGCGUCCGACUUUUUAGACCUCAAAGAUUUUCUCGGGCAAAUCUAUUGCUGUUGGUAAUUAUUUUCAUAUAGUUAGUGAAAUCUUAAAUAGAGCGGUAACUUGAGAUAAAUGAAAUAACUUGUACUCGGCAUCCACAAAUUUUAUUGUUGACCUUUAGUUUUCUCUAAAUACGUUGUUGAUUUCAAUACUUGUCUGGAUUCCCUAUUCAAUUUUUCACCUAUACUUUCAAUUUGCUUGGGAUUUCAAUUUCCUGCAUUUCGACUCGAGUUGCUUAUUGUUUCAUAAAAAAAAAAAAUUCAUGUAAUUUCCCGAAAACAAAUACCAAGUGUAGAAAACAAAGGUAAGAGAUGCAAAGGAAAUCUCAGUGAUUGAGGCUAGCUUUCUCUCAGUAAAGAAUAAGACUCAAAUGGCUAACUUCAAAAUUUUCAAGUCUGAUUCCAAGGGAAGAAGGGAACUCUGGAGUCAAUUUCACUUGCAUAGCUCUUUUGCAUCAAAGGGAUUGAGUCGACUAAACGUUCUAUUGACAUCUUAAUUUUUAUCGACAUCUAAAUAUCCAUUUAUUUCGAAAAAAAUAUAUAUAAAUUUAUAAAAAGAUAAAAAAAAAAGGAAAAAAAAGAAUAAUGAAUAAAAAUGGAUCAAAUAAAUUGAAUGAAUGAUGAAAAAUGAAGUCGUGUGGGCAGGCGUGUCUAGCCCACUUGGUUAUUUUGAGCUCACCCCUUACCCAGGCUUCCCAUUCAGAAGGGAAGAACUUAUGUGAGUGUCUCAAUUUCAAUUCAAACAUGGGUUUGGCCCAUUUUCCUUCUUUUCUCUGGCCCACCAGAGCCUAAAAAAGAAGCCCAGCCCAUCACUCUUUCUCCUUGCGCGCGCGCGCGCUCGUGAGAAGAGCGUCUGUGACGCAAGGAGGAGAGAAGGUACAGUGACGGUCACCGAAGAAAUGCCCGUGAGCGAGUGAUGAGAAAGGAACCUAUGAAUCUUAAUCGAUAUACUCGCUGCUCAACCCUGCGAAAGCGAAAUAUAUUCGUGCGAGAUAAUGGAACCUGUCGCGUCGUGUUUUGUUUGGAAAAUAGUGUCAAAGCUGAAUCAAAAACCUGCUCUCGUAGCUGAACAACAUGUGUUCGACAAAAUGCUCGAAUGAUGCACCGAAAUCCAUGUUAUCCGAUCGACGUUAAAAGUUUAGUUCGAGGCUUGAUCACGCAUAUGUUGUUGACGCACGUCUGCUUUCUUCGUUUUUUGCUAUGUUUUUGCUUGAUUUCACGGCCCACCUUUUGAUAUUCGUUAAUGGCCAUGCAAAACCGAACUUGGUUCUGCCGUGGCCAGCGAUAGGCAGACGGCGAGGGCCGGAGAUGUAAUCUGGUGAUGGUGUGUAGUGGUGUGAGCUCCGGUGUCCGUAGAUGGCAUCUAGUUGUACGGGUUCAAAAAAUGGAGAAGAAGACGAAGGUUGGGAGUGAAAAAAUGGCUUCGGGGAAGAAGAGGGGAAGAAAAAGAAGUGGUGCGGUAGAAGUGGACUUAAUGAGGAAAAAGACAAAAGAGAAAAAAAUUCAAAAUAUUUUUGAAAAAUUCGUUUUCUAUAUCCCACCAGGUCGGAUCCGGUAGACGGGUUAGGUCAAUGGGUCGGAUCGGGUUUACGGUCCAAACGCAUUCUCCGAAUAUAAUAAUAAUAAUAAUAAUAAUAAUAAUAAUAAGUAAAAAAUCGAAAAAAUUAAAAAUAUAAAAAAUAUAAAAAAUUCUGAAAAAUUCUAAAAAAUAGUAAAAUUUUAGAAAAUUCGAAAAUCAAUAAAAAUAAAAAUUUUAGAAAAUAAAAAUAUAAAAAAUCUGGAAAAGUCAUAAAGAUACAGAAAAUACUAGAAAAUCCAAAAAAAUAAUAAAAAAUUGGAAAAUUUCUAUAAAAAAAAAGUAAAACCAAAAAUUGUACAAACCAAAAAAAAAGUAAAACCAAAAAAAAAAGUAAAACCAAAAAUAAAAAUGUCAGCUCCAUGUUGAUUUCUUAUAGAGUUCAAUGUGUUUUUUGCAUCAUAUGUGGGCUAGGAGUGGAUUUGAUAGAUCUUGAUUUCAUAUGAGGGUUAAUUUGGUAGCACAUGAUGGUACAUCGACAUGCAGAUGAUUUCUCGUCAUUUUUUAGUUACUAGAGUCUCUAUCCAUCCAAAUCACACCACUUACUUGGUCAUGCUCAUGCAUUGUUUUUUACUCCUCAUAUUUCAAAAUUUUAAGUAGCUGAAAUAACCUCGAUACCCUGAGCCAUAUUGCUUUAGAAUUGACUGCAACUAAUUUACAUAUCUGAUCAUGUCCUAAUCGUAUUGGGAAAAGUGGUGGGCGAUCCAAGAAUUUUGCUGCCCACUUGAGGAAAUGUUUGGAAACCGGCCAAAGGACCGACUUUUCCAUCCCUCUUCACAUUGAUCGGAUAUUGCAUCAGGUGUCCUCUCAUUUCCUUGGGAUAUUGCUAUUUUGUUCACCCACUUCAUGCAUUCAAGUUGGAUUGUAAAAUUCUACGAAAGACCUUUGAUUGUAUGCAACGACAUGAUACUCUCCGAUGGCUAUGUUCGCAAACCUUCAGGGGGAAGCUGUGCAGUUAACUAACGCGAGACAAAGGAUGCAGCAUUCUGUCGAUGAAGCUCAAUACAACACGAAGCCAAUCGAAGCCGACGUCUAGAGAUGGGAGGCAGGCACAGAAAUCCUCGCUUAUGAGGUGCGCAGCGUGCUGGAAAACGAGAAGAAAACUUGCUUCCGCGGGUGGCUUCCCAACCUCAAGGCGCGAUAUCGUCUCAGCAUAGAGGCGAGGAGGACAGCCACGCCAUCCAGGCACUCGAAUCGCAGAGUGAAUGCCAAAACGUCUACUAUGAGAAUUCUCGGCUAUAUAUCAAUAUAUAAGGACUUAAAAGAUGGUUUUAAUCAUCAUGAUGUACUUAGGGAUUUUUAAUUGACCAUAUUAAACUAAUAACCCGUUUCUUUUAGAGAUAGUUGUUUAGUUCACCACCUACGAGACAAUAUUUUAAAGCUUUGACUAUCAAGGACGUCUGAUUUGUCAGACCUCAAUGAGUUUCUUGGAAAAGUCUGUCUCUAUUGGUAAUUUUUCGCAUGUACUUAGUAAAAUCUUAAAUAAAAGUAACUUUUAUUCGGCAUCCGUAAGCUUCAUUGUUCACUUUAAGUUUUCUCUACAUAAGUUGUGGAUUUCAUGACAAGACUAGAUUCCAUAUCCAAUUUUUCACCUAUACUUUCGAUUUGCUUGCGAUUUCAGUUUCCCAAUAAUAAGUCUCUUUAAACGAUGGACGUUGCAAUUCUUAUUUGUCUGUUCGAUUUUUUACCCGCAUUGCUUUAGCUAGUUCAAUUAAGGAGGAUCACUUUUGGGGUAUGAACUAACAGAUGGCACUAUUGAUUAGUAAUUCAGACAGUAGCUAUUUUACUGGUUAAUACUGAAGAAUUCUGAGGGUCGUGUCAUUUUGCGAGUUAAACACAUUGAAGCCUUAUUUUCUUGCAUAACUGAGCUCCUUGGCUCCUCACUUCUGCCUUUUGUUGUCCUUGGCAGAUUCCUGAAAAUGCCGGUUGCAUUGCAAGGACAUGUGCUGCGUCGGCCAUCGGCUUGCAUCUUGUUGGGGUGCUUAGUUGUUCCAACCACUCGAGCUUCUCUUUAGGGUACUUUGAAGACAUUCCUCAGUGAAACAUAUGUUGACGAGUCACUGAUGAUUUGUGAUUGUUGCAUCACCAUCCAGUUUCUUUUGAUGCCUUCAGAGUUUAAACUAGUGAGCCAUGUUUUAGUAAUAUAUUACUAAUUGAAUUCUUAAUCAUACCAGAUAAAAGUACCAUACUACUACUUAAAAUCUAGAUCUUAACAAAAUGGUGAUGAAACUAUCCAAACUUUGUAUGGAGUACUGUCAGGCCACAGGCUAUUUUGGAUAAGUGCUGGCAUUUAGUAUAUAUAAACCACUGCUAUAAGAACAGUAAUCAUCGAUGCAUCACACGUAACAAUAAUCAUGGUCGUGCCAUUUUGAUAUAAGCAAGAUCAUCUAGAAGCAGUUUUGCCUAGAUAACAAAAGGACCGUAUAAGAAGAAGCAACGGCAGGACAUCAAUUGGAGCUUGAAUCAACAGAAACAAGCGGCGGUGGCAACGAUCUGCAUCUGGCGCACCUGAAAGUCUUCCAGACAGAGACAUUGCUAGCCAUAGACAACGAACGUGACUUGGAAUCUCUGUCUACACCAAGCUCAGCGUCAAGGCAGAGCGAGCGGCUCCUUUCUUUGGUCAGGUCGAUUGUGACGUCCUCGCAAGGCGGAGGAGAAGGGGAGAAAAGGCCAGGCCAGGGGAAAAAGCUGAAAUGUUGGGGUGAUGGGCGGGUCUGGGCCGGGGAUAAAACCAAUGGGUUUGCUCUCGUGGGCUGCGCUGCGCCAGUUGGACCAAAUCGUCCUUUUCUAUUUGUUAUUUAUUUACAUUUUUUAUUAUUCUUUUCAUUUUGUUCUUUUUACUACCAUUCAUUGUUUUUAUGUUCUUUUUUUUUUUUUAUUACAAAAGCGCAUGCUUAAUUUUUUGACUAAAUUUCAGGCAUCGACAAUUAUGAAUAUAUUCACCUUAAUAUAUGAAGAAAAAUAUCAUUCCAUCCGAACAAACUACAAGAUGUUGUAUGCUGUAUUGCGUCAAAUAUUUAAUUACCAAAGGCCAUAUUUGUUUCUUGAUCAAUGGGAGAAGUGGGCUAAAAAUAUGGCACAAUCCAAUUGAGUAGAACAUAUAUGCGUUGAUGAAAUAUCGACCCAUUUAAAAUAACUUGAUUUAUGAACCGGAUUCAUAUUAAGCCUAGAACCUAUCUUGUCCAUUUGUGGGGUCAAAGUCCCAGAAAUCGUUGUGCAAGAUUAAACAAAAAGCAAUACAAGUUAAGAGAGAGAUUAAGAGAAACAGAGAUGGCAAAUAUUCUUUAGUGAAAGAUGAUUCUUUCAUCUUUUUUCUUUCCCUCUUUCAAGGAUUUUUUUUUACUUUACUUAGAAGGUUCCGAAUUGAAAAAAUGAUGAAAAUGUUGAGAAUUUGAAUCUUAUUUGGAAAAAUAUAUGACUGCUAACUUACUUAUUAAAUCACCCUUAAGUAAGUUGUCAUUUAUCAGGAUCUUGUCAAUGUCUAAACAAAAUAGUAAAUUAUCUCUUCUUCUGAAAUUUCACGAGCGUCUUUUUCUUUGUUUAUAUAUUAGUUAUGAUAAAGUUACCUAUAUUUCACUACUACAGUGAUUGAUCAAUUUCUUUGAAAUUUUAAAACUUUCUUUUGGUAAAAUACCAACUCAAUAAGGAAUCUACCAACCUCUCAAUAAAUCAGCGAAUUAUCAAGUUUUUUCAAGCUGCUAAUUAUUAAACUAACAAGAUAAUAUAUAAAAAUAAAAAAAGGAACAAAUAAAGAUGAGAUAACAUAGGAUAAAGACAUGGAAAAGAGUCCACGAAAAAGCAAAUAUGUAGUGGGCCCAUAGAGUCGUGUAAGGGAAGAAGGAACUCAUUUUGCAUUUCCCGUUCUUUUUUUUUUUUUUUUUGGUAAAGGGUAAUGAUAUAUUGAGCUAUAACCAGCAAAUAUACAGGAUCCGGCACCACAAAACUUGCACUCAACAAGACAGAAGCCUCUAAUCGAGUGAAAGGGCGCCAGACACAAAACACCGCAAAGCGGUCAACUCAAGCAAGGGCCGAAACAGGAAGCCCAAAACAGCGACGCAGGGUCGAAGCAACAACUAAAAACAGACAGACUAAACAAAAGGCCACGAAGGGCCAAGGAGAAACAACUCGCAAAACUAGACUAAGGCGACCUCGACGAUCGGCAUAGGAGAGUUGAAGAUAGAUGGGUCAAGGCCCCAGUUUCUUUGUAACCUCCUAUUCCUUGGGCAAUCUUCCACGCUUUUGAACGUUAAGGCUUUAUCCUUCACAACUUUAAUGAGAUGCUUCUUGAUAGCCGCAACCACAACCGGAUGAUCUCUAAAGAGGAUGUCGUUUCUAUACUUCCAAAUGAGAUGGCACAAAGCUCUAAAAGAGAAGCAACCAAUGGCGUGAUAGAAAUCCUUACCUGUAAGGAAUCUCAUUGCCCACUGAAGAUUUUCUGUCCAAGUCCCAUUUCUCCAUGGGAGAUUGCACCUGGCCGCCCAAAAGUAGGCCAUGCUAGCCGUGAUGCAGCAACUAAAGAAGAGGUGGUCAAUAGAAUCCGGCGUGAGCUUGCAAAAUGCACAUACUUCAUUCCCAAUUCUCCCAUAAGACAUAAGAAAAGCUUGGGUAGGAAGUCGGUUCUUAGUGAUCAGCCAGAGGUUGAAUUGGUAUCUCGGAGUGAUGGCCUUGUUCCAAAUAAAGGAUGACCAUACCACCUUGUCUUUCCUUUUUCUGAGUAAAUGCCAAGCUGAGGCAAUCGAGAAGACCCCGGAAGGAUCAUCUCUCCAUACAAAUCUAUCCGGAACCCUAGUGAGAAGAGGAAGGGGAUGGUUCCAAGAAUCCAUCACUAGCCUGAAUUCCCGACCCGCCGAAGAAAAAAGGUCUGCGACAACUGCAUACCACGGUAGUCCCGAAUCAGAGAUAGUCUGCUCAGAACAUAUAAGAUCCAGCGGACCUCUCUGAUGCCAAUGGUCAAACCAAAGGGAUGUCCCCUGGCCAUCUCCAAUCUUCCAGUGGAAGUUGAGGCGGAAUUCGGAUCUAAGGUGGAGGAUCCUCUUCCAAGCCCAUGAGCAGCUGCCCGGCGUCUUAGCCACCCAGAAGUUCGCCUUACGAAUAAAAGUAGAGUGAAUCCAUUUGCACCAAAGAGACUCAUUGUCCGUGAAUAGGAUCCAGAUGUGCUUGAGCAUUGCCGCCUUAUUGCACUCUCGCAAACAUCGAAUCCCAAGGCCCCCUUCUUCCCUUGGGAGACAAACAUCCUCCCAGGAAACCUUAGCUCCUCCCCUGCCAAGGCUGGGUCCCUUCCAUAAGAAUUGUCUAAGAAUCUGCUUGAUACGGUCCAGGACUCCUACAGGAAUAAUGAACACACUAGCCCAAUAGGCUUGAAUUGCAUGGAGCACUGACCUUAUGAGCUGAACUCUCCCUGCAAAUGAGAGAAAUCGAUGGGUCCAAGAUUGCACCCUAGCCAUUAUGCGAUCGACUAGACCUACACAAUCCGCCUUCCCAAGCCUCGAGGAAAUAAUCGGUGUUCCUAGAUAACGUACCGGCAAUUUUCCUUCCACAAAACCGAAUGUAUCCUUUAUAUGGCCUCUCAAUUCAUCCGAUCCCCCUGCAAGAAAUACCUCACUUUUGCUAUUGUUCGGCUUGAGUCCACUCCACUUCGAGAAGGUAUCCAGCCCAUCCUUUAGCAGCCGGAUGGAGACCAUAUCCGCAUGGCAAAAGAGGAAGACAUCAUCCGCAAAAAAAAGAUGAGAUAACCGAGUGGCCUUGCACCUCCAAGAGAACUUGAAACCCGGCUGCUCCGCACUAGAAGUAAGGAUCCCGGAGAAGACUUCCAUAACCAAGGUGAAAAGAUAAGGAGACAUUGGGUCACCCUGUCGAAGGCCGCGGCUACUAGGGAAGAAUCCAUGGAAAUCCCCAUUCAAGGAGAUAGAAAACAUCGGGGUACGAACACAUAUCAUGAUAAGGCGAAUGAAGUGGUCCGGGAACCGAAAGGCACGAAGAGCUGAUUCGAGGAAAUCCCAAUCCACUGUAUCGUAAGCUUUCUGAAAGUCUACCUUUACCGCACAUUUGGGGAGAUAUGGCUGCAGGUGAAAGCCGGCAAAUAACUCCUGGGCUAGGAGGAUAUUAUCACUAAUCCGUCGACCCUUCACGAACGCAUUCUGAAAAGGGCUAUGGCAUCCUGGAGUACUGAGGCGAUGCGGUUAGCCAAUACCUUGGUAAUGCAUUUGUAGAUCGUAUUGCAGCAAGCGAUGGGCCUAUAAUCAUUAACCGAGGUAGCAUUAGGAAUCUUAGGGAUCAACACCAGGAUGGUGGAAUUAAUUUCCCUUAAUAGUCUCCCCGUAACAAAGAAAUCUUUUACAGCUUCAACCGUCAACGGUCCAACAAUAUCCCAAUUACUCUUGAAGAAUUCGACACCAAACCCAUCCGGACCCGGUGCCUUCCCACGUGCUAGAGAAAAGAUAGUGUCCUUAAUUUCCGUCUCCGAAAAGGGACGACCAAGAGAAGCGAUUUGAUCCUCUGAGAGCGGACGACGGAUGGCUUGCUGAAGGUCUCCGAAGGCCGGUCCAAUAGGAGGAGAGCGUGAUGCAAACAACUCCUUAAAAUGAGCGACAAAUGUAUCCUGAACAAGGCUCGGCUCGGAGACAAGGUUGCCAUUCCUAUCAAGAACCGAUAUAACCCUAUUCCUUAGUUGCCUCGUAGUCACAGAGUGAUGAAAGUAUUUAGUGUUUUUAUCACCCCUCUCAAGCCAACGGCUUCUGGAUUUCUGUCUGAAGAAAGCCUCCUCCUAACUCCUCAACUCAACGAACAUCCUCCGAUGACUUUUUUCUAGCUCUGCCAAGAGGACAUUGGUCUGGUCGUGCUGAAGGGCCACUUGAGCUUGUGUAAGAGCAUUUCUGGAUUGAGCAACCCUCUCGGACAGGUUGGAGAAAGAGUCUCUAUUCAACUGCUUAAGACGCCCCUUGAGUGUUUUCAAUUUGGUAACCAACCUGAAGAUGGGUACUCCAUCACUCGGGGUCUGCCACACCUGGGUAAGAAUAUCCUGAAAAGAUGGGUGCUCCAUCCAGAAAUCAAAGAAUUUGAAGGGCUUUCUUCGAAAAACUGGCUGGAUCACCUUGACCACCAUAGGAGAGUGGUCUGAAAUACCAGAAGGUAAAAAGGAAGCUUCUGAGUAAGAGAAAUACAAGCUCCAGAGAGCGUUAACUAGAACCCGAUCAAUCUUCCUCGCUUUCCGAUUAGCCCCCGAAGACGUCGACCAAGUAAACCUAAGUCCAACAUAUCUCAAAUCCUCAAGCUCUGCCUGAUGCAGACACUGAUUAAACUCAUCAAAGCAGGGCGGCCAGGCAUUAGUACCCCCUAGCCUAUCAGACGGGUCUCUUAGGGCAUUGAAGUCACCCGCCACCAUCCACGGUAAGUCGAAAAUACAAGAACUCAUCCUGAUCAAGUCCACCCAUAGAGGUCUCCUACGAACAUAAGAAUUCUGAGCAUAGACUACCGAGAUACAACAACAAGAACCUGUCGAGAUCAGUCUAACUCUUCCAUGAAUAACCUGAUCAUUGGAGGAUAUCUCCUCAAAACAGACCAGCGAAGGGUCCCAGCUGAUCCACACCCUGCCCCCCGGAGAAGAAUCAUAGUUGGCAAUCCACGUCCACCCCGAUAAUAGACUCGACGACAGAGAGCCAAAAAGAUGUUCCGGGACUUUAGUUUCCAAUAACCCAACCAAACAAAGGCCACUAGAGAGAGCCCACUUACGGACCUCGGCUCUCCUCAAAGGAUUCACGAGACCUCUAAUAUUCCAAUAACCGAAAUACAUCUAAGCUAUGUACAAACUACUCUAAACAACGAAGAGCAAAGGGCAGCAAGGCCUACCUCAAUUUCUGAGGCCUGCGGCGCGAAACUCCGGACGGCUCAACAGUCUCCACCGGCUCCGGGACAGGGGCUAAGGACAGCAACCUGUGUUGGAUUGUUUCGACUGAUGUAUCUAUCAAGCGAGGAGGCUGACACGGCGCUUCUGGGGAGGAGAUAUCAUCAUCCUCUGAGGAAGAGGCAACCUCUUCCAAACGCUUUCCAGAGUCCUUCAAGGAUGGGGCACGGGUAGGUCGGGACCCAGCCGUGAGAGAGGAGACGACUUUAGGGGGAGCACUGGCGCCCCUAGCCCCCUUGCGAGCAGAGGCGGAAGGAGGGGGAGCUGCUACCAGCGGUCUGUCCCCAGAAGGCUGGUCAGCAGCCGAAGGGAGAGGGGAUUCACCUAUCUUGAGGUCCUUAUUCCUCUUCCUCCUGUUCUUCACCCUUCUCCAAGGUUGAUCCUGGUCGGGCAAAGUUGGAGUCGGUUGAGGGGAGUCGCUAACAUCUGUGAGGGACGCCUGCACAGAGACCGUGGAAGGUUGCAACCGAACCGGAUCUAUAUCAGACUGAGGUGGGAUGGGGGCAUCCACCGCCCGAGGCAGACUCGGAUCAACUUCUGGCCUCUGCACAUCCUGUUCCAAGACAACAGGCGAAGGAGGAGUGGCCGAUCGCGGAUUUGGAGCAUGGACGACCGGCUGAGCAGGAGCAACCGCAUUCUGCCUAGCUGGAUGACAGACAGCCUGUCCUGCAUUCUGUGUGCGCCUCGUGGGAUUUUCCGGGGGGGGGGGGGGGCAGUUGUGGCCGAAGGCGUUGCAAUCCGGACACGCAAUCGGGAGCCAUUCAUAUUCAAUAUUAAUGACCCGAGAGACACCCUUCAAGGUGAUUUUGGCCUUCUCAACUCUUGGCUGAUUGGCCGUGACCUCGACACAAACUCUUGCGAAGGAGACCAUCUUCAUUUCGUCGGUCCGUUGAUCCACAUACAACGGCUUCCCCGCCACACUAGCUAUGGCACUCAUGGCUGGCACUGUCCAAAUGUCAAACGGAAAAUUCCGUAGGCGAAUCCAAACGGGUAUGGUGGAAUGCUCUUCUCUCUUCAAAUCCAUGAGAGGCUUCCACUGCCGAAGUAUUAACGGCACCCUUGCAAUCGUGAUCGGCCCAUCUUCAAGGAUCUUUCUUCUAAAUCCGGGGUCCGGGAUUUGGAGAAAGAGGAAUCCUUGAUCGUCGGCAAAGAUUUCACCAAUCUUGGAGCCCCACGUUUUCCUCAGCACUUGCUCCACCAAUCCGAAUGGUAGCCUCCUUUUCGCAACCAAUUGGCCAACCAAGCAGUCAUGUCAUUUCGGGUCCAUAGCAUCAAGUGCUUCAUCCAGGAGAUUCACAACAGCCUCUCCCUCCACAAAGGUGGGUGGAACAUAAGACAAUUCGGAACCUUUCACAGCCAAUCUAGCCACAUUUGCCCAAGAACGUGCCGGGGCUUCAUGGUGACCAGCAGGUGCUUUCCCUGGGUGCUUGGAAGUUGAGCGAAAUCGGCUUCGUCCUCUCGACCGACGAGCGCGAAGGUCAGACUCCUUCGAAGCUUGCUGCCUAUUCUUCAUUUCCGGACUAAAGUCAGCAACACCCCUGGGUCCAGAAGAGACCAAGCUCGCACGGCAGAAGCACUAGAAAACCAGAGCAGCUCGAAUCUGCAGCUUGCUGGGAGACAACAGCAGGAGAAGCCAAGCUAGGAAGCUGUAGGAGAAUCCCCCGGCAGAACCGAAUCCCUAGCCGUUUCCCUUCAACCCGCAGAUGAGGAGCGAACAGCAGCUCCCACGUACAGUCACGCGCAGCAACUUAUCCGGAUGGAAUUCCUCAACCAGCUCAACCCAACCAGGGACAUUCGGAGGGUGCGAAGGGCUAAGUCUGGCUAGACUCUCUUCCGAGACUCAACCAAAAACAGCCAUGGAAUCUCACCAAACGAACAGCAGAACAGUCGGACAACCAGAGGAGAAAACUGCAGAAAUUCGUACCCUAGGCCAGACGAUUUCUCUGCAUGCAGGCCUUCUAUUGCGAAACCGUUCGGUGGAAACGUAGAGGGGACUGAGCUGAAUCUUCCUUCCGAAAAUCAGCCGAAACCACCCAUCGUAACUCCUCAAACGAACAACAGAUCAGCCAGAAACCAGAGAGAAAAACUGGGCAGUAAUUCGUAACCUAUGCCAGACGAUUUCUUUGCACACAGGCCAUCUUAUGCGAAACCGUUCGGUGGGAAUGUAGAGGGGCCUGAGCUGAAGCUUCCUUCCGAAAAUCAGCCGAAGACACCCAUCGUAGCUCCUUCAACGAACAAAAACAGCCGAGAAACCAGAGGAGAAAACUGGGCAGAAAUUCGUAACCUGGGGCAGACGAUUUUUCUGCAUCUAGGCCAUCUUUCGCGAAACCGUUCGGUGGGAAUGUAGAGGGGCCUGAGCUGAAGCUUCCUUCCGAAAAUCAGCCGAAGACACCCAUCGUAGCUCCUUCCACGAACACAAGAACAGCCGAAAAACCAGAGGAGAAAACUGGGCAGAAAUUCGUAACCUAGGGCAGACGAUUUCUCUGCAUCUAGGCCAUCUUUCGCGAAACCGUUUGGUGGAAACGUAGAGGGGACUGAGCUGAAGUUUCCCUCCGAAAAUCAGCGCAUUCCGACACCCAUAGCCACGGGAAUCAGCAACACACCAGACGGAUGAACAGUGACUCGGGAAUCCGAGUUGAGAGCAUAGUUUUGGAGAACUUUUUGCAUUUCCCGUUCUUUUUUCCCACUUUAACGAGGAAUAUAUUUUGUGGGCCCCAUAGGAACAGUUUUGUCUACCACUCUUUCCACUCCCCGCGCUCUUGUUCUAGCCCUACAAGACAAGCAUUAUUUCCUUGUUUCUUUGUUUACUCCCCUUUUAACCCAAGUCCUAAAACCCGCUUUACUCUAGGAAAUUAUCCGAUUCGAUUCUAUAAGGGUCAUGUCAUCAAACAAAGGGGGACAAUUGCCUGUUGAAUAGAAUCGAAUAUGUGUUGAUAAAAUAUUGACCAUUUUAAAAUGACUUGAUUUAUGACCCGAAUUCAUAUUAAAUUUAGAUUCGAUCUGAUCUAUUUGGUGAGUUGAAAUUUAAGAUAUCACGAUGGAAGAUUAGACUUAGAACAAUACAAGGAGGGAGGGGGGGAGGGGGAGAGAUAUGGGAGGUGAAAGAUGAUUCUUUCGUAUUUUUCUUUUUCCAAUUUGAGGAUUCUUUUUCACUUUUUCAAAGUUUUCCAAGGUGAAGAAAUGAUGAGAUGCUUGAGAAUUACAAUCUCGUUUGUAAAUGGAUCGAGAAAACUAUCCAAAAAGUUCUAAACUUAUUAUAUUUUAUCAAUUCAAUUCUUAAUUUUUUUAAUUUUACUAACAAAUUCAUUAACAUUUUGACAAUUUGCUAAUUGAGUCUAUCCAAGCGACCGGAAAUCGUUAACAUGAACACUAGGCAUCUUGCUUCACACGUAGUCAUUAGAGUGGACAUUUUUAAUAACAUUUUUGAAUAUUUUAUUCCCAUUUCUUUACUUUCUUUUUUAUUUUUGGAGUGAUGGCCGACCAAAGCAAGGGUGUGUGAGCCCUUGCCUAUGCAAGGGCUGCCAAACCUUCGCCUAGCCUAGAUCUAACGAAAGUGUCAUGGCAUUCAUUAGAUCUAGGUAAGAGCUCGUGAGCUCUCGUUUAGUGUCGGGGACCUAGCCUAGGCUUUCAACAGCCAUGGUGAGGGCCCAUAUGGCCAUUGAGGAUUGCAAUGCCCUCACCCAAAACUAGUGAGGAUCGCCAGCCAUCACUCCAAAAACCAAAAAAAUAAAUAAAUAAAGAAUAAAAAAAAAAAAGCUAUUUGUCAUCGUUGAUAGCAAUGUGUGUUAACUUGACUAUAGAUGCUACGAUAAGAACAGAGAAAUAGAGAUGAGCUGUUAAUGGUAUGCGUAAAGAAACAAGGUGGAUGAACGCGAUGACUUCUUCAUCCUUUGCAAUGGCGCUGAGAUAUUUUAUAUAGGAGCGAGAGGUUGUUUUGAUUUCUUUCGUUGAUCAAUAUCUUGUAAUUGUUUAUCUUACAUUACCUGUUUUUCAAUAUAGAACUUGAAUAUCACGGCUACAGAUGGAAAAUAAACCUUUUUAACUAGAAUUUUUUACUAGGUUCACAGUUGGUAGAAAAAUCUUCUGUUGCAGCAUUACAACAAUUAUGCGUAUAUGAUGUCUAUUUGAUUAUAUCGGGUGAUGUAAAUUUAUGGAUUAUAUGUAAGUAUUUUUUCCCGUCAAUUAAAACUAUUUCUGUUUUGGAUAAUUGACCGAAUUAAAUGGUUGUGCACACAUUAACGUGAUGCUUUCUAGCUUUUUCCAGCAAUUCCUUUUGAAUUUCUAUUUUACUGGGAGUACAGGGAGAUACAUGUACGUUUUUUCUUUUAUGUAGUUGGAUUGACGAUAUCUUUACUCUUAUUUUCCGAUGACUGAGUUUUGACUUCUUUCGAUGCAAUUGACUAUAUGCUUGGAGAUGUAGGGGCUAAAUAAUUUCAUAAACAUUUUGUCUUUUUUAAUUUCAUAAACUUUUCAUAUGUCAUUAUCUUAAAUUCGCAUCUAAGUAAAAGAAAGAACGAUAUUCAAAGUCCUUAGUAAUUGUCAUUCAAAUGAUGAGGUAUGAUCAAUUAAAAUCUAACAAUAAAAAUUUUGGAUCACUGGCUUGGAAGAACUUGUGAUUGAGGGUUGUAGCAUAAUUAGCUUAAAUAUUAAAAUUAUAGGAAAACUGAGCGCAACUCUCGUGGACCUUAUCUUCAUUACGUUUCAUCAAAUAAAUUGGGUGUAAUCAGCUGUGCAAUUGAUGUAGCCUCGUACCCCCGUCGGCAGCUUGAGGUUGACAUAACACAAAGCUUUAAUAAUUCCCAAGGGACGGACGACGGUGAAAAAGCAACUUAACUCCACCCUGGUUAACUUUUAGCCUCACUUUGCGCUGUCUCCUCCACCACCUCCUCCUGGUCUGUGUUUUAGAGAGAGAGAGAGAGAGAGUGUGUCGUUGGUACGUGUUAUCAACGUGUGGCUUUGUGAAUUGUUACAUCGCUUUGCCUUGAACGAAUCGGAAAGAGGGUCAUUCCACGGAGGUUAAUAGCGAAGGGAGGUCAGCAAGAGAGAGAGAGAGAGAGAGAGGUGGUCCCAUAUAAUCCAUGAAAUAGGAUGACAUUAUCGAGUGCAAGCAGCACCGAUAUGGAGUUCAUGAUCCCCUCAAACAUACAUAUAAUUACAUAAAAAAUACUUCAUAUUAACUAGAUCCAUGGUGUGAUCAAUCAAUGAGAUUGGAUUCUUUAGAACUAUUAAAUCGAGGUUUCAAGAAGUAAAUGAUGAUUAUAACAAAGGCAUCUUCCAUGAACUUUCAAUUUCUCUCAAUCAGAUGGAGGCAUUUGCUCUUUUGGAGAUUCCGUAGAUGUUGUGUAAAGAUGAUCAUAUGAAGCAUUACACUAUCCAUGUAAGCGCGGCCACCGUGCAUGCAUUAACAAAAGUAUGAAAUGGAGCUCAGGUUCGCAGAGUCCAUGUAAAAGAAAUACAGGUAAGUUCACUGUUACCAAGCUUUUGAUGAAAGAGAGCAUCAUAUUGAUAAAAGAUCAAAAAAACCUCAAUACAAGUAGCCAGAUUUUCUAAAUGUGAGAGGGAAGUUCGAAGUUUUAUAUAUGAUAUGUGUCGGCUGGCCUUUAUUUAGUUUGCGAAAAUGGUGGUCUUUUCAGUUCAUGCUUUUAUCUAAGAACGAUUAGAGAUUCUUCUAUAAAAUUUCAUAUGAUAUUUUAUCCAACAAUUUAUACUUUUAGAAUAGUUCAUAUUAUAUUUUAUCUGACAGCUUAAACUUUUAAAACACUUAACAUAACGCACUAAAACUUUGAUAAUUCCCAAAUGACCACUAAUGGUCAAAAGGCAACUUUACUCCACCUUGUUAACGUUUUAUGUAUUAUAUUUUCUCUGACGAGAGAGAGAGAGAGAGAGAGAGAGAGAGAGAGAGAGAGAGAGAGAGAGAGAGAGAGAGAGAGAGAGAGAGAGAGAGAGAGAGAGAGAGAGAGAGUGUGUGUGUGUGUGUGUGUGUGUGUUAUGUAGGGAGAGACACAGAAGCAUUUGGAAGUCUGUAGUGAGAAGUUUCAGCUUUGUGAACUGUUUCGUUGCUUUUGCUUAGAAUGAAUCGGAAAGAGGAUCAUUCCGUGGAGGUUAAUAGCAAAGAGGUCAUAGAGAGAGAGAGAGAGUCCCAUAUAAUCCAUGAAAUAGGCUGAUAUUGAGUUAAUGAUCCCCUUUAACAUACAUAUAAUUACAUACAAAUACACUUCGCAUUUAUUGGAUCUAUGGUGUAAUCAAUCAAUGAAAUAUUACCUAGAAUUAUUAAAGUGAGGUUUAGAGAAAUAAAUGAUGAUUAUAAUAAAGGCAUCUUCCAUGAACCUUCAGUUUCUCUCAACAAAGUUUUGUAUGUUGCUCUAAACCUAUGCAUAUUCACAAGAUUAAUAAAUAGGUGUCUUUUAGUUACCAAUGGAGUAUCUAUGACCUCUUUAGUUGCAUUUGGCAAUCAAGAUCAGAUUCAAGAUAUGAUAAAAUAUAUCAUAUCUUGUGUUUAAUGCAUGCUUAAGACAGGAUAAAGUCAAAUAUAAAUAGAUAUAAAUCAAAUUAAAUUAUCUCAUGGGGGGAGGUAAGAUAAAUGUGGAUAAGAUUUCUAAUAUCCAUAAUAGAAAAGUUAUUUUUAUGAAUAACAAACUUCUUAAAUUAAGAAAUUAAAAUUAUAUUUAAUAUAGUUAAUAUUUGAAUUCUAAUAUGAGAAGUUCAAAAUAACAAAAAAAAUAAUAAUUUAGUUAUUUUAUUUUUAUCUUAUUUUUAUCUAUAUAUUCGAAUUUAAUUAUAUUUUAUAAUAUAAAUUCAAUAUAUAAAUAUAGAUAUACAUUUAUAUUUAUUACAUAUUUUAGGUAUAUUUGUACAGUUUACUAUUUAAUAAAAAUUUAUUAUAAAAUGAUGGAAGGGUAAGAAAGAAAUAAAAAAGAAAUUAAUUAAAAAAGAGAGGAAAAUAAAAUAAAAAAAAAGUAAAAAAGAGUGUCCCGAAAGAUUUUUAACAUAUUCAUUUGUAAAAUUUUUAGUUCAUUUUUACUAAUAUGCCAUUUUUACUAAACAAUGUAUAUGAUAUAAUAUGAAUAUAUUUGACUUUUAUCACUACAAAUAUCAAACAAUGGAUAAGAUAUAUCAAAAACCCUGGAUUUCAUAUCCUAUCCUAGUUAAAAAUUCGAACAAUCAAAUAUAAUCUUUAAGCAUUCGAUUGAUUUUCAUCAGGUGUGACAGUCACUGCAUUUCACACCUACCAAAUAAUUACUAGAGACACGGUUUUUAUAUUACAUUCUUUUGAAAAACUAUUAGUUGCCACACUUGAUUUUUUUAUCUCAAUUUCUAUAUGAAGUUGGUUUUGGCAGCUUAACGUUCUAAACUUGGGAGCUAAGUGCCUUGUCCUUUUUUGUUACUCCUGGGAAGGUUUUGUGAAUAUUUUUUCUAUACUAGAAACAAUUACUUAUCUAAUUUCUAACCUUAAUCUUGCAUUACAUAUGUCCUUUUUUUCAUGUGAAAAAAUAAGAUAUAAUUCGUGCAUACCUAUAGGGACCAAAAAUCUACGGAUAAGUACAUUGGAAACCCUAAGACUUAUCAUAAAAGUGCAAUUGAGUUCUAAAAUUUAUCAAAAGUGCAAUCAAGCUCUAAAAAUUGUCAAAUUGAUACAAUCAAAUCAUUCCAAUAACUCCAUCCAAUUAGACUAAGGUGACUUUUUUAAUAUUUUCCCUUCUACGUGGCAUUAUCUUAUUAAAACAUGAAAGACAGGACUAAAAUGAAGUUGUUUUGAUAUAAAUCCUACUUUUUUAAUUGAAAAAUCAAUUAAAUGAGAUCAAGAAAUAAAAGAGGUACUUGGCAGACUUAUUACAUACAAGAUGCUUUUAUAAGGAAAAUAAUACAAACUUUCAAUGAGAAAAGCAUUUUGGUCAAGACUAGUGGUGAAGUGAUUGGAAUUGGAGUGUAUUAUCUGAAUCGAAAUCUGGCCUUCGGCUGCUGUUGAUUUGCUGGAGUCAAGCACGGCUCUCGUAAUUUUGAGCUGGCGGGGCCUGAAGUCAACUUCAAUACAAAAGAAGUUGGGGAGUGAGCCCUUUUGUUUUCAAUCAAACGUAAUCAGAUGAAGGCAUUUGCUCUUUGGGAGAUUUCAUAGAUGUUGUGUAAAGAUAAUCAAACGAAGCCUUGCACUAUACAUGUAAGCUCGGGCACCUUGCAUGCAUCGACAAAAGCACAAAAUGGAGCGAAGGUUCGCAGAGUCCCUACAAAAAAAUAAAAAAAUACUGGUGAGUUAAGAGUUACCGAGCUUCUGACCAAAAAUAACAUCAUAUUGAUAAAUGAUCAAGGGAUCCUCAAUACACGUAUCGGGAUUUUCUCAAAUGUGAGGGAAGUUGGAAGUUUUAUAUACGAUGAUGGCAUGAUGGCAAACGGCCUUUGUUUUAUUUUGCGAAAAUGGUGGUCUCUUCAAUCUACAUCUUCAUCUAAUAAUUUAAAACUUUUAGAAUAGUCAGUAUCAAAUUUCACAUGGUAUUUCAUCCAACAGUUCAAGCUUUUACAAAAUUACACAUAUUAUUUUAUCUCAGAGUUUGGGCUUUUAGAACAAUUGACAGUGGUUCUAUAAAUUCUCAUAUGGUAUCAAAGCUAGGAGGUCUUGAGUUCAAAUCUUCCGUGCUCCUAAUUACCUCUCCUUAAUUGAUCUUUUUUGGAAGUCAUGACAUUAGAAAGUCUUAAUUGGAUCUCUGGUAUGACCAGAAAGCAUCAAUUGCACAUGUACCCUAUGGUUAAUAUGUAUGCAGCUCAGUGGAAGAUAUUCAGCUAUUGCCAUAUCUAUGUGCUCUUGAGAUUAUUAUUUCAUAACAUGCUUGUCCUUUAAUCAAAAUUAGUGAUGGACGGUAAAAAACAUAGUACUAAAGCCCAUGGUGAUUAAUGAUGAGUCCAUCAAAAGAUGACCUUCAGAAAUUAAUGUUUACUUUACCUCCACAUCUGACAAAUGGAACAUAGUUCAGCUAUCGUGAUGAAGAAGAGAUCCCAUAGGAUGCCAAGGAAUAACCGAUGAUAAAGCCUUUUUCUAAAUUCUAAUAGAAUACUAAUCGAGGGGCUCCAUUUGAUUCCUCACAUGAAGUACUUUCUUUCAAAAAGUUUUAGGGGUCACGUGAUAUCCAUUAUAGCUUUGUAACAAAUACAGUAGCUACUCUGAUGACAAAAUACUGUGAUAAGUAAUAUGUUCGUGGUAGUCGUGCUAUAUAUUAAGUAAUCUUUAGGUGUCAUUGUGUACGGCAGAUUUAUGCAUGUAAAACUCAAAUGGCUCUUCAUUAACUCGACCGGUUUGGAUUUAUGACUGAUACUGCUCCACCAUGGAAUGAUGAAUUGGGAAAUUUUGAUCUCAAGAAAAGGAUAAUCUCUAGGGAAAUGCUCAUCUCGUUUCAUCGGAGUCCAGCUAUCCCGAAAUAGAACGAAAUUGUGGACUGCCUGGGGAUAGAACGAAAUUGUGGACUGCCUGAAUCAAAACAGAUGCACAUCUACAAAAGGGUCUCAAGACUCUCAACCACCAGAGGUCACGUCAAUUUCAAUACUUGAAAAUCUUUCUACGGUGUAAGACGGUGUCUGAAAUUGCUCACCUCAAGCUAUGGUGAUGGGAGGGUAUCCUCGGGAAAAUAAAAAUUUAUGUUAGUGGACAUGGGCCCAGGGGUGGGUUUAUGUGUAACUUGGUAGCGCUCUCUCUAUUAAAGCCAGAUGCUCCUCUUUCUGAGCGUUGCAACUCUCAAUGAUCUCUUCCUCCCUCUAGAUUUCCAUCUCCAUUUACGCCUAUUGCUGGAAGCUGUCUCUUUUCUCCUAAUUUUUCGUGGUUGUGGAUUCAUCCUGCUGAAUCUUUCCAGUUCAGUCAUUUCGUUUCGUUUCCGGGUUCCAUCAGUUCAUAUAUCGAGAUGGCGGAUAUCGUUCUGUCUGUAGCUUCCAAAGUGGCAGGGUACCUGGUGGCUCCGGUCGGUCGUCAAUGCGGCUACGUGAUAUUCGCCAGCAGCUAUGUUGACCAACUUGAGGAAGAACUUGACAAGCUGAAAGACGCGAGUCAAAGGGUGCAGGAUGAGGUCGAUGUAUUUGAAAACAACAUGAAGCCGAUUCAAUCCGACGUCAAGAAAUGGGUGGAAAAAGCGAAGACCGUCAUCAACAAGGCUACCGUGCUGAAAAACGAUGGAAGAGCCGAAAAAACUUGCUUCUGCGGCAGGCUUCCCAACCUGAAGGCGCGUUAUUGUUUUAGCAAAGAGGCGAGGAGGACGGCCAAGGAGAUCCAGGCACUGAUCCUACAGUGUCAUUUUGCCAAGGUUGCGUACGAGAAUCCUCCACCGGGGCUUGUUGGCGGUGCGCACGAGGUGAAUUCGUCGGCCGGUGAUGGGAGUGACACUGUCUCUGAUUCGCGAACUUCCAUCUUUCAGGGCAUAAUGAAAGCUCUGGAUGAUGAGAAGCACAAAGUGAUUGGGGUCUGCGGGCCUGGCGGCGUGGGAAAGACUACGCUGUUGGAGGAAAUCGAGAAGAAACUCAAGAAAGAGGGGAGACCGUUCCAAAUGAUUGUCAAAGCGACAGUCUCGCGGACUCCAGACUUGACGAAAAUCAUAUACGACAUCGCUUAUGGCUUGAGUCUAAAUCUGAAGGACGUGCCGAGCGAAGACGGAAGAAAAGAUCUUCUGUCCAAGAGACUAAAGGACUUGAAUGAGAAGGUUCUCAUAAUAUUGGAUGACCUGUGGGGAGCACUUGAUUUGAAGGCGGUUGGAAUUCCUUCGGGAGACGAGAGCGUGAAAUGCAAAUUGUUGCUCACUUCGAGAGAUAAAAGUGUGCUAGAGCAAAGGAUGCGUGCCGAUAGAACAUUUCAUCUUAAAGGUUUAAGCGACGAAGAAGCUUUCAGCCUAUUUGAAAGGAUGGUCGGCGACAAGCUCAAAGACGAUGAGGAACUGAAAGCAAAGGCGGCUCAAGUGGUAAGGAAGCUUGCAGGUUUGCCCCUUUUGAUUACCUCCGUUGCAAGCACCUUAAAAUGUAGCAAUGUGUCCACGUGGGAAAGCAUGUUAAUAAAAGUAGAAGACCCAAAUAACGAGAGAAUAGUGAAGUGGAGUUACGACCAUUUGCAGUAUGAGGACGCCAAGUGCUUAUUCUUGCUUUGUGGUCUUAUUGGUGGGACCAUUGAAGUCGAACUUUUGCUGGGGCUAGGCAUGGGUUUGGGCUUGUUUGAGGGAUAUAACGAAAGAGUACAAUAUUCAAGGAAUAGGUUGAAUGAGAUGCUCGAUAGCCUCCAUUCCUUUUGUUUGUUACAAGAUGGUGGCGAUGGCAAGAAAAAUGUGACCAUACAUGAUCUUUACAGCGAGGUGGUUGUUUCACGUGCAUUUGGAGGUCAGAAUUCUUUAAUGAUGAACAGCAAUUAUGGCCCAUGGUCAAAGGAAAAGCUUGAGAAAUGUUGGGCUAUACGCCUAGCUUGUGUUGACAAAGAUAGGCUUGAUAAACUAAUGACGUGUCAGUUUCCUGACUUGAAGAUACUCAUGUUGUCUCAACCAAAAGGCUGGAGUUGGAUGCAAGUACACGAACAUGAAGUGGGAGAUUGCUCUGGACUACCAGAUUUCACAUACAUGAAGGAGCUCCGUGUCCUAUAUUUUCGCUCUAUGCUUAUCGACAGUUUACCUCCCUCGAUUGGAAUCCUCGAGAACCUCCACUCUUUAUACUUACAGCAUUGCAAUGUGGAGGAUGUGGCAAUUUUUGGCAAGCUCAAAGCAUUGCAGAUUCUCAGCUUUAUGUGGUCCACAAUUUCUAGGCUACCUAAAGAAAUGGGGGAACUUACAAAUUUGAGAUCGUUGAAUCUAAGCAACUGCAAAAAGCUUCAAAGAGUCGAGCCUGUUGUCCUAGAACGCUUAAUCAAAUUAGAAGAGUUACAUAUGAAGGGAAGCUUUAAUCGAUGGAUGGGCAAAAAUGAAAAACCAUCGGAAUUGUGUAAUGCUGGGCUUGCCGAGUUGGGGAGCAUGACAAAGCUAAAUUCUUUGGAAAUAUCGAUUCGUGAUCCCAUCAUACUCUUGGAGGUUGAUGACCUGCCAUUUGAGAACUUGACUAGAUUUUGGAUCAACAUUGGAAAUGCUGAAGGAAGGGAAUUUAAAGGUUUGAGAACCAUGAAGAUCAAAUUGGAAGGGCAUGAUGGUAUUCUUUCAAAAAAAUGGGUCCUGAAAACUCUCCAAAAGACUCAAUACUUGCUUUUGGACGGAUUGGGAGAGUUCGAGAAUGCUCACAAGUUGUGCAUUCGAGGAUUUUCACAACUGAAGCAUCUCGACAUUCAGGAUAGCCCAUCAAUAAAGUAUAUUGCCAGUUCAUCCAAUAGUGCUUUUACGAUUUUGGAGUCUUUGUUCGUCAACAAUCUUAUCAAUCUGGAGAAGAUAUACCACGGCCACAUCGCCGCAGAGUGCUUUAGCAAACUAAAAGCUUUGAGAGUCAAAGUGUGCAACCAAUUGAAAUACUUGUGGUGUCUUUCACAAAUGCAAAAUCUUGUACAGUUAGAAGAGAUUAAAGUAUGGAAAUGUGACUCAAUGCAAGCCAUUGCAAGAAAAUAUAUAGUCCCUGCCGAUUACAAAGUUGAGUUGCCUUACCUUCGUCGUUUGGAUUUGGCUAAGCUACCAAAUAUGAUGAGUUUUUGCACAAGAGCUGAGAUGACUUCGGAAGGUGCUCCAAUUCAGGUAACUUUUUCAUUUUCUCCCGUGUCAGUUUGUCUUAUUGAGAGGGUAUAAGUUUCAUUCACAUACUACACAUUUUCAUUCACAUUCAACUAUAGGUAGAGGGAAGCCUCUUUCUAUGACUGUUUUUUUUUUUUUCUAUUUUUUUCUAUUUUAGAUAAUUGCACUAAUUAAUUGGGUUCAAGGGUUUCUACUAUGACUAAUUUAUUACUCAUGUCACAUUUUUAAUGAGUAGAAGAAACAGUGUAUUGAACGAACGAACCUUCGAUGAAUGAACGAAAUUGAAUAUUUUCAAAAUGAAUAAAGCAACCUCCGGAGAUUAAAUAAACCGAAGGCGAACGAAGAGUCACAUAACAAAGAAAGUCCACGUGGUUCAUGUCCCAACUUCAUGCAAGUUGGAACUGAUUCCCACAUAUCAUGCCAUCAUAACCGUGUCAACGUCAACUACUUUGGGGAUUUUUCCUUCUUCAUUUUCUCAGGCUUGAUGGAAGAUCUUAAGCUUUCCCUCUCCAUCCAAUUGAGUUUUAAAUAUUUUAUACCGAUCGAUUAAGUUUGCGACAUUUUUAAAAGCAAUAAUAAGCCCAUUCAUACACUUUGGGUCCAUUCAUAUUCUUUUAGGCAGGGGUUGUGGAUGGAGGAGGAGGAGGAGAUGAAGGGACAGAGCUAGUCACCACUACUUCAGAUUUACAAAAUACCUAUUCAGAUUCCUUCUUCGAUAGAAAGGUAAAUAGCCCUUCUCUUGAGAUUUUACCCACAAUAACCAUAGAUACUCAGUUUGCUACGGCAGGUAACAAUAUCUUUUUGAAGAAUCUUAUUUGGUUUUAUUUGUUAAAAUGUGUUAACAAUUUAUAAGUACAUUUAUCAGUGAAUAUUAAUUCUUCCACCACAUUAGAUUGGUGAUUAGGAUUUGCCUAAAUUGUCAAAUUUUUCACAAUUGUAAUCCAACGCAUGACUCUUAUGAGCAGGUUAGUUUACCGAACUUGGAAGACUUAGAGCUUGACUCAGUGGGAUCCUUCAAAAGGAUAUGGCACGAUGAACUUUCCAGAAGUUUCUUUUGCAAAUUAGCCACCAUGAGUGUCAAGAAUUGCUCCGACCUACUCCACAUCUUUCCUUCGACGAUCAUAAGGGAAUUGCACCACCUGAAAAGUGUUGAGGUUAAAAACUGUCCAUCCUUGAAAUCAUUGUUUGAUUGUAGAUCCCUGGAUUCAAAUACGGAACAAGCUAUGGUGUUGCUCCCCGAAUUGUUUAGCAUCAACGUUGAAAGCUGUCCCUCCCUAGAAUCGUUGUUUAAUUGUGGGUUGCUUGAUUCAAAUGCGGAACAGAAAAUUAAAUUGCUCCCCAAAUUGGAAGAACUGAGAGUGAGUGGAGCAAAAAAGUUGAGAAAUGUGGUCAUGAGCCACUCCCAAAUAGUUUUGGGUUUUCCUAGUCUUGAAAUUGUUAGUGUUGAGAAUUGCUCUGACCUGAGAUAUCUCUUUUCUAAUUAUAUGGCCACAAAUUUGGUGAAACUUGAGAGGCUAGAAAUUAUUAAAUGCGAACGGAUGAAGGAAGUGAUUCUCAAGAAAGAAGUUGGUCAAUCAAAGGCAGAAGUGAUGAGUUUCCCUUGCUUAAAAUAUCUAAGAAUUGUGGGGUGCCGUAACUUUGGAGCGUUCAUAUCGAGUCCCACAAGUGUCAAGAGGCAGCUAGGUGAGACGGCCGAAGAAAAUGAUGAAUCGCCACAACCGCUGUUCAAUGAGAUGGUCCGUUCUAUUAUUUAUUGUGAUCAUUUGGAUCCUCACAUUAUCAUGUUUUAUAAUGAAGAACAUAAUAAAUUUGUCUUACUUAUCCUCCUUUCUCACAUUAUCCUCGUGCAGGUCACAUUUCCCAAUAUAAGAAGUCUAGAUAUUGAAGGCAUUCCAUGCAAAGAGCUAUGGAACAACCAUGUUCUCAUCGAUUCUGUUGUUUGUUCUCAUCGAUUCCUUUUGGAAAGUGUCGAGGUUAAAAAUUGUCCAGCCUUGAAAUCAUUGUUUGAUUGUGGGCCCUUGGAUUCAAAUACGGAACAAACAACAGUAUUGCUUCCCGAAUUGGCAAGCAUCAACGUUGAAAGCUGUCCCUCCCUGGAAUCGUUGUUUAAUUGUGGGUCCCCUGAUCCAAAUGCAGAACACAAAAUUAUAUUGCUCCCCAAAUUGGAAAAAGUGAGAGUGAGUGAAGCAAAAAAGUUGAGACAUGUGGUCAUGAGUCACUCCCAAAUAGUUUUGGGUUUUCCUAGUCUUGAGACUGUCAGUGUUGAGAAUUGUUCUGAUCUGAUAUAUCUCUUCCCUAAUUAUACGGCCACAACUUUGGUGAAACUUGAGAGGCUAGAAAUUAGUAAAUGCGAACAUAUGAAGGAAGUGAUUCUGGAGAAAGAAGUUGGUCGAUCAGAGGUAGAAGUGAUGAGUUUCCCUUGCUUAAGUGAAUUAAUACUUAAGGAGCUUGAUAACCUGAUUAGUUUCGGUUCGGGAAGUUGUUCAUAUUAUUUUUCCUCCUUAAGAAAUCUAAGAAUUUUGGGUUGCUGUAACUUUGGAGCAUUCAUCCCAAGUCCCACAAGUGUCAAGAGGCAGCUAGGCAAGACGACCGAAGAAUUUGAUGAAUCGCUACAACCGUUUUUCAAUGAGAUGGUUCGUUCUAUCAUUUACUGUGAUCAUUUGUAUUCUCGCACUAUCAUGUUUUAUAAUGAAGAAUGUAUUGAAUUUGUUCUACUUAUCUUCCUUUCUCACGUUAUCCACAUGCAGGUUACAUUUCCUAAUAUAACAAGUCUGGAAAUUGAUGGCCUUCAAUGCAAAGAGCUAUGGAACAAUCAAAUUCCCACUGAUUCCUUUCAGAAGUUGAAAUUUCUCAAAUUGAAUAACUGUGACAAUCUUCAACGUAUUGCCUCUUCUUAUAUGUGGAAGAAGCUGCAGCGUUGUCUCAAGGAACUUGAAGUGGUUUCAUGCCGUUUGAUCGAGAUCAUAUACGAUGGUGAUGGGACAGAUACUGAGAGUGGUGAAUUGAGGAGGCUGGUUUUGCAUGAUCUCGAAAACUUGAGAUGCGUUUGGCAGUUAGACAGUCUCCCAACCAUCCCGUUCCCAAAUUUGAGAGAUGUAAAGGCCGUGAGGUGCCACCGUUUGGAAAUGCUUUUCCCUAUCUUCACAGCGAAAUUUCUCGGGCAAAUCGAAGAGCUGAUGGUGGAGUCAUGUGAAGAUAUGGAAAUAAUUAUUGGUCAUGAAAAAUGGGAAGAAGCAAUCGGCACCACAAUCACCUUCUCCGAAUUAAUUGUUCUUAGACUUCUUAAGUUGCCGAAAUUCAGGGGCUUCUUACCUGAGAAAUACUCUCUAAAAUUCUCGUGCUCCGAGGACUUCCCAUCCUUGCGAGUCUUGAGUAUAGAAAGCUGUGGAGCAGAGCCGGACCAAGUCCUUGGUGACUGGCUGGACCAAAUGCAACGAGAAUUGUGCAUGCUCGAAAGAAUUGAGGUAUUCCUUCAAUAUUUCAUUUCUCAGUGAACCCACACGUACUCUACAUCAUGUAGCCCUCUCUCUUCCUUUCUCUCUCUAGCUCUCUUCCUUACUCUCUUCAACUAACGAUUUGUCGAUUCCCUUUUAUACUCAGGAAUAGUGCCCUCUGGAGUCCCCUUGAUCUUCAUUCCUUGUUCAUUCUCCCUUUCCGUCGCCUUCCAUCGACCAACAGCCGCCAUCAAGAGUCCAUCGCUGGCCACCACACGACGUGGCACGCUGAGAAGGGACGAAUGACAAAGAGCAUUGCUCGAAGGCUCUUGGUGAUUUCAAUUGAAUCCUUUCCUCUCACUUUGCUGCUGGUCGUCACCGCUUCCCGAUCACCACCUGUUUCGCUGCCGCGAGGAAGUUCUGUAAUGCCGGAGUGCUCAAACUUUGAUCAUGACUGCCUGCUUCCACGACUCCAUCCCUUGAUGUUGCUUCUGUUAUCUCCUGGCUCAUGUCCGAUGUCAAUCGCCAUAACUAAUCGUUCUUCAUUCAACUAAACCAUGCAUGCUCUGUUUUCCAUUGCUAUUGCUACUAUCUGCGUGCAAAUUGACUGUGUGAUAGAGGCUAUAUUAAUGAUUUGAACUAGUGCUCCUCCGCUGAAAUGUGUACCAUCUGUUUGAUGAAAUUGUUUUGAACUAAAUUUGUGUGUAUUUUGAUUUAGUUCUUGACUAGAUUCUUGAUCUAUUCUGGUCAUACAAGCGUAUUUGAGUUUUGUUGCUUCAUAAGAAAAACCAUAGGUAUUCAAUUUCAAAUUUGUUUUGAAUUUGUUGGAAACUUGCCAGUGCAUGUUGAUUUGUGGCUAUUGUGGCCCUGAACUGAUGUGAUUCUGCUCAAGUAAGCAUGUGCAGUAAUAUAAGAUUGUGUUAUGGUGACUUUCAUGUUCGCUUGGGAAAGAAAUUAUGGCAUGAAUGAAUGAAAUUCUAUUGGAAAUCGAUCCGUAGAUGCAGACUCUGUCUUGAUAUGCCUGAUUUGGCGGGUUAUUGAUUCCAUCUUGAGACUAGUUUGGUCAUGGGAUCGUAUAUUUUCAUGCUAGGAAAGUAAUAUGGUGAAUCUCAUGCCAAUUUUGUGAGAAUUAUAGUCAUAUGGCUUGUAGGAAGAUAUGGCUUCAAUUUCAUGUCUAUUAGUCAUCAAAUGAUCACGAUUUGUAGUCAUGUAUGCUCUGUUACAAUUCUGAACGUGUGCUAGAAAUUUUUGGAAUGAGCAUGAAUCACAUGGAUUUUGUCUUUGGUUUGGUUGCCUUUUUGAUUGCUUGUGGAUAAAUGAUAUCGCGUGUGCAUUAUUAGAUUGAUGAAAUGCGUGCUUAUUCUUGGCCUUAUAAAUGAUUUAGAGGACUCCGAUGUUAAUUGAAGUUUAAUUGCAUGAUUCUUGCAAUUCCUCUGCUAGUACACAUAUUCUAAAGGUGAUCUGGUAGAUUGAGCUAGAUCCGAGGAAAUCUCUCAACAAAGCUGGUCAAUGAGACCCCUUGAAAUAUCGCACGUACGACGCUUGCCAACAAAGUACAUGUUUUCUCUCCCUCUCCUUCAAUGCUCACCUUUCAAGGCUUAUUUAUAAGAGCUAUUGCUUAAUCUAAUCGAUCCUUCAAGUGUGUGUGUUUGUGCUAACAUAGUGUACACAACACCAAUUGGAACCUACUCAUUCAUGAUGUCCUUUCCUUCCUUGGAGUGUUCACUGGCCACUGCUGUUCAAAAUGAUGUUUCAAAGAUACGACUUUUGUUUUCCUCCCUCCCUCAUAAAACUCGCAAAAGCAACCCUCACCAACACUACCAGUACCCCGCCCUUGAAAUCCAUCAAGACCUGCCCAUAUGUUCCCCCUGGAGUAGGUGCAUAGUUCAGAUUGUCUCCCCUAUAAUCCAUUCUGCAAUGGAACUGUAGAGCUCCAACUAUCUCCUCGCAGUAGGUCUCCCCAUUGAUUGUAGGUCCCCUGAUCUGAAAAAGUUGAAUCUUUCCCUCUAAGAGGUUCAUGCUAUAAAUCUCGAAUGGAAAACAUUUAGGCAAGAACUUGAUGAACCAUAUGAAUUUAUCUUAAUGUCCACACGAUAAUGUCAACUCAUAUGAAGCAUUUUAUACAACAAUGGCAUCGUGUGUCCUUUCCACAACUUGCUUUAAUUAGUAGAGAGUAUCUAUUUGAAUCAUUACUUUGUCAUGCUCAUGAAUGCUCAUUGCACUCAUAUUUCUUCAUUUCAACUGCUCAAAACAAUGAGAUUUAACCCAAAAUCACUAGAAAAUUUUGUUAUAUAUUAUUGCAUUUGUACACCGUCAGAAUCAAAUGCCACUAAUUUGACAUGAUUGAUCAUGUCGUGAGAGCAUCGGGAAGAGUGGUGGGCGAUCCGAGGAUUUUGCCGCCCACAUCAGAAAACCUUUCAAAACUGGCCAAAGGAUUGACUUUACCGUCUCUGCUCACAAGGAUGGGACACUGCAUCAGGUGCCCUCUCAUUUCCCUGGGAUCAUGUUGGUCCUCAUCCGCAUAAGCUUUCCAAUUCCGUUUGGCUAUUUUGUUCACCCUAUUUACACAAUCAAUGCUUUGAGGUUCCCUAAAGCUGUCCUCUAAAUCUCCCAAGUGCUCCACUCAAAGUGACAUCCUAUAAUCGUAAACCUGCAUAGCGUAAGUCAACAUAAUUAUACAAAAGCUUAAGGUUUUUGAAUGGAUGUCGCUGCACUCGCUCGGACAUACGCUUUGUAUAUGCUAUUCAAAUGAGAGGCUAACCCGAUGUAACUAACCUGGCCACGCGGAUGCCUCUUUUUCCCAGCCCAAGUGUGGCAUGGCUGAUAAGCCCCCAUUGCAAUUUCAGUGUCUCUUGAGCCAUCCAGAGAUCUUUGGUUGAUAUUUGCCGAUCCCAUGAUCACAUACUCAUCAUCUACUAUCAUUCCUUUGGCAUGCACAUAUAUCAUGAAUCUGCGAAAACUUUUGAACCAACGCUUGCAUGGAUAGAAACAACAGCAUGCUUCAACCAAAAGUCUUUUUACCACUCAUGCUCUUAAUGACUUUUUUCGUUUUGUUUUUUUUAACGGAUGAGUCAAAGGAAGAAUCCCUGAAAAGAGUAUAGACAUAUACCACGGAAUUAUUUUCGGAUUGUCGAUUCAUUGCUUGGAAUGAAGACUGUGAAGAGGACAGGGGCUCCCGCUUGCCUAGUCAGUAGAAGUUCAAGUAAUCCAGGGGAUGGUACUUGUGUGACAACCCGGCUCUUUCGAGAGCCUGGGCGAUAAUUUUGUACAUCAUUGUCAUGGUUUGUCCCUAUCCACAUUAUAUAUACACAUACGAUAAUAGUGAAUAUUAAUAUUUUUACAUCAUCAUAUCAAUAUUUUUACAUCAUCAUAUCUCUUGGAGAAAAAUACUAAAAUGACUGAAAUGGGGUCGGGUCCCAAAUUUCCCCUCUAAGUUUCUCGGCUUGGUCUGCUUGCAUCACUUCGUUUUUUGCUUAAUUCCGUUGGCAUGUUAUUUAUUUUCGAUUUGCUUGGACAUCAUCGAUUUACAUGUGUCAUCACUAUUUCUUUACAAGAUGAAAGAAUUUAUCCUUGAUCUGACCUGCCAGAAGAGAAUUUCCUGCACUGCAGCACUAGUAGGGGCACCCUCCGGCCAUGUCGAUAUCACUAUAUACAUACAGAAGCGCUCGUCUGCACUGAUCUUGCUUGCGAUCUUCAACGCCAGCUCCAUCAGCACUAAAUUAUUUGCAGCUGCAUGUCAAAACCAAAUCAAGCGUUGGUUGCCAUAUAAAAUUGAACUCAAGAAAUUAGAUAGGCCAAGACAAAACUAGAAAAAAAGGAGGAAAAAUAUGCAUUUAAAAAGUUCAGAGAGUCGGUCUCAAAAAUAUAACAUAUUGAAUCAGAAUGCACGCUUAAUGUCUUAUACAGUGAGUUCUAGCGAUUAUUAGCUGACACACAAUCCUCAGAGGGAGCCAAAUCCAUACACUCUUUACUGGAGGCAUUGUUGCUCGGUCAACUCAGUCGGUCGAAAUGAAUAGAAACGGGCAUCUUAUACCUGCAUUUUUGUAUGGUGGCCAACGAUAGCAAGAGCCAAGCAAAUAUUGGUUUUCAAUGUAAAUGAAGUGUUGUGCCGAUCUAAUUGCUUUCACAUACGUCUUGUGAAUACUCUUGUCUACUUUCAAGUUCUUUCCACAUAUAAGAUUCUGCAACCGUGAAGAGAUUGAAAGAAUGAACAUUAUUAAUUUGGAAUUCAAUCUCUACUCAAAAACACUAAAAACUCUGCAUAAAAAAGAAGAGUAACUUUCUAAUGUAAGAACACUUUUCAAGUUAUGCACAUAUAACAGCCAAUUGCAAAUCUAUCAAAAUGGUAUUAGCAGCUAAAAUUACUCGCUUUGCAGCUUCUUCAAUGCUCUUCGGGAAUCCCUUUACAGAACCUGAAUCAAUCGAUCUAAAGACCUACGCCAACAAAAAAUAAAAAUGAAAGAUGGUUGUCACACUUCAUUUGUUUACAAUUGAAGUUCCUUGAAAAUGGUAAUUAAUUUGAAGUAAAUUCUCCCGACCUGCACAUGCCAAUUUUCCGGGUUGUCUUCGUCCCUGACUUGUACUAUUUUUUCGCCAUCGGGCUUGUCAAGGGACAAAGUAUCCACAAAAUCCUGUCGAGCCUUAAGAGAGCAUUCUCAUAUGCCAACGCCUAACAUUUUUUGGCUUAUACUCACGCCACUUCACUGCCUUUCUCCAUCUAUGUACAAGACUCUUCAAUUUGUGUACACAGCUUGUCCCUCAACUUUGGAAUGUAGAUCAUGCCACGGUUGCCUUGGGACAUUGAUGGUGGACUAUAAUUAUCACAAAGAGCGAUUCCUUCUCAUGAUUAGAACAUAACAUAUACAUGUUAUUACAAUGCUAAAGGUAAACAUUAGCAUACUACUGUGAACGUGGGGUUGUGAAUGUUAUUCUUAAAGACCGUAUCAAGAUCGCUAUAGAGUUUGUGCUCCAGAUAGUCAUAUCGUCCAUCACAUAGGUCUAGCUUGCCAAUGAAUGUGGUUAUUUUGUAGUUGUUUCUCAAGGCUUGAGUGUCAAGAACCACAGACUUUUGGUAAUGCAAGGACAAGGUCACCCCACUUGGACUACAGAAUAUUGUAAAAUUCCCUUUUAGAACCGUCCUAAAUUUAUGUCAUUAGGUUAGAAAACACUUGAUAUGAUCUAGGACAGCAUGAGCUAGAUCAAUGAACUUUUGCGGAUUGCCUAAUGAGAGAAAAUCUUUGUUAUAAAAUUAUACCCGAUUGUAAUAAUCAGGUAAUAUACAACAAAAGCGGUGUUUUUGAUGCAAUCUAACGAUUAGAUUUUGAUUAAGAAUUGACCUAAACAUCUAAGGAUACAUACCUGUUGCUCGAAAAUGCUGAGUUUGGUACUUGCAUAACGAGGAGAAGGCACGCAGCCGAUGCCAGAGUGUCGGACAAACUUCUUCAUCUCUUCAUCAUGAGUUUGCAUCAUGUCAUCCUAUGCCACAAUAUGGCACGUGCCAAGUCUCAGUGAUGAGAGAUCUCAAUAAAGAACUAUCAUUUCCUAAGUCAUGGAUUUGAAUUUUUUUGGCCAAACGGUGCAUUGCACCAUAAAUGAGGAUACUUUUUCAAGAAAGAGCCAUUAUAUAACAUAUUUUUCCAAUUGCAUCUUGUAAAGGCAAGCCGAAAGAAAGAACCAUUAGAGGUCAAGAAUUUGUGUUAAAAAAAAAAUAGAAAACUUCUUAUACUGUAAACGUUCAUUAAGCCGAUAGUAAAAGAUGGAAAAUCUUUCACUGUCUGCGCACCCUUGAUAAAAGGAUGAUCCUUACUCUAUUGCACUAGCCCAACAAAUCAACAGUGAUGGAAGCCACAAGCGGGCAAAUUUUCUCAACCUAGUAGUACUCCAAUCAUCCCAAAAACCAUAGAGACAUUUCCAUGUUUUAGCGAUGCUUAAUUACACGUGAGUAUAGUCCAGUAUUACUGUCUUCAAAAGGAUCAACUCAAGCCGAACGCAGCGUGGUCAUUCACACAUAAAGUGCUCAUCUUGCAAGGGUUCUUAUAGGUCGGGAUUAUUGACACUUGAACUGUACCAACAAUGAAACAAUAAAAAGAAGAAUAACAAUAAUCAUAAAAAAUUUGUCAUACGCGACAGCUAAUGUGAUAGAAUUUUUCGUUCCCUAGGGCCCACCGCCGAUUUUCCCUUAUCUCUUGAAUUCGGUUAACCAAAGGGACAUUUUCGUCGUUUAAAUCAGGGCACUUUCGUCAUUUGGUGAGGAAGUUCUCGAUUCUGCUUCGCGUCCGUAGCCUUUACCGUCCUCUCUAGCUUCACCGAUGGCCGCUGGGUCCACCGGAAGCCGCCGUCGGCCUUCCGUCUCCGAUCACGGCAGAUGCACGGAGGGAGGCACACAACACACACGCACAAGAAACAAAGCUUGAUCCUGGAAUCCAAAGUUCAUUGUCGUUGAUUCGAGGUUCGCCGGAGGUGAAUCGACGUCGAUUCCACUGUUCAUGACUUCGAUUGCGGUUCCGGUGUCGUCUGGUUGCAGUUCCGAUCGCGUGCUGUUCUGACCACGAGGCGUUCCUGCGAUUCGUUCUUUCGUUUCAGUGAUCGGCGGAAGUUUUCGGUAGAUUCGAAUCGCAUGGAAAAGGACGCCCCGUCUCAGUUGACUCCAACCAUCGCUUACGAAUCUUCUCUCCACCGAUUGAGCUCUUCAAUUCUUACUCUAAAUCAAGCCCAAGAGUCGUCAUCUCGUCGAAUGAAUGUACGGAUAUUGCUCAGGAAGUGUUCAAUGAAAUGACUGAAGGAAUCCAUCCGUUAUUCUGUCCUGUUGGUGGCCGUUAGAAUCAAUGCUAUGAUAGUGAGGCUGUGCUCGCCGUCUGGAAAGUCGCUAAGUCGUCAUCUCGAGCUCGCGCCCUCCUCGGCACCAAUUCAUCAGGUCGUCUCUUCUCCAAUUAAACUUCGUUAUUGGUGUCGAUUUGUUCUAGACUCGUCUCUCUUGAUCUCUGUUCUGUUUAUUUUUUUUUUCCUCGCCUUUCACUUCUACCGCUUCGUCAUUUGCUGCGUCGUUGUGCCGAGACACUCCUCAUCGCCAAAAGCCAGAAGCAAGACUGCGACGGCAGAAGCCAAGGAGAUGCGGUCGCGAUUGCUUUCGAUAAUUCCGCUUGCGUAGCUCACUGCACAGAGGAAUCUAGUCAACUAAAACCUUCUACAAAGAACAAUAAUCAUUGAUGCAACACACGUAACGGUAAUCAUCAAUGUGCCAUUUUGAUACUAGCAACAUCAUCUAAAAGUAGUUUCGUCUGGAAAGCAAACCGACCGAAUAAGAAGGAAGCAACUGGAAUGACAUCAGCUGGAGCUUGAAUUCACGGAAACGAGCAGCGGCGGCAAUGAUCUGCAUCCGACGCUCCUAAAGGUCUUCUGGUAGAGACAUUGCUAGCCGAAGACAAUGAACGUGACUUGGUAUUCUGUCUACUCCAAGCUCAGCGUCGACGCAGAGAAGGCCAGGCCAGGCUAGGGGAAAAGGUUGAAAGGUGGGGAGUAACGGGGCUGAUGGGUCUUGGCCGCGGAUCAAAUCAAUGGGUUGCUCUUGUGGGCCGUGCCAGUUGGAUUAACUUUGGCCUUUUCUAUUUGUUAUUUAUUUUUAUCUUUCUAUUACUCUUUUUCUUUUGUUGUUUUUUACUUCCAUUCAUUGUUUUCAUGAUCAUUUUUAUUAGAAAAACGUGUGCUUAAUUUUUCGAUUAAAAUUUCGAUGGUUUCGAAUAUGUUUACCCUAAUUUUUUAAGAAGAACGUCAUGACAUCUCGAACAAAGUACAAGACGCUAUAUGUUUUGUUGUGUCAAUCUUUAGUAACCGAGGGCCAAAGUUGUUUUUAGAUAAAUGAGAAAUGGGCCCAAAAAAUGGGACAAUCCAAUUGAACAGAAUCGGGUAUGUGUUUAUGAAAUAUCGAUCUAUUGAAAAUGACUUAAUUUAUGAACUGUAUUCAUAUUGACCCAAGUCCAAUCUCACAAAGAGCACUACUACUACUACUACUACUACUACGAGAGAGAGAGAGAGAGAGAGAGAGAGAGAGAGAGAGAGAGAGAGAGAGAGAGAUGGCUGAGACUUCUUUAGUGAAAGAUUAUUCUUUCGUAUUUUUCUUUUGCUGUUUGUGGAUUCUUUUUUAUUUUCUUUAAAGUUUCAAAAGUGAAGAAAUGAUGAGAUGAUUGAGGAUUCCCCCAUCUUCUUUGUAAAAAGAUAUGACCACUAAUUUAUUUGUCAGAUCACCCAUAAAUGAGUAAUCAUCAUUAUCAGGAUUUUACCAAUGUAUAAAUAAAUUGGUAAAUUAUGAGCUCUUCUAUUAUUUUACAAGUGUCUUUACCAAUAUAUCCAAUAAUAUAAUAAAGUCACCAAUAUUCCACUAAUAUAGAGGCCGACCGACUUCGUUGAAAUUUUACAAAUGUUUUUAGUAAAAUACCAACUCAAUAAGAAAUCUGCCAACCUCCUAAUAAAUCAGCGAAUCAUCAGUUUUUUCCAUGUUGGUAAUUAUUAGACUAACAAGAUGAGGAAGAAAAAAAGAAGGAACAAAUAAAGAUGAGAUAGUGAACAUAGGAUUUAAGACAUGGCAAAGAGUCGAGGAAAAAGCAAAUAUGUUGUGGGCCCACGGAACUCAUCGCGUAAGGGAGGAAGGAACUCAUUUUGUAUUUGCCCCUCUCUUUCCUCCCACUUUUAAGAGCAAUAUAUUUUGUCUACCAUUCUUUUCACUUCUUCCGCAUUUAUUCUAGCCCAACAAUGGAAGCAGUUCCUUCGAUCUUUAUUUUUGAUUCCUAAAACCCGCUUUAUUCAAUGGAAUGGCCCGAUUCGAUUCUUUUAUGCGUCGUGCUCUCAAAAGAAAAAAUUAAGGAGGCGAACAUUUUUUUUUUUGGUAAAGAGGAGGCGAACAUUUGGAGUGGCUUUUUAUCCAUAAAUAAUAUCUUCAUAUUGAUGUGAAAUUUGAAAUGUACAAAUUCCUCUAUAAAUAUGUGUUCUCAUCGAUAGCAAUGUGUAUCGACUUGACUAUAGAUGCUAUGAUAAAAAUGAAGAAGUAGAUAUAAGCUAUAGAUGGUAUGCGUGGAAAAACAAGGUGGAUGAGCGAGAUGACGUCUUCAUCCUCUGUAAUAGCGCAUAAAGGUAUUUUAUAUAGGAGGGAGAGGUUCUGAUUUCUUUCACUGAUCAAUAUCUUGUAAUUAUUUAUCUUAUAUUACUUGUUUUCUUAAUAUAGAACUUGAAUACCACGGCUAAAUAUGGAACAUAUAUCUUUUUAAUUAGAAUUUUUAAUUAGGUCCACGGUCGGUAGAAAAACAUCUUCUAUCACGUCGCUACAAUAAUUAUAUGUGCAUGAUGACUGUUUGAUUAUAUCAAGUGAUGUAAAUUUAUGGAAUGUAUGUAAGUAGAUUUUCCCAUCAAUUAAAACUAUUUUUGUUUUGGGUAAUUGACCGAAUUAAAUGGUUGCGUUUUUUUUUUUUUUUUUAAACUUGCUUCUGUUAUUCGUAAAACAAUAUGUACAGAUUUGGGACUAAAUAUGUCAUUAAAUAUGGUAGUGCACAUAUUAACAUGAUGCUUCCAAGCCUUUUCAGCAAUCCUUUUGAAUUUAUAUUUUAUUAGGUGUAUAGGUAGAUGCAUGUAUUUUUUUUUUUUUUUUUGUUCUUGGAUGAAAGAUAUUCUUUACUCUUAUUUUCCGAUGAUUGAGUUCUGACUACUUUUGGUGUAAUUAAUUAUAUGCUUGGAGAUCUAGGGACUAAAUAAUUUCAUAUACAUUUCACAUGUCAUUAUUGUAAAUUUGCAUCUAAGUAAAAGAAAGAACAAUAUUUACAUUUCAAUCAUUCGAUUUAAUUAAAGAAACUGAAAGAAAAUGCACAAAUUAUACAAAGUCCUUAGUAAUUGCCAUCUACAGUGUGAGUUUGACAUAACGCCAAGCUCCACCAUGUUCGACCAUUAACAUCAGUCUGCUCUUUUCUUCUGUUUGGUGUAGCGCCGCGUUUGUCUUCCUUCUCCUCCUCUGCGUUUUAGAGAGAGAGAGAGAGAGAGAGAGAGAGAGAGAGCAGCGGCAGCAGCAGCAGCAGCAGAACAACGAUGGUGAACGUGGGGUUGGUACGUGUUAGGGAGGGAGAGACACGUAAGAAUAUGGAGUUUGCAAAGAGAAGCGUCGGGUUUGUGAUGAAUUGUUCACGUUAUAUUCUGCGGAGAAGAGGGUCGUUUACGUGGAGGUUAAUACCAAAGAGAGGUCAGAAAGAAGUGGUCAAGCUCGACUGUUGGAUAAUCUGUGAAAUAGAGUCACAUUAAGUUGACGGUCUGUGAGGAGAGAACCUUCUUGGAGCACUGAAUUCUCCAACUCACUCCAUCCUCUUUUCUCAAUUUGACCUCCACCGAACCUUAAGAGAAUAUCUUGACCUCAGCAAAUCCCACUAUCUCCUCCCAAAAUGGCCGAGAAUCAUGUGCCAAAUAUGUGGCCAUAUAUCAUUCCCUUUUGUGAUGAUUCCUCUUGUUGGCCGAAUGAAUCAAUCGCCUACCAUGAUGGGCAAUAGCUUAAGAGUUAUUCACAUUCUUUCCUUGUCGAUCUUAUUCUCUAAUUGGAAGCAUCACUCGACAUGCAUGCGAAAACUUCGGCUAAGCCAAAUGGGGUUUGGCUGAGUUCAUUCGUAGGGGUCCAUACUCAUGUGGGCUUAGUCUUAAAAAUUCAAAUGAGUCCAAAGUCAAGCUUAUUUUGCAUGUUGGGUUAAUUCGAAUGCAAUUCAUGACUGGACCAAUUUAGAUGAAAUUUAUUUGAUGUGGACAUGCUAUUACUAAACGAAAGAUGUUCCCAAUGCCUAAUUGCAAUGUGAAUGCAAAAUUACGUCUUUUUGUUUAGGGUGAGCUUGAUCCCUAAUUUUCCAAUGAGUAAAUGAUGAAUUUACGAGUCAAAAAUUAGGUGUUAGCAGAGAUCGACCAAGAUAGGGAUGUAUUGGAUGUCUCUAGGAUCUACCAACCAAAAGAAGAACUUAUGAAAAUUGAUUCCUCAUAUGGUAUCUCAUCGAUUUGAUGGUUGAUCGUAAUUUGGACAUUUUAUAACCAAGGAAGUCCGAAUUAUAUGCAUGGUAUGAACAAAAGGCAUCAAAUGCACAAGUAUCAUAUGGUUAAUGUGUAUGCAACUCAGUGGAAGAGAUUCAUUUAUUGACAUAUCUAUGUGUUCUUGAGAUUAAUAUUUCAUAAAAUGCUAGUCCUUGAAUCAAAUUUAGUGAUUCAUGGUAAGCAAAAUUAGAAAGUGGUUUUUCUUUUUUGUUGUUGGUGCCGAAUGUGAUGUCCGAUGCAUAUAUUCAAUUGAAAUAAUCAAAAAAGAUGUGAACACCUUAGAAAUCAAUGUCUUCUCCAGAUUUGACAGAGAUAACAUAAUUUUGCUGUAGUGAUCACGAAUAGAUCCUAUAGGAUGUCAAGUGCCAAACAAUAGUAAAGCCUUUUCCUAAAUUCCAAUAGAAAUAUCAUCCAAAAAGCUUCAUUUGUACUUUCUUCCAAAAGUUUUUUGAAUCUUGUUGUGACAUCCUGAUUUUCCAAUUUUGGUUUCAAUUAAAUAAGUCGGGCAUUUCAUCUUCGCGUCUAUAGCUUUCUUCUCUGAGUUGGCCACUCACGAGAUAACUAGUCUAUCAGGUGAAGCCGUUAAGGAAUCUAAACGCAAUAGACUUGAGAAUUCGACCAGGAACCGACUGCUCGACCGUACUAAUCUGCAAGGGUCAUUACGGCAUAGACCGAUUAGAGACCGGAGAUAGGUCGAUUCAACAGAACCAUGUACUUUGUGGCUUGAAAAUAAUCAACCACAGGUCAAUUGCACAGAAAAUUCCUAAAAGCUACCCGGUAGAUUAGGACGCACUAAAGUCGCACCAGAUUGAAUUUAACCGUGAAAUUGAACCCAAUUACAGAAAUUGGAAGUUCUGUCAAGUCACAAUUCAUUUUAGGAAUGUCGACUCAUCUCCAGAAGAUUUUUCUACAAACCGAGAUUUUUGGCAGAAAAGCAAAGUAAUGCCGUUUUUGUUCAGGAUUGUCAGAGGGCCAUUUUUAAUCGAAUCUUCGGGAUGCAAGUUGGAUCAUUUGACGGGGAAAUGUCAUGAGAAGGCUGAGGACACAUGGGUUGAUUUAAUUGAACUUCAAUUGGAUGGAAUUGAGUGAGAAUUGAUUGAAUUUGAUGUACAAAUGUAUGAAAUUCGUAUACCAUGGGGGGAGAGCUAUUUUGCACCUAUUGGCAAGGUUGUGGAGGAAGAUUGAGGAGAGAGAGUGGAUGAUGUCAUGUGAUGUCAUGGUGGGGGCAAAGCAAAUGAGGUUUAGACAAGUGUUGAGCUCUAGUGAGCCACCAAGGAGGCCCCCCUCUUCAGCAGACCAUCUUCUUCCUUCAUUCAUGGCUUUCUCCAUGGUUGAGGCUUAGGAAAAGCUCAAGAGAACCAGAGGAAACCGAGCUCACCAGCCCCUCCAUCGUCGCACGCCCGGAAGGCCACCGUCGGCCGUUUUCCUCCCUUGUUUUCCCCUCGUUCCAGUUUCUGCUCCAGCCGACCUUUCGCCAAAGAUCCGAGUAAAAAGUUAACUUCCCGGUUGAAUCAGCGAACGAGCCACCCAUCGCCGCGAAGAAGACAUCCAGACCGUUCCGGAGCACCUCGCCGCUCGCCGGAACGAUUCUCCAGCCGUCCCGUACGGCCGCCCGAAGCUGCCGCUCGCCGGACCGUCUGGUUCCGCCCUGCUCCGCCUGUUCCGCGUUUUCUUGCUGUUUCGCCCCUUUCCGACCCUUCCUUUGCCCAUCCCAACCUCCUACAAGAUCCCCAAGACCCCCGGGAGCCAUUGGUUGCCAACCACCCGCUUGCCGGAGCUCCGAUCGGCCCGUUUUCGCCGUUGAAGUUGCUGGUUUCUUCUCUGCAGUUCAGUCCAGAUCAGAAGCAGAAAACCAGAAAGCCGAGAGGUCUUCGAGGCCCGUUUUCAGUGUCUUCCCGGCCUUGGUUGGUGUCGCCGCCUUGAGGUUUAUCGCCCGCCUUGGUGUCGGGGUCGCCGUGAACUCACCGGCGCGCAAAACCGGUGAGUUUAUCCUCUAAUUCUUGCUUAGUGAGUUAAUGACGCUUAAGGGGUGCUUAGAUUAGUCUAAUUAGGUUUAGGUGGUUAGAUUAGAUUAUUUUAAUGUAAAUUAGAUUAGUUGUGUGAUUAGUUUAAUGGAUGUUUAAUUAGGGCUAAUUGUAUGUUUAAAUUAGUGUAAUCUAGUUUAAGCCCUAAUUAAUUAUUUUUAAUUAAAUAAUUAUUUCGAAUUUAUAAAUAUUAUUUUAUUAAAUUAUAUUAUUAUUAUAAAAUAAUAUUUAAUUAUUUAAUUUUCGGAAUUAAUUUAAUUAUUUAAUAAUUUCGAAAAUUAUGCCGGGAUGGCCGGUCAUUAGAAUUUCACGCUGAUCGCAGCAGUGCGGUCGGUUUGUGUUAAUUGUAUGUUUAAAUUGAGAAAUUGAGUGAUUGAUGAUUAUGGUGAAUAAUUCCAAAAGUGUGGAAUUGUGUGAAAUUCAUGAAGUUGUGGUAUUUAACUUGAAAAUACCCGGUGUUAGCUUUUAGCACCGUAAUUGGUUUGUAUGACCAGUUUGAAUCGAUUGAAUUGAUUGAUUGAUUGAAUUGAGGUAUGAGUUGGUUUAUUAUUGAAUUAUCAGCUUUGGCGAGCAAUUGGUUUAUAUAUGUAUCACCUUGUGUGAGCAUCAUUGUCAGCUUAUGAGAGCAAUGAUCAUUUAUCAGCUUGUGAGAGCAAUGAUCGUUUAUCAGCUUGUGAGAGCAACGAUCCAUAUAUCAGCUUGUGCGAGCUACCAUCUAUAUCAGCUUGUGAGAGCAUUGCAUCCAAUUCAGCUUGUGCGAGCCAUAAUUGUAUUGAUGGAUGAAUAGAUGGUAUGGUUUAAUAGAUGAUAUGAAUUGAUAGAUGUGUGGAUCGUAUGACAUCAAUUGGAUUGACUGAAUUGAUAGACCGAUGGGUAUGUCGGUAGUUUCAGCUUGUGCGAGCAUUGUUGAAUAUGAAUUGUACUGACGUGCAGGAAGGAAUUGAGGCGAGGUAAGUCCUCUAUCCUAUUUGUGUGGCUAGAGCGCCCUGAGGCGUAUUUUCUUCCUAAUUGAGUUUUAGAUUGAGACGUAGUCUCAUCCCGGUUGUGGGAUAAUAUUUCAGGUCCCUAGAUGACGGUCGUGGAGGACCGGAAGUUCUGGAGUUCGGAAGGUGGAGGCUGAAGAAUCGGCAAACGUGUCUGACAAGUUGGUCAUAGGACAGUUCCCUAGUUGUUGAGCCUAUCUAUUUUGUAGACCAUCCAGUGUUGUAUAUAAACCUAUGUGUUUAUAAGAAAGCUUGUUUGGUUGUGAUUGAUUGCCUGCUUUUCUAUCCCAAGUUAGAUGUUGUCAGGGGAUUUGUUUCGCUUCCGCAUGCGUAAUAAAAAUGAAUGGGUCGGCGACGUGUCCUGGGAAGUCGCAUUUCUAUCGACCGCAGAGGGAUGUGCGCGCGCUCGGAGGAUCGGGGCGUGACACUUGUAAUAUAUAUUACGGCUUUGUAACAACCGUAGUAGCUAUCGCAGCGAGAAAACACCGUAACAUGUGGUACAUUUGUGGUAGACUUGCAAUAUACUAAUUAUAUUGCUUUGAACAGGCCAUAUAAUUGACAACUAAUUCUUCGAUUGAUUAAUAUGUUUUGUCAGGGAACAUAAAUUUCAACCUAUGGGAUUCGGCAACUGUCAAGGUGGUUAGUGAAUUUGAUAUGAAAAUUAAGUAUCGAUAUAUCAUGGUUUUAUACUAUGUAUUUUUUUUUUUGACAAUGAUAUUUAAGUUUACACGUUGAAAAAAGUGGAUAUGCAUCCAUUUGCAACUUGUACUAUUCCAAAGCAACUGAAGAGUUUCUUGGAUCAUAAGUAACAUUCAACAUACAUGCAGUAAGUAACUUUUCAACUACAAAAGUGGUAUCAAUAAAUGUAAGGUUUGUAAUUAUUGAGCAUCAAUUAGUAACUUUUCUUAGUAACUUUUCUUAUUUAAAAGGUGAGUUUGUACCCUUUUUCUAUGACAAGGAAGCCCACCCUCCUAAGUAAAACAUGAACCCAUAAAAAUACCCUACUAAUAUCAUAAAUCAUGUAAAAUGUGAGUUAAGAUCCAGAUAGAUGGUCCAAAUAUAAUAUUAUUUGUAUUUGGUAGUGUGGGAAGAUGGAUAUUUGUAACCAUUUGUAAACUAUACCAUUGAUGAUGGUUUGUAUGUUUAUACGAGGAAAAGAAACUUCUCCAAGUGAUUAGUAAUUUUUCACGUAGAAAAGAUAAUUUUAAAUUGCCAAGUAAUUACGACAAAUUAUCUUUUUAUUUGAAAAGUAAGUUUCUACCCCUUUUUCUAUGACAAGGAAGCCUACCCUGACUAGUAAUACAUGAACCCAUAAAAAUACUCUAUUGAUAUCCUAAAUCAUGUAAAAUGUGAGUUAUGAACUAGGUAGACAGUCCAAACAUGAUAUUAUUUGUAUUUGGUAGCAUAAGUAAAUAAAUAUUUGUACCCAUUUAUACACUACUAUUCAUGAUGAUUAGUACGUUUAUAUGAGGAAAAGAAAUUUCUCGAAGAGAUGAAUAAUUUUUCUCAUUGAAAAGUAAAUUUCAACUUACCAAGAAAUUAGGACAACUUUUUUUUUUUUUUUUCGCAACGGUGAGUAGCUUUAAAUCUUGACAAAAGUAAUGGAUGAUUGUAGUUUACCAGUGUCUUGUGAAUUGAUUAGUAAAUUUUGUUAAUCAAAUGUAACUUUCAAUCUAUUAGGAAUCAGAUGCUGAAUAGGGAGACGAACCCUGAGACCGGCCAUUGUCGGUUAAAGAGCUGUCCUUUUUAGAUUCUUCUGGGAGAACUGGUGGAAUGGCGGCAACCUGCCACGCGUUACCGGCUAUUCGCGGUUGCUCCUUUUCUUAAGCUUCACACAUCCGCUUCGCCUCGUCUCUCAGCCCUGUUCUGUCUCUGUUAGCGUUUGAUUUUCAAAAGAUGAUAUUCUCUGUUUGAUUCUCUGGUCCCAAUUUGAUUUUUGCCCCCACCAAGUUGUUGCCUUCCAGCUCCAUUUCUUGUCAGAUCAAAAAAAAAAAAAAAAAGCUCCAUUUCUUGAAGGUAAUUCAAUAUUCUUCUUCUCUUUCUGUUCUCUUUCCUCUUCCUAAGUCAUUUCCUUUGUGGGUUCUGCAGUCCCGCCUUCCUCGGCAUAUAUAAAUUUUUAACUUUCUUCCUCCACAAAGAGAAAAGAAAGAAAACCAGACAAGUAGAAGUCGAAAAGGGGGAAAAAUGGUGGAUAUUAUUAUAUCUGCAGCUUCCAAGGUGGCAGAGUACCUGGUGGCUCCAGUCGGUCGUCACUGCGGCUACGUGAUAUUCUCUAACAGCUAUAUUCGCCAACUUAACGAUGAAGUUGAGAAGCUGAAUGACGCCAGGGUCGGGAUCCAGCGUUCCAUCGAUGAUGCUCAAAACUGAUAUUGCUAGUGUAAACACCUAGAGGGGGGUGAAUAGGCGCACAAACUAUUUUUCUCAAAUACGUAUGCAACAGAUUGAAAUACGAUCGAUGUAGAGAGAGUAAGGAAGAGAAAAUCAAACACAGGAUUUAUAGUGGUUCGGCUUAUUCCAAGCCUACGUCCACUCUUCCGCACUGACAGCCCACGGGCUGGAUUUCACUAUGAUCAAAAGAGGAGUUACAGCACAGUUUUGCCUUGAUUCCAUAGUGUAGAUAUUCUAUCACACCUCCUCAAGGUCUCUCACAAAUAUAGACUCUCUUUUGUAUACAAGUAUUCGCUCAAGAGAUUUAUCUAAACAAAUAGGAGCUUCAGACUUUGGAAUUUUUCUAUCGCGCACACUCUCUUAAACAACUAAGAACGUCUUCCUUAUAUACUCCUUUAUGCCAUCAUACCCGUUGGCACUUUCCAAAGGAAUUCCUCCAAUCUACCCGUUGGACGGAAUCAAUUAGGAAGAUCGUUCGAGCUAUUAAAGGAACGUGUUGAUAGCCCAUCAAUCCUGUUCGCCCAUACAAUCAGGAUCUCGGUUUCCAUAAGCGAAACCUUCCAAUAAUAUUUAGACAAUCAUCGAAUCUUCAGUCAUUGAAUCAAUCUUGAUCAAUCAAAGGAUUCUGAUACGUCUUCUCUAGCCACGAGAUCUUCUCCAGAUGAUAAGGUUAAAUCCCAAACAAAACAUCCAGUUCGGGAUAACCUUUCUUCAACAGAUCAGAGACUGUCAAUGAGGAUAGACUUUGAGUCUUGAGUCUGGCAGUCUGGAAGUCUUCAGACUUUAACUGGCAGAGUCUGCAGACCUUCAUACUAGACUGACGGAAACAUUUUGUCAACUUCAAAACUCUUCACGAGGAUUUCUCCAACAAAAACAACAUGAAGGAGAUAAAACGCGAAGUUGACAGAUGGAAGAAUAAGGCAGAGACCGUCGCCGACAAGGCGCGUCGCAUGCUGGAUGAUGAUAGAAGAGCCAACAGAACUCGCUUCUGCGGGUGGCUUCCCAACCCAAAGGAGCGUUAUUGUCUCGGCAGGGACGCAAGGAAGACAGUCCAGGCCAUCCAAGCACUCAUUCCUCAGGGUAAAUUCGAGAGGGUCUACUACGAGAGUGCUCCGCCGGGGCAUGUCGCUAGCCCUCCCGAGGUGAAUUCCUCUACCAGUGAUCGGGGUGACACUGUCACCGAUUCACGAGCUUCCUUCUUUGAGGGCAUAAUGAAUGAUCUGGAUGAUGAGAAGCUCAAAGUGAUUGGGAUCUACGGGCCUGGCGGCGUGGGGAAGACUACGCUCUUGGAGGAAGUCCAGAAGAAACUCAGGAACGAGAAGAGACUGUUCCACCUGAUUGCCACAACGACUAUAUCGCAGACUCGAGACUUGAAGAAAAUCCAAGAUGACAUUGCUUACGCCUUGAGUCUGGAUCUGAAGAACGAGACAAGCGAAGUUGGAAGAAGAGAUCUUCUGUUUCGGAAAUUACAGAGCGAUCCGACAAAGAAGGUUCUCAUAAUAUUGGACGAUCUGUGGGGGCCACUUGAUUUGAAGGCGGUUGGAAUUCCUGCGGGAGACGAGAGCAGGGGAUGCAAGUUGCUGUUAGCAUCAAGAUUUAAAGAUGUGUUGGAGCAAAAGAUGCAUGCGGAUAAAACAUUUCAUCUUGAAGGUUUAAACAACAACGAAGCUUUCAGGCUAUUUGAAAAGAUAGUCGGCGACAAGCUCAAAGACGAGGAAUUGAAAGCAAUAGCAGCUCAAGUGGUCGAGAAGCUCCUAGGUUUGCCUCUUUUGAUUAUCUCCGUCGCAAGCACUUUGAAAUACAGCCGUGUGUCCGCAUGGAAAAACGCAUUGAUAAAAAUAGAGGACUCAAAUAUAGAAACCAUAGUAAAGCUGAGUUAUGACCAUCUGAAGAGUGAGGACGCCAAGUCCUUAUUCUUGCUCUGUGGUCUUCUUGGUGGGACCAUUCCAGUCGAACUUCUGCUGGGACUAGGCAUGGGGUUGGGCUUGUUUGAGGGAUUCAAUAACACGGUAGAAGAUUCAAGAAAUAGAUUGAAUACUAUGCUCGAUAGCCUCCGUUCUGUUUGUUUGUUGCAAGAUGAUGGUGAUGACAUGGAGACUGUGACCAUACAUGAUCUUUAUAGUGAGGUGGUUGUCUCAGCUCCAUUUAGAAGUCAGAAUUCCUUAAUGAUGAACAACUCUUAUGUUUCGUGGCCAAAAGAAAAGCUUGAGAAAUGUUGGGCAAUAUGCCUUGUUAAUGAUUACGGUGAUGGCCUUGCUGAAAAAAUGCGGUGUGCGUUUCCCGACUUGAAGAUAUUCGUGUUGUCUCAGAUAGGGUCGUUCGUGACACCUAUACACCGACAUGAUGUGAGAGAUUGCUGUGGACUAGAUUUCACAAGCAUGGAGCAGCUCCAAGUCCUAUAUCUUCGCUUCAUACAUAUCACCAAUUUACGUUCCUCCAUUGGCACCCUCAGGAACCUCCACUCAUUAUACUUAGACUAUUGCAUUGUGGACGAUGUGGCAAUUCUUGACAAGCUCGAAACAUUGCAAAUUCUCAGCUUGGCAGGAUCUCAAAUUUCUAAGCUACCUAAAGAAAUUGGGGAACUUAGGAAUCUGAGAUCGUUGAAUCUAUAUGAUUGUGACUCGCUUAUGAUAAUCGAGCCUGGUGCCUUGAAAGGCUUAGUCCACUUGGAAGAGUUAUAUAUGAGGGGAAGCUUUAGUCAAUGGAUAGUCGAUGAUGAAAUACCAACGGAAUCGUAUAAUGGUAGGCUUGUUGAGUUGAAGAGCUUGAGAAAGCUAGCCUCUUUGGAAAUAUCGAUUCAUGAUCCCAUCGUACUCUUAAAGGAUGAUGGCUUGCCAUUUGGGACCCUGAUCAGAUUUUGGAUCAACAUAGGAAAUACUUACGGAAGGGGAUUUCGUGGUUUGAGAACCAUGAAACUCCAAUUGAAAGGAUGCGAUGGUAUUCUCUCAAAAGAACGGGUUCAGAAAACUCUGCAGAAAACUCAACACUUAUAUUUGGAUGGAUUGGGAGAGUUCAAGGAGAAUGCUCAUGAGUUGUGCAUUCGAGGAUUUAAACAACUGAAGCAUCUCGACAUUAAGAACAGCCCCUCAAUCAAGUACAUCACCAGUUCAUUAAAUGACCUUCUCACUGCAUUUACGGAUUUAGAGUCUUUGUUCCUCGACAAUGUUAUUAAUCUGGAGAAGAUAUGCAAUGGCCCUGUCACACCAGAUUGCUUCCGCAAAUUGAAAGUUGUGUGUAUCGAAAAGUGCCACCAAUUGAAAAUUUUGUGGUUCCUCUCAGAGAUGCAAAGACAUGUACAUUUGGAAGAGAUCAAAAUAUGUGAAUGUGACUCAUUACAAGCCAUUAUCACAGGUGAUGUAGGAAAAGUAGAAGUUGAUGUUGAUGACAUGAUUGAGUUACCUAAUGUACGACGUCUAGAUUUGCGUAAGUUACCAAAAAUGACGAGCUUUUGCACUAGAGCUGAGGGUGCUCCAAUUCAGGUAACUUUUUCAUUUUCUGGGUAUAAAUUUCUUUAAUUCUUAAUCUUGCAAACAAUACCUAGAUUAUACUAUUAUAGGGGGAUUUAGGAUAAGAUGAUAUUGGUGUUCACCGAGCCUCAGUGAAUAUUGCAUUAUUUUGAUUAUUUGUACAUCUUGAAACACAUAAAAAAUCCUUUCAAAGAAAACACAGACCAUACAUUUUUAUUUACAUUCAACUAUAGCUAGGGGAAGCCUUUUCCUACGAUUUUUUUUUUUUCAAUUUGUUUCAGUGUUAGAUAAUUGCACUAAUUAUUUGGGCUUUAGCAUGGGUUUAUACUAUGACUAAUUGAUUACUUAUUUAACAUUUUUAAUGAGAAGAAAAAACAUUAUACAUAAUGAAUCUUAAACGAAUGCACGAAAUUCAACAAUUUCAAAAUGAAGAAAGUGAGAGAAUAAAUAAAUAGAAGGCGAACUAGUAGCCACAUAACAAAGAAAGUCCACAUAAUUCAUGUUUCACCUACACGCAAGUUAGCAAUUGAUUCUAACACGUCAUGCCAAUCUCACCAUGUCAACAUUGUUCUGCUUCUGUCAUCCCUUCGUCUCAAUUAAGUUUUUGACAUUCUUAAGAGACAUCAAACUCAUUCAUAUAUUUAAGUUUCUUUUGUUUCGCUGAAAAUUCAUUGUUGCUGAAAAAUGUCUUCCUGGCGAUUCAUUUUUCUUGUUUUCUUGUAUUUGGUUCUGCUGAAAACACAAUUUGAGAGAAACUAACCCAAAUAGAUCAUAUAUCACCUGUUCAUAAUGAAAAGCAAUAAGUUAACAAAUAAUUUAUUAAAAAUUUAACUCCGACAUGAAUUUGUCUUUAAUUUUGAAGGUCAAAAUAGAAAAACGAAAGAAAAGAUAACAAUUACGAUGACAGUUGUUUUGAAGAUCAGUAGAUGAUUUCAAAAGAAAAGAGAAAAAAAAUUAUGGCCAUAGCUUUGAAGAUCAGCCAAAUCAAAGAUAACAACUAUGAUGACACGCGGGAGCAACAUGAUAGUGGUGACGAUAUCUUCCUGAAAAUGAUUUUUCUUUUCAUGGAAGAGAAAUUCAUUUUCUUGAAUUUUAGCCUGAGAGUUUCAGUCAUUUUCUAGUAUCCAAAUACAAGAAAAAUUCUAAAAGCAUUUUUCUAAAAAUAGAUUUACUUGCAACUUACCUUUAAUGAGUUUGAUUGUGGUGCUUUGUUAGGUUUCAUUGCCUCGCUUGGAAUCCCUAGUAAUGGUUGGACUCCUUGGCCUAGAAAAGAUACUCCACAGUGAACCCUCAAUAAAAUUCAGUGGUUUGAAAUCACUAAAGAUAAAAGAAUCUAAAUCCACAUUGAGUAUUCCGAAAGAUUGGAUACUAAAGCUACCAAAUUUGGAGUCAAUGGAAAUUGCGAGCUCUCCAUUAGCAGAAUUAGUUUUCGACCUGGAGGAGCUAAAAGUCACUGGAGAAGUCGAGAUUCUCUCUCGACUAAGUACAUUGGCAUUAUCUAAGUUGCCAAACCUGUGGCGCAUGUUGAAACAAGAUGUACAAUUACAAGGAAUAUCGAUAUUUCGAAACUUGAAGGAGCUCUCUGUCUGUAAAACGAGGCUGUCAUUUCUCUUUUCAAUGUCUGUGGCUAAAUGUCUUAGAGAAAUUGAAGACAUUAAAGUGGAGGAUUGUCCAAAUAUGAAGACGGUGAUUGUGGAUGAAGAAGGAACGGAUGAUAUUAUAAAGCUACCACUAUUGAAGCGACUAUCUAUAACGCGUUGUCCCACAGAGAAAUUCUUCUCAUAUCCUCAUGGAAAGAAAUAGUCAAUAACCGCUACUUCAGAUUCGCUAGAUGCUUAUUUCGAUUACUUCUUUGAUCAAAAGGUACAAAUCCCUUCUCUUUAGAUUAUACCCAUAAUAGCCAUAGGCACAUGCUUGCAAGUCAAGUAAUCAAAUCUCUUUGAAGAUCUUUAUUUGGUUUUAUUAAUUAAAAUGCGUUCAUAAUUUAUAACUAUAUUUGUUAGAUAGAUGCCACUAAUGGAAAAUUCAUUCUUCCACCACAUUAGAUAGAUUGUUGGAAAUAGGCCAAUUUCACAAAUUUUUCAUAGCUACAAUUUGACGCAUAGCUCUUGUGAGCAGGUUAGUUUGCCAAGCUUGGAGGAGUUAAAGCUUAAGUCAGAAGGAUCCUUCAAAGGAAUAUGGCAUAGUGAACUUAUGGAAAAUUCCUUCUGCAAGUUAGCCACCCUCUCUAUUGGAUAUUGCUCUGAGCUACACAAUGUCUUCCCUUCCACAAUCAUAGGGAGAUUGCACAACCUAACAAUUGUUGAGAUUGAAAAUUGUCCCUCUCUAGAAUCAUUGUUUGAUUAUGGGUCCACAGAAGCAAAUACUACGCAAACAACUAUAUUGCUCCCCAAAUCAGAAGUAAAGAUGGUGAGGGAAGCAGGAAAGUUGAAAUGUACGGUGAAGAGUGACUCCCAAAUGAUUUUGGGUUUUCCUAGUCUAAAAAAAGUCCGUGUUUGCAGUUGCUGCAACCUAAGAUAUCUCUUCCCCACUUGUAUGGCCACAACUCUAGUGAAACUUGAGAGCCUAUGGAUUAUCAAUUGCGCACAGAUGAAGGAAGUGGUUCCUAAGGGGAUAGCUAAAGGGGAUGAUGAAUCAUCACAAACAUUGUUCAAUGAGAUGGUUUGCUCUAUCCCUUACUAUGUUCAUCUAUAUUCUUGCAUUUCAUAUUAGAAUGAACAAUCUAAUAAUUUGUGCUAUUUAUCCUCCUUUCUCACAUUAAACUCGUGCAGGCUAGAUUCCCCAAUAUAAGAAAACUACAAAUUGAAGGUGCUCGGUGCAAAGAGCUAUGGAACAAUCAAAUUCCUUAUGAUUCCUUUUGCAAACUAGAAUUUCUUCGAUUGGAGCACUGUGACAAUCUCCUAUGUGUUGCCCCAUCUCACAUGUGGAAGAGAUUGCAGCUUUGUCUCGACUUCCUAGAAGUGAGAUCAUGCCGUUUGGUUGAGAUCAUAUACAAAAGUGAUGGGACAAAUACAAAGAGUGGCAAAUUGAGGAGGUUGAUUUUGCAUGAUCUCGAAAACUUGAGGCAUAUUUGGCAGUCCGAUGGUCUCCCAAAUAUCCCGUUCCCAAACUUGAGACAAAUUAAGGCUAUGAGGUGCUCCCGUUUGGAAAUUCUUUUCACAACCUUCACGGCGAAAUUUCUCGGGCAAAUCGAAGAGCUAGUAGUAGAGUCAUGUGAAGAUAUAAACUAAUUGCUGGCCAUGAAGAAUGUGAAGAAGCAACCGGUACGACAAUCACCUUCUCCGAGUUAACUGCUCUUAGACUUUUCGAGUUGCCGAAAAUCAGGAGCAUCUUAGCUGAGAAAUACUCUGUGGAAUUCCCAUCCUUGCAAGUCUUGUGUAUAGUAAGCUGUGGAAUGGCGCCGGACCAAGGCCUUGACGACUGGAAACACUACCAAAGGUUCAAUAGUUAUAAACUCGAAGAAGUAUUGAAAUAUAGGUUUGAUGACUUCUCGUUUGGGACUUCUGCAGUAGAAAAUGGUGUUUGGCAAUAUAGAAUAACGCGUCCGGUAAUAUGAUAUCAUGUUUCUGGGUUAUCUUGUACAGUUCCCGCAAAGUCUCUUGACUAUUUCCUCCAAUAAUCAUUGCUCUGGUUUAUCUCCUGUCCCUUGGAUCUAAGGCCGUGCUGAGCGAGGUCACUUGUUUAUUCUGACUGAGAAUGUAGAGUUGCUAUCAACGCACGAUUCUAAUAAAAUGACUGUCCAUCUAGACAUUUUCUCUUAACUGACAAGCAUGUAAGAGUUACUAAUGAGUCCUAGUCACUUCCUCUAAAUUUCUGAAGAGUCUUUCAUGGACAGUAACGAAUGCAUUGCAUCCAUUUUGUAUCGAAAUGGUGGUUCUGCAUUAAUAAGCAAACGAAAUAUUCAAAUAAUUUUUCAUCAAAAAUAACUACGAAGAACGAAAUAAUUCUGUUUUUAGUCGAAUUUAAAAACGUAAAUAUUUUCUCAUUCUCACUAACUAUUUACUACUUGAUAGUUGGAUAUUUUGAGAUGUGAUGUUCAUGAUUAGUAUUUUAGAAAGUUACUCUUGAAAUUUUCUUGUUCAUAAGGUCAAUUUUACUUGUUAUUAACAAGAAAUUUUGCUCCUAAACUCAUUAAUAGCAAAGGCAUUUAGUAAGCAAAAAGCAUUCCUAAUGUAAUAAAUUAUCAAGAGAUUCUCUACCUAUACUUUUACUCUUCUCUUGACAAAGCUCUUCAAAUUUUAUCUGGAAAAAACAAAAGCCGUUUUAUUAAAUAUGAAUGCCGUUUCAAUGUGCAAAAAUCAAUUUUACUGUUUUAUAUAUACCAGAUUUCAGGCUCAAUCAACAAUUUCACAAAAUAGAUGACCUCCAUACAUGCGAGUUUACCAACUUAAAUACGCUUUUAUUAAUUUCGUCUCAUGACAAAGAUCAAAACAGGUUUCUUCUCUCUCGAUCGAAUUCACUGGCUAACAAGGCAUCAUCACGUGGCCCUCAACAGAAUUCACUGGCUCUCUUCCUUUCUCUCUCUACAUCUAACGAUCUGAGUCGAUUCCCUUUCGAGAUCAGGCUCGGCGCGCUCUGCUGAGUGGGGCCAGAGCAUAAACAGAGCCACCUUCGCACACGCAAAAGGAGCUCCACAAAUUCUCUCUAGACCUGGUUGAAGGGACUCGCGUGAUUUUUGAGCAUUCAUAAGUCACUCUCUCUCGGAGAUUUCUUUCGAAUCUUUGCCUCUCGCUUCGUUGCUGAUCGUCACCGCUUCCCGAUCGCCAACAGUUCAGUCUGUAGUGCCGAAGUUCUCGAACUUUGGUCACGACUGUCUGCUUCGACGAUUCCAAUCCUGGAUGUUGCCUCUGUUAUCUCGUUACUUGUAUCCGAUGUCGAUCGCUAUAGCUAAUCAUUCUUCUUUCAACUAAACCACAUUUGCUCUGUUUUCCGUUGCUUCUUAUACGAAGCAGAGGCUGAGUGCUAUUGUUACCAUCUGUGCGAAACCGGCUUCGAUUGAGGCUGUAUUGAUGAUUGAACUUGCCGACUGCCUUUGUGAUGAUUUGGAUGCGAAUCACCUGUUUGAUGAAAUUCCUGAACUUAAUCAGUUUGUAUUUUGAUUCAAGUCUUGACUGAGAAUUUCCUUCAUUACUAGAUUAUUGAUCGAUUCUGGUCAUAUAAGCGCGUUUGAGGUCUGUUUCUCCAUUAAAAAUCAUAGGUAUUCAAUUUUGAACUUGCUUUGGAUGUGCUACAACCUGUUGAUGCAUGCUGAUUUGUAAUUAUUGCAGCCCUGAGCUGAUGUCAUUUGGUCCUUGAUAUUGAUGUUAUUCCACUCAAGUAAGCAUGGGUAGUGAAUUUCAUGUUCCAUUGAAAGGAAUUUAUGUCAUGAAUGAAUUAAAUUCUACAGGAAAUCGAUCCUUGUAUGCUGACUGUGUCUUAAAAUCCCUGAUUUAGUGUGCAUUUGAUUCCAAUUUGAGGCUAGUUUGGUUGUUGGAUCGUAUAAGCUCAUGCUAGGAAAGCAUUAUGGUGAAUCUCAUGCCAAUUUGCGAGAAUUGGGGUCAUCACCAAAUUUGAAUAUGUUAGAAUCAAAGUAUUGCAUGCUGACCGUGAUUGCUUUGUGUAAAUUCGGUAUUAAUUUGCCCCUGGAUUGAUGCCAUUUUGAUCAAGUAGACUUAUAUGUACUUGUAGGAAGAUAUGGCUUCAUUUUCAUGUUGAUUAAUCAUCAAAGGAUCACAAUUUGCUGCAUCAUAUGCUCUGUUACAAUUAUGAAUGUCUGCUGGAAGUAGUGGAAUAAGCAUAAUUAGAUGGAUAAGAGAUAUGGUGUGUGCAAGUUCUGUGUCAAUUUCACAUGUUUGGAGGGCAAUUGCAUGAUUAAAUUGAUGUCUGUAUGCUUGAUAUUGCCAUGAGAGUCUUGGCCUGAUUAUUGAAUUAGAGAAUUCUGAUGUUAAUUGAACUUUAAUUCCAUGAUUCUUGCGAUUUCAAAGCUCGGGGCAUCUAUUUUUUGUAAUAUUAAAUAAUUUGAAGAAUACUGACUUCGUUUAAAGGUGAUAUGGUAGACUAGCCAGAUUUGAGGAAAUCUCUCAACAAAACUGGUCACCGAGGCCCCAUCAAAUAUUGCGUGGAGGACACUUGCCAACAGAAUUCCAAUAUUCUCUCUCUCUCUCUCUCUCUCUCCCCUUCGACACUCACCAUUUAAGGCUUAUUUAUAAGAGCUAUUGCUUAAACCUGAUUGAUCCUUCAAGUGUGUGCGCUUGUGCCAAUGUACUGUGCACAACACCAAUUGCAACCUAUUGACGCUACCGGAAAUAUCUUUCGGGGAAGCUAGAACUCACAUUUGGUUGUGAAUUCCAAUGUGGCAGAUGAAGGCAUAUACUCUCUGUCCUUUCCUUCCUUGAAGUUCGCUGGCCACUGCUGUUCAGAAUGAUGUUUCAAAGAUAUGUUUCUCAUUUCAUUGGAAUGCUCAUGAUAGACUGAUGGUCAUCUGCGUCAACAGCACUAAAGGAGCACAACAGAAGAUUAUCGGACAGAAGAUUAUCGCUGGUGGGGGGAGGGAAGCUUGGCCACCAGCAAUAAUUUAAUCACCUAUCCGAUUGCCAACAGUUCCGAGGACUGAAAUGCCACAGUACUCAAACUUUGGUCAUAAUUGCCUGCUUUGUCGAUUCCAUUCCUUGACGUUGCUUUCAUUAUCUCCUUACUCAUAUCCAAGGUCAAUCGCUAUAGCUAAUCAUUCUUCGUUCAACCAAACUGCAUAUGCUCUGUUUUCCAUUGCUUUAUGUAUGAGGCAGAGGCUGGGACCUGUUGCUACCGUCUAUGUGAAUAUGAACUGUGAUUGAGGCUGUAUUAAUGAUUUGAACGUGCUGCAUUUCCUUUGCAAUGAUUUGGAUGUGAAUCGUUGCUUUACUUUUGCAUCUAAGCUCCCUAGCCAAAAUGUAUACCACAUGUUUGAUGAAAUUCCUGAACUAAAUAAAUGUGUAAUUCCAGGUCUUGAUUGAGAAUUUCAUUCAUUACUAGGGAUUUCAUCAAUUUUGGUCUUAUCAGCCUAGUUGUGUUCUGUUUCUUCAUUGAAAAUUAUAGGCAUUCCAUUUUGAACUUGCUUUGGAUUUGCUGGAACCUUGUCGAUACAUGCAGAUUCGCAGCUAUUGCGGCCCUGGGCUAAAGUCCAUUGAUCCUUCAUUUGAUGCUAUUCCACUCAAGUAAGCAUGUGCAGUGACAUAAGAUUGUGUUAUGGUAAAUUUCAUGUUCGCUUGGAAAAGAUAUUAUGUCAUGGAUGAAUUAAAUUAUACUUGAAAUCAAUCCUUGAAUGUUGACCAUGUCUUGAUAUCCCAUGAUUGGGUGUGAGUUUGAUUCCAACUUGAGGCUAGUUUGGUUAUGGGAUCGUCUAUGUUCAUGCUAGGAAAGUAAUAUGGUGAAUCUCAUGCCAACUUGAGGCUAGUUUGGUCAUGGAUUGAUGCCAUUUUGAUCAAGUCAAUUUGUCAUCAAACAAUCAUGAUUUGCAGUCUUGUAUGCUCUGUUACAAUUCUGAUUGCUGCUACAAGUCGUGGAUUAAGCACAGAUUAGAUGGAUUUUGUCUCAACUUGCUUGUCUUUUUUAUUGCCCGUGGGCAAGUGAUAUCAUGUGUUCAAGUUCCUUGUCAAUUUCACGUGUUCAGAUGGCACUAGUUGGCUGUUAGUCCCACGAGAAUGAAAUCAAGGACUGCAUAUCAAAACAGAUGUAUUAACAAAGGGUUUCAAUUCCCCAAAAAAGCACAAACUUUAGGUUGACUCUCUGUUCUGAGUAAAACUUUUUUUUGUCUAGAAAGAAUCAACUUCCACUUAAGUCCCAAAUUUGAUCCCCAUUCAAUUGCCGUCCAAAAUCACUGUUGAAGGUCUAACAUGGCAGUCAGUUGUAAAUCCAUGUCAGCUAACUACUCACCAAAAAGAUGCUUUGUUGUUCUUAAAAAUUUGGAAAAAUCAAAACAAUUAGAGGUGGAUUCUUCAAUUCUGCAGACAAAAGUCUUCAAAUUUUGCAUUUGGGAAUCUUCAAUUCGUCGGAUAGACUCACGCCCGAGAUAGUUGGUUUGUUGAGCUUUUAAUAAACCAAUUCUGAACUCUGCUUGUCUCGUGAUCCAAGGACAGGUGCUCGACCGAAGACAGCAUCUUCUGCAGGAUCAUUCUCAGUGAAUCGCCUGCACUCAAGGUAUUUGAUUGAUUUUGAUUCUGGUUCUUCUGAAUUGAGGAUGGAUAGCUAUCUUCUUCAAUGUCAAAGCUCAUUUCAAUUCAUGGUUUUGCAUCUCGUGUUAUUCUUACUGAAAGAUGCGAGCUUGAUGUCCUGCUGGGGUUGGCGAUCAUGUGCAGAAGAAUUACAUCCACAUAUUGUUCUCAUGUUUUGCCUAUCCGAAAACUCAAUGGAAUGGUGACUCUUCCACAUUGCACUGUUUGUCAUGCAUCAUUAAGCAUUGCUGAUGCGGCUAUGUGUUUGACAAGCAUUUUCGGAAUGUAUGACAGAUGAUGGCUAGAAUGAUCAGAUCCUUCUUCAUUCAUUUGAUCUUAUUCAUUUUGUACUUUCAGCUCUGUGAGGAUGAAAAGUGUCUAUGCAUAUUGAUUCGAGUCUUCUAAGCCAUGGGUAGGGUGUUACUCAUCCAUCAUUCUGCAGUAGAUGACCCCUUGAAAUUAUUGUCCUUAAACAAGGAUAAACUGACGAGGCAAAAAUGUCAUAUUUGCUCUUGUGAUUAACUUCUCCGUUGUUUAGCCAGGACUUCUUAUAGUCUCAUCUAAUCACUCUCUCCAGAUUGUGUAACCUUGCUUCAUAAACAAUAAAUUGAGAUGAAUUGAUGUGUCUAUACGUGAAGUUAAGAUUUGCACAUGAAACUAUGUUGUAGUUAGAAGCAGAUGCUGCCAUCUGGUUCUAACUUUUAUGACCUACGUGCUUGGUUAUAGCAUCCUAGAUGAUUGAGUCAUGGUUUGUAAGUUAACACCAAUCUUCCUUACUGAUGACAGCUUUUUUGUUGUCAUCUUGGAUCCUAACAAUUGUUCUCAUGGCCUAAAGAACCAACGUCUUAAUUAAAAAAAUUCUACCUGCUCCUGGCGGUUGAAUGUAAAGACUAAAAGAGAGCAUUGAAGAGAAAGAGGGCUUUUGAUUGUUAUUAAUGGAGAAUGUCUUCUCGAGGAAUUUGGCACAAGUGUUUUUUCACAAACCAACUUCUAUUCUUGAAAAAUCUUUUGCAACGUAAGACUAUGUAUGAACUCACUCACCUCAAUUGUACUUGGGACGCAGUGCUUCGUCCACGAUCUCCUGCAAAUCUGUGGUUUUCAUAUCCAGCGGGCCUUAUUGUUCAACGGCCAAGUCGAGUACAUUAAUGCCACACGGGACAUGCUGUGGUCCCUCGCCCGGAAGCUGGGUCGUUGGCAUAGGCAGUUACUUUUUGUCCAGCGUGGAUGCGCUUUCAUGGAGAAAAUGAUUGCUAGAUAGCAGAAUAGUUCUAGCAUUUUGGAGGCGGCAGAGCUCAAAAGGCAAUGUUAGUAUAAAGAAAUGGUGGAGGCGGUCCACUUAUCUUGCGUCUAACGGCACUUUGACCACCUCUUCAACGGCUACUUUGAAAAUUGCAAUUCUAUAAAAAAGAUUCAAAGCUUGCUGAAGGAUUCGGUUUCCGACUUCUUGAUAUUUUACAAGCGUGGUCAUAAACUACCGAUACUCUGAAGAAUUUUGCCAACAUACGAAUGGAUUAAUAUAUUACCAACUUCUUAUCAACAUUGUAAGGGAUUUAGUAAUAUCCAAAUAAAUUAGAUUUAUCAAUGUCAAAAUAAAUUAGAAAAUUAUGUAUUUUUUUUUUUAAAUUUAGACACGGUUCAUAAGUUUUAACGAUGUUAUUAAUUUACUUAUGUCAGAUUAAUUUGUAAGUAACCUCUUAACCUAGUUGGUUAGGAUCUCACCCUGAGAUCCGAGAUCCAGGAGGUAAGGGGCUCAAAGCCCCUAAUAUUUAUCUUGUCAUUUAUCUUGUCCCUUGAAUUGAGGCGUGUGUUCACUGCUGCUUUGAUUCUACCCUUAAAUGCAUGUACUCAAUUCGGGCUUACUCGACAUCAAGGGUGGCUUUCCUCCUAGCGCACCAUGCGAAUCUAUUAAUUUCUUUCGUUGAUUGAUAUACUUCAAUUUUUGUCCUACAUAAUCUAUUUUUCAGUAUAGAAUUUACAUAUCAUGGAUAUACAUGUAAUUUAUACCUUUUUAACUAUAAUUUUUAUUAUAUCCACAAUCAAUACAAAACAACCUCUAUUUUGACACUACAAUAUUUAUACAUAUAUGCUAACUAUCCGUUUAUGUCAGGUUAUUUAAAUUUUGGAGUACAUGUGUAAGUAUAUUUUAUAUACCAUUGUUUAAAUUAUUUCUGUUUUGUGUGACUAACCGAAUUAGGAGGGUUGCUUUUUUAAAAAUUUUGGCUGCUGUUAGUCGUAAAACAAUUUGUAUGAAUUUGGGACUAAAUAUAUAAUUGUGUAUGGUCAUGCACACAUUAACAUGACACUUUCAAGCUUUUUCAGCAGUUCCUUUUUAAUUUCUAUUUUACUGGGUAUCAUAUACUUGAAUAAAAAGAUAUUCUUUACUUGAAUAAUAUUAGCAUUCACGUAUAUGAAGUCGCCCUACCAAUUCAAUUAUAUAUGUAAUUCAAAACCUAUGCAUUGUCACAAGAUUAAUAGAUAGAUGUCUAUUUUAUAUCAAUAAGGUGUCUAGAACUCUCUGAGCAUCCAACUAAUCUCCAUUUGGUGUGAUGGUCCCUCCAUCUCACACAUGUCAGGUAAUCACCGGAGACUCACAAAAGAGUGCUCAUGGGAGUGGCCACAAGAGAAUGUUCAAGUAUAGUGAUUUGAUCACAAGCUUUGACAAGAAAGAUAAACAUACUUGCCACCUAUGAAGCACAGACAUGUUGCCCGUGCUUCCGUGUCAUGUCCGACAUUUGUCUGAGCAUGUCGGGCACGUCAACACGCUAGGACACGGUCGGACACGAGGUCAACGCAUGUCGGAUUUUCCGACAUGCGGUCAACGUUUCUCGACACGUUUUGACACGCAUGUCUGGAAGACGAUGGAUGGUGGAGGCAAGGGAGGGCGAGGGAGCAGAGAUGAGGCCGCGAGCGAUGGCGAGAGACAGCAAGAGAAAGAGCCGAACAGAGAGAAAGAAGAGAGAGAAAACAAACUCCCUUAGAUUCAUAAUCAAAACAUCACAGCGUCAUGGCCUAGUGCGCUUGCAAAGAAAACUGAUCUCGGGCCUAUUUGGCUCGCGGUUUACUGACCAAAUCUACGAGAACCUUCAUAGAUAUUUUGAUGCGUAUUCAUAGAUCAUAUUCAUUCUCAGGUGUAAUUCCACUCCGAGGACAGGUAUUUCUUUUAGGGAAUGAGCUUGACUAAAGUAGGGGCAAAUCUUUUUCAUUAGGGCAAAUCUAUUUCAUCAGGGGCCUUAUUAGUGAUUCCCUCUUUUUGGUCCCCGGCCGACUAUUCUCUCCAUCGGUGAUAACAUAAUUCGACGUUGACUUUUGUCAUCUGCUGUCACGGUUGCACCUCAUGGAGAAAUUUACUAGUUUCUUCUUGCUAUUCAUAAUGACUAUUUGAUAUAUCGAUACAAGAGCAUAUUUAUUUUUCUAUAUGUCAUUUGUAGGUUAGGCUAGACAUUUGUCAAUAUGUACGUGUGAAUUGUAUUAAAAAAGUCUCACACCAGAUAAUUGAUGUGGUGUGAUUAGUUAAUUUAUCCGAGUUAAUCUAUAACUUAUUGGCUUAAAUUUUUUAGCUCCAAGUAGAUAUGUUGAUAGGUUCAAAUUUGGACUCUCUCUUGGCGACCACCCUGAACUCCCAAUGUGUAGUGUUUGGUAAAUAUCUCAAGGAACUCAAUGUGCAUCAAUAUUUGGUAAGUAUCUUAAGAAAGAAAUCUCGUGAUUAAUGGUUUCCGAGCAGCCUAGUGUUGUGGUGCAACAUUGCAUUCUCAAUGGCAGUUCGAGAUGAAGGUUGGCAUUGUUGUAGUUGUUGUGACCUCACACGCAACAAAGUGGAGAUUCACAUGUGAAUUAAUGUAGAACAUCCCUAAUAUUGAACUCACACCUGAGUGAGUGGGAGAUUGUUGAGUUGCACAUUUGCAUUAUAUUAAAAAAGUCCUACAUCGGAGAAUUGAUAUAGUAGCUAAUAUAUCAUAGUUAACCUAAAACUAGAUAUAUUGAAUGACUCAAACUUAGACUCUCUUUGGCAAUGUCCUCAAGUGAAGCUAUCAAGCGUCCAACAGUUUUCGAGGUCAGUAGCUUUUUGCAAUGGCAUGCUUGAAAGGCAAUCGGAAGGUUUGAAGGCAAUGGCGCGGCUACAUUGUGCCUCUUAAUAGACUUUGUGAAGGUAUCGAAGUGCAAUAGACAAUCAAGGACAAUUGCCUCGUAGAAGGAAGGAAAAAUAAUACAAAUAAUUCAUGAACUUUGGUCCAAUAUACAAUGUCGUCUUUAAUUUGUUUAACUUGGUUCAUGAACUAUUGGUAAAUGUUCAGUGUUAUCUUUGAACUUCUAAUUUAUUCAAUGUGACCCUUAAAUUAUUGGUAAAUAUUUAAUAUAGUCAUUCUGUUUGUUCAAACAGCAAUAUGAUGACAUGCAUUAUUAUAUUAUAUGCUGAGUUGGAUUUUUAAAAUUAAUGAGUCAAUAUAUCCAUCUUUUAUCUGUCUACUUUAAAAAAGGAAAAAAACAAAUUAGGGACUUCAAAUAUCCCACGUGCAAAUUUCUUUUCCUAAUUUGAGAUAAAUAUUUUACGUGGAUAAUCCAUAUAUAUAUUGUCUACCAUUCAUAUUUAAUGGAAUGGAAGUCACGUAUUCCAUUAACUUGAAUUAACAAAAAGAUGACUUUAAAUAAUUUGAUAUAGUUAGGGAAUUAGAUUGAACAUUUAUUAGUAACUCAGAGUUUAGGACUACAUUGAACAUUUACAAAAGUUUAGACACUAUAUUUAACAAAUUAAAAGUUCAUAAGUAACAUUGCAUAUUGAAUCAAAUUUUAAGGACCAUUUUUGCUUCAUUUUUCCUUAUAAGGAAAGUGAAAGUAGGAACGUCCUCUUCGGUUUCUUUGCAUCUUGCAAGGUGCUUCUCCUCCAUGAACCACCACUUGCAUGCACGACUGACGUGCCACGCGUUUUCCAGUUGUCUUGUAGAUGUUUCAAACAUAUUUACCUUAUUAUUUGAAGAAGAAUAUUAUGUCAUCAUGAACCUAGUACAAGACACUAUAUAUUUCUUUUCAUUAAAUCUUUACUUAUCAAAGGCCGGCGAGUUAUUUCUCGAUCGAUGGGAGAAAUGGGCCAAAAAAUUGGGAAAAUCCAGUUGAAUAGAACCCGGUAUGUGUUGAUCAAAUAUUGAUCCAUUUGAAAUGACAUGGGGUCGAAGUCCCAUAGAAUGUGGUGGAAGACUAAACAAGGAGCCGUAAAGGGAAGGUGGUGGGGGGAAAGAGAGAGAGAGAGAGAGAUUUCUUUAGUGCAAGAUGAUUCUUUCAUAUUUUUAUUUUCCUUUAUUUAAAGGUUCCAAAGUGAAGAAAGGAUACGAUGGUUGAAGGAUUUUUUUUUUCUCGUCUUUCAGUUCAGAUACUUGGCUUCCAUGAUAGAGGAUUCUUUUUCCCUUCGUUUAAAGGUUCCAAAGCGAAGAAAUGAUGAGACGGUUGAGGAAUUUUUUUCUCAUCUUUCAGUUCAGAUACUUGGCUUCCACAAUAGAGGAUUCUUUUCUUCGAGCCUAGGGAUUCUUCCUCAAAUUAUUCGAAUUAUUAUUUUCUUCUUCAAAUUCAUCAUCUCCUUCCAACGCUAAAUCCAAACCCCAUGUCUCCCACCACGCUGACAUCUUAAUGAGCCACAGAUUAAACUAAUUCCUGCCGGUGAAGAUCUCUAACUCAAAUUUUCUAGAAGCCAUAGCGAUAAUUGCAUACAGACAAAAUAACCCUAGGCUUUGAUACUAGUUUUAUAACUAAUGCGCAAACAAGAACAAAUGAAAAUGACUUAAGUAAAAAAUAAAUUGCAUAAAUAAAACCUGAACGCAGCGGAUUUACUUUGUCCAAUGGUAAAACCUACUUUAUGGGGAAAGUUAACAAGAUGGUUUCAUGAUAAUCGGCGAAAAAUGGAUUACGACCGCUCAAUUACACUCACUCAUAAGUGUUUCUCAAUCAUAGAGUUUCACAAGAAUCAGUCACAAGAAAUGAGUUUUCUCACACUCUCAGCUCUCUCGGAUGAUGAUUCUCAAUAGUCUCUAUGUCUCUCACAAGCUUUUAUACGUAUUAAGCACACUCAACAUGCUCAAAAGACCAAACUCACCAAUAAAAUAGUUAUAUGCAAAGAAAUUAUCAGCCCGUAUUUGAUGACAACAUUGAUUUCAUCAUCAAUAAUGAAAAGAGUUCUUGUGAGAAAUUAAUGUCCCUUGUUGCAUCACCCACACUCCGAUUGGCAAGAGUCCAAUUUGGACUUCCUAAUAUGGCCUGAAUUGCUUUGCAAUUAAAUUAUGGGUUGAAUUUCAAUCAAUCAGGAUUAACUUUGAUUCAUAAUCAACACAUCACAACGUCAUGGCCGAGUGCACUUGAGGAGGCAUUUGAUCUCAAGCAUACUCGGCUUGAGGUUUACCAACCCAAUCUACAGGAAUAUUCGUACAUAUUUUAAUGCUUAUUCAUGAAUCAUAUGUAUUCUUAGGGGUAGUUCCUCUCUGAGGCAGGUAUUUCUUUCAGUUAAUGAAUUUGACUAAGAUAUAAGUAGGUGCGAAUAUUUUCAUUAGUGACCUUGUUAGAAAUUCCGGUUUUUUUGGUCCCUGGCCAACUAUUUUGUCAUCCGGUGACAACAUGAGUCAAUCUUGAGUUAUGUUGUCUACCGUCGCGGUUCCACCUCUUGUAGAAAUCUACUUGCAAGGUGCUUUCAGUGGUCCCUUCUCUGAGAACCAUCACUUGUGUGCUCGGCCAGGGUACUGUAUGUUUUCCGUUAGUUCUUGUAGAUGUUUUAAAUACAUUUAUCCUAAUUUUAGAAGAAGAAUAUCGUGUCGUCGGGAACAAAGUAUAAGACACUGUAUGGUUCGUCACGUCAAAUUUUUACUUACCAAAGGCCAGAGUUAUUUCUCGAAGGGAGAAAUGGAAAAAAAAAAAAAAAAACAAAACAAAAGCGACAAUCCAGUAGGAUAGAACCUGCUUCAUAUUGACCCGAAAUCCGAUCUCGCCCAUUUGGCGCGUCGGAGUCGUAGAAAUCACGAUGGAAGAUUAAAAGAGCAGUACAAGUGAAGAGAGAGAUUGAAAGAAAAAGAGAGGCGGCAGAGAUUUCUUUCGUGAAAGAUGAUUCUUUCAUAUCUAUAUUUUCCUGUUUCGAGGAUACUUUUUCGCUUUAUUUAAAGGUUACAGGGAGAAGAAGUCAUGAGACGGGAGGAUUCUUUCAUUAUUCCCUUCAUGUUGAGGAUUCUUCCUCACCUUUCAGUUCAGAUACUUGUCUUCUAUGACAGAGAAUUCUUUUCCUCCAGCAUGGGGGAUCCUUCUUCAGAUUAUUCUUUUCUUGGCCGAGGAAAAAUGAGAUGGUCUUCACGACCUUUCUUGGCCAACACCUUCGUAUAUAUUUUGGGAGUUUCACCCCAUCUCAUUCAGACAUUUGUCGCAUUUCCUAUCUCGAAUUUUCACCGUCCUUCACUGUCUUCUUCCAGCCACUAGCUCUCUCUCUCUCUCUCUCUCUCUCUCUCUCUCUCUCUCUCUCUCGUGUUCAUUGUAUUCAUCCUAUUGAACCUUUCCUCUUCUUCAGUCGUUUCGUUUUCGGGUUCCAUCACUUCAGCCUUCCUAAGCAUAUAUAAAUUCUUAACUUUCAUUUCUCUCCAAAGAGGAAGGCAAAAAAAUCAGAAAGAUAGAAAUAAAAAAGCGGGAAAAUGGCGGAUAUUGUUCUGUCUAUAGCUUCCAAAGUGGCGGGAUACCUGGCGGCUCCAAUUGGUCGUCGAUGCGGCUACCUGAUGUUCUCCAACAGCUACGUUGGCCAACUGAAGGAAGAACUUGAGAAGCUGGAUGACGCGAGGGUUGGGCUGCAGCGCUCGGUCGUUGAUGCUGAAAACAACAUGAGGGAGAUAAAACGCGAAGUUAACAGAUGGAAGAAUGAUGCAGAGACUGUUGCCAACAAGGCGCGCGGCAUGCUGGAUAACGAGGGAAGAGCCAAGAAAACUUGCUUCUGCGGGUGGCUUCCCAACCCAAAGGAGCGUUAUUGUCUCGGCAGGGACGCGAGGAAGACAGCCCAGGCCAUCCAGGCACUCAUCCCACAAGGUAAAUUCGAGAGCGUCUACUAUGAGAGUGCUCCGCCGGGGCGUGUCACUGGCACUCCCGAUGUGAAUUCCUCAGCCGGUGAUGGGGGCGACACUAUCGCAGACUCGCGAGCUUCCGUCUUUCAGGGCAUAAUGAAAGCUCUGGAUGAUGAGAAGCUAAGAGUGAUUGGGGUCUACGGGCCUGGCGGCGUGGGGAAGACUACGCUAUUGGAGGAAGUCGAGAAGAAACUCAGGAAAGAGAAGGGACCGUUCCACAUGAUCGUCAAAGCAAAAGUGUCACAGAUUCCUGUCUCGAAGAAUAUCCAAGAUGAGAUCGCUGACGCCUUGAAACUGGAUCUGAAGGACGUGCGAAGCAAACGCGGCCGGGAAAAUCGUCUGUUGGAGAGAUUACAGCGGGAUCCAAGUGAGAAGGUUCUCAUAAUAUUGGAUGACCUAUGGGGGGAACUUGAUUUGAAAGCGGUUGGAAUUCCUUCAAGAGACAUUAGCGGGAAAUGCAAAUUGUUGCUCGCAUCAAGAUUUGAAGAUGUGCUGAAGCAAAAGAUGUGUGCCGAUGAAACAUUUUUUCUUGGAGGCCUAAACAACGACGAAGCUUUCGGGCUAUUUGCAAAGACGGUCGGCAACAGGCUCGAAGACGAUGAGGAUUUGAAAGCAAUAGCGGCUCGAGUGGUCAAGAAGCUUGCAGGUUUGCCUCUUUUGAUUAUCUCCGUUGCAAAAACCUUGAAAGAAAGCCCUGUGUCCGCAUGGAGAAUCGCACAGAUAGAAAUAGAUGAGUCAACUAAAGAAAUACAAGAAACGAUAGUGAAGUUGAGUUAUGGCCAUUUGAAGAGUGAGGACGCGAAGUGCUUAUUCUUGCUCUGCGGUCUUAUUGGCGGGACCAUUCAGGUCGAACUUCUAUGGGUAUUAGGCAUGGGGUUGGGCUUGCUUGAAAAAAUUAAUGAGACAAUACAAAAUUCAAGGGAUAGAUUGAAUAAUAUUCUGGAUAGCCUCCAUUCCAUUUGUUUGUUGCAGGAUGGAGGCGAUGAUAAGAAACAUGUGACCAUACACGAUCUUUACAGCGAGGUGGUCAUCUCAGGUGCAUAUAGUGGUCAGGAUUCCUUAAUGAUUAACAACAAUUAUGGCUCAUGGCCAAAGGAAAAGCUUGAGAAAUGUUGGGCAUGCCUGGUUAAUGUUGGCAGUGAUAAACUUGUUGAACUAAUGCUGCGUCAGUUUCCCCACGUGAAGAUACUUAUGUUGUCAGAACAAAACAAUAUGGGAGAUUGUAGUAGAAUUGAUUUCACAUACAUGGAGGAGCUUCGAGUCCUCUAUCUUCGCUCUAUGCAUAUCACCAGUUUACCUUCCUCGAUGGAAAUCCUCGGGAACCUCCGGUCAUUAAGCAUAAAUUGCUAUGUGAGGGAUGUGGCAAAUCUUGGCAAGCUCAAAGCACUGCAGAUUCUUAGCUUCGAUGGGUCUAUAAUUUCUAGACUGCCUAAAGAAAUCGGGAAACUAACAAAUCUAAGAUCGUUGAAUCUGAACCACUGCUACUGGCUUAAGAUAAUCGAGCCUAGAGCCCUAGAAGGCUUAAUCAACUUGGAAGAGUUACAUAUGAAGAAUAGCUUUGAUGGGUGGAUGGGCAAGCAUGAAAUACCGUCGGAAUCGUGUGUUGUUGGGCUUGCUGAGUUGAAGAGCCUGACAAAGCUGGCAUCUUUGGAAAUAUCAAUUCCUGAUCCCAUCAUACUCUUAGAGGAUGGUGACCUACCAUUUGAGAACCUGCACAAAUUUUGGAUCAACAUAGGAUAUUUGGGGUUUCGGAUGGAGAGGGAAUAUGAAUGUUUGACAACCAUGAGGCUCGAUCUGAAAGGGGUGGAAGGGUGCAAUAGUAUUCUUUCAAGAAAAUGGGUUAAGAAAAAUCUGCAGAAGACUCAAUGCUUAUAUUUAGGAGGGUUGAGUGAGUUCAAAGAGAGCGCUCACAAAUUGUGCACCCAAGGAUUCCAAGAAGUGAAGUAUCUCAGCAUUACAAAAAGCCCCUUAAUCAAGUACAUUGCUUAUUCAUCCAAUGCCGAUCCAUCCAAUGGCCUUCCUCUCAUUGCUUUUGGGAAGUUAGAGUCUUUUUACCUUCAAAAUCUUAUUAAUUUGGAGAAGAUAUGCCAUGGACCCAUUGCGCCAGAGUGCUUCAACAAAUUGAAAGUUAUGAGAGUAACUUGGUGCAAACGAUUGAAAUACUUGUGGCGUCUUUCAGAUAUGCAAAGACUUGUACAAUUGGAAGAGAUUUCAUUGUGGGAAUGUGAAUCAUUGCAAUCCAUUGUCACGCAUGAUGCCGGAGAAGAUAUAGUUUAUACCAAUAACAAAGUUGAGUUGCCUAAUGUACGUCGUCUGGGAUUGAUUGACUUACCAAAUAUGACAAGCUUUUGUACCAAAGCUGAAAUCACAUCAAAGGAUAUUCCAAUCCAGGUAAUUUUUUUUUUUCACUUUUUCCCUCUAUCAAUUUGCCCUAUUAGGAUGAGAUGAUAUUGGUGUUCACUCAAUGUUAGUACAUAUUGCAUUUUAACUUUGAUUAUUCGUACAAUUUUAUUCGCCUUUUGAUUUACAAUUGAAAAAUCAUCUUGAUUAUUCGUACAAUUUUAUUCACCUUUUGAUUUACAAUUGAAAAAUCAUCUCAAAUAGAACACAGGUCCAAUUAUAAUUAGAGGGAAGCUGCUUUCCACGACUUAUUAUUUUAAAAAAAAAUAAUCAAUGGUAGAUUAUUGGACCUAUAACUGGGGUUUCUACUGUGACUAUUUAUUAGUUAUUUAACAUUUUUAAUGAGUUGAAAAAAUAGUAGUGUGCUUAAUGAAUAUAAGCAAAAAUGAAUCUUGAAUGAAUAAAUAAAAUUCAAUAAUUUGAAAAUGAAGAAAGCGACGUCCAGAAAUUCAAUAAAGAUGGCGAGCGAGAAGCCACAUAACAAAGAAAGUCCCCAGAAUUCAUGUCCCACCUAACAUGCAAUUUUGUAACUUCCAACAUGUCAUGCCAAGUUUCCAAUGUCGCCAUGACAACAUGACCGUGCAAUUGUGCGGCACUAGCAGCAUGAUAGUGGUGAAGAUAUCAUCAUGAAAAUGAUUUUGCUUUUCACAGAAGAGAAAUGAUUUUAUUUUAUUUUUUUGCUUUUUAGACUGAGAGUUUCACUUAUUUUCUUGUGAAAAUAGCUUGAUUUGUAACAAACUCACCUUUAAUGAGUCUCAUUGUGGCGCUUUGUUAGGUUUCAUUGCCUCACUUGGAAUCCCUAGUAAUGGUUGGAUUCCUUGCCCCAGAAAAAAUACUCUACAGUGAACCCUCAAUAAAAUACAGCGUUGUGAAAUCGCUAAGGAUAGAAGAGUCUAAAUCCACGUUGAGUAUUCCAAAGAUAGGAUACUCAAGCUGCCAAAUUUGGAGUCAAUGAAUAUUUGUUGUCGUUAUUCAUUAAAUAAUCGGUACGAGUGAACGAAAUUCAACAAUCUCGAAAUGAAGAAAGUGAGAUUAAAUAAAUGGAAGGCGAACCAAGAGCCACGUAACAAAGAAAGUCCACCUAAUUGAUGUUUCACCUACAUGCAAGUUGUAAUUGAUUUUAACAAGUCAUGCCAACCUCACCAUGUCAACAUCAUUCUGCUUCCGUCAUCCCUUUCUUCAGCUACUAAGGGGAUAUUUCCUUCUCCAUUCUUUCAGGCACGACAAAAAAUCUACAUAUUCCGUCCUUUGAUCAAUUGAUUUUUGAAUAUUUAAUUUUGAUCAAUUAAGUUUUUGACAUUCUUAAGAGACAUCGAGCCCAUUCAUGUAUUCAAUGUCCAUUUGUUUCAGUGAAAAUUCCUUACUGUUGAAAAAUGUUUUCUUGGUAAAUCGUUUUUUUCUAGAAAUUGUUUCCCCGUAUUUGGUUCUACUGAAAACGCAAUUUGAAAAGAUGUUUUAUGAUGUUUAUUAACGAAGCGCAAAAAUUUACAAAGUGAAGAUAAAAACUGUUAUGGAUCCUUAAUAGAAACAAAGCUCGAAUAAGUCAUAUUUACUUGUUCUUAAUGAAAACCAAUAAGUUAACAAAAAAUUUAUGAAAAACUGAACUUUGAUAUGAUUUUUUUUUUUUUUGUCAAUUUUGAAGUUCAAAAUAGAAAAACAAAAGAAAAGAUAACCAAAUUAUGGUAGUUGUUUUGAAGGUACGUAAAUGAUUUCAAAAGAAAAGAUAAAAAAUUAUGGUCAUAGUUUUGAAGAUCAGCUAAAGAAAAGAUAAAAAAAUAUGAUGACUGUUGAGAGAGAGAGAGAGAGAGAGAGAGAGAGAGUUGUGCGAUAGUGUUGCAGAGAGAGUUGUGCAAUAGUGCUGCAUUUGCAACAUGAUAGUGGUGAGGAUAUCCUCAUGAAAAUUAUCCCUUUUCACAAAAGAGAAAUUCAGAAAUUCAUUUUUUUCUAUAUAGUCAUUUUCUUGUAUCCAUGAGAAGUCUGAAAGCAAUUUCCUGAAAAUAGCUUUACUUGUAAGAAACUCACCUUUAAUGAGUUUCUUUGUGGUGCUUCAUUAGGUUUCAUUGCCUUGCUUGGAAUCCCUGGUGAUGUUUGGACUCCUUGGCCUAGAAAAGAUACUCUAUAGUGAACCUUCAUUAAAAUACAGUAAUCUGAAAUCACUAGAGAUAAAGGAGUCUACAUCCACGUCGAUUAUUCUAAAGGAUUGGAUACUGAAGUUCCCGAAUUUGGAGUCAAUGAAAAUUGCGUGCACUCCAUAUGUAGAAGUUGUUUUCAACCUAGAGGAGCUAAAAGUCAUCAAAGAAGUGGAGAUUCUCUCUCGGCUAAGUACAUUGGAAUUAUCUAAGUUACCGAACCUGCGGCACAUGUGGAAACAAAAUGUACAACUACAAGGAAUAUCGAUACUUCAGAACUUGAAAAAGCUCUUUAUCAACAAUACAGGACUCUCAUUUCUCUUUCCACUCUCUGUGGCUAAAUGUCUUAGAGAAAUUAGAGACAUUAAAGUGGAGGAUUGUCCGAAUAUGAAGGCGGUGAUUGUUGAUGAAGAAGGAAGAGAUGAUGGGAUAGAUGAUAUUAUAGAGUUCCCAUUAUUGGAGCGACUAUCUAUAAGCCACUGUCCCACGGAGAAAUUCUUCUCAUAUCCUCAUGCACAAAAAGAGUCAAUAACCACUACUUCAAAUUCACAAGAUACUUAUUCGGAUUCUUUCUUUGAUCAAAAGGUACGAAUCCUUUCUUUAGAGCUUACGCCCAUAACAGUCAUAAGCACGCGAUUGGUGGGGCAAGUAUUAAUAUUUUUUUGAAGAUUUUUUUAUUUGUUAUAUUAGUUAAAAUGUUUUUAUAAUUUAUAGCUACACUUGUUAGAGUAAGGCCAUUGGUGAAAAUUCUAUCCUCCACCGCAUUAGACAGAUUGGUAUAAGAUUAGACCAAAUUGUAAAAAAUUUCAUAGCUAUGAUCUGAUGUACAACUCUUAUGAGCAGAUAAGUUUACCAAACUUGGAGAAGUUAAUACUCGACUCGCUAGGAUCCUCUCGCUGUGGCUGUGGGCUCGGCCUCGCCAUUGUUGGGCGAGGCAUAUGGCAUAGUGAGCUUCCCAAAAGUUCUUCCGACAAAUUAGCCAACCUCACCCCGAAACAAGAUUUGCAAUCACAAGGAACAUCAAUAUUUCGGAAUCUAAAGGUGCUCUCUAUCAAAAAUACAGGGCUAUCAUUUCUCUUUUCGGUGUCUGUGGCUAAAUGUCUUAAGGAAAUUAGAGAGAUUGAAGUGGAGGAUUGUCUGAAUAUGAAUGCGGUGAUUGUUGAUGAAGAAGGAAGAGAUGAUGGGAUAGAUGAUAUUAUAGAGUUCCCAUUAUUGGAGCGACUAUCUAUAAGCCGCUGUCCCACGGAGAAAUUCUUCUCAUAUCCUCAUGGAAAAAAAGAGUCAAUAACCACUACUUCAGAUUCACAAGAUACUUAUUCGGAUUCUUUCUUAGAUCAAAAGGUACGAAUCCUUUCUUUAGAGCUUACGCCCAUAACAGUCAUAGGCACGCGAUUGGUGGGGCAAGUAUUAAUAUUUUUUUGAAUAUUUUUUUAUUUGUUUUAUUAGUUAAAAUGUUUUUAUAAUUUAUAGCUACACUUGUUAGAGUAAGGCCGUUGGUGAAAAUUCUAUCCUCCACCGCAUUAGAUAGAUCGGUAUAAGAUUAGGCCAAAUUGUAAAAAUUUUCAUAGCUAUGAUAUGAUGUACAACUCUUAUGAGCAGAUAAGUUUACCAAGCUUGGAGAAGUUAGUACUCCACUCGCUAGGAUCCUCUCGCCAUGGCUGUGGGCUCGGCCUCGCCAUUGUUGGGCGAGGCAUAUGGCACAGUGAGCUUCCCAAAAGUUCCUCCGACAAAUUAGCCAACCUCACCCCGAAACAAGAUUUGCAAUCACAAGGAAUAUCAAUAUUUCGAAAUCUGGAGGUGCUCUCUAUCAACAAUACAAGGCUGUCAUUUCUCUUUUCGGUGUCUAUGGCUAAAUGUCUUAGAGAAAUUAGAGACAUUAAAGUGGUGAAUUGUCCAAAUAUGAAGGCGGUGAUUGUUGAUGAAGAAGGAAGAGAUGAUGGGACAGAUGAUAUUAUAGAGUUCCCAUUAUUGGAGCGACUAUCUAUAAGCCGUUGUCCCACGGAGAAAUUCUUCUCAUAUCCUCAUGAAAAAAAUGAGUCAAUAACCACUACUUCAGAUUCACAAUAUACUUAUCCAAAUUCCUUCUUUGAUGAAAAGGUAUGAAUCAUUUCUUUAGAGCUUACACCCAUAAUAGUCAUAGGCACGCAAUUGGUGGGGCAAGUAUUAAUAUUUUUUUGAAUAUUUUUUUUAUUUGGUUUAUUAGUUAAAAAAUGUUUUUAUAAUUUAUAGCUACACUUGUUAGAGUAAGGCCGUUGGUGAAAAUUCUAUCCUCCACCGCAUUAGAUAGAUCGGUAUAAGAUUAGGCCAAAUUGUAAAAAAUUUCAUAGCUAUGAUCUUAUGUACAACUCUUAUGAGCAGAUAAGUUUACCAAGCUUGGAGAAGUUAAUACUCCACUCGCUAGGAUCCUCUCGCCAUGGCUAUGGGCUCGGCCUCGCCAUUGUUGAGCGAGGCAUAUGGCAUAGUGAGCUUCCCAAAAGUUCUUCCGACAAAUUAGCCAACCUCACCUCGAAACAAGAUUUGCAAUCAGAAGGAACAUCAAUAUUUCGGAAUCUGAAGGUGCUCUCUAUAAAAAAUACAGGGCUGUUAUUUCUCUUUUCGGUGUCUGUGGCUAAAUGUCUUAGGGAAAUUAGAGAGAUUGAAGUGAAGGAUUGUCCGAAUAUGAAUGCGGUGAUUGUUGAUGAAGAAGGAAGAGAUGAUGGGAUAGAUGAUAUUAUAGAGUUCCCAUUAUUGGAGCAACUAUCUAUAAGCCGUUGUCCCACUGAGAAAUUCUUCUCAUAUUCUCAUGGAAAAAAAGAGUCAAUAACCACUACUUCAGAUUCACAAGAUACUUAUUCGGAUUCCUUCUUUGAUCAAAAGGUAUGAAUCCUUUCUUUAGAGCUUAUGCCCAUAAUAGUCAUAGGCACGCGAUUGGUGGGGCAAGUAUUAAUAUUUUUUUGAAGAUUUUUUUAUUUGGUUUAUUAGUUAAAAUGUUUUUAUAAUUUAUAUCUAUACUUGUUAGAGUAAGGCCAUUGGUGAAAAUUCUAUCCUCCAUCACAUUAGAUAGAUCGGUAUAAGAUUAGGCCAAAUUGUAAAAAUUUUCAUAGCUAUGAUAUGAUGUACAACUCUUAUGAGCAGAUAAGUUUACCAAGCUUGGAGAAGUUAGUACUCCACUCGCUAGGAUCCUCUCGCCAUGGCUGUGGGCUCGGCCUCGCCAUUGUUGGGCGAGGCAUAUGGCACAGUGAGCUUCCCAAAAGUUCCUCCGACAAAUUAGCCAACCUCACCCCGAAACAAGAUUUGCAAUCACAAGGAAUAUCAAUAUUUCGAAAUCUGGAGGUGCUCUCUAUCAACAAUACAAGGCUGUCAUUUCUCUUUUCGGUGUCUAUGGCUAAAUGUCUUAGAGAAAUUAGAGACAUUAAAGUGGUGAAUUGUCCAAAUAUGAAGGCGGUGAUUGUGGAUGAAGAAGGAAGAGAUGAUGGGACAGAUGAUAUUAUAGAGUUCCCAUUAUUGGAGCGACUAUCUAUAAGCCGUUGUCCCACGGAGAAAUUCUUCUCAUAUCCUCAUGAAAAAAAUGAGUCAAUAACCACUACUUCAAAUUCACAAUAUACUUAUCCGGAUUCCUUCUUUGAUCAAAAGGUAUGAAUCAUUUCUUUAGAGCUUACACCCAUAAUAGUCAUAGGCACGCGAUUGGUGGGGCAAGUAUUAAUAUUUUUUUGAAGAUUUUUUUUAUUUGGUUUAUUAGUUAAAAUGUUUUUAUAAUUUAUAGCUACACUUGUUAGAGUAAGGCUGUUGGUGAAAAUUCUAUCCUCCAUUGCAUUAGAUAGAUCGGUAUAAGAUUAGGCCAAAUUGUUAAAUUUUUCAUAGCUAUGAUCUGAUGCAUAACUCUUAUGAGCAGAUAAGUUUACCAAGCUUGGAGGUGUUAGAACUUGAGUCGGUAGGAACGUUAAAAAGGAUAUGGCGCAGUGAACUUCCCAAAAGUUUCUUCAACAAAUUAGCCAACCUCACCCUUGGAAAGUGCUCCAACCUACUUGAUGUCUUCCCUUCGACAAUCAUAGGGAGAUUGCACAACCUCGAAAGUGUCGAAGUUUCAAAGUGUCCCUCCUUGGAAUCUUUGUUUGAUUUUGGAUCCCUUGAUUCAUAUACGGAACAGACAAUUGUGUUGCUCCCCGAAUUGAAAAACGUUAAGGUUUUAAGCUGUCCCUCCCUAGAAUCGUUGUUUAAUUGGGGGGCCCUUGAUUCAAGUACAAAACACAAAAAUGUAUUGCUCCCCAAAUUGGAAGAAGUGUGCAUGGGUGGAGCAGGAAGGCUGAGACACCUGGUGAUGAGUGAUUCCCAAACUGUUUUGGGUUUUCCUAAUCUAGAAGAAGUCUUUGUUUUUAAUUGCUCUGAGUUGAGAUAUCUCUUCCCCAAUUAUACAGCCACAACUCUAGAGAAACUUGAUACCCUGUGCAUUCUCAAAUGCGAACAAAUGAAGGAAGUGGUUCCCAAGGAAGAAGGUGGUCGAUCCAAGGCAGAAGUGAUGAGUUUCCAUUCCUUAGCUAAUUUGGUUAUUUGGCGGUGCCCCAACAUUAGAGCAUUCAUAUGGAGUCCUACAAGUGCCAAGAGGCAGUUAGGUGAAAUGAUCGAAGAAAAUGAUGAAUCGCCCCAACCGUUGUUCAAUGAUAUGGUUUGCUCUAUAUCUUAUUGUGAUCAUCUUUAAUCUCACAUUAUCAUGUUUUAGAAUGAACAAUGUAAUAAUUUGUCCUACUUAUUUUCCUUUCUCACAUUAUCCUCGUGCAGGUUACAUUUCCCAAUUUAGAAAAACUAUAUAUUGGAGGUGUCCAGUGCAAAGAGUUAUGGAACAAUCAAAUUUCUGAUGAUUCUUUUUGCAAUUUGGAAUCUCUUAUAUUGAAGGAUUGUGACAAUCUCCAACAUAUUGCCCCAUCCCAUAUGUGGAAGAGGCUGCAGGACUGUCUGGAAACCUUAGAAGUGAAAUCAUGCCGUUCAAUCGAGAUCAUAUACGAAAGUGAUGGGACGGUGGCAAAAGGCGGUAAUUUGAGGACACUGGAUUUGCGUGAUCUAGACAACUUGAGGCACGUUUGGCAGCAUGACAAUCUCCCAAACAUCCCGUUCCCAAAUUUGAGAUACAUAAAGGCUGUGAGGUGCUCCCGUUUGGAUAUGCUUUUCGCCACCUUCACGGCGAAAUUUCUCGGGCAAAUCGAAAAGCUGGUGGUAGGGUCAUGUGAAGAUAUGGCACUAAUUGCUGGCCAUGAAGAAUGUGAAGAAGUGACUGGUAAGACAAUCACAUUCUCUGGGUUAACUACUCUUAGACUUUACAAUUUGCCGAAAUUCAGGAGCUUCUUACCAGAGAAAUAUUUUACGGAAUUCCCAUCCUUGGAUGACUCGAGUAGAAUAGAGCCGGACCAAGGCAACCGAAGUGCGGAGGAAAGUGAGGGGGAAACUGAGCAGGUAGAACACGCAAUUGAGAAGUUAGACUGCGAAAGUGAGGUGGAAAGUGAGGGGCAAAGUGAGGGGGAAUAAUUAGUUUUAUGAAGUGAGCCACAAAAGUUUGUGAAUGUUGCAACGGAUGGUGUCUGGCAAAACAAAAUGGACGUGACUGGUAAUGUGAGAUUUUGUUUUUUUCUUCCGUAUUCUCUUCUACACUUCCCUCGAAGUGCGUGAUUUUUUUCUUGGCUAUUCAUUUAUUUGGUUUGUGUCCUGGGCUACAGUGACGAGUGACUAGUCAUUGGACCAUAAAUUGUGGGGUUAUGUUGUAUAAAUCCUAAUCAAGUGCAUUAUCGUGUUUAUAAAUUUUCCCGUGAUAUUAGAAAAUGUAUGUGCUAUUAUAUUAAGCAAUCGAAGUUGUGAUGAAUUACCUCACGACAACCGUUGUAGGGGGAAGAAGGAGAUCGAGGAGAUUGCAAUCUGGGAAAGCCCAUGUUCCUCCUCUCUCUCUCUCUCUCUCUCUCUCUCUCUCUCUCUCUCUCUCUCUCUCUCUCUCUCUCUCUCUCUCUCUCUCUCUGACAAUUGAUAAAGGCUGAGACUAUUUGAGGUUGAAUGUGAGUUGAAAUCAGUGAUAACGAGGAUUCCUUUGAGUGGGUUGAGUAUUUGAAUCUUCAUGAUUCUUAUCAAGGUAAACUUCGUUAUGUUUCUCCUGGAGGUAAGGACCGAGUGCUUGAUACCGCCAGCAUGAAAUUUGGUCGAGUUCGGGACUAUCCUGAUGAACUCAUUCAGGUGCCCUUUAUUGAAACGCCUACCAUACGUUUGAUUGAAUUCUUGAACAAUACUAGCAUGCGUAUUUCGCAAGCAUUCUUGCAUUGUGAUGAUUAUCUGGCAAUGGCGGUGCUUAAACUGAGAGUUCUCUAGGUCAUAUGACAAAUUAUUUUCAUUGAUAUUGGUUGAACUCUCCCGAUUGUUCUCAAUGCUUCCAUGACUGAGAAUUUGAACAUGCCGCGUUGGCUUAAUUUACUCAGAACUAUGUUUUCCUUAUCAAUCUAUGAUUUCGUAUAUGGCUAUUCUAAUUUUCAUGACACUUACCAUCUUUGAAUUGGAAAUUGUGAAAUCCUUCUUUGAAAUGUGCAUCGUUACUGUGUACUUCAGUGAAUUCCUAUGCGGACUUCAUCCUUUGCUUGAUCUCGCUUGUAAUCAAUUUCAUGUGCCUGGAUGAUUAUGGCUUACAUUUCUUGAUCCAUUCAGUGAUACCCAACCCCUUUGCACUGCCAAUGAUAUUCGGUUCAUUUUUUUGGCAAAUGCAUGGGCCUCUACCUCUUUGAUUUUCUUCAUUUACUGAAAACUCUGAAGUUCAUUCCUCAAUGUCAUUUGCUUGUAUCUUUUCUGUAAAUGGCGUGCGAGUCCCUGUCAUAACUGACAUUUGAUGGCUGACUGCAUAAUGAGUUGUUCAUGCCAUGACUGAAUGCUUUGCUCGAUUCAUUAUCCACAUUGCCAAUUUGUAUACAAGUUCAGUUGUUGCCGAAUGAGUCUCAACCAUGAGAAUUGUUCCCGUGUUUAUGAUGUUGCGUUUCAGUUUUUACAGCAUGAUUUCUUUGGAAAUGUGGUCUUUAGUAUUUGGUCCUAACAGUUUUUUUUGGUGUAAAAUCAGAAUUGUUCCCAAGUUAUUCAAGUCAUUUUAUCAAUAUAUGUUGGAUUCAUGUUGACCCCAUGUUGAUUUCUUAUAGAGUUCAAUAUGUUUUUUCCGUCCCAUGUGGGCAAGGAGUGGAUUUGAUAGAUCUUGGUUUCAUAUGAGAGUUAAUUCGGUAGCACAUGAUGGUACAUCGACGGGCAGAUGAUUUCUUGUCAUUUUUUUAGUCACUAGAGUCUCUAUCUAAAUCAUGAUCAUGCAUGUCAUUCUACUACUCGUAUUUCUCAAUUUUCAGUAGUUCAAAUUACCUCAAUACCAUGAGCCACAUUGCUUUAGAAUCGAAUGUGACUAAUUUACAUAUCCGAUCAUGUUGUAAUCGUAUGAGGAAGAGUGGUGGGCAAUCUGAGGAUUUUGCCGCCCACCUGAGGAAAUGUUUCGAAACUGGCCAAAGGACUGACUUUACCUUCUUUGCUCAGAUGGAUCGGACAUUGCAUCAGGUGGCCUCUCAUUUCCUUGGGACUAUGUUGGCCCUCAUCCGCAUAAGCCCUCCAGUUCCGUUUGGCUAUUUUGUUCGCUCUCUUCAUGCGUUCAGUGGUUUGUGGCUCCUAGGAGCUGUCCUCUAAAUCUCCCAAGUACUCCACCCAAAGCGACAUCCUAUUACCAUAAGCCUGCACAGCAUCAUUAAAACAUUAUUAGUCACAAGCUUAAGUUUUUGAUAAAUGUCGAUGCACUCACUGGGUGUUCAGCUAGUACCUGCUAUUAAAUAGCUGUAACCACAUGGAAAUAUGACGUACUUGAACUUCAUACACAACUCCAUAGUUGUGCCCUUUGAAUCCAAAAUCAGUGGUAUUAGCUAAUGCGCAAUUCUCAGUGGGACCCACAUGCACUCUACAUCACGCGGCCCUUUGCAGAAUUCUCUGCCUCUCUUCCUGUCUCUCUACAUCUAAUGAACUGAGUCGCUUCCCUUUCAGCUCAGGCUUGGCGCGCUCUGCAGCAGGGAGGGCAAAACAGAAACAGAGUACCUUCCAACACGGAAAAGGAGCUCAGCAAAUUCUCUCUAGCCCUCGGUUAUUCCUUUGAUCUUCAUUCCCUCUUCAUUGUCCUCUCUGUCACCCUCCAUCCACCAACAGCCGCUGCCACACCUCCAUUGCUGGCCACCACAGGACAUGUCACGCUGAGAAGGGGCAAGAACAAACAGCGAUGAUUAAAGGAACUGGGUGAUUUUUUAGCAUUUAUAAGGCUGACAAGAACAGAGGGCGAGUUUAAAUUGACACCGUAGACUGAUGCUUCAACGAGGAUUAUCACCGUAGACAAAUGAUGUGGACAAACAUGAAGAGAUUGUUCAGAUGGAGCAUGUUCUUUUUACUGAAGGCAACGGGAAAGAUAAAGUUGGAUUUUUGAUUUGGAUCCCUCUUCCUUGGUGGCUCUUAUACCAUGGAAAUAUUUCUAUGAUUUGCAAGCGAGAGGGAGAGAGAGAAUCAACAAAUACUACACCUUUACUCAGUAGCCAAAUAAAAGAGUAUAUAGUAGCUCCACUUAUAAAGAUUGAGAGACAUUAACAAAGCUCCGAUUACCUUAUUUGUGACCACCUGCUAAUUGCCGACUAAUAUUCAUAAUUGUACUUCAACACAAAUCACAAUUGGAGCAAAUACUUGACAGUGUUUUUGCAUGUUUUUCCAAGAUGUUACUGCGUCACUUUCAAAGAAGUAUACAAAACUGCACAAAGAGGGAAUACGGAAUUCAUACUUCAAGUGGAGAGUUGUGGCAGCCUAGGCUUUUUUUGCAGUCUACCGGUCUCUUGUCUUUUAUCACUUUGUCACAGCUUCUAGUUCUACUGGUCUAAAUUCAUGGGGAAAAACGUUCGGCCUCUGGGAUGUCAGCACGAUGGUAUUUGCCUGUGUUGUCACUAUCAACUUACGCCUUCUUUUGAUGUGUAAUACAAUUAAAUUAUGGCGUCAUAUUGCUGUCAGUAGGUUGUCAAUGGGUCCUGAACGGAAGGAAAUUUUGUUAAUACAAUUACAGAUAUGUUUCUUAAUACUGUAAAAUGAAGUUUUUAGACUGUUCGAGUUUCUCCAUUAUUGUCAGAAUCACAAGCAUACGAUCUUUAGGAUUCUCCCUUCCAAAAGUCGUACCCAUCCCUAAACGGAAGGAAAGGGAGGGAUAUGAUGAUAACAGACUUCUGGACUCCUUCCAGACGCCAAGAGUAUCGCACGUUCCAGAGCAGUAGGAAAGCAGCUUACAUUAAUUCUGUUCGUGCAUUUAUGGGCUAGUUCUAGCCCAACCGCAAAGUCCUAAAUGCUUUUCUGGAAACGUUUUCUUAUAUCUUCCUGUUCAUUGUUUCUUGUCAAAGCUUGCUUCACGAAGGAGGCUCACCUUUUAUUCCCAGCCACGCUGCUCAAAUCUUGCAUUGCGACUGCUUAUAUGGCAGCAAUAAGGAGUUCCUCUGCCGUUCAUUAAUUCUCUGGUCGCUUUUUCUCUGGUUGAGUGGGAGAUCUGUUAACUAUUAGGUUAUUUUAGGUGCUACUCCGGGAGCCAUCGCUAGCUGCAUCCCAAAGUUGUUUGAGGAUGACAAACUGACCAUGCCUCUGUUGAAGAAGUCGGGUGGUCUAUUAGGAAUUACUAGAAGUGUGAUCGUUGAAAGCACCUCAUUAGUUGAGGAAGGAACAUUUUCUCAGAUUUUCAUAACUGAUUCCAACCGUGUCCUAUGAUCCCCUUCCAGCACAGAAGUAAUUAUGGACUCGGCUCGGUCCUUGCAUAAGUACCAGCGGCUCUGUACUUGAUCAUUUCAUCUUAUGCAGGGGAAAGGCAGAGGAUAUCUGUUGGAGCAGUAUCCUAUUCUAUUCUGGAAGCAAAAGCCGUUGCAAGAAUCGCAUAUAAUCACCUUAAUGAUGGACGAAAUAUCUCACGAGGAGCUGAUGAACUUGGCCAAGUUUCUGAGACACUUGACUGCUGGGAUUCGUCCAACCGCUCUUCAUUACCAUCGCCGUCAUCAUCAUUCUCAAAAACCAGCUAUAUCCCGUGCUUUUUCAGCAAGAGCCCAGGAAGGCAGGACUAUAUCUAUUCUUGUCUCCUUUGAACAGCAGCUCUGUACUUGCUUUUUCAGCAAGGCUUCUCAGACUUGAAUUCUGGAUAUCUAAUCUGGUAAAGCUGGUCUUCGCUUGUGUCAUUUAAUGUCUGACGUGUAUCGGAUCUUCAAGCCUGAGAAGCCAUCCUUUAAUGUCCUCGAUUGCUGGUAGCGGAAUGUUUGCCCGGUUUGCACUGUUCAUAGAGACAACAGCGAAAAGCAUUCCCUCUAACCUCGCAGUUCUUUGGAGCAGCAAAAUGAGGGACUUCCAGACAAAACCAUCCAGGAAUCUCACUCCCAGGGACACUCGAGUUGUGCAAAUGCUUUAGAGCAACCUGAAAUUUCUUCUGAAAAAACACAUUUAAGGUCAAACUUUUUGCAUUCACGAUUGAAGAUACUGAACAAAGGUGGAGAAACUGAACUGAUGAGUAGUUUUCCCAAAAUGGGAGUUAUGAGUGAUCUUUUUCACCUUUUCAAUUCUUCUCUCCCAAUAGUAAAAGCCUCAGAGAUUUCAAUACCCGGAGACCAGUGAUGUCAACUAGAUUGCUGCAAUCAGGAAAGUUUAGCUCCUUCAAAUCAGUAGAAUUCAGAUGAAAGGCGCAAAUUUGAAAUUGAUUAACCUCCACGCGGGAUAGUUCUGGGGGAUGAUGGCCACGACGGCGCCGAGUAGUCAAUCACCUCCGGAAGGCCCGGCGCUAUCUCCUCCCCUCACUCGAGGCCUUCUUCAUCGAGCCAGAGCCACGGCACGCUGCUGAGCACGUGCUCGUGGUAGAGGUCCUUAUUGAGGAGUCGCCGGUCUUUUGAAGGUGGUCAAUGCAGAGAUUGGGGCACCACUUAACAAUGAGCAAUGAGCAACGAGCACCUUGCUGACGGAUUCGUGUUCCCUUUGAAAAGAGCGAUUUCCACAGCAUGGGAAAUGUGCUGUCUUAAUUUUUAAUUGACGAAUCAUGGCAUUCUCAUUAGUUAGGAUAAAUUAUCCAAAAAAUUUAAAAUUUAUUGUACGGGAAUCAAUCUAAUUUUAAGUUUAUGUAUUAAUUUAGUAUUAAGCAGUCAUAAAUAUUUCAAAUGUGUCAAUUUAAUCCUAAAUUUUUUUAAAAAUUAUAAAUGUAGUCAUUUCGGGUAAUUUUAGUUGGAAAUCUCUGACGUGGCAUUCUAGUCAAUACUAGACAUCCUAUGUGAAAGGCUCAUAUGAAUGUGGAAAAUUGUGUUUAAUUUUAAAAGAAAAAACAAUUUUUAUUUUUUUAUUUUUUUAUUUUUCUUAUCUUAUCUUUCUUUUUAUUUUAUUGUUUUCUUCACAAGGCCGGCAAGUCCACCGGUCACUGGCCGAGGGCCAGCAGCCCUGCCACCCCUGUAAAGAAAAAAAAAAGAUGGUAAAGAAAAUUAAAAAUUUUAAGAAAUUAAAAAAAUUCUUAGUAUUCAUGAUGGAUAGUUUAUGCCAUGACAUAGCAACAUGUGUCCUCGAUACGUAACCAAAAUUAUCACCACCACAAGGAUGUUCAUAUCUACUGCAGUUAAAUGUAGGAUAACAAGUGUUGUCAAUUUAGCUUUGAGUUGGUUUCAAUUUCAAUCCUUUAGACUAAAAUUAAUUAGACCUUGAGGCCGCACGCCUUGCACGUGCUGGUGUCGGAGAACGUCAGCACCUCCCUGCACCAACGGUUGCGGCACGCCGACGUCUUCUUCUCCCUUGGGUCGCAGCCCCCGAACCUCUCUUGCCUCUGCAAUAUGACCUCUCUGGUCUUGAUCUGCACAUGAUUUGCUCGUUUGCAUGUAAAAAAUGUGUGAUUCAGGAUCAAAAAAUUAUUGAAGAAAUCUUUCUUUCCUUAUAAAUUUUUAAUGGAUUGGCCACCAAAAUCACAAACUCUAUUGCUUCAUGAUCCGAUGGAAGCAAUCGAAGUGAUGAAUUACCUCAUGACAACCGUAGCGGGUGGAAGAAGGAGAUCGAGGAGAUUGCAAUCUGGGAAAGCCCAUGUUCCUCCUCCCAUCUCUCUCUCUCUCUCUCUCUUUAUCUCUCUCUCUCUCUCUCUCUGUGACAACUGAUUGAGGCUGAAACCGUUUGAGUUUGAGGGAUAGUAUCAUGAUUUCGAGUUUGACGAAGGUUGAAUGUGAGUUGGAAUAGGAUAUAACGAGGAUUUCUUUGACUGGGUUGAGUAUUUGAAUCAUCAUGAUUCUUAUCAAGGUAAACUUCACAUGCUCUGUCUCUGCUGGAGGUGGGGACCGAGUGCUUGAUUCUGCAGGCGUGAAAUCUGGUUGAGUCCGAGAUUGUCCUGAUGAACUCAUACACGUUUCAAUGAUUCGGCGAUUGUUUGGAUGCGCACCUUUUCCUUAUCAUUGCAUUUAGGUGCCCCUACCGAAACGCUUACCCCAUGUUUGAUUGAAUUCCUGAACGGUAUUAGCAUGUGUAUUUCGCAAGCAUUCUCGCAUCAUGAUAAUUAUCUAGCAAUGGCGUGCUUAAACUGAGAGUUCUCAAGUUUAUAUGACAUUAUUUUCCUUGAUGUUGGUUGAACUUCUAAAGUUGUGCUCAAUGCUCCCAUGACUGAGAAUUUGAACAUGCUGUGUCAGCUUAAUUUACUAGGAAUUAUGUUAUCUAUAUCAAUCUACGAUGUUUGUAUGUGGCUAUUCUAACAUUCGAGACAAUUACCAUCCUUGUACUGGAAAUGGUGAAAUCCUUCUUCGAAAUGUGCAUCAUGUGUUGUGUACUUCAGUAAAUUCCUAUCCAGACUUCAUCCUUUGCUUGAUCUCAAAAGUAAUUGGUUUCGUAUGCUUGGAUGAUUAUCCCUUGCAUUUCUGGAUCCGUUCAUUGAUAGCUCAAUACCUUCUGUAUGUUAAUAAUAUUUGAUUCAUUUUUUUUAGGCCAAUGCAUGGCCUCUACCUAUUUGAUUUUCUUCGUUGACUGAAGAUUCUGAAGUCCAUUCCUUGAUGUCAAAACUGACAUUCGAUGGCUGAGUGCAUAGUGAGCUUUUUAUGCCAUGGCCGAAUGCUUUGCUUGAUUCUUUGUCCAUUUUGCAUUUGUAUACAAGUUCAGUUGUUGCUGAAUGAGUCUCAACUAUGAGAAUUGACUGUAGAACGAGGCUCAAUGCUGUUUUCCUGUGUUUAUGGGUAGACAGGCAUGCGGCAUGCUGGAAAACGACAAAAAGAGCUAAGAAAACUUGCUUCCGCGGGUGGCUUCCCAACUUGAAGGCACAUUAUCGUCUCGGCAGGGAGGCGAGGAGGACAGCCAAGGCCAUCCGCGCACUCGAAUCGUAGAUUAAAAUAAUAAUCUAUUUCUUCUAAAGAUAAUUUUCUAGUUCGCCACACGCAAGACGGCAUUUUAAAGCUUUUUUUGGCUUCCAAGGGCGUCCGAUUUGUUAGACCUCAAUGAUUUUCUCUGGCAAAUCUAUUGCUGUUGGUAAUUCUUUUCAUAUAGUCAGUGAAAUCUUAAAAUAGAGUAGUAACUUGAGAUAGAUGAAGUAACUUGUACUCGGCAUCCACAAAUUUUAUUGUUCGCCUUAGUUUUCUCUAAAUACAUUGUCAAUUUCAGUACAAGUCUGGAUUCCCUAUUCAAUUUUUCACCUAUACUUUCAAUUUGCUUGGAAUUUCAGUUUCCUACAUUUCGACUCAAGUUGUUUAUUGUUAGAGAAAAAAUUCAUGUAAUUUCCCAAAAACAAAUACCAAGUGUAGAAAACAAAGGUAAGAGAUGCAAAAGAAAUCUCAGUGAUUAAGACUGGCUUUCUCUCAGCAAUGAAUAAGACUCAAAUGGCUGACUUUAAAAUCCGAUUCCAAGCGAAGAAGGGAACUCUGGAGUCAAUUUCACUUGCAUAGGUCUUUUGCAUCAAAGGGAUUGAGUCGACUAAAACAUUCUAUUAACAUUCAAAUUUUUAUCGACGUUCUAAAUAUCCAUUUAUUUCGAAAAAUAUAAAAAUUUAUAAAAAGAUAAAAAAAAAAAGAAUAAUGGAUAAAAAUGGAUCAAAUAAAAUGAAUGAAUGAUGAAAAAUAAAGUCGUGUGGGCCGGCGUGUCUAGCCCACUUGGUUGUUUUCAGCUCACCCUUAACUGGGCUUCCCAUUCAGAAGGGAAGAACUUAUGUGAGUAUCUCAAUUUCAAUUCAAACAUUGGUUUGGCCCAUUUUCCUUAUUUUCUUUGGCCCACCAGAGCCUAAAAAAGAAGCCCAGCCCAUCACUCUUUCUUCUUGAGCGCGCACGCGCUCGUGAGAAGAGCGUCUGUGACGCAAGGAGGAGAGAAGGUACAGUGACGGUCACCGAAGAAAUGCCCGUGAGCGAGUGAUGAGAAAGAACCUAUGAAUCUUAAUCGAUAUACUCCCUGCUCAACCCUGCGAAAGCGAGAUAUAUUCGUGCGAGAUAAUGGAACUUGUCGCGUCGUGUUUUGGUUGGAAAAUAGUGUCAAAGCUGAAUCAAAAACCUGCUCUCGUAGCUGCACAACAUGUGUUCGACAAAAUGCUCGAAUGAUACACCGAAAUCCAUGUUAUGCGAUCGACGUUAAAAGUUUAGUUCGAGGCUUGAUCACGCAUAUGUUGUUGAUGCACGUCUGCUUUCUUCGUUCUUUGCUAUGUUUUUGCUUGAUUUCACAGCUCACCUUUUGAUAUUCGUUAAUGGCCAUGCAAGACCGAACUUGGUUCGGCCGUGGCCGGCGAUAGGCAGACGGCGACGGCCGGAGAUGUAAUCUGGUUAUGGUGUGUAGUGGUGUGAGCUCCGGUGUCCAUAGAUGGCAUCUAGUUGUACGGGUUCAAAAAAUGGAGAAGAAGAUGAAGGUUGGGAGUGAAAAAAUGGCUUCGGGGAAGAAGAGGGGAAGAAAAAGAAGUGGUGCAGUAGAAAUGGACUUAAUUAGGAAAAAGACAUUUGCUCAAAAAAAAAUUAGGAAAAAGACAAAAAAUAUUCAAAAUUAAAAAAAUAUUCAAAACAUUUUUUAAAAAAUUCGCUUUCUAUAUCCGACCGGGUCGGACCGGUAGACGGGUCAGGUUAACGAGUCGGAUCGGGUUGACGAUCUAACCCAUUCCCCCAAUAUAAUAAUAAUAAUAAUAAUAAUAAUAAUAAUAAUAAUAAGUAAAAAAUAUAAAAAAAUUAAAAAUUCUAAAAAAUUCUAAAAGAAGUAAAAUUUUUAGGAAUUUCGAAAAUCAAUAAAAAAUAUAAUUUUAGGAAAUCAUUAAAAAUUAAAAAAAUCCUGAAAAGUCAUUAGAAAUUAAAAAAAUCGAAAAAAAUUAUUAAAAAAUUGAAAAUUCAGAAAAUAAUAAAAUACAGAAAAUAAUAGAAAAUCCAAAAAAUUUUAAAAAAUUGGAAAAUUUCUAAAAAAAAGUAAAACAAAAUAUUGGACAAGCCUUUAGGGCUUUAAAAUAAGGUUAUUGGUUUUGUGCUGUCUUUUUUAUUUUUUAGGGACGAUAUUAGGAUGCUUGUAUGCCUUCCUUUACAAUUAAAAUUGCACAUAUCAAUAUUUUAGGUGUUACUUUCCUGUUCUAGAAUGGUUAUGACAAAUCUUUGAUUUCUUUUGGAUAGGCUGCUGUGGCAUUCGUUAACACAUAGUCAAUGUCCUGAAUAUAGAAUCUCUAAUUGCAAAAAGUAAGAUAUUCUCUAGUAUCUUAAUUUCUUGCUGAUCGAAAAGGCUAGUGGUGACUUAUUUGUCAAAAUUUAUGUAGGCUUAAUUGAUUUAAAAUCUGAACACCCGCUGUCACGUAAGGUACGAGCUUAGGAGAGCCCAAGUUAAUAGAAGCUCGUCAACCUGAAGUUGAUAAUAUCCCUAAACAUAACUCUCUCCCCCCAAGGGAUUAAGUUGCGACACCUUCCAGUAAGUACAAAUUGGCACAAUCUAGAACGAUAAUCAUUGGUGCAUCGCACGUAACGACAUCGAUGUGCCAUUUUGAUACUAGCAAGAUCAUCUAAAAGUAGUUUUGCCUGGAUAGUAAACCCAUUGAAUAAGAAGGAAGCAACAGGAAUGACAUUGGCUAGAGCUUGAAUUCAUGGAAACGAGCAGCAAUGGCAAGCGCCUGAAGGAGAUAUUACUAGCUGGAGACAACGAACGUGACUAGAAAUCUCUGUCUACUCCAAGCUCAUCGUCAAGGCAGAGCGAGCACUCCUUUCUCUGGUCAAAUCAACAGCGACGUCCUCGCAAAGCAGAGGAGGAGGAGGGGAUAGAGAAGGCCACGUCAGGGGAACAAGCUGAAAUGUUGCGUUAUGGGGCUGAUGGGUCUGGGCCGCGGAUCAAAUCAAUGGGUUUGCUCUUGUGGGCCAUGCCAAUUGGACCAACUUGGCCUUUAUUUAUUUUUAUUUUUUUAUUAUUCUUUUUAUUUUUGUUCUUUUUACUACCAUCCAUUGUUUUUAUGCUCUUGUUUUACAAAAAUGCAUGCUUAAUUUAUUGACUAAAAUUUAGGUGUUGACAGUUUCAAAAGCAUUUACCUAACAUUCGAAGAAAAAUAUCAUGUCGUCGCGAACAAACUACAAGAUGAUGUAUGUUUUGUUUCGUCAAAUCUUAACUUACCAAAAGCUAGAAUAGUUUCUUGAUCGACAGAAGAAAUGGGUAAAAAAUAUGGGACAAUCCAAUCGAAUAGAAUUGGGUAUGUUUUAAUGAAAUAUUUCCUACAAUGAUUAUAUGUACUCUUGCAUUAUCAUGUUUUAGAACAAACAAUACAGUAAAUUUGUCCUACUUAUCCUUUUUACAUUAUUCUCGUGUAGGUCACAUUUCCCAAUAUAAGAAGUCUAGAAGUUAAAGGCCUUCAAUGCAACGAGCUAUGGAACAAUCAAAUUCCCAGCCAUUCUUUUGGAAAUUAAAAUCUAUUGAAUGAAGGACUGUGACAACCUCCAACGUCUUACCUCGUCCUAUAUGUGGAAGACGUUGCACUGCUCUCUCUGAAUCCUAGAAGUGAUUUCAUGCCGUUCGAUCGAGAUCAUAUACGAAGGUGAUGGGAAAGAUACUGAGUGUGGUGAAUUGAGGAGGCUGAUUUUGCGUGAUCUCGGAAAUUUGAGGCGCAUUUGGCAGUCUGAUGGUGUCCCAAACGUCCCAUUCCCAAACUUGAGAGAAGUAGAGGCUGUGAGGUGCUCCCAUUUGGAAAUACUUUUUCCUACCUUCACUGUGAAAUUUCUCGAGCAAAUCGAAGAGCUGGUGAUGAAGUCGUGUGAAAAUAUGGAACUAAUUGAUGGCGAUGAAAAAGAGGAAGAAAGGACCGGCACAAUAGUCACCUUCUCCAAGUUAAAUAUUCUUAGACUUUUCGAGUUGCUGAAAUUCAGUAGGUUGUUCUAUGAGAAAUACUCCCUGAAAUUCACGUAUUCUUGAGGACUUCCCAUCCUUGUGAGUCUUGAGUAUAAGCAGCUGUGGAGCAGAGCCGGACCGAGGCAUUGGUGACUGGGAAAGACACCAAAGACAACAAGAACGAAAAAUAGCCUAUGCCUUUUCUGAGCAAGUGGGCGUCGUGUAUUAGCUAAUGCACAAUUCUCAGUGGGAACCACGCGGCCCUCAACAAACUUAUCGGCCUCUCUUCCUUUCUCUCUGCAUCUAACAAUCUGUCGGUUCCAUCUUAAGCUCAGGCUCGGUGCGCUCUGCAGAAACAUCACACCAACAGCCACUGUCGUUGGUGGUUCCUUUGAUCUUCAGCGUUGGUCGUAGGGACUCGGGUGAUUUCUGAGCAUCCAUAAGCCACUCUCUCGGUGAUUUCAAUUGAAUCCUUUCCACUCGCUUCGUUGCUGGUCGUCAGCGCUUCCCGAUCGCCAACAGUUCCGCCAAGCCGCGAAGAAGACUCGUUAACGUUGCUUCUGUUUAUCUCCUUACUCAUUCCCCAUGUCAAUCGCUCUAUAGCUAAUCACUCUUCAUUCAAAUAAACCACAUUUUCUCUGUUUUCUGUUGUUAUUGGUACCGUCUGUGUGCAAAUCGACUGUGAUUGAGGUUGUAUUGAUGAUUUGAACCGGUGACCCUUGGCCGAAAUGCAUACCACCCGUUUGAUGAAAUUCCUGAACUCAGUUGGUGUCUAUUUUCAUUCACUCUUCAUUACUUGAUUGUUGAUCUAUUUUGGUUAUGUAAGUGUAUUUGGGUUGUGUUUCUUCAUAAAAAAAUCAUAGGUAUUCAAUUUCGAACUUGUUUUGAAUCUGUUGGAACCUUGUCGAUACAUGCUGAUUCGCGAUUGUUGCAGCCCCGAGCUGAUGUCGAUUGGUACUUGAUUUUAUGCUAUUCCAUUCAAUUAAGCAUGUGCUGUGAUAUAAGAUUGUGUCAUGGUGAAUUUCAUGUUCGCUUGGGAAAGAAAUUAUGGCAUGAAUGAAUGAAAUUAUACUAGAAAUCGAUCUGUGGAUUCUGACUCUAUCUUGAUAUCCCUGAUUUGGUGUGCUUUUGAUUCCAGCUUGAGGCUAGUUCAGUUAUGGAUCAUAUAUGUUCAUGCUAGGAGAAAGUAUUAUGGUGAAUCUCAUUCCAAUUUUGCAAGAAUUAUAGUCAUAUGGCUUGUAGGAAGAUAUGGCUUCAAUUUCAUGUCUAUUAAUCAUCAAAACGAUCACGAUUUGUGGUCUUGUAUGCUUUGUUACAAUUCUGCAUGUGUGCUGGAAGUUGUGGAAUAAGAAUUAAUUAGAUGGAUUAUGUCUUAGUUUGGUUGCCUUUUUGAUAUCAUCUGUUCCAGUUCCCUGUCAAUUUCACUUGUUUGGAUGGUAAUUGCAUGAUUAAAUUGAUGAGAUUGAUGCUUAAUAUUGCCAUGAGAGUCUUGGCCAUUGCUGUUCAGAAUGACUUUUCAAAGAUUCGAUUUUUGUUUUCCUCCUCCCUCAUAUAAUUCACUUGAGGGUUGCUUCUGCGAAAUCUAGGGGGAAGGGAUGCCCUUGAAAUCCAUAAGGACCCUACCCAUGUGUUUUACCAAGAGUAGGUGCAUAGUUCCAAUUGUCUCUCCUAUAAACCAUGAUGCACUUGAGGUGCAAAGCUCCAUCUAUCUCCUUGCGGCAGGUCUCUCUGUUGCUGAUAGCAAUUGUUGUUAUAACCUUGUUAACUGUAGUUUCCCUGGUAUGAAUGCACCAGAUCUCUCCUCUGUCCUUGAUAUGGAUCCCUUCCACCGAGGGCACAAUCCAUAUUGCCCAUUGGCAUGGGAUUUCUUCUUUCACCUUGCCCCUUGUCUAUUUGCCACUCAACCUCCUUGCCCAUCAUAGUUUCUAUUGCGACCACACAUUCUAACCACCUAGCCUCCCAUACUGAACUGGAGGUGAUCUGAGUAAUUACUCCAUUUUCAUACUUGUGACCUAAUGACUUAGUAAGCUCAACAAAACAACAAGCGUUGCAGGGUCACGAAUCAUAGACGCAUUGGAAAGUUGAGGUUAUGGAAUUAGAGGAUGAAUGGAUUAAAUGACUAAGAAAAUGUGGCAGAGAUGUAUAGUAGGUGAAAUUCCCAGUGGAGUUGAGUCAUACAUCCGUACUUCUUGAUUUGGAAAUCAAUGGAGGAAUCUAGUAAUACGAAAACAACUCCUGGUAGAUAGGAAACUCAUCAAAGACCCUUGCUUCUGAAUUGCUCUGACUCUGUUUCAGUCCAUCACAGCCUGAGAAGUGGUCGUGCAACAUGCACGAAUUUUCUUUUGCUUCCUCCAAAUUCAAACACGAGUAUCAAUUGUCAUCUCAACUUUGCAAUGUAGAUCAUGCCGCUGUUGCCUUGGGACAUCGACAGUGGACUACACUCAUCACAAAAAGCACUUAAUUCUCAUGAUCAGGAAAUAACAUAUGCAUGAUGUUAUGGUGGUAAAUGUAAACAUCAAAUUAACUACUAGAAAGUGGGGUUGUGAAUGUCGAUUUUUAGAGAAGGUGUCAAGAGCCUGUGCCUAGGAGAGUCGUAUUGGCCAUCGCAUAGGUCCAACCCGCCAAUGAAAGCCGUUAUUUUGUGGUUGUUUAGCAAAACAAUUGGUUUGCAUUGAGAAAAAGUACACAAUAGGAACCCCCUACUUCAUUGAAUGAUUUUUUAAGGUUACAUUAUGCUUUUGAGUUAUUUUUCAAUAAAGAUAAAUUUUAUAUAAUUAGUCAAUGAAAAUUAAUUAUACACGUUGCCCUACUACACUUGUUAGUGAGGAUAAUUUGCUUUUAGAAAUAUGGAUGCCCGUGCUGAUUCAUUUUGCCAUACUUGUGCCCAAUUUAUUUAUUCUUAUUUAUCAUUACAAAUCCUUGUUUGACCAAAGAUCUCCAUCCUUACUACCUUAACAUCUUGUUUUAAGUCGCUUAAAUAUUUUCAACCUUUCCUCUCUUUUUCCGACGUGGAUAACUUCUUAAAAACAGAACAUAACUUCAUUUAGUAUUAAGCAGAUAUUGAUAUUUUCAAACUUUCUAGCAGGAAGGAGGGAGGGAGGGAGGGAGAGAGAGUUUAUGAAAUUAAAUGAAGGCAUAUAAAUGAGGAAUUAGUGGAAAGGAAGUAGAUAGAGCUGGUAACACAAGGGUGCAAAAUCCUUUGAUCAGAGUGAUACUUCACCAUUACAAUAUUAUUAUAGUAAGAGAACUCGUGAAAUUGAUCUGAAUAAAUUUUCUAUUGAAAAUAUCAAUAUGAUGAUCCAUGAAGUUUCAUCAAAAAAAUUAAAUUGAUUAGUUAAAUCUGACAAUCAAAAAAAUAAAUUAGUAAUGAAAGAGAUUGUUAUCUGCGUUGACUUUCGGGGAGGAUUUUGUUGGCUACAAAAGACUCUCGAGUAUUAUUAUUUUUCUAAUUUAAACAAAGAAGGGCGAUAAUCCAUCCAAAUUACAAAGUUCUAGUCGAAAUCAAUACCAUGAAAUGGAAAAGAAUGCUAUGAGAUAUUAAAUGAAAAUCAAAACUCUAAACUGAAAUUGAACGUGGCUUGAAAUAAAAGGUACAUUUGACUGCAAUCUGAUAGGGAGGAACUCAUUUUGCAUUUCCUUAUGUUUUCUCCCACUUUUAAGAGGAAAUAUUUUUGUGAGCCCACAAGAAAACUUUUCUCUGCCAUUCUCUUCUUCACUUCCCUCCCACUCAUUAGCAAACAGAGAAACUGACGCAGAGAAAGCGAUGCUUUGGAAAGAAUUCCAAAAGAUGGUGUUUAUUUUGAAUAAUGAAGUGCCGAUUACAAUAUCUUUGGCGCCUAUUUAUAAGAAGGUCGCCAUCUAGAAAAUAACAAAAUAACUUAAAUCUAGUAACAAAUUUGAAAAGAUAUUGAUAAACUAGAAAAUCUAAAAUCUAAUAACAAAUUAAAGAAACGAUAUUGAUAAACCAGAAUAUUUCAGAUAAACCAGAAUAUCUGAAAUCUAAUAAUAAAUAAAGGGAAACGCGUGAAUCAAAUAUUGUAAUCCCUUUUGCAAUCUUGAAGAUCACACAAUCCUCUUUGAUUUGUGGGACCGCCCGCUCUUAUGACGCUCCAUUGUUUCCAGAAAGGCAUUUGCAUAUUGUUCUACAUCAGUCUCCUCCACUUCAGAAGAACUCGACCCCGAGUUAUGAUUAGGAUAAAGAGGAGUAUCUGGAGGAUGAUACUCAAAUAGGUCCGCUACAUUGAAUGUCGGGGAGAUGUUGAGGUCACUAGGAAGAUCAACAACAUAGGCAUUAUCAUUGAUUUUCUUCACAAUUCGACAGGGACCAGCUUUCUUGUGCUUCAGCUUGUUAUAUGUACCAAUAGGAAACCGUUCCUUGCGGAGGUAGACCAUUACUUCAUCACCCUCAGCAAAGACCUUGAGGCGACGAUGUUUAUCUGCAGCAACUUUGUAAACUGUAGUGGAAGCUUCUAGCUGUUGCUUCACACCCUCUUGUAUCUCUUGUAAUUUUGUUGCUAAGUUUUCAGCCGCAACACUAUAUCCUGGGACUUUGGGCAAAGGCACGAGAUCCAGUGUAUGUUGUGGCGUUCGCCCAUAGAUAACCUCAAACGGAGACUUGCCCGUGGAACGGUUGACGGUGUUGUUAAAAGCAAACUCAGCAGGAGCAAGAUACCGGUCCCAUUGCUUUGGCAUGUCACUACAGAGACACCGAAUAAUAUCCGCCAUAGUACGAUUGACAACUUCAGUUUGCCCAUCGGUUUGAGGAUGAAAGGAACUGCUAUACUGCAAAUCCGUCCCAAAUAAACGCCAGAGGGUCCUCCAAAAAUGACUAAGGAAUUUGGUAUCACGAUCAGAGGUGAUAGUUUUUGGAACACCAUGCAAACGAACUACUUCUCGAAAAAAUAAACUCGCUACAUGAGAAGCAUCAGAAGUCUUCUUGCAAGGGAUAAAGUGUGCCAUCUUUGUAAACCUGUCCACUACCACAAAAACAGAAUCCAUACCUCAUUGGGUUCGGGGAAGCCCCAACACGAAAUCCAUUGAAAUGUCUAUCCAAGGUCUAGAAGGAAUAGGUAGAGGGGUGUAAAGUCCAGUGUUCUGAGAAUGGCCUUUCGCAGUCUGACAACUGUAGCACUUUCUCACAAAUCGUCCAACGUCCCGUUUCAAUUGAGGCCAAUAAUACCGCUCCUCAACUAAGGCAACAGUUUUAUCUCGCCCACAAUGUCCUCCAAGGGAGCCACCAUGCAGCUCUCGAAUAAGUUGUUCUCGCAAAGAGCUUCGAGGAAUGCACAACCUGUUGCCAAAGAAUAAAAAUUUGUCCUGAACGAUCAUGUCACCGUGAGAACCUGUCUCAAAACAUUUUUCCCAAAUUUCCUGAAAAUCUUCAUCAUCAGCAUAAAGAGCACAAAGGUGGUCAAAGCCCACAACGUCAGUGCGCAUGGUGACAAGUGUUGCAGCACGACGGCUAAGUGCAUCAGCGACUUUGUUCAAGUGGCCCGCCUUGUGUCGAAGCACGAAAUUGAAUUGCUCCAAAAAGGAGACCCAUCGUCCAUGCAUUCGAUUUAGAUGUCUUUGGCUCUUAAUAUAUUUGAGUGCCUGAUGGUCAGUGUUAAGGACAAACUCAUGUUGAUAAAGAUAGGGCUGCCAAUGCUUGAUAGCUCGUACUACAGCAAAGUACUCUUGCUCAUAAGUAGACCAUCGCUUGCGAACAUCAUUAAGUUUCUCGCUAAAAUAAGCAAUAGGCUUACCUUCCUGGGAAAGAACAGCACCAAUUCCUACACUAGAAGCAUCACAGUCUAGUUCGAAUACCUUUUCAAAAUUCGGGAGCAUCAGUAUUGGUGCCGUGGAAAGUUUUUCCUUGAUGAGAGCAAAGCUGGCUUCUGCUUCGUCACCCCAAUGAAAUUUUCCUUUCUUCAAGCACUCGGUAAUCGGAGCCAUAAUAGAACUGAAAUUCCGAAUAAAGCGUCGGUAGAAUGUCGCAAGCCCGUGGAAGCUACGCGCCUCCCCAACGGUUUGGGGAGUCGGCCAGUCGCGGAUGGUAGCUACCUUUUCUGCAUCAACUUGAAGGCCUUCUGCUCCGACAAUAUAUCCCAAGAAGCGAAGUCGAUCAGUCAUGAAGCUACACUUCUUCAAAUUAAUGUACAAUUGGUUCGUCUGCAAGGCCGAUAAGACGUCCCUUAGAUGCUCCAUAUGUUGUUGGUCAUCGGGACUAUAUAUGAGAAUGUCAUCAAAGUAGACCACCACAAAUUUGCCAAUAAAAGGUUUAAGAACUUGAGUCAUCAAACGCAUGAAGGUGCUAGGCGCGUUCGUGAGGCCAAACGGCAUGACAAGCCAUUCAUACAAACCUUCACUUGUUUUAAAGGCCGUUUUCCAUUCAUCGCCAGGGCGGAUGCGUACUUGGUGGUAUCCGCUACGUAGAUCAAUCUUUGUAAAGACCUUUGAUCCCGCAAGCCGGUCGAGCAUGUCAUUCAAGCGAGGGAUUGGGAAUCGGUACUUGAUAGUAAUCCGAUUAAUUGCCCGGCUAUCAACGCACAUACACAUGCUUCCAUCUUUCUUCGAAGUGAGGAGUGCGGGUACUGCACAAGGGCUCAUGCUUUCGCACAAGAAGCCUUUUCGAAGCAGCUCUCCCACUUGGUCUUGCAAAAUCUGGUUCUCCUUCGGAUUCAUCCGGUAGUGCGGCAAAUUAGGGAGGCUCGCUCCUGGAAGAAAGUCAAUCUCAUGUUGGAUAUCCCUCAAGGGUGGUAAUCCAACAGGUAGAUCCUCCGGAAUAACAUCGCUGAAUGCCCUCAAUAAGGGCUGAAGAGCCACCGGAAUUGGAAUAAUGGCUUCUUGAUUACCUUUCUCCACAAUCAUAUACAUGCCCUCACGUUUACGAACGUUUAGCAUAAUUCCUGCACUUUGCUUCUUUGGGGCCUGGGGAGUGUUACUCAUCGGCUUCAAAAUAAUUUUCGUCUUUUUCCACACAAAAGAAUAUGUGUUCUCACGAGCUCUAUGAGUGAUAUCAACAUCGUAUUGCCAUGGUCGCCCCAAUAGGACAUGACAUGCAUCCAUCUCCACUACAUCACAAAUUAUGGUGUCCUUAUAGGACUUUCCAAUUGAAAUAGGUAAAUGACAUACCUGCGUCACCUUGAGUUCGGCCCCUUUACGAAUCCACCCGAUUGUAUAAGGGGAGGGAUGUAACUCUGUCUUUAGUUGUAGAUGGUCCACCAAAGCCUUGGACACUAUGUUCUCACAACUUCCGCUAUCGAUGAUGACAUCGCAAACUUUGCCGUUGACGGUACAACGGGCACGAAAAAGACUAUUCCGCUGCGUGUCUUCUCUUCGCGGAGCGAGCAAUAGUUUCCUAACAACGCAAUUGACAUGCUCGCCCUCCUCAUCCUCCACUUCUUCCUCAUCAAUCCAGUCAUCUUCGUAAAUGUCAUCGUCGUGCACGACAACGUUGGCCAUCUUCCGCCGUGGACAAUCACUCGAACGAUGUCCUACUUCGUUACACUUGUAGCAUUUGAUUGGUGGUGGCUUAGCGUAUGGGUUCUGGGCACUCUGAUUGGCGUUACGGUUGUUUGCGAUGACUGGUUCCUUGCGCACCCCAGUACUACUUCCCGGAGUUUGGUUCAUAGUGUUGGUUUGCUGGUUGGAGGAUUCUGAAACAUCUAGUUGUCUCCCCUUUCCAGAUAAUCCUCGAGCGGAAUAAUUGUUAGCCCGAUUAAUGGGGCUAGUUCUCUCUAAUUGCAUCUCAACCUUUCGGGCCAUCUCUUGAGCAUCCUCAACAGAGAACAAACGAUGUAGCGAAACACGAUCUUGAAUAUUAAGUCGCAAACCAUUAAUGUACCUCGCAGUCUGUUGUGCCUCCGACUCAGCCAGGUUGUUACGGGCGGAAAGUCGGAGAAACUCCUCCGUGUAAGCUUGAACUGAUCGGCUUAGCUGCUUACAAUUUUGAAAUUGUUGAAAUAAUAAUUGCUCAUAAUCGGUUGGGAGGAACCGAACCUUCAACAUUUCCUUCAUCCGAUUCCAUGUUCGGAUGGGAGCUUUUCCUUGUCGACGUCGGGUCAGUUGCGUUUGCUCCCACCACGCUGAGGCACCGCCCUUCAAUUUGUAUGCCACCAAUUUUACUUGGCGAUCCUCUUCAAUCUCCAUGGCAUCAAAGAAUUUCUCGACUUCCCAAAGCCAAUCCAAAAAGUCUUCAAUAUUCAAAUUGCCAUUAAAGGUCGGAAGGUCAACCUUAAGUUGAUAUUGCUCGGGGUCUCGUCGAUAUCCCCGGUUCCGAUGGCCUCCACGAACAGGCCGAUCCAGGAACUCUUCUUCUCCUUCAGAGUCCUCGACAUAGGCUUGUCGCCUCUGUCGGGGAUUUGCCCCACGUUCCAUAGCUACUUCCGGGUCGCGAGCUGCCUGAUCAUGUUCAGCCAGAAGAACACCAGGUAUGGGGUUGGUAGACAAACGCUGGAUGGCGACAAGUAAUUCUUGAAACCUCCGUUCGGUUUGCUCCGCAAAUUGGUUGAACUCAUCCCGUGUAAUAGGCUCGUUUCUGCGGCCUUCAGCUACGGGGAGAUUGAACUUUUCUCUGCCAUUCUCUUCUUCACUUCCCUCCCACUCAUUAGCAAACAGAGAAACUGACGCAGAGAAAGCGAUGCUUUGGAAAGAAUUCCAAAAGAUGGUGUUUAUUUUGAAUAAUGAAGUGCCGAUUACAAUAUCUUUGGCGCCUAUUUAUAAGAAGGUCGCCAUCUAGAAAAUAACAAAAUAACUUAAAUCUAGUAACAAAUUUGAAAAGAUAUUGAUAAACUAGAAAAUCUAAAAUCUAAUAACAAAUUAAAGAAACGAUAUUGAUAAACCAGAAUAUUUCAGAUAAACCAGAAUAUCUGAAAUCUAAUAAUAAAUAAAGGGAAACGCGUGAAUCAAAUAUUGUAAUCCCUUUUGCAAUCUUGAAGAUCACACAAUCCUCUUUGAUUUGUGGGACCGCCCGCUCUUAUGACGCUCCAUUGUUUCCAGAAAGGCAUUUGCAUAUUGUUCUACAUCAGUCUCCUCCACUUCAGAAGAACUCGACCCCGAGUUAUGAUUAGGAUAAAGAGGAGUAUCUGGAGGAUGAUACUCAAAUAGGUCCGCUACAUUGAAUGUCGGGGAGAUGUUGAGGUCACUAGGAAGAUCAACAACAUAGGCAUUAUCAUUGAUUUUCUUCACAAUUCGACAGGGACCAGCUUUCUUGUGCUUCAGCUUGUUAUAUGUACCAAUAGGAAACCGUUCCUUGCGGAGGUAGACCAUUACUUCAUCACCCUCAGCAAAGACCUUGAGGCGACGAUGUUUAUCUGCAGCAACUUUGUAAACUGUAGUGGAAGCUUCUAGCUGUUGCUUCACACCCUCUUGUAUCUCUUGUAAUUUUGUUGCUAAGUUUUCAGCCGCAACACUAUAUCCUGGGACUUUGGGCAAAGGCACGAGAUCCAGUGUAUGUUGUGGCGUUCGCCCAUAGAUAACCUCAAACGGAGACUUGCCCGUGGAACGGUUGACGGUGUUGUUAAAAGCAAACUCAGCAGGAGCAAGAUACCGGUCCCAUUGCUUUGGCAUGUCACUACAGAGACACCGAAUAAUAUCCGCCAUAGUACGAUUGACAACUUCAGUUUGCCCAUCGGUUUGAGGAUGAAAGGAACUGCUAUACUGCAAAUCCGUCCCAAAUAAACGCCAGAGGGUCCUCCAAAAAUGACUAAGGAAUUUGGUAUCACGAUCAGAGGUGAUAGUUUUUGGAACACCAUGCAAACGAACUACUUCUCGAAAAAAUAAACUCGCUACAUGAGAAGCAUCAGAAGUCUUCUUGCAAGGGAUAAAGUGUGCCAUCUUUGUAAACCUGUCCACUACCACAAAAACAGAAUCCAUACCUCAUUGGGUUCGGGGAAGCCCCAACACGAAAUCCAUUGAAAUGUCUAUCCAAGGUCUAGAAGGAAUAGGUAGAGGGGUGUAAAGUCCAGUGUUCUGAGAAUGGCCUUUCGCAGUCUGACAACUGUAGCACUUUCUCACAAAUCGUCCAACGUCCCGUUUCAAUUGAGGCCAAUAAUACCGCUCCUCAACUAAGGCAACAGUUUUAUCUCGCCCACAAUGUCCUCCAAGGGAGCCACCAUGCAGCUCUCGAAUAAGUUGUUCUCGCAAAGAGCUUCGAGGAAUGCACAACCUGUUGCCAAAGAAUAAAAAUUUGUCCUGAACGAUCAUGUCACCGUGAGAACCUGUCUCAAAACAUUUUUCCCAAAUUUCCUGAAAAUCUUCAUCAUCAGCAUAAAGAGCACAAAGGUGGUCAAAGCCCACAACGUCAGUGCGCAUGGUGACAAGUGUUGCAGCACGACGGCUAAGUGCAUCAGCGACUUUGUUCAAGUGGCCCGCCUUGUGUCGAAGCACGAAAUUGAAUUGCUCCAAAAAGGAGACCCAUCGUCCAUGCAUUCGAUUUAGAUGUCUUUGGCUCUUAAUAUAUUUGAGUGCCUGAUGGUCAGUGUUAAGGACAAACUCAUGUUGAUAAAGAUAGGGCUGCCAAUGCUUGAUAGCUCGUACUACAGCAAAGUACUCUUGCUCAUAAGUAGACCAUCGCUUGCGAACAUCAUUAAGUUUCUCGCUAAAAUAAGCAAUAGGCUUACCUUCCUGGGAAAGAACAGCACCAAUUCCUACACUAGAAGCAUCACAGUCUAGUUCGAAUACCUUUUCAAAAUUCGGGAGCAUCAGUAUUGGUGCCGUGGAAAGUUUUUCCUUGAUGAGAGCAAAGCUGGCUUCUGCUUCGUCACCCCAAUGAAAUUUUCCUUUCUUCAAGCACUCGGUAAUCGGAGCCAUAAUAGAACUGAAAUUCCGAAUAAAGCGUCGGUAGAAUGUCGCAAGCCCGUGGAAGCUACGCGCCUCCCCAACGGUUUGGGGAGUCGGCCAGUCGCGGAUGGUAGCUACCUUUUCUGCAUCAACUUGAAGGCCUUCUGCUCCGACAAUAUAUCCCAAGAAGCGAAGUCGAUCAGUCAUGAAGCUACACUUCUUCAAAUUAAUGUACAAUUGGUUCGUCUGCAAGGCCGAUAAGACGUCCCUUAGAUGCUCCAUAUGUUGUUGGUCAUCGGGACUAUAUAUGAGAAUGUCAUCAAAGUAGACCACCACAAAUUUGCCAAUAAAAGGUUUAAGAACUUGAGUCAUCAAACGCAUGAAGGUGCUAGGCGCGUUCGUGAGGCCAAACGGCAUGACAAGCCAUUCAUACAAACCUUCACUUGUUUUAAAGGCCGUUUUCCAUUCAUCGCCAGGGCGGAUGCGUACUUGGUGGUAUCCGCUACGUAGAUCAAUCUUUGUAAAGACCUUUGAUCCCGCAAGCCGGUCGAGCAUGUCAUUCAAGCGAGGGAUUGGGAAUCGGUACUUGAUAGUAAUCCGAUUAAUUGCCCGGCUAUCAACGCACAUACACAUGCUUCCAUCUUUCUUCGAAGUGAGGAGUGCGGGUACUGCACAAGGGCUCAUGCUUUCGCACAAGAAGCCUUUUCGAAGCAGCUCUCCCACUUGGUCUUGCAAAAUCUGGUUCUCCUUCGGAUUCAUCCGGUAGUGCGGCAAAUUAGGGAGGCUCGCUCCUGGAAGAAAGUCAAUCUCAUGUUGGAUAUCCCUCAAGGGUGGUAAUCCAACAGGUAGAUCCUCCGGAAUAACAUCGCUGAAUGCCCUCAAUAAGGGCUGAAGAGCCACCGGAAUUGGAAUAAUGGCUUCUUGAUUACCUUUCUCCACAAUCAUAUACAUGCCCUCACGUUUACGAACGUUUAGCAUAAUUCCUGCACUUUGCUUCUUUGGGGCCUGGGGAGUGUUACUCAUCGGCUUCAAAAUAAUUUUCGUCUUUUUCCACACAAAAGAAUAUGUGUUCUCACGAGCUCUAUGAGUGAUAUCAACAUCGUAUUGCCAUGGUCGCCCCAAUAGGACAUGACAUGCAUCCAUCUCCACUACAUCACAAAUUAUGGUGUCCUUAUAGGACUUUCCAAUUGAAAUAGGUAAAUGACAUACCUGCGUCACCUUGAGUUCGGCCCCUUUACGAAUCCACCCGAUUGUAUAAGGGGAGGGAUGUAACUCUGUCUUUAGUUGUAGAUGGUCCACCAAAGCCUUGGACACUAUGUUCUCACAACUUCCGCUAUCGAUGAUGACAUCGCAAACUUUGCCGUUGACGGUACAACGGGCACGAAAAAGACUAUUCCGCUGCGUGUCUUCUCUUCGCGGAGCGAGCAAUAGUUUCCUAACAACGCAAUUGACAUGCUCGCCCUCCUCAUCCUCCACUUCUUCCUCAUCAAUCCAGUCAUCUUCGUAAAUGUCAUCGUCGUGCACGACAACGUUGGCCAUCUUCCGCCGUGGACAAUCACUCGAACGAUGUCCUACUUCGUUACACUUGUAGCAUUUGAUUGGUGGUGGCUUAGCGUAUGGGUUCUGGGCACUCUGAUUGGCGUUACGGUUGUUUGCGAUGACUGGUUCCUUGCGCACCCCAGUACUACUUCCCGGAGUUUGGUUCAUAGUGUUGGUUUGCUGGUUGGAGGAUUCUGAAACAUCUAGUUGUCUCCCCUUUCCAGAUAAUCCUCGAGCGGAAUAAUUGUUAGCCCGAUUAAUGGGGCUAGUUCUCUCUAAUUGCAUCUCAACCUUUCGGGCCAUCUCUUGAGCAUCCUCAACAGAGAACAAACGAUGUAGCGAAACACGAUCUUGAAUAUUAAGUCGCAAACCAUUAAUGUACCUCGCAGUCUGUUGUGCCUCCGACUCAGCCAGGUUGUUACGGGCGGAAAGUCGGAGAAACUCCUCCGUGUAAGCUUGAACUGAUCGGCUUAGCUGCUUACAAUUUUGAAAUUGUUGAAAUAAUAAUUGCUCAUAAUCGGUUGGGAGGAACCGAACCUUCAACAUUUCCUUCAUCCGAUUCCAUGUUCGGAUGGGAGCUUUUCCUUGUCGACGUCGGGUCAGUUGCGUUUGCUCCCACCACGCUGAGGCACCGCCCUUCAAUUUGUAUGCCACCAAUUUUACUUGGCGAUCCUCUUCAAUCUCCAUGGCAUCAAAGAAUUUCUCGACUUCCCAAAGCCAAUCCAAAAAGUCUUCAAUAUUCAAAUUGCCAUUAAAGGUCGGAAGGUCAACCUUAAGUUGAUAUUGCUCGGGGUCUCGUCGAUAUCCCCGGUUCCGAUGGCCUCCACGAACAGGCCGAUCCAGGAACUCUUCUUCUCCUUCAGAGUCCUCGACAUAGGCUUGUCGCCUCUGUCGGGGAUUUGCCCCACGUUCCAUAGCUACUUCCGGGUCGCGAGCUGCCUGAUCAUGUUCAGCCAGAAGAACACCAGGUAUGGGGUUGGUAGACAAACGCUGGAUGGCGACAAGUAAUUCUUGAAACCUCCGUUCGGUUUGCUCCGCAAAUUGGUUGAACUCAUCCCGUGUAAUAGGCUCGUUUCUGCGGCCUUCAGCUACGGGGAGAUUGACAUUAACGUUAUUAGCCAUCGUCACAGGAAAAACCUGCUCUGAUACCAAAUGACGCAGAGAAAGCGAUGCUUUGGAAAGAAUUCCAAAAGAUGGUGUUUAUUUUGAAUAAUGAAGUGCCGAUUACAAUAUCUUUGGCGCCUAUUUAUAAGAAGGUCGCCAUCUAGAAAAUAACAAAAUAACUUAAAUCUAGUAACAAAUUUGAAAAGAUAUUGAUAAACUAGAAAAUCUAAAAUCUAAUAACAAAUUAAAGAAACGAUAUUGAUAAACCAGAAUAUUUCAGAUAAACCAGAAUAUCUGAAAUCUAAUAAUAAAUAAAGGGAAACGCGUGAAUCAAAUAUUGUAAUCCCUUUUGCAAUCUUGAAGAUCACAAUCCUCUUUGAUUUGUGGGACCGCCCGCUCUUAUGACGCUCCAUUGUUUCCAGAAAGGCAUUUGCAUAUUGUUCUACAUCAGAAACCCGAGCAACAUUAUCUUUUCUUUCUACUAUAAAUUCCGAGAAUCUUUAUUAUUUUACUUAGACACCUGGGUGAAUCCUUUGCGAAUUUGUAAGAAACUCUUUAUUUAUUAAUAAAAUAAAAAUUACAAUUCAAUUCUAAUUUAAAGACGAAUAGAAUUGAUUAUCAUAUAUAUAUUUCUAUAUUUCAUGUAGAAAGAUAAAGAAGAAUAAGUCUCAUUUAUUUAAUUAUCCAUUUCUUGCACUUAUUAUUUAACAUAUAUACUCACUAAGAUAUACUCAAUAUAAUUAUAUACGAAUUAUAAUUAUUCUAAGAUAUCUUUCUAACUAUAACAAUUACAAAUAUUAAAUCAAGGUACCUGUUCUAUGAUAAUUUUUAACAACUUACCCUUUCUCUUUGUGCCUUUAGUGGGCCUCGGACUCAUCGGCUUCCACUCUAGUAGUGGCGAAUCACUUCACCACUUCUUCGCCUGCCCAGACAUCGACCACCGAGGCCUUCUACCUGUGGAAGACCACUCAGGCAACCUGUUAAAAUAUGUCUCGAGUUUAAGACCAAUGCAAAAUUACGAAUAUUCCGAAUUGGAUAUGUUGCGAAUGUUCGAAAUCGAGCAAAGAAGAUUCGAAUAUCAACUUCCCAAAUUUGAAUCUGCGUAGGAGAGUCUGGCUACUAAAAUAGGAAAGUCCAACUUUGACUAGGACUUGGAUUUUAUUUAAAAUAUACAAAUAUAUGUUUUGGAUAGGAAACAAAAUCCUAUGAGAAGUUGGCAAAAGAAUAAGGUUUUUACUUAUAUAUAGACUUGAGGCCGUGGGUGAUAGGUGUGGAUCACAAAUUGUCUUGAAGCGCCGCAUGAGUGCUUGGUGUUCCGCCGUUGAUCGUGAAUAAUUGGUCUUGAAGCGCCGCCUCGUUGUCGAGUGCUUGGGAGGGAUUUUCUUUGUUGUGAAUUACAUCCAAGAAGGUUUAGUGUUAAAGCCAAUUAAAUCUUGUGGUAAGAUUUGCGUGUAAUUCCUUCGUGAGAUUGAGAGAUUAUUUCUUGAGGAAUUUCGAUACUAAAUACUGUGUUUGUUAUUGGGUGUAACUGUGGCUUGGGAAACACCGAGUGAGUGUUUGAGUGACUUGAGUGUGUAAUCUCCUUGUAUCGCUUAAUCUAUAGUGAAAUUCGCCGAUGCUCUCCUCGUGGACAUAAGUCUUUACGACUGAACUACGUAAAUCUGGUGUCCGAUUUAUUUUUCUUUUUCUGUCUAUAUUAUUGUUCGAUCGCUUGCCUUAUCGCAACAUAACCAACUCCACCUCUCCUUUGAACAAGGGAUUGCCGCGGGGGACGUUGGCGGCAAUGAUAGUGGAGAUUAGGAUGGGGGACGGAUUCUGCUGGUUGGGGCAGCACCACAGACACUGCAAAGUAGAUACACCGCAAAUGUGGAUAGGGCACGGUGCACGUCGUGGUGAAGCAAGGUGGUGUGGCCGUGGCCACUGUGGCCUGUUGGUGUUGCGACUGCAAAUGUGCCUCUCUAUUGUUACGAACCACGCCGCCGUCUCUGCCGUUGCCCCCCGAGCCCCACCGUCGCCUGUCGAAGCCCCAUUGAUAGCUUCAAUUCGUCCCCUACCACUCUCUCUCUCUCUCUCUCUCUCUCUCUCUCUCUCUCUCCCGGAAAACGAUUCCACUUUACUCUCUCUCGUCCAGCAAACCACGCUUACGUUGUUGCCUCCCAAAUAAUAAUUGUUUUUUUUUAAAGAUAGUUUUCUAGUUCACCUCAUGCAAGACGACACUUUAAAGCUUUGACUUUCAAGGGCAUCCGAUUUGUUAGACAUCAAUGAUUUUCUCUGGCAAAUCUAUUGCUGUUAGUAAUUUUUUUCAUAUAGUUAAAAAUCUUAAAUAGAAUGGUAUCUUGUGAUAAAUGAAGCAAGUAACUUGUACUCUGCAUCCAUAAAUUUUAUUGUUCGCCUUUAGUUUUCUCUAAAUACGUUUGUUGAUUUCAGUACAAGUCUAGAUUUCCUAUUCAAAUUUUCACCUAUACUUUCAAUUUGCUUGUGAUUUCAGUUUCCUAUAUUUCGACUCAAGUUGUUUAUUGUUUCGAAAAAAAUUCAUGUAAUUUUAUCGAAAAGAGAAACCGAGUGUAGAAAACAGAGGUAAGAGACACAAAGGAAAUCUUAGUAGUCAAGCCUGUCUUUAUCUCGGUAAUGAAUAAAAUUCAAACCGCUGAAUUCAAACUUUUCAAGUCCGAAUCCCAGGGAAGAAGGGAACUCUGGAGUCAAUUUCACUUGCAUAGCUCUUUUGCAACAAAGGGAUCGAGUCGACUAAAACCUUCUGUUGACACCCAAAUUUUUAUCGAUGUUCUAAAUAUCCAUUUAUUUCGCAAAAAUAAAAAAUAUAAAAAGAUAAAAAGCAAAAAAAAAAGGAAAAUAAAAAAAUGAACAAUGAAAUGAAUGAACGAUGGAAAAAUGAAGUCGUGUGGGCCGACGUGUCUAGCCCACUUGGUUAUUUUCGGCUCACCCCUUAACCGGGCUUCCCAUUUACUUUAUUCUCUUUGGCCCAUUGUCCUUCUAUUCCAUCAGCCUACCAGAGCCUAAAAAAGAAGCCCAGCCCAUCACUCAUUCUUGCGCACGCGCGCGCGCUCGUGAGAAGAGCGUCUGUAACGGAAGGAGGAGAGAAGGUACAGUGACGGUCACCGAAGAAAUGCCCGUGAGCGAGGGAUGAGAAAGGAGCCUGUGACGGAAGCGGAUCCGAGAGCGUGAAUCUUAAUCGAUAUACUCGCGGCUCAACCCUGCGAAAACGAGAUAUAUUCGUGCGAGAUGAUGAUGUCUAGAGCCCGUCGGGUCGUGUUUUGGUUGGAAAAUGGUGUCAAAGCUGAAUCAAAAACCUGUUCUCGUGGCUGCACAACAUGUGUUCGACAAAAUGCUCGAAUGAGGCACCCAAAUCCAUGUUAUCCGAUUGACGUUAAAAAUUUAGUUCGAUGCUUGAUUGCGCAUAUGUUGUUGACGCACCUCUGCUUUCUUCGUGAUUUGCUAUGUUUUUCGUUUGAUUUCGCGGCCCACCUUUUGAUGUUCGUUGACGGCCAUGCAAAACCGAACUUGGUUCGGCCAUCGCUGGCGAUAGGCCGACGACGGCCGGAGAUGUAAUCUGGUGAUGGUGUGUGGUGAUGUGAGCGCCGGUGUCUGUAGAUAGCCUCUAGUUGUAUGGGUUCAAAAAAGGGCUUCGGAGAGGAAAAGGGGAAGAAGAAGUGCAGUAGAAAAGGACUUAAUAAGGAGUAAGACAAAAGAGGAAAAAAAAUUAAAUAAAAAAUGCAAAAUAUAUUUUUGUAAACCCGACCGGGUUGGAUCCGGGUAGACGGGUUGGAUCGGGUUUACGGUCAGAACCCAUUCCCCGAAUAUAAUAAUAAUAAUAAUAAUAAUAAUAAUAAUAAUAAUAAUAAUAAUAAUAAUAAUAAUAAUAAGUAAAAAAAUUCGAAAAAAUUGAAAAUUCAGAAAAUGAUAAAAAAUAAAAAAUUAAUAAAAUUCAAAAAUCAAUAAAAAUUUAGAAUUUUGGAAAAUCAUUCAAAAUUGAAAAAAUCUGAAAGGUCAUCAAAAAAUGAUAUUUCGAAAAAAAUUCAAAACCUUGAAAAUUCAGAAAAAUCAUAAAAAUUCAAAAAGUCCUAGAAAAUCCAAAAAAAUUCAAAAAUUGGAAAAUUUCUAUAAAAAAAGUGAAACGAAAAAAUAAGGUUAUUUGUUUUGCAUUGCCUUUUUACUUUUUAGGGCUAAUAUUAAGAUACUUGUAUAGUUCCCUUUACGAUUAUAACUGAUUGUGCAUUUCAAUAUUUUGAGUGUUACUUUCCUAUUUUAGAAUGGUUAAGAUGAUUCUUAGAUUUCUUUUGGAUAGGCUAUUAUGACGUUUGUCAACACAUAAACAAGUAUGUACUAAAAGGACGUCAGUCUUAAUGCUAACGUAAUCAAAUUCUCGAGUCUAGAAUAUCUAGUUACAAAAAGUAAGAUUCCUCUCAUAUCUUACUUAUCUUACUUAGUUUCUAGUCGACUAAAAAGACUAAUGAUGACUCCUUUGUCAAAAUUUGCAAUGCUAAAUUGAUUUAACAUUGAACGUUUGAUGUCGUGCGAAGUAUGAACUUAGAAGUGUCCAAAUCAAUGGAAGGUAUGACAACAUCCCUAAACAUAACUCUCCUUCCCCCGAGGGUUAUGUUGCGACACAUUCUAUUAAGAACAAUACGACAAAAUCUAAAACGAUAAUCAUAACAAUAAUCAUCGAUGUGCCAUUUUGAUACUAGCAAGAUCAUCUAAAAGCGUUUCGCCUGGAUAUUAAAAUGGCGGAAUAAGAAGGAAGCAACUAGAAUGACAUCAGCUGGAGCUUGAAUUCAUGGAAAUGAGCAGCGAUGGCAAGGGUCUACAUCCGGUGUGCCUAAAGGUCUUUCUGGCAGAGACAUUGCUAGCCGGAGACAACGAACGUGACUAGGAAUCUCUAUCUACUCCAAGCUCAACAUCAAGGCGGAGCGAGCACUCCUUUCUUUGGUCAAAUCAACAGCAACAUCCUCGCACGGCGGAGGAGGAGGAGGGUAAAGAGAGAAGGCCAGGUCUAGGGAAAAAGCUGAAAUGUUGUAGCGAUGGGGCUGAUGGGUUUGGGCCGCGGAUCAAAUCAAUGGGUUGCUAUUGUGGGCCACGCUAAUUGGACCAACUUGGCCUUUUCUAUUUGUUUUUUUUAUUUUUAUCUUUUAAUUACUCUCUCUCUCUCUCUCUCUCUCUCUCUCUCUCUCUCUCUCUCUCUCUCUCUCUCUCUCUCUCUCUCUCUCUCUCUCUCUCUCUCUCUCUCUCUCUCUCUCUCUCUCUCUCUCUCUCUCUCUCUCUCUCUCUGGGUUCUUUUUACAACCAUUCAUUGUUCCAUUCAUUGUUUUUAUGCUCUUUUUUAAGAAGAAUGUAUGCUUAAUUUGUCUACUAAAAUGUAGGGGUCGACAGCUUUAAAAAUAUUUACCUAAUAUUCAAAGAAGAAUAUCAUGCUAACACAAACAAACAACAAGACAUUGUAUGUGUCGUUGCGUCCAAUCUUAACUCACCAAAGGCUAGAGUAAUUUCUUGAUCAAUGGAAGAAAUGGGCCAAAAAUAUGGGAAAAUCCAAUCAAAUAGAAUCAGGUAUGUGUUGAUGAAAUAUUGACUCAUCUGUCGCGACCUCUUUUUUUUCGGCGCCCGUGAUCGGGUACGCGCGCCUAAGGAGGUUAAUGGCUCGGUUGAAAUUAGUUAUGCCCGGACUCUCCCAAGUCCACCAAUUCGCAACUUAAUGGUUCAAGUUUUUAACUUGUAAAUCAAUUUUAAAACGGAGUCGCCACUAAUCAAUUUGGGGUGGGUCGAUUAGAAACCCAAGCAAAGUAUCGGGAGAAAUACUUGCUCCUACGCAACCAGAGAAAUUAGGAUCGGGGACUUGAUUACACUAAUUAAUCACUAAUGCCCUUUCGGUACCUAAUCUUGUUUAAACCCUUAGGCUUUUUGGAUGUUCAAGGGAUUUUCCAUGCAUUUUUGGGAGGAAAAACAUGUUUUAGUCUUUUUUUUUCUAAUUUUUGGACACAAAAGGGAUUUUUUGGUAUUUUUGACAUUUUUUGGAAAAUAUGGAAUAUUUUUGAUUUUUUUGAUUUUUCGGAAAAUAAAAUAUUUUUAUCAUUUUUUUAUUAUUUUUCGAUUUUCUAGAAAUUAAAAAAAAAAUUAAUAUUUUUUGGAAAAUAAAAUAUUUUCUUUGGAUAUUUUUUUAAAAUUAAAAAUGCUUUUUUUAAAUAUAUAUAUAUUUUGAAAAGAAAAUAUUUUUUGCUUUUUUUGAAAAUACAUUAUUUAUUUAUUAUUAAAAUAUUAUAUUAAAAUAAAAACCGACCCGGGUCGGAUCCACGGGUUGUGCCCGACCCGGGCUGGCGACUCGAACGAGGACGGGCCCGACUCAGAUUUUUUCAUCUUUUUUCCCCUUUUUUUUCUUUUUUUGAGCGAAGGGACCCAAGUCCACAACGAAAUUGGGCCCUUCCGCGUAAAACAGGCCCGUGCGCAAACGAGCCCAGCUGACCCGGGCCUACGAAAAUACCCGCCCGGCUUGGAAACCGGGCCAGUCCCGGUCCGAGCGACUAAAACCCCAGGGGAACCGGGUCAUCCGCCCGACCCGAUUCCGCUCCACUUCGCGACUUCCUCUCUCUCUCUCAACUCGCGGCGCUGAAGGAAGGGCUGGGGCGGCAGCUUGCGGUGAUGACGACGGUGACGCAGAGGACGGCGGUAGCCGGUCGUUCGUCGAACUGGAGAGCGUGACUCAACAACAACAGCCGGGAUCUAUUUGGUCGGUCGGGACUAGGGUUUAGGGCUUCACGAACGGGGGGCCGACGGCAACGACGCGGUAAACAGGGACGGCGAGGGGUGGCGAGUGAAAACGACGACGGCCAAGAGGGGCUUGAUACCUGCUUAUGGAGAGGAUACGGCGCGGCGGCGUGGCUGGUUGGCGAGAUGGAAUCGUUGGUGGUGGAGGCUUCGUCGGUGGCGUCGAGGAGGGAUCACAGCAUGGUGGUGAACAAAUCCGAGCCUCCCCCUUCUGAUUUCCUUUCGCUCACCCCCCUUCUUCGCAGAUCUAACCCCUCGUGCUCGGAUCUCUCUCACUCUCGAUCAGAUCUCUCCCCCUCCGGCCAGAUCCGAGCCUCCACCGGCCGAAUCUGACCUCUUCGGACUCGCUCGCCGGCGGCCUCCCCCGAAGUCUCUCAGUGGGAGGUCGGCCUAGCUCGCGACCCGAUUCCUCUCUCGCUCGCCUUCUUCUCGUUCGCUCUUCAACCUCCUCCGAAGUCUCUCAGGAGGAAGCUUCCAAGCUCACGAUCUUCUGGCCUCUCCCUCCGUCAACGGUGGCCCCCCUCUAUUUAUAGGCGCGGGAGCGGCCGGUCGGCGAGGCCUUGACCCGCCGGUUGGACCGCCGUCCCAUCCACCAUCAUCACCUCCUCCGGUCAUGUCCCGUCGACGCCACCUGCUCCUCUGCUCCGCACGCAACUGCCGUCCGUCCACCCCCUUCCUCUCCAUCGCGCCCUCUGCACGUGCGCUACAGAGGCGCGAGGAAGAAGAAGAUGCGGUGGGGGCCGGGUUUGGCGGAAAUGGGCUGAGAGCCCAUGGAGGGGCUGCCCCUCUUUUGCUUUUUUUUUUUUUUUUUGCUUUGUUUUUGUUGUUGGUUUUUUGGUUUAUUAUCCGAAAAUCAAACAAAAUAAUAAUAAAGUCUAAUCUAAUUUUAGGCGUCAACAGCUGCCCCUCUUUGAAGGUGAGCUCGCAGAGGUUUCAUUCAAAGACAAAAUGAUGCCUAAAAUUUGGUUAUAUAUGCGUAGCGGAUUAUAUUUUAUUUGGGACUUAUUAUCCUAUGUAAAAAGAGCAAUAUAACAUUACAUAUUCUAAGACAGAUAAGAAGAUACCUGUAGUUACUUACCGGGAGUGAGUGAGAUAGGUUGUGAGCCCCGAGCUUUGGCAAGUAUCAAGGCGUCAUCUUACCUGGUGACAUGAGGAGGUUGCUUUUCCAGGGCUCGAACCAUUCUUCAGUCGCCUGUUAAAACAAUCAAUAAUUUGUCCAGGACCCGAACCUUUCCUCGAUUGCCUUGACAAGAAAUUGCUUCUCCAGGACCCGAACCAUUCUUCGGUCGCAUGUUGGAGCAAUUAGGGGUUUGUCUCGGACCCGAACCAUUCUUCGGCCGUCGUGACGGGAAAUUGCUUCUCCAGGACCCGAACCAUUCUUCGGUCGCAUGUUAAAACAAUCAAUGAUUUGUCGAGGACCCGAACCUUUCUUCGGUCGCCUUGACGGGAGAUUGCUCCUCUAGGACCCGAACCAUUCUUCGAUCACCUAUUGGAGUAAUCAAGGGUUUGUCUCGGACCCGAACCAUUCUUCGGUUGCCGUGACGGGAAAUUGCUUCUCCAGGACCCGAACCAUUCUUCGGUCGCCUGUUAAAACAAUCAAUGAUUUGUCGAGGACCCGAACCUUUCUUCGGUCGCCUUGACGGGAGAUUGCUCCUCUAGGACCCGAACCAUUCUUCGGUCGCCUGUUAAAACAAUCAAUGAUUUGUCGAGGACCCGAACUUUUCUUCGGUUGCCUUGACGAGAGAUUGCUCCUCUAGGACCCGAACCAUUCUUCGGUCGCCUGUUUGAGUAAUCAAGGGUUUGUCUCGGACCCGAACCAUUCUUCGGUUGCCGUGACGGGAAAUUGCUUCUCCAGGACCCGAACCAUUCUUCGGUCGCCUGUUAAAACAAUUAGUGAUUUGUCUAGGACCCGAACCUUUCUUCGGUUGCCUUGACGGGAGAUUGCUCCUCCAGGACCCGAACCAUUCUUCGGUCUCCUUGACGGGAGAUGCACCAACCUUUCUCAGGGCAUCUCAUUUGUGGGUGCCUGAUUUGUAUCGAGGACACCAGUUGGUACCCGACCUUUCUCGGGAGGAUGCACCGACCUUUCUCAGGGCAUUGAUUUGGGGGAUACCUAGACAUUCACAAGCAUAUCAAAGAGUACCUGGAUAUUCACAAGUACUAACCUAAAGGGUAUCUGGGCUUUUGCAGGCGUCAAAAUGGGUAUUUGGCUGACCAUAGGCAUUGAAUAGGUACUUGGAUGAUCACCAGUAUGAAUUAUUGGGGGAUACUUGGGCAUUCACAAGUAUCGAAUGGGUACUUGAUAAUUGGAAAUAUUGAGAACAUACAUUGGAUAUUUGUGAAGGUAUCCCUACCUCCUGGCAAUUGGGAAAUAUCGAGGGCAUACCUGGGAUAUUGGUGAAGGUCUCUCACCUCCUGGUAGUUGGAAUAUCGAGGACGUACCUUAGAUAUUCAUGAAGAUUUUUCACCGACUGGUAAUUGGGAAUAUUGAGGACGUGCCUCGCAUAUUCGUGAAGGUCUCUCGCCUCCUGAAUUGCCACAAGCACUUAAAAGGGGUGGAACACUUGGACAACGGUGAAUACUUGACGAUAUGGGGAUACCUAGACAGCAGUGGGCAUUCCAAGAAAUACUUGGUCAGUCGUGAGUAUCAACACUCUGAGGACAACUCGAACAGGUCGAGUGUCAGGAAAAGGGAGUAUCCGAAUGGUGGCCGGUACUCAAAGACAAUAGGGAUGCUAAGACAGUUGCAAGCAUCCAAACUCAAUGGACAACUCGAAUAGGUCGAGUGUCAAUAAGAGAGUACCUGGACAGUGAUAGGUACUUCAAGACAAAUGGGGAUAGCGAUAUGUUUACCUGGCAAUAUCUUUGAUCUUUGAGAGUAUGUCUGCUAUUUGCACAAUAUGCAUGCAUGAUUGUAUAUACUGUAAAUUCAUGAUUUAUGCAUGAUAACUUUAUCAAUUGCGUAUCAUUCGAAUUCCAUUGGGGAAGAUUUUGAGAGACAACAUUUAUUCGGAAUAUAGAUGUUUUGAGCAUGCCAGAUGAGGGACUUUCAGUCUGAAAGGACUUUUCACUCACUCUCAUGGAGAAGGCUAUCCUGACCAUUGAUGCAGGAUUUACAAGGACCACACUAUCUCACUGUCAUCAUGUCAGCAGGGGUCUGAGUAUUCUCGCAAAAGGUACGACUUUACCAAUGUGAGAGGUCUUUGUUGAAAUUGUGAUGAAGACUUGGUUAAUAGCUCAUCAAAUGGGACCGUCAAGGUCAAGGCUCAUGAACGAAGUGCCGCACGAUCAUCUCCAGGUUUGCAAGUCAAGAGUCCUGCGAAAAGAGAUAGAAUAGUCUUGCUCGUACUUCUUCGAGCGAUGCUUAUAGACAUAUGAAAUCCUACGUUAAUUGAAGUGCCCCUAGUCUGAAGAGACUUUUACAAUGUAGCGUAGACUUGGCUCACAUGUAAGAGGGUGAGAGUUAGUGACUGUCUUGGCAUUUGUCACUAGUCUUUCUUCACGGUCAGCUGGAGGUUGUAUCAUUUAAACAACAAUUUCUCUUGGGAAUACAAAUGGCUAUGUUUUUAUUUGGGGCGUUGGCCUUGCUUUUACCAGGCACACUGCUUUUUUCAUGCCCCUAUUUCUCAUCUUAAUUUUUCAUUCGUGGGCAUUGACCUUGCUUUUACCAGGUACACUGCUUUUUUCAUGCCCCAGUUUUUGUUCUUGUUGCUUGAUGAACUGAUCUUGACAAGUUCAAGCGAAUGCCUUUGCUAGACUAUGGAGUCUUCAUAUUUUGUUGGCACUUCUGAUUAUGUUGCUCAAGCGACAGUGGCUUCUGUUUUGCCUCCAUGUGAGGGUGAAUUUUCAGACUCGAUUGAGUUGUACAAUGGAUACGAGUGCGUAAAUAAAGAAUUGCUCUUCACGACUCAAAGGCACUUAAAUUAACGCGGGUGUUCAUAUGUAAUAAAGACACUCAAAGAUUGAUGCAAGUGCGAGCAAGAAAAUUUCUAUCCCCUUUCUCACCUUAUGAUGCUGAUUUGCUUUUGACUUGCCCCAGUGUGGGGGUGGUUCUUUGUCGAGAGUAUUUAUCAGUAUAUGGGGCUCAUAGUGAGCGAUGGGGUGCCCCUCACUGCUUUGAUCAUCGUACCAUUCGCGAGAGAACUCUUUACCCUAUAGUCAUGGAAUCUUCUGCACUCAUCUCACAAGUGUAUAGAUGGGGGGGACUGUGUGUAGGAUAUGGCUUGCCUUUCAUCAUUCUGACGUGCCUCAUCCAACAUACUCAAUCAAUCUUGUAUUCUUCAAUUAGCUGUCUAUUCUAAUAGUUCUCAAUGGAAUCAAUGAUUUAGACAGACAAAAUCAUCAUGCAGAGUUUACCUAGAAAAAUGCAUGCAGUGUAUGAUGUGAUGGAGUUUGGUACUCUCAAAAUAAAUGAAAGGCUUUUUACUCAAGAAGAACUUAUUAGCAGCUUUAGGGGUACUUAUUUGGUGGAACGGUAUUCACAAAUGUGUUGAAAUUUGAACAUUUAAAAGAGUUAUUUACAAAAGGUUAUUCACAAAUGGGUGUCGAUGGAUGUCCCUAUUGAUUUGAUUGGGUGUCUCUGCUCUUGCCCUGGGUUUGGAUCACUUGGUUUGCCCCAUUCAACCAUUAAGCCUGGCCCUUGAAUCCCAAUGCUUCCUAUCAAUAUAAGCUCAGAGAGUGAGUGCUAGAGAUGACACCAAGUUGCAUUUCCCCCGAGUUUAUAUGAGCUAGCUUCUAGGGAUACUUGAAUGUCGAUGAUGGCUUCUUUGCAGUUCCAUGCUUCUUUCGACCGGCUUUUCUUACUUGUGGCCACAUAGGCAUGAUUGCUAGCUGUUGAUUUACUUUCAAUGCCUUCCUUUUGUGGAACUUCCCCUCCUGUCUUUGAUUAGUAGCAUUGGGCAAAGUCAUGUAUCUCAAGCUUCUAUGGAAUUUUGAGAUGGCCAAUUAAAAUUUCCAUCUUUCCAAUAGCAAUUGCUUCUUGCAAGGGCACCCGUCUGGAACAAGAAAUGAGGUUUCGGGAUUCUAAAAUUGUUGACUGGGACAGAAGGUUCCUUCUAACCAGGCUGGCUCUUGAACGACGCAUCUUUUACACCAAGCUAGGCGAAAUUGACAUGGAUUACUCUUGUGUGUCUGCCUGGGUAAUGUCAAUUUGCUCAAGCUAUACCAUCGAGUUUGCUACUUGGUUUUUGACACUUCCUUAUGUGCUGGUGAUUACAAUUCAUUUUUCUCCAAAUACACGAUUUUCAUGACGGUGUAAAUACAUCACUCAUAUAUAAAAGGUGCAUAGGCAUUUUCAAAAUGAUAGAGAGGUGUUUGGCAAUGCCAGAUGAUGAACAUCAUUCAAGGGUAGUACUUUUUUACGGCAUCGGAAUUAACUGGCUUAGAAAACUCUCGCCCAUCCAUCUCGGUUAGGAUCAAGGCUCCUCCGAGGAGUAUCUUCUUUAUUACAUAAGGACCCUUGUAAUUUGGGGCGAACUUGCCUCCAGGCUCUGGAAAGAUUGGCAGCGUCUUUCUCAAGACUAGCUCAUUUACCUCGAAGUGCCUAGGUCGCACCUUUUGAUUAAAUGAUCGAGCUACCUUCUGCUGAUAACACUGACCAUGACAGAGGGCUUUCAGUCGCUUUUCAUCGAUCAUGUUCAGCUGCUCGAGCCUUUGUUGUGUCCAUUCCUCCUUAGAUAAUCCAGCCUGGGAUAAAAUUCGUAGGGAAGGGAUUUCUACUUCCACGGGUAAAACUGCCUCCAUACCGUAAACCAGGGAAAAAGGGGUCGCCCCAGUAGAAGUUCGAAUCGAAGUUCGAUAUGCUGUUAGUGCGACGAGUAGCCUCUCGUGCCAGUCGCGGUAAUUUUCAGCCGUCUUGGCUAGGAUUCUCUUGAUGUUCUUGUUGGCAGCCUCUACAGCCCCAUUCAUUUGCGGGCGAUAAGGGGAUGAGUUCAGAUGCUGGAUCUUGAACUUAGAAAAUAAUUGGUCAAUCAGCUUGUUGUUCAGAUUUGUCCCGUUGUCGGUGACGAUGGAAUCUAGCACGCCAUAUCGAGCGAUUAUGUCACGUUUGAUAAACUUCAUAACAUUCCGUGCAGUUACACUUGCAUAUGAUGUGGCCUCGAUCCAUUUCGAAAAGUAAUCAAUUGCAACCAAGAUGAACCGAUGCCCGUUUGACGCCUUUGGGUUAAUUGGGCCGAUUACAUCGAUGCCCCACAUUGAAAACGGCCAUGGCUCAGAUAACUGAUGCAGUUCAGUUGGAGGGACAUUUAUCUUAUCUCCGUGAAUUUGACAAUGGUGACAACUUCGUGCAUGCUGAGCACAAUCAUUCUCUAAGGGGAGCCAGUAAUAACCCAGUCUCAUUAUCUUCUUGGCCAACAUACGUCCAUUCAUGUGAGGGCCACAUACUCCCUCGUGUAUUUCUUGCAUUAUUCGUGUGGCUUCUGCCGCGUCCACACAUCUUAGCAGGACUGAAUCAUACGAUCUUUUGUAUAGAUUUUCACUGCUGACGAAAAACUUUGAAGCCAUUUUCAUUAGGAAUUUUCGAUCAGAGGGAGUGCUUUGUUUAGGGAACUCCUGCUUCUGGACGUAUUUCAUGAUGUCGUAAUACCAGGGUCUCCCGUCGGGCUCUUCAGUUAUGGCCAUGCAGUAGGCCUGUCUUGCCAGGACUUCGAUUUUUAAAGGCUCAACUUCUAACCCUCUUGUUGCUUGCAACAUAGAUGAUAGCGUUGCUGGUGCAUCAGCGAACUGAUUAUGAAUUCUAGGUAGGUAUUCAAACGAGAUGUCUUGGAAUCUUCCCGCCAACUUUUCUAAGUAACCAUGAUAAGGCACAAGUUUGGCGUCUUCUGUCUUCCAUUCGCCCAAUGUCUGGAGGAUUAUUAAGGUAGAAUCACCGAACACCUUUAGCUUCGUCACUCCCAUUUCAAUAGCCGCUUGCAGGCUGAGGAUGCAUGCUUCAUAUUUGGCUAUAUUGUUGGUACAUAGAAACAUCAAUUUUGCAGCCACAGGAUAAUGCUGUCCAUUUGGGGAUAUCAAGACUGCCCUAGUGCCGGAGCCUGAUAAAUUUACAGCUCCGUCAAAGAACAUGCUCCACGUGUCUUCUUCUACCGCGGAAAUUCGAUCGUCCGAGGGAUUAUCCUUGCAUACUUCUUUAGGACAGUCUACUAACAUAUCAGCAAUCACCCGCCCUUUAACUGAUUUUUGUGACAUGACUUGAAUGUCGAAUUCCGAGAUCAGGAUUUGCCAUUUAGCCAAUUUUCCUACCAAUGCUGGGCGACUGAGCAAAUACUUAAUCGGAUCACUUUCGGUUACGAGGAAAGUUUGGUAAUGCAAGCUAUACUGUCGGAGUCUAUGCAACACCCAUACUAAUGCGGCGCAUGUUUUUUUUUAUUUGGAAUAGUUUUGCUCUGACGUGGUGAACUUUUUGCUCAAAUAGUAGAUGGCUCGCUCCUUCUGGUCAUGGGGCUCCUUUUGUGCCAGCAUUGCACCUAAGGACUCACUGCUGAUUGUAAGGUAGAGAAUUAAAGGGUGCCCCGGUACUGGAGGUACUAGAAUCGGGGGUUUCAUCAAGUAUUGCUUUAGGUCUUCAAAUGCCCGUCGGCAAUCAUCAUCCCAUUUAAUUUGUGCAUCUUUCCUAAGAAGUUUAAAGAAAGGUUUUGCAGUUUCAGAAAGCUGGAAAAUGAAUCGAGCAAUGUAAUUUAAUCUCCCCAUGAGGCUCCGGACUUCUUUUACAGUUGAGGGAGGAGGCAUCUCAAAUAUCGCCUUGGUUUUUGAUGGAUCUACUUCUAUCCCUUUACAGCUUACAAUGAAUCCAAGUAAUUUGCCAGAAGUUGCCCCAAACACACAUUUCGCCGAAUUCAAGCGCAACUUAAACUGGCGAAGUCGCUCAAAUAGUUUCUCCAAGGUCUUCACAUGGUUUUCUCCAUGUCUGGUUUUAGCGAUCAUGUCAACGACAUAUACUUCAAUUUCUUUGUGCAUCAUGUCAUGGAAAAGGGUGACCAUGGCUCGCUGGUAAGUUGCUCCAGCAUUUUUCAGGCCAAAAGGCAUGACCUUAUAAUGGAAAGUGCCCCAUGGAGUAAUGAACGUCGUUUUUUCCUUGUCUUCCUCCUUCAUCUUUAUUUGGUUGUAUCCCGAGAAUCCAUCCAUAAAAGAGAAUAGUUUGAACCCUGCAGUACUGUCUACCAAAACGUCUAUGUGGGGUAAUGGGAAGUCAUCUUUCGGGCUUGCUUUGUUCAAGUCACGAUAGUCGACACAAACACGUAUUCAACCAUCCUUCUUCUUCACUGGCACAAUGUUUGCUACCCAGUUGGGGUAUCGCGAGACUUCGAGGAAACCCACUUCGAGGAGCUUCAUUACCUCUUCUUCAAUCUUUUUUGACAAUUCCGGCUUGGUUCUUCUUAGCCGUUGUUUCUUAGGGGCUAUAUCAGGGUUAGUUGGCAAACUAUGCUCCACGAUCAUUGGAUCAAGGCCUGGCAUAUCCGCAUAUGACCAUGCGAAUACGUCUUGAUACCUCUUUAAAAGAGCAAUCAGGUUCGCAGCUUCUUCUUCAGGAAGGUUGGUGCCAAUCUUUAUCUCUCUUGGACCUUCUGUGCUGCCUAAAUUGACAGUGACGGUGUCUUCAAUGGUAGAGGGCCUUGUUUCCUCAUGCCGCUCCCAGUCUCAUUGAAUUUCAUUGGAAUUAUCAAAGUCAUCAUCUGAGCUAUCAGAAUUGCUAUCAUGGCUAUCCACGAUGCUAGUUUGGACCGCUCCCAUACCCUGGCCUACCGCUAGAUUAUUCCUGUGUCAUAGAGUAGAUAGGCUAAGAGGACAAAUAAGGUUAGUAGUAUGCAUGCUUUUUUUGGAAAUGUGAUAAAUUGUUCUUGAAGAUUUAGGAUAAGGAAACAUGAGGAGACCCGGGCCUCAGAUUUCUUCUUUCAUUUGAUGGCUGGCUAUCAUCAACGGGCCGGUUUGGUGUGUCUCCCCAUGCCCUCAAAAUGUUUUCAACUUUAUUUAUUAGUAGACGGAUUUACAAAGUGAUUUCAAAAAAUGGUUCCCCAAGUGGAACAGGUGUUGAAAACAAAACAAGCCAAACUCUUAAAAAAAUAUGUACAGGUUCCCACGUAGGGGAGUAUGCGAAGGAAAUAAAAAGGAUUCUACACGAGCGAGUCUGCGCCCAUUUCCCCUGGCGGUCCUUCAUUGAUAGUGCCCACGAAGAAGUCUUCAUACCAGCUACCAGCCACAUCUCCCUGUGCUUGCGGCUUUGCAGAUUCCAGAUCAUCCAUGCCUUCCCAUCCAUCAGGGACGAUGCGGCGAUGAUGAUCAUAGAAACUUUGGGGGAUUGAAUAAUUGACAUAGUAGUCAAAUUUACCACUUGGCUGACCCAAAGUGUCCAUGAUCAUCUCUCCUUUACGUGCUUCCUUAGCAUGCUCAGGGAACAUGGUACGAGUGCUGGGUACCACGAGGAGGUGAUUUUGGCCAAAACACAGCCACGGAGAGCGGAACGUGAAUACCCCAGCAUCUAAAAGAUCCUGAACCUUGUCUUUCAGGAUGGUACAACCAUCUAACGAGUAUCCUAAUUCUCCCGAAUGAUAAUCACAUUGCUUGGAUGGAUCAUAAUCAAGGAAGUACUCGGGAGUAGGAUGACUCAGUUCCCUGGCGAUUAGCCCUUGCUCUAGGAGGAUGGGAAAAACGAUGGUCAUCGAUUUAGGAAGAGGCGAAUACUGCCUCAUGCUUUUUUAGGACUGAGAUAGCCAGACCCCUUGCCAGAUCGCAUCAGUAGGGUCUUCUUCAUUUACUACUAAAUCUUCAUUAUGACGAGAGCGAAAUGUGCGGGUAGCUUGAGCAAAGUUUUCCGUCAAGUGGUGUACUGUCUCGCGUAGUUCAUCAACUUGGCGCUGAAGCUGGAUGAAUGAGAAGUUAUCGCCUGCUCCUUCUAACUGUUCUUCCUCAAUAGCACAUAUAGAAAUGUCUCCAAACAUGGUGGUCAUGUCAUCCGGCCCCUCUUUCUUUGAGGGCCAAGUUGUGCCCUCCUGGAUUACGGGCAAGUUUGAGCUCUCGGGGUUGAACCAAUUUGAAGUAUUGAUCACUCCUUCCUCUUCAUGCAUCAUCCGAGCUGGGCCUGGGAAAGUUUCCUCGAGACGGGGGUAUAAAAGGCUGACUUUUUUCUUUGCUUUUCUAUCCGGGAGGUAUCCUAAACCGACAGUGUAGGGUCUCCUCAGGGCUUCAAUAGGUUGACGGAUGCCCUGGCCUUCCUUACCAAGUCCUUGUCUUGGAAUGAAACCGUGUCCAACCAUGAUUUUUCCUACCAUGAUCGCAGCACUUGAUACUUCGAGGAUGAGGGGCAAGGUCCCUCGAUUUUCGUGUACAGUAGACACAAGCUUGAACGAUUGAUAGCUAGCUUCAUUCUUGUCACUAGGCUCAACAUAAGGAAUGGCUGUCUCGUGGUAGAUACGGUGGUCUUCUUCUCCUCGAACUGUGAUUAGCUUCCCUCCAACCACGAACUUCACACUUUGGUGGAGGCUUGAAGGUACUGCUCCUGCGAUGUGGAUCCAUGGGCGCCCUAAGAGGAAAUUGAACGCAGUGGAGAUAUCCAUUACUUGGAACAAAAUUUUGAAUAUAGUUGGGCCAAUUUGAACGUCGAGCUCAAUCUCUCCUACUGUUUCCUUCUUUGUUCCAUCAAAUGCUCGAACAGAAGUCUUGGGUACUUGGAUCCGUGAUUUGUCUAUUUGAAGGCGACAGAGUGUUGCUAGUGGACAUAUGUUAAGAGCAGAUCCAUUGUCAAUCAGCACUCGAGCAACGUGAGACGCGUUGCAUUUGACUGAUAUGUAGAGGCCUUUGGUGUGUCCUCUACCCUCCUCAGGGAUUUCUUCAUCAGAGAAUGCCAUUUGAUCCUUCAAUAGGAUGGUGCUAACAAAUUCCUCGAGUUUGUCAUGUUCAAUUGUUUCAGGGACAUGUACCUCACUUAAUACCUUCAUAAGGGAUUUUUGGUGCUUGACAGAUGUCUGAAGCAAUUCCAGCAGAGAGAUCUGUGCUGGUGAUUUUCGUAAUUGCUCCACCACAUUAUACUCGCUUGCCUUAACUACGGCCAAAAACUCCUUAGCUUCUUCGUCGGUGACGGGCUUAGCAGACUGCGUAUUUGCGUGAGCAUAGGUUCGCCCAAAUCUCAUGACUAAACCCACAUCGAGGUCAUAAGACCAUGGUACCACUUUGUUACAUUCAUAUUUGUAAGGCUGGGGGAUUUCAAUGAUUAUAGCUGCUUCCGCUAUCGAUGCUUCGAUUAUAUCCUCCGGUGGGGUGGAAUCUUUCUUCUUCCUUUCUGCAUUUAGCGCGGCACAUUCCUCAUCCCAGUUGAUGAGGACUUGCGAUAUAGUGGAAACUAUGCCGGUAUGACCAACAUGUAUGAUUACUCCGGCUUCUAUCAUUCUUGAUACCCUUGCUUUCAUUGUCCCAAAAGGUGGUAUUUCGUCAUUCGAAUAAUACCCGGUUUCCACUAGCCCUUGAUAGAUGUCAACAAUAGGGGUACUAACAUUUCUGAUUUGACUAGCUUCAGAACCGAAUAUCGCAUUUACUUUGUCAGCAUGAUCAGGGAGCGGAUUGCUUUGGACAUUUGGCCUCGUCGUCUGGAAUGAGAAGGCUUUGGUAUCCAGCAGGUUCUGGAUCCGAUGUUUAAGGAUGAAGCAAUCAUCAGUUGAAUGGCCUAUUUCUCCCAUGUGGUAAUCGCAUUUUUUGGACGGGUCGUAGCUGGCGAAGCUUUCAGCAUUGGGUCGUCUUGGCUCAAUCGAGAGGAGAUUCUUGUUCCGGAGGAUUGCCAAAACCUGGGAAGGAGAUCCCGGAAGCGGAGUGAAUUGUCUUCGGUUGUUGUAGCGUUGAGGCUGACGGCUAUUGGUUUGUUGUUGGCCUGUGCUUGUCUGAACAGUCGGGAGGUGACCGGUAUUUGCGGUGUAGGUGGCAUUGACAUCGCUCAGGGGCUCUUUAUCCUUUUUCAUGCUGAAUCUUCUGCUGACAGGUGAAGGCUCGGUGAACCAGCCAUCUCUUAACCCUAUCUCUAUCUGCUCUCCCACUGGAAUGAGUUGAUUGAAUGAUUCAGCGAUCGUAGUCACCAUCCGGUUGCGGUAUUCAUAGGGGAGUGUUUUGAUGAACAUUUUUCUUAAUUCAAAGUCAGUCGGUUCGGGACUGAUCUGGGCGGCGAGAUUCCUCCACUUGAUAGCAUAUUCUUUGAAAGAUUCCUGCUUCUUCUUUUCCGCGCGAUCAAGAUCCUCACGAGAAGGGGUAAUGUCCACUAUGAAUUUGUACUGCUUGAGGAAUGCCUCGCUUGCUUCACUCCAUGUUUCGAUGAGGUUUAUGUUUUUCUUGAUGUACCACCUCAAAGCAGGACCUACUAGACUUGACUGGAACAACUGGAUCAUUAAAGGCACAUUAUUAACGUACUGGGUCAUUCGAACCAAGUACAUUUGCAAAUGAGCCCUUGGGCAGGUUGUGCCAUCGUAUUUCUCAAAUUCAGGCAUCUUAAACUUUUCGGGCAUUUUGACUUUGGAGUAGAUGGAGAGGUCUGUUGGAGUAGGAUCCUGUAGGCCUUGCAGUUGCUUUAGCCUUUCUUCAAGCUUCUCCAGACGCUUAUCAUGCUCGGUCUUAGACGAAAUGUUGGGUUUUACUUUCUCAACGAUGAUUUGGUGUGCGUUGUCCUCCAAUUCAGGCAUGCUAUCAUCGAUUUCUCUUCCUUGUUCUCCUCGGGUGGAUGAUUGUGGUAAUACUACUUCGAUUGAGGCUGGGGUAGGAGUCAAUUUGCCCUGAAUGGAAUCUACUUGCUUUGAGAGCUGUUGAAGCACAUUGAAGACCUGCUUCAAUUCUCUUUCCAUAAUCUCGACACGGCUUGGUACAUUUUCUUCAGCCAUCUAAGCUUUUGGAUUUGGUGAAUAUGGCUAUGUUGUGAUUACCUGCUAACACAGGAAAUGGAGAAAACGUAAAUAAAGGAAACACAUGGAACACUAGCUCAUGGCAAGGGUCGAGUCAUUCUUAUUUAUUAACAAGAGAUUUAUACAAUGCCAAAAGGAUUUUUGACAUAAGUCAGGACGACCCUAGACAUUCACAUUAAAACACACAUCAAAAAGCCACAACGUCCAUUUUUAUAUGCGAUGGGAAGUCCCGAUCUUGCGACGCCGUUUGCUCUUUUGAGAUAACUUUGAUAUGCAACUCUUGCUGGUCUCCAAACUUUCUUCAAGAGACUUGAUCAUUUCUUGCUUGGUAAGUUUGCUGCUUACAUCAGGGAUUACCGGCUGCAACUCCUCAAGAAUCCCAUGGUUGAGGAUGUAAAAGGUGGAUGCAUGAUGGGCUUUUUCCUGUCCCUUCAAUCUUCUGGGUACGAUAAUCCUCUCUGGGUGGCAUCUAUCCCAUGCAUUCUGAAUUAUGUUGAUUUCCUCUGAGUAGUCAUAACCGGUGGGGUUGAAAGAAACCCGAAACAAUCCUGUCUUGAGUGGUGGCGGGACUUCUUGAAGGAUCCUUUACUGGCGAGCUACCCUAUAUGGAUAGUAUGAGGUAGCUCCGGAGAGGCCCAGCAGUGGGAUGGGAUCGUAAUAAUCAAGCGCGAAACGUGCCUCGCUCGCAAGGAACCACUUAGUUCGCCAUAUGAAUGUCUCUGGGACUGGGUUUUUUAAUAAUUUAAUCCAUCGAGAAUAUUCUUCAUUGGGAGAAUAUUUCUCCAAGCUUUGGAAUUUUUGCAGUGGUGCUUGAACUCAUUGAUUUCAAAUAUUUGCAUGAGGUGCCCAAAUCUUUUGAUAUGAGAAAAGAACCACAUUUGUAAAAUUUCUGGGGCAGCUCUCAUGAUCUUUUCUUUUCGAUCUUUGAAACGAUUAAGGGAUAAAAAUGUUUCGGCUAAAACCAUGUUUACAUAUCCCGCUCCAAAAGUGAUUUGAUUUAUCCCCACGAUUGAAGGAUUUAUGGCAUUCUUUCUAUGGGGAAAGAUAAUAAAUCCAAAGAACGCCAAAAGGAAGAUCUUGGUUUUUUGGGACAUUGACUGUUUUUCAAAGCAUUCGGUUAAGGAUGAUAGCGGGAAAGCAUUGUUGUUAGUUCUAACAAUUUCUCUUACUGAAUGAUUUUUUAAAAAACGUGAUAGACUGACUAUGGGGUCAAUGCCAAUUUGUGGCUUAGCAAGCUCUGCUCCCAAGGGCAUUCCUAUGGCGAGACUAUAUUCCUCCAAAGUGGGAGUUAGUUCAAAUUUGCCAAACACGAAAGUGGAUGUUUCCGGACACCAGAAAUGUGGCAAGGCUUGCAUGAUCCCAGAGUGAAUAUUGAUUUGGAGCAAUGGGAGGAGAUGACCAAUCCUCAUUUUGACACGCUCUUGGCCGAGCUGAUCUAACUGAUUCCACUACCUGAGGAGCUCUUUCUUUGGGGCAGGAAUGAACUUGAUAUCGAUUCUUCCCAUCGCAUUAAAAAAAGAGGCUACACAACCUGACCCUAUUUUGCCAUGAGCCAUAAAAGAUUAAGUAAAAGUAAAUAAAUUACUUUGCUUCUAAAUAAAAUGGCAAGGGCAAGGACAUACAGAUGGGAUGUGCAGCUCGAUUUCUAACUCAAAAGGCUUGAUGAAAUUAAAAGGGUAUCCGCCCGUCGCAGUCUCGCGUUAGCAGUAUACCCCCUUAACCUCGGCUAAGAAAUUCGGGGAAAAGAAAGGCAACCUUUACAUCGCAGUCUCGCGUUCGAGGUCGUAUCUUUCUUAACACUAUCCUAAAAAUCCUAUGGCGGCCCAGGUCCGGCGGCCGGGUUGUGUGUGCCAUGUGUAGUGCUAAAAUAGUAAAGCAUGCACAAUAAUUUAUAAUCACAAAACAAUAUAUAAAAUUAUGAUAAAUUUCUAAACUUUUGACCUGCAUAAAAAAAAAAAAAAACCUAAGUCAGUAAAGAAUUUAAAUAAGACAAAAAUGGCCUAAGUCCUCACUUCCCCAGCGGAGUCGCCAAGCUGUCGCGACCUCUUUUUUUUUUGCGCCCGUGAUCGGGUACGGGCGCCUAAGGAGGCUAAUGGCUCGGCUGAAAUUAGUUAUGCCUGGACUCUCCCAAGUCCACCAAUUCGCAACUUAAUGGUUCAAGUUUUUAACUUGUAAAUCAAUUUUAAAACGGAGUCGCCACUAAUCAAUUUGGGGUGGGUCGAUUAGAAACCCAAGCAAAGUAUCGGGAGAAAUACUUGCUCCUGCGCAACCAGAGAAAUUAAGAUCGGGGACUUGAUUACACUAAUUAAUCACUAAUGCCCUUUCGGUACCUAAUCUUGUUUAAAUCCUUAGGCUUUUUAGAUGUUCGAGGGAUUUUCCAUGCAUUUUUAGGAGGAAAAACAUGUUUUAGUCUUUUUUCUAAUUUUUGGACACAAAAGGGAUUUUUUGGUAUUUUUGACAUUUUUUGGAAAAUAUGGAAUAUUUUUGAUUUUUUUGAUUUUUCGAAAAAUAAAAUAUUUUUAUCAUUUUUUUAUUAUUUUUCGAUUUUCUGGGAAUUAAAACAUUUUUAAUAUUUUUUGGAAAAUAAAAUAUUUUCUUUGGAUAUUUUUUUUUUAAAUUAAAAAUGCUUUUUUUUAAAUAUAUAUAUUUUGAAAAGAAAAUAUUUUUUGCUUUUUUUGAAAAUAAAUUAUUUAUUUAUUAUUAAAAUAUUAUAUUAAAAUAAAAACCGACCCGGGUCGGAUCCACGGGUUGUGCCCGACCCGGGCUGGCGACCCGAACGAGGACGGGCCCGACUCAGAUUUUUUCAUCUUUUUUCCCCCUUUUUUUUUUUUGAGCGAAGGGACCCAAGCCCACAACGAAAUUGGGCCCUUCCGCGUAAAACAAGCCCGUGCGCAAACGAGCCCAGCUGACCCAGGCCUACGAAAAUACCCGCCCGGCUUGGAAACCGGGCCAGUCCCAGUCCGAGCGACUAAAACCCUAGGGGAACCGGGUCAUCCGCCCGACCCGAUUCCGCUCCACUUCGCGACUUCCUCUCUCUCUCUCUCAACUCGCGGCGCUGAAGGAAGGGCUGGGGCGGCGGCUUGUAGUGAUGACGACGGUGACGCAGAGGACGGCGGUGGCCGGUCGUUCGUCGAACUGGAGAGCGUGACUCAACAACAACAGCCGGGAUCUAUUUGGUCGGUCGGGACUAGGGUUUAGGGCUUCACGAACGGGGGGCCGACGGCAACGACGCGGUAAACAGGGACGGCGAGGGGUGGCGAGUGAAAACGACGACGGCCAAGAGGGGCUUGAUACCUGCUUAUGGAGAGGAUACGGCGCGGCGGCGUGGCUGGUUGGCGAGAUGGAAUCGUUGGUGGUGGAGGCUUCGUCGGUGGCGUCGAGGAGGGAUCACAGCAUGGUGGUGAACAAAUCCGAGCCUCCCCCUUCUGAUUUCCUUUCGCUCACCCCCCUUCUUCGCAGAUCUAACCCCUCGUGCUCGGAUCUCUCUCACUCUCGAUCAGAUCUCUCCCCCUCCGGCCAGAUCCGAGCCUCCACCGGCCGAAUCUGACCUCUUCGGACUCGCUCGCCGGCGGCCUCCCCCGAAGUCUCUCAGUGGGAGGUCGGCCUAGCUCGCGACCCGAUUCCUCUCUCGCUCGCCUUCUUCUCGUUCGUUCUUCAACCUCCUCCGAAGUCUCUCAGGAGGAAGCUUCCAGGCUCACGAUCUUCUGGCCUCUCCCUCCGUCAACGGUGGCCCCCCUCUAUUUAUAGGCGCGAGAGCGGCCGGUCGGCGAGGCCUCGACCCGCCGGUUGGACCGCCGUCCCAUCCACCAUCAUCACCUCCUCCGGUCAUGUCCCGUCGACGCCACCUGCUCCUCUGCUCCGCACGCGACUGCCGUCCGUCCACCCCCUUCCUCUCCAUCGCGCCCUCUGCGUGUGCGCUACAGAGGCACGAGGAAGAAGAAGAUGCGGUGGGGGCCGGGCUUGGCGGAAAUGGGCUGAGAGCCCAUGGAGGGGCUGCCCCUCUUUUGCUUUUUUUUUUUUUUUUGCUUUGUUUUUGUUGUUGGUUUUUUGGUUUAUUAUCCGAAAAUCAAACAAAAUAAUAAUAAAGUCUAAUCUAAUUUUAGGCGUCAACAUCAUCUAAAAUGACUUCAGUUAUGACUCAGAUUCAUAUGGACCCAAUUUCGAUCUUGCCCAUUUGGUGGGUUUAUGUCCCAGAAAUCACAAUGGAAGAUUAAAUAAAGAUUGGUACAAUGCAAGAGAAAGAGAUGGCUUUUUAUAAUGAAAGAUGAUUCUUUCGUGUUUUAUUUUUCCUAUUUGAGGAUUCUUUUUCAAUUUAUUUAAAGGUUCUCAAAGUGAAGAAAUGAUUACACAUGGCAAAGAGUAAAUAAAGAAGCAAAAAAUGAAUAAAUAUGUUGAGAACAACAUAGGUGUAAAUAAAACUAAUGUUUAUAAAGUUUCACCUAAAAAAUCCGACCAAGUGACUAGUCAAGUGGUUCAAGACUUGAUUUAUAAGUCAAAGGUCGCAAGUUUAAUUUCCCAAUCUAUUAUCCAUUUUGGGAUAAUUAUGCGAAUAACUUGGUGGAAUUAAUUUGAACAAUAUCUUAUGGCCAACAAAUUCACCCGUUUGGGGUCAAAGAUUGUUGUGGGUUGGAGAAACUCCAAAUAGAAUUUCUAGCAAAAACAUUUGAGUUGCCGUUGAUGCCCCUCGAUGAAGGGUUGUGACUCCACUUUGACGAAUUUCCACUUCCACCAUGAAGUUGAGACAAUUUCCUUCAUUCGCAAUAGCAUAAUUAACAACAAUCUUUUUCGACAAUAACAAUAAUAAUAGACAAUUUCAUCUCCAUACUGGAAAAAAAGGCAAAUAUAUGGUGGAGUAGUCAGCACUAAGCAUUUGACCCUUGAGAUUUCAUUUGCUUCCAAUUAUAUAAACACAAAAUCCUUUUCUUCUCUCGAAUAAGUAUAAACUUAUUUGGUAUUUCAGCACACGAAGUUACAAUUGAUGCGGAAUUGCAACAAUCAAGUCAUAACGAUGAAUUAAAUGUUGAUGAUAAGCUUUUAUAGAGGAUGAUAGUGUGAGACGGUUGAAUAAAACACAUAUUUUGUAGGUAUUGUGGCUCGAAGGCAAUUUUAGUACAAAGAAAGGUGGUGUGUCCCUUGUUUUUAAUUAGCGGAGUGUAGGAUUUGGGAGACUUUUUUUUGUUCAAAAAAUAAUUUUGGAUUCUUUGAGGUCAAGCAUAAUCAAAGGACGUGUUUAUUUUUAUUUUUUCUAGUGAUUAUGUAGAUGUUGAAGAUGAUCAGAGGACACACUGUACAACCUAUGCGCAUUGAGGAGAGGCCCAGAGAUGCAAACAAUCUAAUAUUGUCUCUAAUAAUCCGUCCAUUAGUAGUGAAGGUGGAUUUUGAUGGUACAAAACGUUUGAUAGAGUGAGCUUGUCAUGUUCCACUGUAGAAAGAACAGGAAAACUACUUUGGCCUUCCAUUACAGUAGAAGGUCGACAUUCUCUUCCUCGAAUUUUUCAAAUGUCGUUCCUAUCAUCCUUGCCGAGAUAUUCAUUCACCUCACCAGCAAUUGGCACCGAAGUGCUUGAGGCCUACCCUUCUUUUUUGGGGCACAUGUGGCCCAAGAGCACGGGUCCGAAGUUGCACGGCCCGUUGGCCAUCCUAGCUAAAAUCUAUCUGGGCUCAUGUAUAGAUAUUAGAACAUUUUCUGAUGGUCGAGGACCCUUCACUAAAAAGAAGUUGUUACCGACACCUUCAUAGAUAUUUUUGUAGCUCCAAUCCAUCUCAUUCGAACAUCAAAUCACAUUUCCCAUCUUGCAUUCACUUUAUGUCCGUCAUCAUUGUCUCCUGUCUUUCACCGAAAGCGUUAUCGAUAGCCUCGCAGAUAAUUUCGGAACCUUAACCUUAGCCCAUCGACAUCCGUAAAAUUUCCCCUCUCGUAGUCACUCUGUGUCCUUUUUAUCCUCCACCGAAAAUUGUUGGUGACAGCUUCGUUGACGUUUUAAGAGCCUCGACCAAUCUUUUUGAGACAUCUAUCCACAAUUCGCAUCUCCCCAUUCAAUCCGUGUCCUCUCUGUCUUCUAUCCUUUCACGGUAAUUCAGAUAUCUGUUACAUGUCCCAUCUCGAAACGAACAAGAGUGCAGAAAAUGCAGUAUGUUAGGGGCCCCACUGAACUUGUCUUUUAUGGGAAGAAGGAGCUCAUUUUGCAUUUCCCCUCUCUUUCCCCUCACUUUCCGGGGGAAAAAAUCUUGCGGGCCCCCACAGGAAAAUCUUUCUCUACGGUUCGCUUCGUAUUCCUUGAAUCUUUGUUUUCCUCGCUUCUUUUCACCCAAUUCCUGAAACCCGCUUCAUUCUACGAAAUGGCUCCAGUCGGAUUUAUAUAUAUGGGUCUUGCUCUCAAAAGAAAAAUCAUGGCAGCAAACAUUUGGAGUGGCUCCUUGUCCUUAAACAACAUCUUUCGCCCGAUGAGAAACUCGAAAUGUAAGAAUUAUCCCACAAGUGUUGAUGUCCUUGUUAAUAAUAAUAUGUAUUGACUUAACUACUAUAAUUGCAUGAGUAGACGGUCCUCAAAGAAACGUCAAUAACAUUGGUAAGCUUCUAAAUUCAAAUUAUGUUUUGCACUCGGCAUUAUAGCCUGUCGUUUUUUUUUUCCUAGCCCAUCAAGCCAUACUAAGAAUGAAGUAAAGAAGAGAUGGAGAUGGUUUGCACAAAGAAAAAAGUAGAUGAACAAGACGACGUCUUCGUCCUCAGCAAUGGUGCAUAGAGAUAUUGUGUAGAGGAGCGAGAGGUUCUUUUAAGUUCUUUCGUUGAUCGAUAUCUUGCAAUUAUUUAUCUUAUAUCAUCUAUUUUUAAAUAUUGAAAUUGAAUAUCAUGGCUACAUAUGGAAUAUGUACCCUUUUAACUAGAGAUUCUUGUUAGGUCCAUAGUUGAUAGAAUAACAACUCCAAUUGUGACACUAAAACAAUUAUACGUGCAUCAUGAUUAUUUGAUUAUGUUGGGUUAUUUAAAUUUUUUGGUCAUAUUUUUAAGUAUGUUUUCCCAUCAUUUAAAGCAGUUUUUGCUUUGGGUUAUCAACUGAAUAUGUUUUUUUUUUUUUGGUAGGAUAAUCAAUCGAAUUGAGAAGUCGUUUUUUUCAGAAUAUUUAUUGUUGUCAUUCGUAAAACAAUUUGUGCAUUGGGACCAAAUAUGUAAUCAUAUAUGGUUAUGCACAUAUUAAGUCGAAGCUAGAUGGGACAAAGUUUAGAGAGAGAGAGGAUAGCACAAUGGAAUUGGGUCCCCUGGCGUGAGGUUGAAAAUGCAAGAAGCUUUAAUAAUUGCAUCCCGUUCCACAAUGUAUAAAGUCAUAUAUGCAUCGCGAGGUUGACCUAACACUAACCUUCAAUAAUUGCAACGUGAUCCACGAUGGCAAAAAAACAACUUAACUCCAAGCCGAUUAAACUCUUAACCUCGCUUUGUUCUGUCUUUCUCCCUCCUCCUCCUCCUCCUCUGCAUUUUAGAGAGAGAGAGAGAGAGAGAGAGAGAGAUAGCAGUAGUAGCAUCAAAGGAACGACUGUGGACACGUGUGGUUGGUACUUGUUAGGGAAGGAGAGAGACGCAAGGAUUUGGAGUUUGUAGAUAAUUGGAAAGACGGUCAUUGAAUUGUUAACGAGGUGUAGUCAAUCAAUGCAAUCGUCCGGUUUUCUUUAAAAAUAUUUAAAGUGAGGUUUUGAGAAAUAAGUGAUGAGUAUAAUUAGUAAUUUCAAUACAAAAAAAGAAACAUGAAAAGGUGUCUGUCAUGGACCUUCAAUUUCUCUCAAUGGAGUUGUGCAUGUAGCUCAAAGCCUAUGCAUGUUCACAAGAUUAACAAAUUGUCGUUUUUUAAAUUUUAAUGAAGUGCCUAGAAGCAUUCAACAUAUCUCCAUCAAACGUGGCACUUCUUCCAUUUCAUACACAUCGGAUAAUUAUCGAAGAUUAAUAGUUUUUAUUACUACAUAAAUUUACCAUUUAUAUUAUUAUCGUUUGAAAAUGGGCAAGUUGCCACGCUCGAUUUUUUCAUCUCGAAUUCUCUUCGAAGUUAAUUUUGGUAGCUUAACGGUCUACACUUGGGAGCUGAGCCCCCCUUCCCUUUUUUUCCCUUUAAUUCUUUGGAAGGUUUGGUGAGUUUUUUUUCUCUACUAUAAACUAUUAGUUAUUUAAAUUAUAACCUUAAUCUCACAUUAUUCAUAUUUUUUCAUGUGAAAAUAGAAUCAAGAUGUCGGGAAUGAGAAACUACUUUAUUAAACUUCACAUACUAAAAUGAUAAGGUAUGAUCAACUAAAAUCUAAUGAUAAAAAGUUUCGGUCACCAGCUUGGAAGAAUUUAUGGUUUGAUGACUGCAGCAUAAUCGGCCUAAAUAUUAAGAUUGAUAGGGAAACUGAGCACGACUCUCGUGGCUCUUAUCUUAUUACGUUUUGUCAAAUAAAUUGGGUGCUAUUAGAGACACAAAUGCCUAUCUUCUCCAUGAUUGAUGUAGGGGGCUGAAUAUUUUCCUAUACUUUUCACAAGUCAAUUGUCGUACAGAGCAUCUAAGCAAAAGAAAGAUGGGACAAUUCGGUGGAGUUGGGUUCCUCGGUGAUUGGCUGAGUAGCCUUCACGUGCAUGAAGCCGUACUGCCCAUGCGCACCACUAGGUUGACAUAACACGCAACUUUAAUAAUUGCCAAGCCACCGAUGAUGACCAGGCAGCAACUUCAUCUCCACCCUGGUUAACUCUUAACAUCACUUUGUUCAAUCUUCCUCCUCCUCUGCGUUUUAGAGAGAGAGAGAGAGACAGUGCACCGUCCGAACUGGCAUUGCCCAUUGGCUAUCCUAAUUAAAAUCCAUUCGGGUUCAUGUACCAUUUUCUGAUGGUCGAGAAUCCUCCACUUAAAAAAAUGUUGCCGACAGCUUCAUAGAUAUGAUAUUUUAGGGACUUCAGCCCAUCCCAUUCGAACAUCCAUCACAUUUCCCAUCUCGUGUUUGACUUUAUGUCCGUCCUUCACAGUCUUCUUUCACCGAAAGUGUUGCCGACAGCUUCGUAGAUAAUUUGGAAAGUCAACCCAUCAAUUCGGACAUCUGUAAAGUUUCCCAUCUGGCAGUCACUCUGCGUCCUUUCUAUCCUUCACCAAAAAUUGUGGGUGACAACUUCGUUGACGUUUUAUGAGCCUCUUCCAAUCUUAUUCAGACAUCUAUCCACAUUUCCCAUCUCCCGAUUCAAUCCGUGUCCAUAUUGUCUUCUAUCCUUCACCAUAACUCGGACAUCUGUCCCCUGUCGCAUCUCCAAAUGACCAAGAGUCCAGAAAAUGCAAACAUGUAAUGGGCCCACUGAGCUCGUCAUUUGAGGAAAAGAAAGAGCCCCAUUUUGCGUUUCCCACUAUUUUCUCCCCACUUUCCGAAGGAAAAUAUGUUGCGGGCCCCCACAGGAAAAUCUUUCUCUACCGUUCUCUUCGUAUUCCUUGAAUCUUUUAUUUUCCUCACUUCUUUUCACCCAAUUCCUGAAACCCGCUUCAUUCUACAGAAUGGCUUCAUUUGAUUAUAUACAUACGGGUCUUGCUCUCAAAAGAAAAAUCAAGGCAGCAAACUUUCGGAGUGGCUCCUCGUCCGUAAACAACAUCUUCCGUUUGAUGGGAAACUCAAGAUGUAAGACUUCUCUCACAAGUGUCGAUAUCCUCAUUAAUAAUAAUAAUAAUAAUAAUAAUAUGUAUAGACUCAGCUAUAAUUACAUUAAUAGAUGUUACUCAACAAAAUGUCAAUAAUAUCAUCAAACUUCUCAACUCAUAUUAUCUUUUGCACUCUGCAUUUAAAAAUGAAGUAAAGAUGAGAUGUAAAUGGUUUACACAAAGAAAAAAAGUGGAUGAACAAGGCGACGUAUUUAUCUCAGCAAUGGUGCAUGCAGAUGUUUUACAUAGGAGACAAAGGUUCUUUUCAUUUCUUUCGUUGAUCAAUAUCUUGUAAUUUUUUUUUUAUCUUUUAUUAUCUGUUUUUCCAUAUAGAAAUUGAAUAUCAUGGCUACACAUGGAAUAUAUAAAUUUUUAACUAGAAAUUUACUUAGGUCCAUAGAAUAACAAAUCCUACUACGAGACUAAAAUAACUUUACAUGCAUGAUGAUUAUUUGAUUAUAUCGGGUUAUUUAAAUUUGUUUGUCAUAUUUAUAAAUAUGUUUUCCCGUUGUUUAAAGCAAUUUUUGUUGUAUAAAGCAGUUUUUGUUUUGGGUGAUCGAUCAAAUGUGUUUUUUUUUUUGGUGAGGAUGAUUGACCCAAUUAAGAGGUUGGUUUCUUUAGAAUAUUUGUCGGUCUUGUCCAUAAAACGAUUUGUACGAAUUUGGGACCAAACGUUUAAUCAUAUAUGGCUUUGCACAAAUUAAGUUGAAGCUAGUGGGACAACGUUUAAAUUGAUAGAGAGAGAGGAUAGUACGGUGGAGUGGGGUCCCUCGGCGUGGGGUUCAAAAAGCAUGAAGCUUUAAUAAUUGCAACACGAUCCACAAUGUAUCAAGACAUACUGUCCAUCUGCAUCACGAGGUUGACAUGACACCCCAGUUAAAUUCUUAACAUCACUUUGCUUUGUCCUCCUCCGUUUUAGAGAGAGAGCGCGCGCGCAAGGAGCAAUGAUCGUGGAGGUGUGUGGUCAGUACAUAUUAGGGAAGGAGAGAGACUCCCAAGGAUUUGGAUUUUACAGAGAACUGGAAAGAGGGUCAUUAAAUUGCUAACGAGGUAUGAUAAAUCAAUGGAAUCGGGUUUUCUUUAGGACUAUUAAAGUGAGAUGUUGAGAAAUAAAUGAUGAGCAUAAUUAGCAAUUUCUAUACAAAAGAAAAAUGAAAAAAGGCAACUUUCAUGGACCUUCAAUUUCUCUUAAUGGAGUCGUGGAUGUAGCUCAAAGCCUAUGCAAGUUCACAAGAUUAAUAGAUUGGUGUUUCUUAGAUAUUAACGGAGUGCUUAGGCCUCUUUGAGCAUCUCACGAAUCUCCAUCAAAUGCGGCGAUCCCUCGAUUUUAUACAUAUCGGAUAAUUACUGAAGACAAACAAUUUUUAUUAAUAGAUUGGUUAUAAAUUAUCUUUUAUAUUACAUUCUUUUGAAAAGGGCAAGUUGCCACAUUUGAUUUUAUCAUCUCAGUUUCUAUUUGAAUGUUGGUUUUGGCAACUUAACGAUCUAAAUUUGGGAGUUGAGCCUCGUUCCUUUUAUAUAACAGUUCCUUGAGUAUCAUAAUUUUUUGUCAAUUAAAUGAGUGUCAUGACUUAAAAAUAUUUUUAUUUAAGUGUCAUGGCCUUCAAUUGCUCAUUUAAAGACUACAACUCCCAUCACUAUUGGGCAACGUCUUUGAAAAGGUUAUAAUGAUCAAGUGAAUAUUUUUUAGAGGUUUUAAAAUAUUUAAAUGAUCGGAAAAAAAAUUUAUAAUACUUAAAUAAGCGUCAUAUCUAGUGACCUUUUUUCAAAAUUAACCUUGUAUAGCUAGGGCAUUAUAGACUUCUACAUGCUAUGACAAUACAAUCGCGAAAGCACUGCAAGAUGCUUUUGCAUGAAAAUGAUACAAACUUUUAUGAAGAAGAAGGGACGGGAAGAGCGUUUUGGUCAAAAUUGGUGGUCUCCACGUGAUACGACAGUAGAAAGCAUUAUUGCACUCAGCGGACUCUAUCGUUGUGCAACUUUAUCAAAGCUGAUACUUAAAACUGCUCAUGAAACGACUGAAAUUGGAGUGCAUCAUCUGAAUCGGAUUCUGGACUCAUAGAGAUUGGGGCCUCGCCGCUGUUGACAGCUGGAGCUGAGCACGUAUGAAAUGAUUGAUGGACAAUGAUAGUCAUAGACAGCUACUUAAUUGUCGCAUUCUUAGAGCGAUGGGGUCCGAAGGCAAUUUUAGUCCAAAAAGAAAUGGUGGAGUGGAUUUUUUUCGAACCGUUAAAUUGAGGUUCUCCAUUGAGGUGCAUCAUCUGAAUCGGAAUCUGGACCAUAGCUCGGUCCCAAAUGGAGAUUGGUGCAUCGCUGCUGCAGUGCUGCUGAUUUCUAGAGCUGAGGUCAGAUGUGUUAAACGAUUAAGCAUUAAUCAAAUGGGAGAAAAUAUUUGGGGGUCCCGACUGCCAAGCCAGCGUGUACCCCGACCAAUGAGGAAGUGACGCGUGGCUCCACGAUGCGCUAGCUGCUCCACUGGUUUUCCUGCACAAAAUAUAUUAUUGUCCCUUUUCUGCUUAAGAAUUUACAGUCAUUAAUAGAUCUGAUGCCGCUUUAAAUUCUCUCCUCUCUAAUGGAGUAGGCCUGAAUGCAUUAAAGGAGCUUUGUCUCUCGUCAUUUCUUUCCUUCUCAAUUCAAAAUUUUGGGUGAGAAUUCUCUGGCCCAAAAGCACGUUGCUCCUCCGCCUUGCUUCGGCGCCGGUUCAUCUUCGCUCUCUGCCCCAAAGCUCGUUGCUUCUUCGGCCUGCGUUGUUGCAUUCCUUCUCCGCCCUCUGCUCCGGUGUUGUUUCCCUGCCCAAGACGGUGAGGAAUGUUCUUGCUGUAAGUCGCAAACUCCAAGCGACAAGAAGUUCCAGCUCUCUCCGAUUCGGCUUUGGAUCUGCUACGUUCGCAGCUCAUAACAGUGAGUUGAUUCUUUCCCUGAUUUUUUUACUCUUCUUUUCUUUUCUUUUUCUUUGCUGUUUUUGCCUCUUUUUAUUUGUUAAGUUUUAGUUUCUUUUGUUGGUGGGUGAUUGCACGAGCUUGGCUAUCGAGUCGGCAAUUUUGCCCGUGAGUGUCCGGUGUUGUGAUUUUUGGGAGGUUGGUUUGUCUAGGCUAGUGUCACGGGUCGAGAGAUUCCUUGGCCUCGGAAACGACCCGCGGGCGCCUAGCGAGCGGAAUUCGCCAGGCCAGCCCUUUCUUUAGCUGUUCCACGAACGAUACGGUGAAUGAUUCUUCGUACGAGAUCCUACCACGCCCAGCUUCGCUCGGGCGUCUAGUCCAUCGAGUAAGACAGCAGUUCUCUUUAGGCACAACAAAUGGUUUCGACCUGCCAUGGCCUCGUCAGGAGAGCGGCAUCAGCUCCCGACCAGUUUGUGCACGGGAGGCCUACCCCGUCUUCAGAGCUCCUAAGUGAUAUAAUCCUUCUAUCCUAGAACUCCUAGCACCAACCGUCCUGACGCCACUCCCACGGACCAGUUGUGUUCUACCCUUCUGCCUCACACUCUUUACCAAAUAACCCCAAGCGCCACUCACAAGUGUCACGAGUACGGGAGGAUUCACGGACCGUGACAUUCUCCCCCACUCAAUUCGCAACGCUCUCGUUGCGAUCUCUACUCUGUCGCUUCCUUGCGUAAAUUAACCAUUGACGUGCCACUUUUGGGAAUUCACAUCGAACGGUCACGCUCGCCCAACAAAACAGGUUUUGCUCCAUUGGUGGCCUCUUUUGAUCUCAGCCGCUCGGCCCUUCGGUCACCUGCGCUUUCCGGCAAGUGUGGCAUCUUUCGCCAACCGCAUCUUUUGGUAGCNNNNNNNNNNNNNNNNNNNNNNNNNNNNNNNNNNNNNNNNNNNNNNNNNNNNNNNNNNNNNNNNNNNNNNNNNNNNNNNNNNNNNNNNNNNNNNNNNNNNNNNNNNNNNNNNNNNNNNNNNNNNNNNNNNNNNNNNNNNNNNNNNNNNNNNNNNNNNNNUUGCCUCUUUUUAUUUGUUAAGUUUUAGUUUCUUUUGUUGGUGGGUGAUUGCACGAGCUUGGCUAUCGAGUCGGCAAUUUUGCCCGUGAGUGUCCGGUGUUGUGAUUUUUGGGAGGUUGGUUUGUCUAGGCUAGUGUCACGGGUCGAGAGAUUCCUUGGCCUCGGAAACGACCCGCGGGCGCCUAGCGAGCGGAAUUCGCCAGGCCAGCCCUUUCUUUAGCUGUUCCACGAACGAUACGGUGAAUGAUUCUUCGUACGAGAUCCUACCACGCCCAGCUUCGCUCGGGCGUCUAGUCCAUCGAGUAAGACAGCAGUUCUCUUUAGGCACAACAAAUGGUUUCGACCUGCCAUGGCCUCGUCAGGAGAGCGGCAUCAGCUCCCGACCAGUUUGUGCACGGGAGGCCUACCCCGUCUUCAGAGCUCCUAAGUGAUAUAAUCCUUCUAUCCUAGAACUCCUAGCACCAACCGUCCUGACGCCACUCCCACGGACCAGUUGUGUUCUACCCUUCUGCCUCACACUCUUUACCAAAUAACCCCAAGCGCCACUCACAAGUGUCACGAGUACGGGAGGAUUCACGGACCGUGACAUUCUCCCCCACUCAAUUCGCAACGCUCUCGUUGCGAUCUCUACUCUGUCGCUUCCUUGCGUAAAUUAACCAUUGACGUGCCACUUUUGGGAAUUCACAUCGAACGGUCACGCUCGCCCAACAAAACAGGUUUUGCUCCAUUGGUGGCCUCUUUUGAUCUCAGCCGCUCGGCCCUUCGGUCACCUGCGCUUUCCGGCAAGUGUGGCAUCUUUCGCCAACCGCAUCUUUUGGCAGCACCAUUUCAGCCUAAUUAGCAUCUUGACCCCAGCAAACCAAUGGAGGUUCUUUUUCUUGUUGAAAACGCGGCAGUAGACCUCUUCUUCGUAUUCACGAUCAAUCCGGGAACGUUAUCCCCAUUCAGCAAGGGUUCGGUUCUUCUCUAACUCGCAUUCCGCUCGACGAGAAGCCGACUCGUCCUAGCACCCAUCCACUAGGACUUAUCUGUUGAACGCAAAUUGCGCAACCCCAAGAUCUCCAUAACCAGAACAAGAACAUGCAUAAUUGAGUAGAAAGAUUAACGCACCUGUUUUAGGAUCCAUCGAACAUAAAGCGGAAACAUAAAAAGGAUUACCCACAUAUAUCAAGGGAAUCCACGCAUCAAGUCCUUCUCCUCUAUUGCCCUCCGUAUCACUGGCUCAAUGAGCCAAGAUCUCCAUAACCAGAACAAGAACAUGCAUAAUUGAGUAGAAAGAUUAACGCACCUGUUUUAGGAUCCAUCGAACAUAAAGCGGAAGCAUAAAAAGGAUUACCCACAUAUAUCAAGGGGAUCCACGCAUCAAGUCCUUCUCCUCUAUUGCCCUCCAUAUCACUGGCUCAAUGAGGCAGCCCCCCUCACGUUUAGCGUUAGGUAAACGCCCCUUAGGUGAGGAUACAUGUGAGAAUUAGGGUUAGAGGAGAGACUUGAGCACUAUUUAUAGAGUUUCCAGCCAGUCCCUCUCAUUACGGGCCAGGCUCAACUCGGCCCACACUAGCCAGCUCAUAUUAAACUAAUUAAGAAACCUUCUAUCUCACCUUAGAUCAACCCUGUUUUACGGUAACCGUAAAAACAGUAAAUUACAAUAUCAAUUAAUUUAGUCCACAUUUGGAAAAACUCUUACAUUCUCCCACUUGGACUAUAUUAAUUGAAAUCGUAUUGUAUGUGCGCACAUUUGGUCCAGAGAUAAUUCUUAAUAGUCAAUCCUAUCCCAUAAAGUCUUAAACACCGAAUCAUGGCGGUAACUGCAUGUAUACACACAAAGCCUUCCAUGGUCACGAAUGUUUUCAACUUUAUUGAUAUGGAUUCAAUAUGGUAGUGUGUCAAAUGGAUAACAUCUCUCAUAGAGAGAUCUCAUUUGUCAGUCACCAUUCUCUUACCUUAGGCGUCACAAAAAAACUUGUGCCACUAGAGAAUGCUUUAUGGUUCCAAUGAACCCACAUAUGUCUUGUCCUUAUGGUUAACCUUUAUUUAUGUAUCACAAGACAUAUGCACAAGGCUAAUAACCGGAUGCCCGGAUGCCCCUAGCCUUCACUCAAGGUCUAUACAAUCCCUUGAGACUUUAUCAAUAUGUAUUCAACAUAAUAACAACACAUUUAAAAUAUUUUAUUGAAUGCAAAAGUUGAUACAUAUCAAACCGUUACUAAGUGUAACGAACCACAGAUGUGAACUUUAUCAGAGUAAAGCUAAAAUAGCUCCCACUAAACAACAGUAUCCGAAGAUACUCCUAGGCCCAUGUUUACAAUAUGUUACUAAAAUAUACAUGGGCGUAGGCCUUUAGUUUGUGGAUCUGCAACCACAUCAUCUGUGAAAAUAUAUUAUAUCAUAAGUCACCUUUCUGUACCGUUUCUUUAUGGUAAAAAAUAUUUGACCACCAUAUAUUUAGACCCCUUGAGACCUCUGUAGUAAAUAAAUAAUACUACAAAUUUGUUAUCUCAAUACAACCGUAUGGGUCUAUCCAUAAAGUUAAAAUAAUUAACUCCUUUCAUGGGGUUCUGGAGCCUAAAAACCCAAGUAACAGCUUAAAAGAAUGUUACUAACACUGCUUACAUAGUAGAAGAUGACAUAAAACUUUAUUUACUGCACUUACUGCUAACAUAAAUAUGUAUUCUGUUAUUGAGCGCAUGUCAUCAGAACAGCCAGCAAAGUUUACAUCUAAAUACUCUACUAACUGCAAGAAUUGAACAUGUCUAUAAAUUAGCAUAUAAUCUCUUGUCUUCUUUAAGUACCUUAAAACCUUCUUGACAGCAACCCAGUGAUCAUGUCCUGGAUUUGACCGAUAUCUGCCUAGAAGUCCCGUCACAAAGACAACAUUUAGUCUAGUCAAAUUCGAGCAUACAUUAUACUUUUAAGUGCACUUACACAAGGUACUCUCUUUAAUUAGAUUUUCUCAAUAUUUAAAUAAGGACAAUGUGAUAGAUUCAGUCCAUCACCCUUAACAACAGGAGCAAUUCCUGGCUUGCAAUGAUGUAUAUUUAAUAUUUUCAAAAUAUGAUAAGCAAAUGUCAUCCAAGAAAAUCUAAUAUAAAAUCCGAUAUCUAUGACAAGAACAAUUCUUAAAGACCUUAGUGUAAAAGAUGCAUCAAGGUCACUACUUGUAAACAAAAAUCAUGUACAUAAAGUAUGAGAAAAAAUAAAUUUCCUCCCACUGACCUUGCAGUAUAUUGAAUUACUUUGUUCCCAAUUGAACAAAAUAACAACACUAUGAAACUUUAAUAAUAUUGUAUGGAAACUUGCUUAAGACCAUGAAUUAGAACUUUUCAGUCUAUACACAAGUUUACUUAAAUCUGCUACAAAAUCAUCCAGUUGCACAAUAUAGAUUUUGUAUCUAUUUGGCGUAACUUUAUAUCAAAAUAAAUUAUUAAUGCCACGUUCACUCUGAAAGAAAAUUUAAAGAAAUAAUUAUUUCUUCACUAUAAACAAUCCACCCCUCUUUCAGAGUUAAAACGUUAGUUACAAAUAUGGCUUUAAAUUCCACAAUCUUUGUUUGAAAUUCUUUUAAUUUUGUACGCCAAUUUGCAACUAAUAAACUUGUGAUCUUUAGACAAGUUAGUAAGUUUCCAAACAUGUUUCAUAGAUUGUAUAUCGCAUUUUAUGGCAUCUAAUCACAUACUUAAUUGAGAAUAAGAAACGACAUUUAUAAAUAUGUCAUUACAUCAACCAUAUAGUGGAUAUUGUAAUCAUGCUCUCACAAAUAGACUAUAUAGUCUGAUGGUAUAACUGAUCGUCUUUCCUUAACAAAUCUCAUUAAUAAAGUUGCAACCACUUCAUUCUGCACUUGAGAGAUUUAAGAAAUUUCAUUAUAAACUAUAUCAAAAAUAGUACCUUGAACCUCCACAAGUUUAGUCUAUGGUACAGGAGAUUCCAUAAUUAUCUGUAUAGGUAAAGACAAAAACAUAGUAACAUCCAUCAUACUAUUAUCUUUUAAUAGUCUGAGAGCAAUUAUCCUCUACAAUUACGUCAAUUUUUAAAAACUUUAGAGUAUGUGAUUCCAUAAUUCUUGUACUUUCUUUAGGGUCAUAAAAUCAAUACCCCUUUUAUAUAUGAAAAAAUUGAUUUCAUAAUAUCAGCCCACAAAAGACCAGAUAAAUUAGUCUUACUAAUCAUACUCAUCACCAUGUUCAAUAUGGUGCAUUUAUGCCUUUUGACCAAAUCUUUUUGUCAGAAUUUUCAGGUAUAGUAAUUAAAUUACCACCCCAGAAUCUACCAAGUAUUUGACAAAUGACCCUUUAAGUUAUUUCGCAUUGUCAUACUUGCCAAAAUACUCAUAGCCACUGUUAAACCUGACAACUUUUUAAGACCUUUACGAGAUGUAUAUGUCAUUAGGACUUAAACACAACUUUUGCAUAUGUGUCCUAAUUUCAAUAUCAGACAAUACAUAAUUUCAAGCAACUAAGGCUUCCAUCAUCUUAUAGCAGUGCAGUCCGUAGGCAAACCUCUUUUCAAGUGUUCAAGAAUGGAACGCUUCAUGGACAGUAAGCAAAUUCAAUCAUAUGUCCACAACUUAAAAUUUGAAGCAGUAAAAACCUUAAUGGUGACGGAAUUACCAUUUACAGAAAAGGUGACUGAAAAACAAGCAGUAUAUAAUUAGCAUCAUGUGAGCAUUGUGUAACUUGACGUACAAGUACACAUCCAGAGAGUUACAUGCAAAAUCAUAUAAUCACCUUUGGGCAGAAUACAUGAUAUGCAAUUGUACACUCCCAACAUGAUAAGGGUUAUGAGAAUAUAUUCCAAUCUUCGUGAAUUCAUCACCUUUGGGCAUAUGAACCAUUAGGAUCAGUCACUCCUCCACCACACUAUCAUGUAUGCCUCCAUGAACUAAUACACAAUCACCUCCUUUGGGAGUAUAACUAUGCAUUAGACCAGGAAACAUCCCAAUCAUCAUACGAGACCGAAAUUUCUCAAACCCAAUCAAGCGUGUCACUUUGGCGGUCACUACUCAAUUGAAUCAUUGAAAUUCUCUCAUACCAAGGAUAUAAACUUUACUCAUCACAUACACCAUAUAUAUGUGAUUUUAACUUUAGUGAUAGGGGCAUCAUAUCACCAAAAUCACAUAUCAUGCUAAUUACAUUGCUUUAUUCAUUAAUAUAUAUAUAGCGAACCUGAAAGUCAGAUUCCAAUGAGAUCAUUGAUCACAGUAAUACAAGAAAUUUCUCAUAACAGAUAAUAAAACACAUCUUAUGCACCCCAAUUACAUAUUACUAGAACAACAUAAAAAGAAUUAUGAUCUAUAAUAUCUCUCACAAAUUAACAUCAAUAGUAAUAUAUGGUACACCAAAUUGACAAGCUUGACAGCCGAUCCAUUAUCACUCAUGAGUUCAUAAGGUAAAAUUGACUCCAAGGCCAACAACUGAUUUAUUAAUCAAUUUUAGGUAACAAAUAUCAUUACUUCACCCAGUGGCCUAUUAAUUGAGUCAAACCAGAGAACCAAAUAUCUAAAAUUUAAUAGUAGAUACUAUUGCUCUGCAUAAAUGUUGUCAUACUCCUUAACCAUAAAAAAUAUUCAACUUGAUAGACAUUAACAAGUGACCAGAUGAGUUCAUGUACAAUAUGCAGUAACUUAAUUGACAUGCAUUACCCACAUUCAGCAGAUGUGUUAAUCAGUACAUCAGUUUGGUCACGAGUCCUUAAGUCGUCUAUCAUUCAAAAAUUACCAGUGUGUAAAGGAGUAUACUUGAGUAACAAAAGUUUCAUAAUCUUUAUUGUUUCUCAUCAGCUCAAUACAUAGCUCAAAUACAAUCUCAUAUGAAUUGUAUCUCAUUAAGCUAGCUUCAGUUCACAAUAAAGUUUGAUUUUUAUUGAUGAAUCACACCUUUUAUUAUGUAAUAACAUACUAGUAACCCAUCACUUGUAUUUCCAAAAUCACAGAAAAUACAAGAAAAAUACGCAAAAAUACACUAAAAAUACACGUAUUUAGGGUUCCAUAUGCAAUUUCACAUCAAUAAAACCAUCAAAAAUAUAAAAUAAAUAUACCACAAGAUAGGAAAUCACCAUACGAGUCCAACGCCACCAACCACGCGCCAAGAUAAGCUUCCACGUGCCUGCACGCGCCGUCUGAGUGCGCGGCGCGUGGGGCUCACGCGCAGCGUGCGUUCGACGCCUAGGCGGCGCGUGGCCGCGCGUGGGGGCGCGUGCGUCAUCCCCCAGCGACGCGCCGCCGACCCUCUUGCUCGUCUCGUCUCCCCCAAUCCAAAUUUGUGAUUUAAUUUAAUUUUCAUUGAACAAAAAAUCUCGAAAAUCACAAAUUAGGGCAAGAUCAAUACCAAUUAGGGCUAAUCCAUACAAAUUAGGGUAGAUCUGUACAAAUUAGGGCAAAACCAAUUGUGUUCGAGUUCUAGGGUUAUGGUUGCUAUGAUACCACAUGUUGAACGCAAAUUGCGCAACCCCAAGAUCUCCAUAACCAGAACAAGAACAUGCAUAAUUGAGUAGAAAGAUUAACGCACCUGUUUUAGGAUCCAUCGAACAUAAAGCGGAAGCAUAAAAAAGAUUACCCACAUAUAUCAAGGGAAUCCACGCAUCAAGUCCUUCUCCUCUAUUGCCCUCCGUAUCACUGGCUCAAUGAGCCAAGAUCUCCAUAACCAGAACAAGAACAUGCAUAAUUGAGUAGAAAGAUUAACGCACCUGUUUUAGGAUCCAUCGAACAUAAAGCGGAAGCAUAAAAAGGAUUACCCACAUAUAUCAAGGGGAUCCACGCAUCAAGUCCUUCUCCUCUAUUGCCCUCCAUAUCACUGGCUCAAUGAGGUGGCCCCCCUCACGUUUAGCGUUAGGUAAACGCCCCUUAGGUGAGGAUACAUGUGAGAAUUAGGGUUAGAGGAGAGACUUGAGCACUAUUUAUAGAGUUUCCAGCCAGUCUCUCUCAUUACGGGCCAGGCUCAACUCGGCCCACACUAGCCAGCCCAUAUUAAACUAAUUAAGAAACCUUCUAUCUCACCUUAGACCAACCAUGUUUUAUGGUAACCGUAAAAACAGUAAAUUACAAUAUCAAUUAAUUUAGUCCAUAUUAGGAAAAACUCUUACAUUAUCUGCUUGACCCGCACUUGAGUGAGGAGUCCGAUUCUCCGACUUGCUCACUCGCCUACUAGAGGGAUUCCUGCUUUGAUACCACUUGUCACGAGUCGAGAGAUUCCUUGGCCUCGGAAACGACCCGUGGGCGCCUAGCGAGCGGAAUUCGCCAGGCCAGCCCUUUCUUUAGCUGUUCCAUGAACGAUACGGUGAAUGAUUCUUCGUACGAGAUCCUACCACGCCCAGCUUCGCUCGGGCGUCUAGUCCAUCGAGUAAGACAGCAGUUCUCUUUAGGCACAACAAUUGGUUUCGACCUGCCAUGGCCUCGUCAGGAGAGCGGCAUCAGCUCCCGACCAGUUUAUGCACGGGAGGCCUACCCCGUCUUCAGAGCUCCUAAGUGAUAUAAUCCUUCUAUCCUAGAACUCCUAGCACCAACCGUCCGGACGCUACUCCUAAGGACCAGUUGUGUUCUACCCUUCUGCCUCACACUCUUCACCAGAUAACCCCAAGCGCCACUCACAAGUGUCACGAGUACGGGAGGAUUCACGGACCGUGACACUAGCACUGAGUUUCAGUCCGAGGCAAAACGAAUGGUUGGAAGUUUCCGGGAAACCGGGGAGAUUAGCAGAAAACGAAUGCUUAGUAAUAUUGAUGACGAUGUGGAAGUAUUUCGUUGAAACGAAUAGUCGGCACUUGUCUGAUUUUUCUAUUGUUGGCUUUUGUCAUCAAGUAUUUCGGUGGAAGUAAUUCGAUUGGGGAGAAUGGCGGAUAUUGUUCCGCCUCCUCGGCAUAUAUACAUUCUUAACUCUUGUUUCUCCGCAGAGAAGGGAAGAAAACCAGAAAGAAUUCAAAAAGGGGGAAAAUGGCGGAAUUCGUUCUGGGCGCAGUUUCCAUAGUGUCAGGGUACCUGGUGGCUCCGGUCAAUCGUCUUUGCGGCUAUGUGAUAUCCUACGAAGGUGACGUUCGCAAACUUAAGGCCAAAGUUGCGGAGUUGGGCAACGCGAGGCAAAACGUGCAGGAUUCCAUCAAGGAUGCUCAAAACAACGUGAAGCCUAUCAAAGCCCAUGUCAAUAAAUGGAUGGAAGAUGUAGAGAAGGACACCGGGGAGGCGCACCGUGUUCUGGAUGACGACGAAAGAGCUAAGAAAACUUGCUUCUACAGGUGGCUUCCCAAGGUGCGAUAUCGUCUUGGCAGGGAGGCGAGGAGGAAAACCGAAGACAUCCAGGGACUCAUUGAUCGGAAACCAUCUGGGGAGGUCUACGACGAUCCUCCUCCAGGACUCGUUGAUGGUACUUCCGACGUGAUUUCAUGGGCCGGUGAUCGAGGCGACACUACCUUUGAUUCUCGAGCUUCCAUCUUAGAGGACAUAAUGAAUACUCUGUAUGACGAGGAGCACAAAGUGAUUGGGGUCUACGGGCCUGGUGGCGUGGGGAAGACUACGCUGUUGAAGGAAGUUGAGAAGAAACUCAGAGAAGCGGGGAGACCGUUCCGCAUGAUCGUCAAAGUGAGAGUUUCGCAGAUUCCAGACUUGAAUAAUAUCAGAGACCAGAUCGCUGACGCCUUGGGUCUGGAUCUGAAAGACAAGCAAAGCCCAGAGGGAAAAGCAGAUGUUCUGUCAGAGAGAUUGAAGAGUAAUCCGAAUGAGAAGGUUCUCAUAAUAUUUGACAACCUAUGGGUAAAACUUGAAUUGGAGGCGGUUGGAGUUCCUUGGGGAGACGUGAGCAGCAAAUGCAAGUUGUUGCUCACGUCAAGAUUUAAAAAUGUGGUGGAGCAACAAAUGGGUGCCGAUCAAACAUUUCUUCUUCAAGGUUUAACGGACGGCGAAGCUUUCAAGCUAUUUGAAAACAAGGUCGGCGACAAGCUCAAAGACAAUGAGGAAUUGAAAUCAAUAGCGAAUCAAGUGGUCAAGAAGCUCGCAGGUUUGCCUCUUUUGAUUAACUCUGUUGCAACCACUUUGAAAUCUGGCGAUGAGUCCGCAUGGAGAAACGCGCUGAUAGAAAUAGAUGACUCAAAUAAAAUAAAAAAAGAAACGAUAGUGAAGUUGAGUUAUGGCCAUUUGAAGAGCGAGGACGCGAAGUACUUAUUCUUGCUCUGUGGUCUUAGUGGCGGCACCAUUCCAGUCGAACUUCUGUUGGUACUAGCCAUGGGGCUGGGCUUGUUUCAAAGAUUUAACAAGACGAUGCCAGAUUUAAGGGAUAGAUUGAAUAAUAUGCUCGAUGAACUCCGUUCCGCUUGUUUGUUGCUGGAGGGUGGCGAUGACAAGGACAAUGUGACCAUACAUGAUCUCUACAGCGAGGUGGUCGUCUCAACUCCAUUUCAAGAUCAGAAUUCCUUAAUGAUGAACAACAGUUAUUGCGCAUUGUCAAAGGAAGAACUUGAGAAAUGUUGGGCAAUAUGCCUAGAUGAUGAUGGUACAGAUAGGCUUGCUAAACUAAUGCCGUGUCAGUUUCCAAGCUUGAAGAUACUUAUGCUGUCUAUGCCAGAAGCUUGGGAAUUGCGAGAAUGUGUAGAAGAUUUAGGAGUUCCAUUUGAUGUGGAUUAUUGCUCGACACUACUAGAUUUCAAGGACAUGAAGGAGCUUCGAGUCCUAUGUCUUCGCUUCAUGCACAUCACCAAUUUUCCUCCCUCAAUCAAAAUCCUCGAGAACCUCCGGUCAUUAUAUUUAUACAAUUGCCAUGUGGAGGAUGUGACGAUUAUUGGCAAACUCAAAGCAUUGCAGAGUCUCAGCUUCACAAGGUCGACAAUUUCUAGGCUACCUAAAGAAAUGGGGGAACUUACAAAUUUGAGAUUGUUGAAUCUAACCAAUUGCAAAAUGCUUUGGAGAAUUGAGCCUGCUGUCCUAGAACGCUUAAUCAAAUUAGAAGAGUUACAUAUGAAGGGAAGCUUUGAUCAAUGGAUGGGCAAAAAUGAAAAACCAUCAGAAUCGUGUAAUGCUAGGCUUGCCGAGUUGAGGAGCAUGACAAAACUAAAUUCUCUGGAAAUAUCGAUUUGUAAUCCCAUCAUACUCUUGGAGGUUGAUGACCUGCCAUUUGAGAACUUGACUAGAUUUUGGAUCAACAUAGGAAAUGUUUACGGAAGGGAAUUUAAAUGCUUGAGGACCAUGAAGAUCAAAUUGGAAGGGCACGAUAGUAUUCUUUCAAAAACAUGGGUCCAGAAAACUCUCCAGAAAACUCAAUACUUGUGUUUGGUCGAAUUGGGAGAGUUCGAGAACGCUAACGGGUUGUGCAUUCAAGGAUUUCUGCAAUUGAAGCAUCUUGACAUUUGGAACAGCCCAUCAAUAAAGUAUAUUGCCAGUUCACCCAAUAGUGCUUUUUCGAUUUUAGAGUCUUUGUUCCUCAAUAAUCUUAUCAAUCUGGAGAAGAUAUGCCAUGGCCACAUCGCGGCAGAGUGCUUCAGCAAACUAAAAGCUAUGAGAGUCAUAGAGUGCAACCGAUUGGAAUACUUGUGGAGUCUUUCACAUACGCAAAAUCUUGUACAGUUAGAAAAGAUUAGAGUAUGGAAUUGUAACUCAAUGCAAGCCAUUGCAAGAAAAGAUGCAGUUCCUGCCGAUUGCGAAGUUGAGUUGCCUUACCUACGUUGUAUGUAUUUGGCUGACUUACCAAAUAUGAGGAGUUUUUGCCUAAGAGUUGAGAUGACUUCAGAAGGUACUCCAAUUCAGGUAAAUUCUUCAUUUUCUCCCCCAUGUUAGUUUGUCUUAUUGAGAGGGUAUAAGUUUAUUCAACAAUAGGUAGAGGGAAGCCUCUUUCUAUGACUGCUUUUUAUUUUAUUUUAUUUUAUUUUAUUCCCAAUUUUAGAUAAUUGCACUAAUUAUUUGAGCUCAAGGGUUUCUACUAUGACUAAUUUAUUACUCAUGUCACAUUUUUAACGAGUAGAAGAAAUAGUGUAUUGAAUGAAUGAACCUUCAAUGAAUGAACGAAAUUGAAUAUUUUCAAAAUGAAUAAAGCAACCUCUGGAGAUUAAAUCAACCGAAGGCAAACGAAGAGUCACAUAGCAAAGAAAGUCCACAUAAUUUGUGUCCCAACUUCAUGCAAGUUGGAACUGAUUCCAACAUAUCAUGCCAUCAUAACUGUGUCAACGUCAACUAGUUUGGGGAUUUUUCCUUCUCCAUUUUCUUAGGCUCAAUGGAAGAUCUUAAGCUUUCGCUCUUCAUUCAAUUGAGUUUUAAAUAUUUUAUAUUGAUCGAUUAAGUUUUCGACGUUUUUAAAAGCAAGAAGCCCAUUCGUACACUUUGGUUCCAUUCAUAUUCUUUCAGGUGGGGGUUGUGGAUGAGGGAGGAGGAGAUGAAGGGACAAAGUUAGUAACCACUACUUCAAAUUUACAGAAUACUUAUUCAGAUUCCUUCUUCGACAGAAAGGUAAACAUCCCUUCUCUUAAGAUUUUACUAAUAAUAGCCAUUGAUAAUUGGCUUGCUAGGGCAGAUAAUAAUAUCUCUUUGAAGAUUCUUAUUUGAUUUUAUUUGUUAAAAUAUGUUCACGGUUUAUAACUACAUUUGUCAGUGAAUAUUAAUUCUUCCACCGCAUUAGAUUGGCGGUUAGGGUUAGGCCAAAUUAUCAAUUUUUUUCACAAUUGUAAUCCGAUGCAUAACCCUUAUGAGCAGGCUAGUUUACCAAACUUGGAGAAGUUAAAGCUUAAGUCGGUGGGAUUGUUCAAAAGGAUAUGGCACGAUGAACUUUCCAGAAGUUCCUUUUGCAAAUUAGCCACCAUCAGUGUCAAGAAUUGCUCCAACAUACUCCACAUCUUCCCUUUGACAAUCAUGGGGAGAUUGCACAACCUGAAAAGUGUCAGGGUUAAUAACUGUCCAUCCUUGAAAACAUUGUUCGAUUGUGGGUCCUUGGAUUCAAAUAUGGAGCAAACAACGGUAUUGCUCCCCGAAUUGGUAAGCAUCGACAUUAGAAGCUGUCCCUCCCUAAAAUCGUUGUUUAAUUGUGGGUCCCUUGAUUCAAAUGUGGAGGACUUAAAGCUUGGCUCGGUGGGAUCGUUCAAAAGGAUAUGGCACGAUGAACUUUCUAGAAGUUCCUUUCGCAAAUUAGCCACCAUCACUGUCAAGAAUUGCUCCGACCUACUCCACAUCUUCCCUUCGACAAUAGUAGGGAGAUUGCACGACCUGAAAAGUGUCAGGGUUAAAUACUGUCCAUCCUUGAAAUCGUUGUUUGAUCUUAGGUCCCUAGAUUCAAAUACAGAACAAAAUGCGGUAUUGCUCCCUAAAUUGGAAUGGAUCGACAUUGAAACCUGUCCCUCCCUGGAAUCGUUGUUUCAUUGUGCGUCCCUCGAUUCAAAUGCGGAGCACAAAAUUAUAUUACUCCCCAAACUGGAGAAAGUGAGGGUGAGUGGAGCAAAAAAGCUAAGACACGUGGUCACGAGCCACUCCCAAAUAGUUUUGGGUUUUCCUAGUCUUGAAACUGUUAGUGUUGAGAAUUGUUCUAACCUGAGAUAUCUCUUCGCCGAAUAUACGGCCACAACUUUGGAGAAACUUGAGCUGCUAGAAAUUACUAAAUGCGAACAAAUGAAGGAAGUGAUUCUCGAGAAAGAGGUUGGUCGAUCAAAGGCAGAAGUGAUGAGUUUCCCUUGCUUAAGUGAAUUAACACUUAAGGAGCUCGAUAACCUGAUUAGUUUUAGUUCAGGAAGUGUCAAGAGGCAGAUAAGCGAGACAGCUGAAGAAAAUGAUGAAUCGCCACGACGAUAUUGCUCCCUGAAUUGUCCAUCCUUGAAAUCAUUGUUUGAUUUUGGGUCCCUAGAUUCAAAUACGGAACAAAACGCGAUAUUGCUCCCUGAAUUGGAAAGGAUCAAAGUUGAAAGCUGCCCCUCCCUGGAAUCGUUGUUUAAUUGUGCGUCCCUCGAUUCAAAUGCGGAGCACAAAAUUAUAUUACUCCCCAAACUGGAGGAAGUGAGGGUGAGUGGAGCAAAAAAGCUGAGACACGUGGUCACGAGCCACUCCCAAAUAGUUUUGGGUUUUCCUAGUCUUGAAACUGUCAGUGUUGAGAAUUGCUCUGACCUGAGAUAUCUCUUCCCCAAAUAUACGGCCACAACUUUGGAGAAACUUGAGUUGCUAGAAAUUACUAAAUGCGAACAAAUGAAGGAAGUGAUUCUCGAGAAAGAGGCUGGUCGAUCAGAGGCAGAAGUGAUGAGUUUUCCUUGCUUAAGUGAAUUAACACUUAAGGAACUCGAUAACCUGAUUAGUUUCGGUUCAGGAAGUGUCAGGAGGCAGCUAGGCCAGACAACCGAAGAAAAUGAUGAAUCGCCACGACCGCUAUUCAAUGAGAUGGUUCGUUCUAUUCUUUACUGUGAUCCUUUGUAUUCUCGCAUUAUCAUGUUUUAUAAUGAAGAAUGUAAUGAAUUUGUCCAACUUAUCCUCAUUUCUCACAUUAUCCUUGUGCAGGUCACAUUUCCCAAUAUGAGAAAUCUAAAAAUUGAAGGCGUUCCAUGCAAAGAGCUGUGGAACAAUCAUGUUCUCGCCGAUUCCAGUGUUUGUUCCCACCAAUUCCUUUCAAAAAAUGUUGAGGUUAAAAACUGUCCAUCCUUGAAAUCAUUGUUUGAUUUUGGGUCCCUAGAUUCAAAUGCGGAACAAAACGCGAUAUUGCUCCCUGAAUUGGAAAGGAUCAAAGUUGAAAGCUGCCCCUCCCUGGAAUCGUUGUUUAAUUGUGCGUCCCUCGAUUCAAAUGCGGAGCACAAAAUUAUAUUACUCCCCAAACUGGAGGAAGUGAGGGUGAGUGGAGCAAAAAAGCUGAGACACGUGGUCACGAGCCACUCCCAAAUAGUUUUGGGUUUUCCUAGUCUUGAAACUGUCAGUGUUGAGAAUUGCUCUGACCUGAGAUAUCUCUUUCCCAAAUAUACGGCCACAACUUUGGAGAAACUUAGGUGGCUAAAAAUUACUAAAUGUGAACAGAUGAAGGAAGUGAUUCUCGAGAAAGAAGCUGGUCGAUCAGAGGCAGAAGUGAUGAGUUUUCCUUGCUUAAGUGAAUUAACACUUAAGGAACUCGAUAACCUGAUUAGUUUCGGUUCAGGAAGUGUCAGGAGGCAGUUAGGCCAGACAACCGAAGAAAAUGAUGAAUCGCCACGACCGCUAUUCAAUGAGAUGGUUCGUUCUAUUCUUUACUGUGAUCCUUUGUAUUCUCGCAUUAUCAUGUUUUAUAAUGAAGAAUGUAAUGAAUUUGUCCAACUUAUCCUCAUUUCUCACAUUAUCCUUGUGCAGGUCACAUUUCCCAAUAUGAGAAAUCUAAAAAUUGAAGGCGUUCCAUGCAAAGAGCUGUGGAGCAAUGAUGUUCCCGCCGAUUCCAUUGUUUGUUCCCACCGAUUCCUUUUAAAAAAAGUCGAGGUUAAAAACUGUCCAUCCUUGAAAUCAUUGUUUGGUUUUGGGUCCCUAGAUUCAAAGAUGGAACAAAACGCGGUAUUGCUCCCUGAAUUGAAAAGGAUCAAAGUUGAAAGCUGUCCCUCCCUGGAAUCGUUGUUUAAUUGUGGGUCCCUUGAUUCAAAUGCGGAGCACAAAAUUAUAUUGCUCCCCAAAUUGAAGGGAGUGAGGGUGAGUGGAGCAAAAAAGCUGAAACACGUGGUCAUGAGCCACUCCCAAAUAGUUUUGGGUUUUCCUAGUCUUGAAACUGUCAGUGUUGAGAAUUGCUCUGACCUGAGAUAUCUCUUUCCCAAAUAUACGGCCACAACUUUGGAGAAACUUGAGUUGCUAGAAAUUACUAAAUGUGAACAAAUGAAGGAAGUGAUUCUCGAGAAAGAGGCUGGUCGAUCAGAGGCAGAAGUGAUGAGUUUUCCUUGCUUAAGUGAAUUAACACUUAAGGAACUCGAUAACCUGAUUAGUUUCGGUUCAGGAAGUGUCAGGAGGCAGCUAGGCCAGACAGCCGAAGAAAAUGAUGAAUCACCACGACCGCUGUUCAAUGAGAUGGUUCGUUCUAUUCUUUACUAUGAUCCUUUGUAUUCUCGCAUUAUCAUGUUUUAUAAUGAAGAAUGUAAUGAAUUUGUCCAACUUAUCCUCCUUUCUCACAUUAUCCUUGUGCAGGUCACAUUUCCCAAUAUGAGAAAUAUAAAAAUUGAAGGCGUUCCAUGCAAAGAGCUGUGGAACAAUCAUGUUCUCGCCGAUUCCAGUGUUUGUUCCCACCAAUUCCUUUCAAAAAAUGUUGAGGUUAAAAACUGUCCAUCCUUGAAAUCAUUGUUUGGUUUUGGGUCCCUAGAUUCAAAGAUGGAACAAAACGCGGUAUUGCUCCCUGAAUUUGAAAGGAUCGACAUUGAAAGCUGUCCCUCCCUGGAAUCGUUGUUUACUUGUGGGUCCCUUGAUUCAAAUGCGGAGCACAAAAUUAUAUUGCUCCCCAAAUUGAAGGGAGUGAGGGUGAGUGGAGCAAAAAAGCUGAAACACGUGGUCAUGAGCCACUCCCAAAUAGUUUUGGGUUUUCCUAGUCUUGAAACUGUCAGUGUUGAGAAUUGCUCUAACCUGAGAUAUCUCUUCCCCAAAUAUACGGCCACAACUUUGGAGAAACUUGAGUUGCUAGAAAUUACUAAAUGCGAACAAAUGAAGGAAGUGAUUCUCGAGAAAGAGGCUGGUCGAUCAAAGGCAGAAGUGAUGAGUUUCCCUUGCUUAAGUGAAUUA
rnacentral:lncRNA from 1 species